rnacentral:lncRNA from 1 species
GGGGUCAAAGGGGAUCAAUGAACGCAGGCCUCCGCCGCCGCCUGCUGCUGGGAGGAGCGAGUGGGAGCGGUGGGUAGUUAUUGCCGGGGCUAGGGUUUUAUUCGGGCCUCCUCCUCCGACCGCCGCCACUUUGGGCUGCAACUUGGGCCACGCCCCAGCCCACGGCGAACCACCUCCCUAUUUUGUUCUCUUCAUUUAUUAUAUUAUAUCCCCCUCAAAAAAAUUAUUAUAUUAUAUAUGAUCCUCAAAAUAAUUAUUAUUAUAUUUAUUUCUCAAGAAGAAUAUUAUUAUAUAUAAGGAAAACAAAACAGUUUAACAUCAGCAGUAAUACCAGGCACUGUCCGCGCGGCAAGCAUGAUAGGCAAUCUUCAAACCGUUCAAAAAAUAAAAUAAGCAUCACUAGGUUCGUCGAUCAGCAAGCGUUUACCUUUUUUUUUUACUAGGACAAUGUCCGUGGUUGCCACGGGACAGCAUAAAAAUGUUGCACUGGUUGCUUUCGUCCCUGCAACUUCAUCGCUUCUUCCAUUUAUUCUAAUUUUUUUCGACAUGCAUCUUAUUUCUCCUACCCCACCAAGACAAAUUUUGAUCUACCUUCGCCCUCUUUUAUCAUCGCCUACUCAUUACUCUACCUUCGGUGUCAUCACUUCAUACAGUUUUACUUGCACAUGACAAGAUAGCUCUAGGCCUAGCUUCUCAACAAUGUAUAAGUCGGGGCUAGGGUUUUACUCGGGCCUCCACCUCCUCCUCCUCCUGACCGCCACCACUUUGGGCUGCAACUUGGGCCACGCCCCAGCCCACGGCGAAACAUCUCCCUAUUUUGUUUUCUUCAUUUAUUAUUAUGUAUAUAAUCCUCAAAAAAGUUAUUAUUAUUGUAACAUCCCAAAUUUUCAAUUUGGAAUGUUAUACAUAGUCAUUCAUGCAUAUCAUAUUUUUCUGCACAUUCGUUUUGCGAUCCUCGAAAAUCUAAUCAAUGAAGAUAGCUCUAGGCCUAGCUAUGACAAGAUAGCUCUAGGCCUAGCUUCUCAAUGUUGGAAAUAUGCCCUAGAGGCAAUAAUAAAUUGGUUAUUAUCAUAUUUCCUUCAUUGGUGCGCGUCGGUGCUAUAUAAACGGCUUUUAACCCCUUUCCGCGACGGAAUUUGGAACCGUCGUCAAGUGAGUGUGGGCGAUAGGGGGUCCUUCCCACACGACCCCGAAAUCGUCGGGGAUAGGCCCUCCUGGGACACAGGCUAGAGCCGUGUGCGAUCGGGCGAGGCAACGAAACUCAAUCAUUUCCGUAGGUAUGUACAUCUCACACGGUGAAUCUCAAAAAAACAUCGCGCGUCCAGUUAAUACCCUGCUCUCCUCUGAACAACAACGAAAACAUCGCUCUUGUCUAAAAAAACGAAAACAUCACUCAAGAAAAACUAUGUAGUGCUCACACCUCAAAAACACAAAUACUUCUCGAGCUGCUUGGUCCCAGCUGUCGGCCACUCCUUGCGCAAUUCUCUCGUUUAUUGACUACAUAGGUUGACAAUGGUGUGGGACCGUGAUGUCAGGAAACCAGGAGGAAGCAAAAAAAAUACAGUUGUAGUAUAUAAUAAGGAGGCACUUGCGUACGUGCGGCUAUGGCCCUGGUUGGUCCCCACUAUCAUCCUCUCCAAGUAAAGUCAUCUCCUCAUUACUCAUGUCUGUUGACCAUGUUGAUAACGCGAGAUGACGGCGCCACGGCGAGCGCAACAACUGGAAGGACGAUAGAGUGGGCCUCGGGGGCCCUACGGAUGGUCUGAUACAGCGCCCGCUGCUCAUUCGGGAAGCCAGGAUCAUAGGUCCACAUGUCCGCGACGGCAUUGUCGUUCGCUUGUUCACCGGUGCUCGUUGACGAGACGGAGGUUGCAACACAGGCCCUCCUGCGCUGAUAGCUCUUCCGCCAUUAGGGCGUCGAAGUGCGGCCGCACCUGCUCUAUGGUGAACACGGCAUGAACCGAUUUGGACAGUGGUGCCGGCUCCUGGUCGGAAGCUACGUUCAUCGUCUGAUUGUCGUCACUCAGCUCGGCGAGCUCGCUGGCGAGCCAACCUGUCUGGCUGCUGGAUCGACCUACUGUCAAGCAUGAGUCUGACUGCCCUGGCCCACCUAGACCGCCUCCCUCGCCCGCGCAUGCUUUCCGCCCGAAGCGGUCAGCGCCGCCCGUCUCGCUUCCCGGUGCAGGCGAUUGCUCCGCCUUCAAACGACACAAGUGUUGUCCGUCCUUCCGUCUGCCGCCCACAUUAAUGAUACGCGAUUGCCGAGGCGGCUACUCCGGUGCCACACGUCUGGCCCUCUGCCGCCCACCAUUGCUAUAUAAACUGCUGCGCCGACCAUAGCCGCAGUCAUCCGCAUCCGCUUCCUUUCUCCUGUCCACACCACUACUGCCCACCAUGGCUUCCUCGCGCUCCAGCGCUCUUCGGGACGGGCGGAUGACAAACCACAAGGAGAUGGCAGCCAUUGCUGCCGACUCCCUGGCCGGCAGGCAGCCGGAGGACGACGGCGUCCCAAUGGAGAACAUGGUAGUCGACGAUCCGACGCCAACCCCCUCCUCCGUGUCAUCCUUGCCGGUGCAUUGCACCAUGACCAUCGGCGAGGCCCGUGCCCAAUCCAUGGACACGCUGAGGCAGAAGCGUGAGGAGCAGUUCCGGGAGGUGCAAGCCGACGCCGCCUACAACCACCAUCUCCUCCAGGAGCACCUGCAGGCGGAGGAGCAGAUCGCCACAGAGCGGGCGGAGCAGGAGGUGCUGCUCGACUCGUACCGGUCCGCCCGCGAGGGCCGACUCGAGCGCUGGCGGUACCGCAUGCGGGUGGCGGAGGCUGCGGCCGUCUACAAAGAGGGCGAUGAAGCGGGCGAGGCGCUGUUUGGCGAGACCAAGGACGAGGCAGAGGACAAUGCUGGCUCUGACGAGUCCCCGCUCCGCUGGCGUCGACGAGGCCCUACUCCGCCGAGGCCCCGCGGCGCCAACAACGAGGCAGAGGACACCGCCGGCUCCGCUGAGGCCCCGGCCCGUCGGCACCGAGGCGGAGGCCCUACUCCGCCAAGGCCCCGUGGUGCCAACAACGAGGCAGAGGACACCGCCGACUCCGCCAAGGCCCCGCCCUGCCGGCACUGAGGCGGAGGCCCUACUCCGCCGAGGCCCCGCCCCGCCAACAACGAGGCAGAGGACAUCGCUGGCUCAGCCGAGGCCCGACCCUGCCGACAACGAGUGGGGGGAUUUCCCCCGCUCCGCCGAGGCGCCGCCCCGCCGGUAACGAGACCGAGGACAUCGCUGGCUCCAUCGAGGCCCCGCCCCGCUGCCAACGAGGUCGCGCCAUACAGAAAACGAGGAAGAGUAGAACACGGUAGGUCGCCGCCGCUCGGGUCCAAGUAAGGCCACCGCUGCUACCCUCCGGUUGAAGCCAAGGGUUGACCAUUGAUGGCGAUUAGCUUCUUGGCGGUGACAUGGAGUCGGAGAGCUAUGUUGGAGAAGGACGUUGCUUCUACUUAACUGCUGGUACAGUUGGCUCACUAACACGUGGGCCCAGCAAGCAUCUGGGCCACAUUUCAGUUACGCAACUGCACAUGUAGCUAAGUCACUGAAGCUCAGUCCGCUGGAGAAGAAGCUUUUGUUUGGCUCAGCCGGACACAGGUGGGUAGCUUCAGUUAAUUUAUUAUACCUCUAGUGCACCCCUUUUUAGUUGAAGAAUGUAUGAAAUGUAUUGAAAUCUGGCAUGUUCUGACCGUGCAUGAAUGAAUUUAGUUCGAUUAGUUCGAAUUCUUGUAUCACUGGCAUUGGAUGAACAUGCAAAACAAAACGUACUAGCAUUAUUCCCAGGGUGAUCACCUCAUUUGCAGCAGUUUCACAUGUACUCCCUCCGGUCCUUUUUAGUCUGCAUACAAGUUUUGUCUGUAGUCCAAGUAUCUCUACUUUGACCAGAGUACAAAGAGUUUGAGCAGCUUUUUAGUGUUCCUCUACAUUGCAAUCAAACACGCAGGCCUGGCAAUUCAUAGAGAACAUUCAAAACAAUCGAUGAUUAUGCAUCUGAGCGAUUCACAUGUCAGAGCCAAUAUUUACAUCACAACUAAAGAAUAAAGAAAAAUAGAUCGACGUUGCUGACAGCAAGGGCGUCCCAUUCAAAACUAUCAAACGCAUGUCUUCUUGCUAACAUCACUGAGCAAAAUUUGACAAGGUUGUCCCAUUCCAAAAUGUCAAAUGCGUGUUGUUUUGCGUACAUCAAUGAGCAAACUUGACAAGGGUUUCCCAUUCCAAAAUACCAAAUGCCUAUGAUUGUGGAAUGGGCAGGGUUUGCCAUCAGUUCAGACAUUGACAUGGCACCUCGUGCUAAACAAACCAGCUGUUCUUUUUGUGCAAUUCCACCAAAAUCAACCAAAUUCGUGCAUAGCUUGUAUGAUUUCGCCUUUAUAUGUUGCAACGCUUGAACAUAUCAGCACCUCCUUUCUUGUGGUGGAAAUGAAUGAUUCAAGAAUAUUCGAUGUAUUCGUGAACAUUUUGUGCAGUUCCCAUUGAAAUCAAGCUGAGCACCCCUGUUUGCAUAAAUAUAAAAAAGUGAUUAGUAUAAAGCAAAUUGUACUAUGAAUUGACAGUUUAAACAGUCAACCUACAUGAUCCAUGCAGAGCACACAUUUAAAAAAUGGAACUCACCGGAAGGAGUCGUAAAACAACAUUGUACUGACCAUCACCGCAACAAAGAUGGAGAUCCGUGAGUCCUUCUGAGCUGAAGUUAGUUUGUUCUUGUGGGUAAUAAUGUAACCAUCCUUCAACUGCUCCCUUCUUAAGAAGAGAGGCUUGGCUUCUUUUUCCUGGCAUAAUCGGAACUAGGCACUUCACAUACUCCAUAUUCUUCUUCAAAGGAGGAUGAUCAUGUUGUCAAAGACAAGAGGACAACUAAAUAGCAUCCCUGUUUGCUCGAAAAAAAGGAAAGGAAAUAUUUAAAACAACACGGAUGAAGCACUUCUCAAGGACAAUACCACUUUCUCAUGACAUUAUCUAAACAGUAGCACAACACCAAUAGAGAUGACAAAGCUCAAUCAUAUGGAUGAAAUCCGUGGGCGAGUACCAACCUUUGUCAGGAGGCUUAUUGUGUAGAGCAUACAGAUCAAGCACUUCUCCGGAACCAUCUGUAGUUAUCUACUGUAGUUGCCAUGCUUACUAUAUACUCCUCAAUUUAGUUUAAUGUUUCCAACAUCUUAUUGUGCAGUUCCACUAAAAUAUAUGAUAUCUUCAAAGAAGAUCCCUGUUUGCACAAGUAGAGAUAAUUACAUAUUACAUUAAGAGUGGCAUCAAAUCAGUUGCAAAACAAUUGCUCGUUCCAGCCAUAGCAAUAAAUUAAGAUGCAAAACUAUAUCAUUACUUGUGUCAUCAGAGUUCCAGUGCUUCAUUACAGCACUGGGAGUUGAUUUUUGUUUUUCUUCCGCCUGUUCUUCCCCUUCAUCACUUGGUUCAAUAACAGACAAGCUUCGCCUUCAAUGUAAGUCAAUUAGGGAGCACAAGUAUAGCACUAAACAACGACAUUAAUUUUCUGAUGAAAGUGGCAAAAUACAGGCUAAUAGUUGUGAAAUAUCCUUAUCUUACCUCAAUGGGAUAUUACGAUGCGCAUACAGAUUGGAAGUCUUGUCUCCAUUUGUGCAGUUCACUAAAAUCAAGUAACUUUAACGUACAAGUAGCACAACAUACGAAAGCACACUAACAAUCAUGUGAAAGAAAGCUAGUACUGACCUCUCAUGACGCGGAAUUCAAACGACUCACAAGAAGAAGAUCUGAACCAAAUUUGCCAACACGGAUAGGAAGUAAGAUCUCUUGUGCAGUUCCACUAAGAUCAAGCAAUGAAGCAACGUUGUCGGUAUGACAUUUUGGUUGAACUGCACAAAACACUCUUAAAAAAGGUGUUUUGUGCAGUGCAACAAAAGGUCACAAUAGCAACAAGGUGAAGUAGAUAACCCUGUUUCCACAGAGGUGCAAAGGAAACAACUAGUGGUCAAUAACGGUGGAUGACACCGAAGCCAACAAAAAGAAGCAUCUAACUUAUCUAAAUGGGAAAGAAAGCAAGACAGUGGCAUUUCUCAAAUGGUGGUAUUGAUUAAUAUUAACAGAGAUAUUAUAUUAACAAUAAAAUUCAUUAAACAUGUAAUUUGCUUUUAACUAUGGCAUUGCAUCAAUUUUCCAGCGACAUUAUUAGAGGGUGUUUGUUUACAUGGACUUUUUGGUGUAGGGACUAAAUAAAGUCCAUGUCAGUCCCAUCUAAACCAAACAUGAGGGACUUUUAGGGACUAAAAGUGGGAAUUUGGGACUAAAGAAAGAAGACCCCGAGGGAGAGUCUUUUUUGGGACAUUUUCCAACAGUUGCCCCUGCCCCGCAUCGCACCUUGUCUCUAUUAGUUCAUUACUAGGGGUAACAUGCUCUUUUAGCAUGUUAUUUAAUAACCUCCAGUCCAUGUUUAGUCCCUGGAACAAAGCAGGUAGGGACUAGGACUUUUUAACCAAACAGGGCCUUAGAUUAACAACAGCUAAAGAGUUGCACGGGACAGUAGACGCACCAACACCAUGUGCAUCUACCGAUGUAUGAAGAGGUGAUGCACAGUCUGUUGCAACAAAGAACAAACAACCAAGGAGCAUAUUUGUGUUGGUCCCAGUUUUGUUAUCUUUAGACAACUUUCCCUAUGUGAGCACAGCGAAUCUAGUCAUGCUCAAACUCUACAGCCUUGUCCCCGAAACAAAAAGAUCAGUUCGUUACAGAUAUGCGUACUUCGUUUGUCAUUGUUUUCCCUUUUCGACCAACGUAGGUGCUGGAUAACCAGUAUGUACUAGUACUUUCCCCCUUCCUUUCCUCUUUGAACCACGUCCCAGAUUCAUGCUAUACAACUUUCCCCACUACGUUCCCCCCAUUCCUUUCCUCUUUGAACCACGUCUUAGAUUCAUGCUAUACAACUUUCCCCACAACUUCCCCCCUUCCUUUCCUUUUUGAACCACGUCCUAGAUUCAUGUUAUACAACUUUCCCCACUACUUUCCCCCAUUCCUUUCCUCUUUGAACCACGUCCUAGAUUCAUGCUAUACAACUUUCCCCACUACUUUCCUGUUUGAUCCAACACCUAGAUUCGAGUGCAGAAGCAGAACAUGCCCACAUGCAGCUAGAGCAAUGCAUGUGGAAUAAGUAAAUUAUACCUUAAGGUUCUUGGGUUGUGGUUGUGGGCGACCGGAGGCCGUUCGGCCCACACUACAUAUGGCGGCGAGGAAGAAGGGGUCGGAGGCCCUCUCGUGCCGCCAUUGGGUGAAAGAGAACAGCUGCGCCGGUGGUGGAUUCCCUCCCUCACUUAAGGUGACAGCGUUAAGCCUCCUUCCCUUCCCGGCGGACGGAUCCUGCCGGCUCUUUGACCAGCAGUGAGGGGAGAGAGAGAGAGGCCAACAAAGUCUUGUUUAGAUCUAGAGAGGGUGAGAGAGUAUGAAGAGAGCAACUACAAACGUUGAGGCUCCAGUGUGUAUAUAUAUACUGGAGAGAGUGUGUGAAGAGUGCAAACCAUAGAAAAGCGCCAAGGCUGCAGCGUAUACGUGAUGAGGUGAUUAUACGGUCACUAUGAGAUCGUAUAGCUCUGUAUCCAUCCAUUUUGACAAGUCAAAGAAUCCUCCUGGCACCGCCCCAGAUCACUUUCUCUCUCUAUCAUGCGGGGCCUACCUGUCAUUGGGUGGAAGAAAGAAGUCGAACAAAAACAAAAAUAUGCUCAAGUGUAGUUAUCCAACCCGAGACCUCAAGUUUGAUGAGCGAACAGGCUAACCAGCUACACCACCCUCCCAUUAUGUUCAACAAGAGGAAAAUAACCUUUUAUACAUUCCUGCAUUCGUGUGACAAGCAUGCCGUGUUUUUUUUGCGGGCGAGUCAUUGGGAUUUAAAUCAUAAUCGUGUCAUGUGGCUUUGGUGGUAAGGUCUUUUGGGAUUUAAAGCAGUGUUGGUAGUACAGAAUUAAUGCAGCCUUAGUCAUCUUACCUCUCUCCACGUAGUAUGUUGGGUCCCACUAGUCAAAGGGUAAAACAAACAAAUUAAUAAAAAAAAUUCAAAGCGCCAACGGUGUAUCUUACCUCACACAUCUCGCUACUGCUCGUGAACACUGUUCAAUUGAUCCCUCUAUUUGCUCACGUACUAUUUUAAGUGAAUCCUUAUUAUAACAUGCACACAAUUUUGGGCACUUGUAUUCGACCUAAGUCAGUGUGCCACCGUAUCUCAUACUACUCCCUCCGUCUAGGUGUAAUAAGUCACAUUAGAAGGUGUAGCGGGACCAAGGUGCAAGUAGAUUGGAGGAGAAGGAGAAACUUGACCGGUCCUUCCUCCAAUCAAAGCCCUGAUUUCUAUCUCUAAACGCAACAAUUAAUCCCAACAACUAAGAGCAAGUAUAAUAAGCCUAGUCAGCUGGCUAUAACACAUGCCAGGUCAUUGAAAUCAGCUGGAAGGGUGAGAAAGAAGGAGAGAGAGCGCAGCGGGCGCUUGAUCUGUCGCCGGGCGUUAGCACAGGUUACUAGAAAAAGUGCUUGCAUGCAGCGUGUGAACAAGUGCAGUCUUCUUUCCUCCCAAUAAAGUAUGUUUCUUUACUUGUCUUCACAUGCAUAUAUUAAAUACUAUAGCCAACCUAUUAGCCGGCUUAUUAUAUGAGUAUACUUUUAGAAGGCUAUAUGUGACAUGGCGCCAAUAUAUAGCCAGCAGCAGGCUCUAUUAUUAGCCAUGCUCUAAGAGAUGUCGUUUUAAUUACCAUGCAGGGCCAUGUAUUAACUCGCAUGCAAGCCGACUUUGAUUUCUUGACUGAUCAACAUGCACUUGCGCUCCAUGCAUUGGGUUUUCGGGGGAGAGUAACAAGGCAAAGUAAGGCUGGUCAUAGUAGUGAGUAACUUGGACUAGUAACAUGCAUAUGUUACUAGUAUAUGUUACUACUAGUACCUUCGUCCUGAUUUAUAGGCCCCCUUUGUAGUUUGUGCCAAAUUUUGACCAAAGAUUUAACUAACAAAAUGUUAAUGCAUAUCAACAAAAAAUAUAUCGUUGGAUUCGUAUUUGAACAUAGUUUUCAAUGAUAUAUUUUUUUGUGACAUGCAUGAAUAUUUUUUUAGUUCAAUCUAUGGUCAAAAUUUGGCACGAAAUACAAUGGGGACCAAUAAACCAGGACGGAGGUAGUACGCGAAGUUUGCCGUCGAAAGCGUGCCGAUCUAGCUCUCAUGAGCUAGCAAGGUUUUUCUAGCCCGCCCAAGCUAGCUGGCCCAAAAAAGCCAACAUAUUUUAACAGUUGCAAACAACUAACCUUGCCCGGCUAGGCUAUAAACUGUUCUUGCUAAGGAUCCAAACGCUCCCUAGUAACUAGCAUGAUAUUCCUAUUCUAUGAACCUGUGUGUGCGUGUGCGUGUGUGUUUAACAACAUGUGUGUGUUAGAGAGAGCGACACAUCGACCUACUCCUACAAAGAGAUGGUGUGUAGUGUACGAUUUAGCCGCGAGAGUCGAUGCAUCCUCUUCCGGGCGUCCGGUCGGGACAGGCGGACCGCUGCCACACCCUCUCCUGACCAGCCUGGCCCACCCAAAGCCCCUCCAUCGCCCGCGCGCGCUUCCCGCUCGAAACGGUCAGCGCCUCUCCAAAGAAUCGGUGCCGCAUUCAUGCCCGGGCAGAGCGGACGCGACCUCUCACUGGCGCCUGCGUUGAAGAGAGAAGCGGAUUCAAGAGUGAUGGUUGCUUUGUCUGUCCAACUUACUGCUAGGUCUAUGUGAUUUGACGGCUCAUUGGUCAUUAUUACUGAGGUGGUAGGACUGUUGGAUGUUCCACGCUUUCGGCAAAAGGAGGUACUACUAGAUUACAAUUUUCUCCAUCCUUACAGCGGAGAGUGCGAGAGUAGUGAAAAAACGCAGGCCCAGUGAUUACAUGGACCACCUCACAUUAUCACCAUAUUCUCUGGACACCAUGCGACACCUAACUCUUUACAUAGUACUACUAGUAUAGUACGUACUGUAAUUUAUCAGCGAGAUAAAUUUGUACAAUGCUAUGAAGCUUCCAGCUUCUGUUUCAUGUAUCUUGCAUCCAACGUUGCCCAUUGCAACAUUUCAUCAAAUACAAAGGAGACUAACAUGCAUGCUAUUGCAUCUUAAUGAUUGACAGAUCAUAGCCAAUAUGUACUCCCUCCGUUCCAAAAUAAGUGUCUCAACUUUAUGCAAACUUUAGUAUAAAGUUGUACUACUACUAAAGUUGACACUUAUUUUGGAACAAAGAAAGCUAAUGAAAAAAAACGAUCCAUGCAGUCCCUAGCCCUUGAACCGUAAAACCCUUUUAACCAGGCUUUAAUUUGCUGGCAACAUUGGAGCUUCCGAAGAAAUGAAGUUUGCAACCCUUUGACCAUCGGAUCAUUUUGUGCAGUUUCACUAAAAUCGAGAUGAGCAUCCCUGUGGCAAAGAAAUUGAAGAAGCGUGAUUAGAAUAAGAUUACUGGGACUAGUUGAUGAGACAUAAACUCAUCACAAAUACAAUACAUAGAAGCCAUUAGAGGUAUGUGCGGGGCAAAGAAGUAGAGAAAUAUCCACAUGGAGUGAUGUGGGCAGCUGGAGCAGUGGUGCAAGCCGGCUGUAAAGGGAGUUGUACCUGAGGGAUGUCGGGACGUAGCUCAACCUAGACGAGGGCGGCAGGAGGCGGCAACUGCCCACGUCGCAGCAGUGAGAAAGGGACGAAGGCAACCUCACCGGCUUUGUGAGAGAGAACGGUGGGGACCCUUGAUCGGGACGUGCCGACAGUGGGUUUUCGCCGUCAGCGACGGCGACCGCAUCUACACUAAGCAUCUACCCCUUCCCCCGGCGGACGUGAUCCGCCGGGAUGUUAGAGAUGUGGCCACAGUCAUUUUGUGCGAGAGAGUGUGAAGAGAGCAACCCCAGCAAGCAACCGUGAAGGCUCGUCCUGCCUAUGUAUAUAGUGGAGCGGUUUCCUUUUCUCUCCACAUGAACCUAUUUAUAUUGCGUACGUUCCACUGAAGAAAAAAAACUUCAUUUAUAAAUGACGCGACACCUACUACUCGUUCUCCUAUAAACCUUGCGCUUUGCAUCUCCAAAAUAUUAACCUUGCGAUUGGCUCUCCACCUUUUUGGGAAGUCGAGCAAUAAUAGUACUCCCUCCGUCUAGGUGUGUAAGUCAUCUUAGAUUGUGCACCGUGAUCAAGGCGGAGUGGAAAACAGAAGAACUUAAUAUCUAUUUGCUAAUUAAUAGCAUUGCAUGCGAUGAACUAACCACUGCUUUGUCAUGUUUGUUAGUCUCAAAUCAUUAAAAGCAUGCAUGGACCACAUCUCUUACUGGUUGACAUGUCACAAAAUAAGAAACGACAAGGGAGUUAAUGUACCGUGCCUAAGUGUUUUGGGAUUAUUUGAUUUUCGUAAGGUGACUUACACACCUAGACGGAGGGAGUACUGCAGUAUAUAUCAUUCUGGCUGUAUGAGACCGAAUGAAUUACUGCACGUCCACCACGUGGGCGAGGGUCGAGGGGCGAGGGAGAGUGCGUACUAUUACGUCCGUUUCAAUAUGGACUACAUACGGGGCAAAAUGAGUGAAUCUACACUCUAAAAUACGUCUAUAUACAUCAGUGUUUGGAGUAUGUACUAGUAGUUCAUAUUGAAAUCUACUAAAGGACAUAUAUUCCAAACAAUAUGAUAAUCUCUCUAACCAAGGUAGGGACGAGGAGUAAACAGAGGGAGUAGUAAAAAUUUCUCCUCGUACUGCGAGCCACCACGCGCAUGGGCGAGGGAGCGGGCGUAAGGCAUAGUACUACUACCUCCGUCCUGGUUUAUAGGUCACCUUUGUAGUUCGUGCCAAAUUUUUUACCAAAUAUUAAGCUAACAAAAUGUUAAUGCAUGUCAACAAAAAUUAUAUCGUUGGAUUCGAAUUUCAACAUAGUUUUCAAUGAUAUAAUUUUCGGUAACAUGCAUGAACGUUUUGUUAGUUCAAUCUAUAGUAAAAUUUGACACAAUAUACAAUGGGGACCAAUAAACCAAUAUACAAUGAGUAGUAGUAAGCAAGCUUCACCUCGUCUUGUGAGCCACCGCGCCCGUGCGCGGGGGAAACGGCGUAGUAAGCAAGCUUCUCCUUGUUCUUCGAGUUGAUGGGACACAUCAAAAGUAAUACGUACAGAGCAUCUCGAGUGUAUAGAACCUUGCCUAUAAGGUAGGCCCCGCAUGGUUUGACUCUUUUCUAACAUAACGCGUCAAGUAGCAAUUUGUUUGUCCACCAGUGGUAAACGAUCCUCCAUCAAGUGGACAACCAGUACACGUGUCAAAUUAACAUGUGGGCCGCCUUUUCAUACAAAAAUGAGCUCCACCGUGUACCCGCGCGGGUGUGGUUGGGAAAGAGACGGGAGUACGUGCACCAUGUGUGCACCUUUUCUCUUCGUGCACGUCCCCCACCUACGUGGGUGUGUGUGAGAGAGAUACAAACCUAGACAGAUGGCGUGUGUGUUCGUGAGUCUUUUUUGUUUGGGGGGGGGGUGAUUUCGUGAAUGUAUCUGUGGGAAUAUGUGUCGAUGAUAUCUCAAACAAAAUUUUGCAUGCAAUGUGUGUGAAAUAGAGGCCUAUCCAUAUCAUAUAUAGAGGGGGCGAUCCACGAGAAGAGAGGAAGGGGUCAUAGAUAUCGAUAGAGUUGAAGAGAGGAUCAAGUGGGUGGGUGCGAGAUCGGUGAAGAGAGCCAUCGAAAUUGUGUGUGUGCAAGUCAAAGAUAUAGGGUGACUGACCUACCAGAAUGUCAGAGGGCACAGGGCAAGUUUGUGUGUGGCAGGGAGACAUGACUAGAGCACUUGAUGUAUCGGUGUGUUGAGAAGGAGAGACCCAGCUAUGUCUUGAGGGAGAGCGGUCGGAGAGAGAGAUAGAGAGAGAGAGGGGGAGAGAGAGAGAGGGAGAGAGGGGUAGAAUGCUGGAUGGGUGAUGGAGUUGCUUCUCGAAGAUGGUGGGAGAGGCCUACUAGAUAAACUGAGGGUAGAACUGCAAUAUUAUCACUAAGAGUGGCGAUGUGUUUCUGUGUGUGCCUGUGCGUGAUAGAUCUGUCGGGGCACAUGCAUGGAUGAAGAAGGGGAACCAUGUGUUUCGUAAGUAAACCUAACUAGAUCGGUAGAUCAAUUGUUGUUUGUUGGAGGAAGGGAGAGACAUAACUAAUGAGGUAGAUCGAUCGACGCGUGGGGAAAACGAGUUAUAAGGACCUAGCUAGCUAUAUGCAUAGCGGGAGAUCGGUCGGUGUACAUCCAUUUUGUAGAGGCUGCUACCUCUUGAGCUUGCGUCGGAUUUUUCCCUUGAAGAGGAAAGGGUGAUGCAACACACUAGCUUAAGUAUUUCCCUCAGUUUUUAAGAACCAAGGUAUCAACCCAGUAGGAGACUACGCACAAGUCGCCUCGCACCUACACAAAACAAAUAAGAACCUCGCAACCAAUGCGAUAAAGGGGUUGUCAAUCCCUUCACGGUCACUUACGAGAGUGAGAUCUGAUAAAGAUAAUAAGAUAAAUAUUUUUGGUAUUUUUAUGAUAUAGAUUAAAAGUAAAGAUUGCAAAAUAAAAGUAGAUCGGAAACUUACAUGAUGGAAAAUAGACCCGAGGGCCAUAGGUUUCACUAGUGGCUUCUGUCAAGAUAGCAUAAGUAUUACGGUGGGUGAACGAAUUGCUGUCGAGCAAUUCAUAGAAAAGCGAAUAAUUAUGAGAAUAUCUAGGCAUGAUCAUGUAUAUAGGCAUCACGUCCGAAACAAGUAGACCGAAACGAUUCUGCAUCUACACAUCGACCGCUAUCCAGCAUGCAUCUAGAGUAUUAAGUUCAUAAGAACGGAGUAACGCAUUAAGAAAGAUGACAUGAUGUAGAGUGAUAAACUCAAGCAAUAUGAUAUAAACCCCAUCUUUUUAUCCUCGAUGGCAACAAUACAAUACGUGCCUUGCUGCCCCUACUGUCACUGGGAAAGGACACCACAAGAUUGAACCCAAAGCUAAGCACUUCUCCUAUUGCAAGAAAGAUCAAUCUAGUAGGCCAAACCAAACCGAUAAUUUGAAGAGACUUGCAAAGAUAACCAAUCAUACAUAAAAGAAUUCAAAGAAGAUUUAAAUAUUGUUCAUAGAUAAACUUGAUCAUAAACCCACAAUUCAUUGGAUCUCGACAAACACACCACAAAAGAAGAUUACAUCGAAUAGAUCUCCAAGAGAAUCGAGGAGAACUUUGUAUUGAGAUCCAAAGAGAGAGAAGAAGCCAUCUAGCUAAUAACUAUCGACCCGAAGGUCUGAGGUAAACUACUCACACAUCAUCGGAGAGGCUAUGGUGUUGAUGUAGAAGCCCUCCGUGAUCGAUCCCCCCCCCCGGCGGAGCGCCAGAAAAGGCCCCAAGAUGGGAUCUCACGGGUACAGAAGGUUGCGGCGGUGGAAAUAGGGUUUCGUCGUGCUCCUCGAUGUUUUUAGGGUAUAAGAGUAUAUAUAGGCGAAGGAAGUCGGUCAGGAGAGGCACAAAGGGCCCACGAGGGUGGGGGGCGUGCCCACUGUCAGUGUCAAAACCGGUGGAUCUCGGGUAAGGAGUCCCGAACUGUGCGUCUAAGGUCGGUGGUAACAGGAGACGGGGGACACGAUGUUUACCCAGGUUCGGGCCCUCUCUAUGGAGGUAAUACCCUACGUCCUGCUUGAUUGAUCUUGAUGAAUAUGAGUAUUACAAGAGUUGAUCUACCACGAGAUCGUAAUGGCUAAACCCUAGAGGCCUAGCCUGUAUGACUAUGAUAAUGAGUAUCCGCCUAUCCUGACUACGCUCUCCGGUUUAUAUAGACACCGGAGAGAUCUAGGGUUACAUGGAGUCGGUUACAUAAAAAGGAAUCUACAUGAUUGAUCGCCAAGGCUUGCCUUCCACGCCAAGGAGAGUCCUGUUCGGACACGGGUGCAGUCUUCGGUCUUCGUAUCUUCACAGCCCAUCAAUCCGGCCCAUGGAUAAGACCCGAACCUGGCUUCAAUGACGAGGAGUCCGGCGCGCAGAUUUGUCCUCGGCAUUGCAAGGCGGGUUCCCUCCUUCCGAACUCCAGAAUAGUCUUUGGACGUAGUGAGUAUAUCCGGACCUAUGUAUACAAUUGCAAAGAAUACAAUAUUCCACGAGUCCAAUCUGCUGACAACUGUUUGUGACAUUACAUCACGCCUACCCAGAUAUUAUUUCGAACCGUUGGCUAGCCCGCCGUCCCACGUCUCGAGACACGGUUUUACUGGCACGUCUUGUCAAAGCAAAGAUCGUGUCCCCUUAUUCACGGGAUUUUCAUCAAUGCGGGCGUGGGUAACCUGAUGUCUACUACGCAACCUUCUCCUUGUAGACGUUGUUGGGCCUCCAAGUGCAGAGGUUUGUAGGACAGUAGCAAAUUUCCCUCAAGUGGAUGACCUAAGGUUUAUCAAUCCGUGGGAGGCGUAGGAUGAAGAUGGUCUCUCUGAAGCAACCCUACAACCAAAUAACAAAGAGUCUCUUGUGUCCCCAACACACCCAACACAAUGGUAAAUUGUAUAGGUGCACUAGUUCGGCGAAGAGAUGGUGAUACAAGUGCAAUAUGGAUGGUAGAUAUAGCUUUUUGUAAUCUGAAAAUAUAAAAACAGCAAGGUAACUAAUGAUAAAAGUGAGUGUAAACGGUAUUGCAAUGAUAGGAAACAAGGCCUAGGGUUCAUACUUUCACUAGUGCAAGUUCUCUCAACAAUAAUAACAUAAUUGGAUCAUAUAACUAUCCCUCAACAUGCAACAAAGAGUCACUCCAAAGUCACUAAUAGCGGAGAACAAGCGAAGAGAUUAUGGUAGGGUACGAAACCACCUCAAAGUUAUUCUUUCCAAUCAAUCCGUUGGGCUAUUCCUAUAAGUGUCACAAACAGCCCUAGAGUUCGUACUAGAAUAACACCUUAAGACACAAAUCAACCAAAACCCUAAUGUCACCUAGAUACUCCAAUGUCACCUCAAGUAUCCGUGGGUAUGAUUAUACGAUAUGCAUCACACAAUCUCAGAUUCAUCUAUUCAAACCAACACAAAGUACUUGAGUGCCCAAAAGUUUCUACCAGAGAAUCAAGACGAAAACGUGUGCCAACUCCUAUGCAUAGGUUCAUGGGUGGAACCCGCAAGUUGAUCACCAAAUCAUACAUCAAGUGAAUCACGUGAUAUCCCAUUGUCACCACAGAUACGCACGGCAAGACAUACGUCAAGUGUUCUCAAGUCAUUAAAGACUCAAUCCGAUAAGAUUACUUCAAAGGGGAAACUCAAUCCAUUACAAGAGAGUAGAGGGGGAGAAGAAACAUAAGACCCAACUAUAAUAGCAAAGCUCGCGAUACAUCAAGAUCGUGCCAAAUCAAGAACAUGAGAGAGAGAGAGAGAGAGAGAGAGAUCAAACACAUAGCUACUGGUACAUACCCUCAGCCCCGAGGGUGAACUACUCCCUCCUCGUCAUGGAGAGCGUCGGGAUGAUGAAGAUGGCCACCGGUGAGGGAUUCCCCCUCCGGCAGGGUGCCGGAACAGGGUCCCGAUUGGUUUUUGGUGGCUACAGAGGCUUGCGGCGGCGGAACUCCCGAUCUAUUCUGUUCCCCGAUCGUUUUAGGGUAUAUGGGUAUAUAUAGGAGGAAGAAGUACGUCAGGGGAGCCACGAGGGGCCCACAAGGGUGGAGGGCACGCCCUAGGGGGGUGGGCGCGCCCCUACCUCGUGGCUCCCUCGUUUCUUUCCUGACGUGCACUCCAAGUCUAUCAGGUUGCGUUCCUUCCAAAAAUAACUUCUCCAGAAGGUUUCAUUCCGUUUCGACUCCAUUUGAUAUUCCUUUUCUUCGAAACACUGAAACAAGGGAAAAAACAGGAACUGGCACUGGGCUCUAGGUCAAUAGGUUAGUCCCAAAAAUAAUAUAAAAGUGCAUAGUAAAGCCCAUAAACAUCCAAAACAUAUAAUAUAAUAGCAUGGAACUAUAAAAAAUUAUAGAUAUGUUGGAGACAUAUCAGCAUCCCCAAGCUUAAUUCCUGCUCGUUCUCGAGUAGGUAAAUGAUAAAAACAGAAUUUUUGAUGUGGAAUGCUACCUAACAUAUUUCUCAAUGUAAUAUUCUUUAUUGUGGCAUGAAUAUUCAGAUCCAUAAGCUUCAAAACAAAAGUUUAAUAUUGACAUGAAAACAAUAAUAUUUGAAGCAUACUAGCGAAGCAAUCAUGUCUUCUCAAAAUAACAUGGCCAAAAAAACUUAUCCCUACAAAAUCAUAUAGUCUGGCUAUGCUCUAUCUUCAUCACAUAAAGUAUUUAAUCAUGCACAACCCCGUUGACAAGCCAAGCAAUUGUUUCAUACUUUUGAUGUUCUCAAACUUUUUCAACUUUCACACAAUACAUGGGCGUGAGCCAUGGACAUAGCACUAUAGGUGGAAUAGAAUGGUAGUUGUGGAGAAGACAAAAAGGAGAUGAUAGUCUCACAUCAACUAGGCGUAUCAAUAGGCUAUGGAGAUACCCAUCAAUAGAUAUCAAUGUGAGUGAGUAGGGAUUGCCAUGAAACGGAUGCACUAGAGCUAUAAGUGUAUGAAAGCUCAACAAAAGAAACUAAGUGGGUGUGCAUCCAACUCGCUUGCUCAUGAAGACCUAGGGCAUUUUGAGGAAGCCCAUCAUUGGAAUAUACAAGCGAAGUUCUAUAAUGUAAAAUUCCCACUAGUAUAUGAAAGUGACAACAUAGGAGACUCUCUAUCAUGAAGAUCACGGUGCUACUUUGAAGCACAAGUGUGGUAAAAGGAUAGUAGCAUUGCCCCUUCUCUCUUUUUCUCUCAUUUUUUUGCCUUCUCUUUUUUCUGGCCUCUUUUUUCUCUGUUUUUUAUUUGGGCUUCUUUGGCCUCUUUUAUUUAUUUAUUUUUUCGUCCAGAGUCUCAUCCCGACUUGUGGGGGAAUCAUGGUCUCCAUCAUCCUUUCCUCACUGGCACAGUGCUCUAAUAAUGAUGAUCAUCACACUUUUAUUUACUUACAACUCAAGAAUUACAACUCAAUAGUUAGAACAAGAUAUGACUCUAUAUGAAUGCCUUUGACGGUGUACCGGGAUGUGCAAUGACUCAUGAGUGACAUGCAUGAAAGAAUUAUGAAUGGUGGCUUUGCCACAAAUACAAUGUCAACUACAUGAUCAUGCAAAGCAAUAUGACAAUGAUGGAGCGUGUCAUAAUAAACGGAACGGUGGUAAGUUGCAUGGCAAUAUAUCUCAGAAUGGCUAUGGAAAUGCCAUAAUAGGUAGGUAUGGUGGCUGUUUUGAGGAAGGUAUAUGGUGGGUGUAUGAUAUCGGUGAAAGGUGUGCGGUAUUAGAGAGGCUAGCAAUGGUGGAAGGAUGAGAGUGCGUAUAAUCCAUGGACUCAACAUUAGUCAUAAAGAACUCACAUACUUAUUGCAAAAUGUAUUAGUUAUCAAAAUGAAGUACUACGCGCAUGCUCCUAGGGGUAUAGGUUGGUAGGAAAAGACCAUCGCUCGUCCCCGACCGCCACUCAUAAGGAAGACAAUAAAUAAAUAAAUCAUGCUCCGACUUCAUCACAUAACGGUUCACCAUAUACGUGCAUGCUACGGGAAUCACAAACUUUAACACAAGUAUCUCUCAAAUUCACAACUACUCAGCUAGCAUGACCCUAAUAUCACCAUCUUCAUAUCUCAAAACAAUCAUAAAGAAUCAAACUUCUCAUAGUAUUCAAUGCACUUCAUAUGAAAGUUUUUAUUAUAUCCCUCUUGGAUGCCCAUCAUAUUAGGACUAGUUUCAUAACCCAAGCAAAUUACCAUGCUGUUUAGGACUCUCAAAAUAAUAUAAGUGAAGCAUGAGAGUUCAUAUAUUUCUUCAAAAUAAACCCACCGCUGUGCUCUAAAAGGAUAUAAGUGAAGCACUAGAGCAAACGACAAACUACUCUGAAAGAUAUAAGUGAAGAUCAAUGAGUAGUCGAAUAAGUAUGCAACUAUGUGAAGAAUCUCUAACAUUUAAGGAUUUCAGAUCUUGGUAUUUUAUUCAAACAGAAAGCAAAACAAAAUAAAAUGACAUGACGCUCCAAGCAAAACACAUAUAAUGUGGUGAAUAAAAAUAUAGCUCCAAGUAAAGUUACCGAUGAACGAAGACGAAAGAGGGGAUGCCAUCCGGGGCAUCCCCAAGCUUAGACACUUGGUUAUCCUUGAAUAUUACAUUGGGGUGCCUUGGGCAUCCCCAAGCUUAGGCUCUUUCCACUCUUUAUUCCAUAGUCCAUCGAAUCUUUACCCAAAACUUGAAAACUUCACAACACAAAACUUAACAGAAAACUCGUAAGCUCCUUUAGCGAAAGAAAACAAAACACCACUUCAAGGUACUUGUAAUGAACUCAUUAUUUAUUUAUAUUGGUGUUAAACCUACUGUAUUCCAACUUCUCUAUGGUUUAUAAACUACUUUACUAGCCAUAGAUUCAUCAAAAUAAGCAAGCAACACAAUAAAAAUAGAAUCUGUCAAAAACAGAACAAUCUGUAGUAAUCUGUAACUAACUCAAACUUCUGGAACUUAAAAAAAUUCUAAAAUAAAUUGGUGGACCUGAGGAAUUUGUCUAGUAAUCAUCUGCAAAAAGAAUCUCUCCAGUAAUUUUUUUAGCUAAUCUCGUGAGCGCUAAAGUUUCUGUUUUUUUACAGCAUGAUCAUAAAGACUUCACCCAAGUCUUCCCAAAGGUUCUACUUGGCACAAACACUAAUUAAAACAUAAAAACACAUCUAACCAGAGGAUAGAUGAAUUAUUUAUUCCUAAAUAGAAGCAAAAAGCAAAAAAAAAACUAAAAAUAAAAUUGGGUUGCCUCCCAACAAGCGCUAUCGUUUAACGCCCCUAGCUAGGCAUGAUGAUUUCAAUGAUGCUCACAUAAAAGAUAGGAAUUGAAACAUAAAUAGAGCAUCAUGAAGCAUAUGGCUAGCACAUUUAAGUCUAACCCACUUCCUAUGCAUAGGGACUUUGUGAGCAAACAACUUAUGGGAACAAGAAUCAACUUGCAUAGGAAGGUAAAACAAGCAUAACUUCAAGAUUUUAAGCACAUAGAGAGGAAACUUGAUAUUAUUGCAAUUUCUACAAGCAUAUAUUCCUCCCUCAUAAUAAUUUUCAGUAGCAUCAUGAAUGAAUUCAACAAUAUAACCAGCACCUAAAACAUUCUUUUCAUGAUCUACAAGCAUAGAAAAUUUACUACUCUCCACAUAAGCAAAAUUCUUCUCAUUCGGAAUAGUGGGAGCAAACUCAACAAAAUAACUAUCAUGUGAUUGAGAAUUAAGAUCAAGAUGACAAGUUUCAUGGUUAUCAUUAUUCUUUAAAUCAUACGUGUCAUCACAAUAAUCAUCAUAGAUAGGAGGCAUGCUUUCAUCAUAGUAAAUUUGCUCAUCAAAGCUUGGGGGACAAAAAAUACCAUCUUCAUCAAACAUAGCUUCCCCAAGCUUGUGGCUUUGCAUAUCAUUAGCAUCAUGGAUAUUCAAGGAAUUCAUACUAACAACAUUGCAAUCAUGCUCAUCAUUCACAUAUUUUAUGCCAAGCAUUCUAUGUAAUUCUUCUUCUAGCACUUGAGCACAAUUUUCCUUUCCAUCAUUCUCACGAAAGAUAUUAAAAAGAUGAAGCGUAUGACGUAAACUCAAUUCCAUUUUUUGUAGUUUUCUUUUAUAAAGUAAACUAGUGCUAAAACAAGAAACAAAAAGAUUCAAUUGCAAGAUCUAAAGAUAUACCUUCAAGCACUCACCUCCCCGGCAACGGCGCCAUAACCCAACCGUCCCCUGGGUACAACUCUUUGGAGAUAGGUAAGUUUCAAGACCCAGGAGGAGACGCUCAAUAUUCGGGGUCUUUAUAUAGGGACCCGAACCCGUCUUUUUUCCUUUGCGCUUGCUUCUUCCUCAACCCCAGCCACCUCGAGUUCCAACCCUCGUGUUCCAAUCGCCACCAGCCCCAAUCAUGUAUGGAUCCAGCCGUCAAGGCCGGUGGGUGGCUUCUUCUGUCACAGAGGAGGAUAUUGCAUAGGUCCACGCGGCGAGGUAUCUGACCCCAUAAAUCCUUCAUCGGCUUCCUGCAAAGGGGCAGGUUGUACCUACCCCCAGGUCCGGCGAGAGGGUAGUAUUUGUGUCCCACUUCCUCCACGGGUUAGGGUCCACGCUUAACCCCUUCGUCCUGGGGCUCAUGUUCUACUACGGGCUAGAUUUUCACGAUCAGGCCCCGACUCCAUUCUUCUCAUCUCGACAUUUAUCGUUUUGUGUGAGGCCUUCCUCCGGAUUCCUCCGCACUUUGGUUUGUGGCUCAAGACCUUUGACAUGAGGCCGCAGGUGAUAGAGGGGGAAUAGGCAGAGUGCGGCAGCGCCACAAUAGGCAAGCUUGCCAGCGCGGUUUGGUUCAAAGGAUCUUUCACCGAGUCUUCUGACCUAUGGCAGCAGGGGUGGUUCUAUAUCAACGGGCCGCGUGGCUCCAGGUGGGCGGCUAUGCCUGCGUUCCGACCCGGCCCUCCAAUUUAGCUUGCUUCAUGGAUCAAUAAGGGAUUGGACUGGGGAUCCAUCAAUGAAGUGCAGACUCUGCAGAGUCGCAUCCGAAGCCUUACCGAGAAGGGCAUCGAUCUUGUGAACAUCAUUCAAGUAAUGCUAGUCCGCCGGACCCUGCCAUGUCAGCGGCGGCCUCUCCGUAUGUGUGAGUUUAAUCCAGAAGGGCGGCAGACUCUUCAGCACUUCUUCGCCACCACGCACGAAGGAAUGUGGAAAUUAUAUUUCAGGGAACGAGGGCAAUGGCCGGACACCACCGAAGAUGUUGGCCUUGACUGCAAUCAUCCGGACACUUCGAUAAGUAUUCAAUCUCCGCACACCUUCCAUUCAAGCAUCUCUUGACAAGAUACUGAACAAUCCAUCCCUAUACAGGACUGGAUAAAGAAAGCGGUAUUAAUCUGGUGCUCGGCGCCCGUUCCCGAAGACUCAGCGAAUGCCCUGCUGACGGGAAUGCUGGCUUCGACACCGUACCAGGUGCCUGCAGAGGAGGGCAAGAACAGGGAGACCAGAGGUGAUCUCCGCCCCAAGGAUAGAUUAGAUGUUGUGUUCGGGGAAACCUAAACCCUUUUGCCCGAGGGCAAAGGUGCAGAGGAAGUCUUUCAUGGCAAGAAGAGGGCCGCUUCCGAAGAUCAGGAGGGGAAACUUUCCAAGAGAGGCAAAAUGCCAUCGUCGGGCAGCUUGGGCCGGGCAAGCGAUGUUGCCAUAGAGCUUUAUGAUGAGGACAAGCCUUUGGUCAAACCGUAAGUGAAGCAGGGUACUUUAAACAUACCUCAUUCUUUUCCUAUUACAGAAGUAAUCAUCCGAUAUAUGUACAUCUUCGCAGGUUAACGCCCGGUGUUUCUCAACCCUCCUCCUCCUCGGGACACCUUCUUCCGGAGAUGAUGGAGAGCGGUACGCCUUCUCCGGCCUUCUCGCCCAAUAGGGCAGAUGAUUUUGAGGUAUCAUCCUGGAGGGCCCCUACCGAUCGACAAGUAGUGCAGGGGACGAAGAAGGUGUUACCCAAAGGUGGUGCGCCUGGGUGACCGCUGUGGGAGGUUCUGCUCUCUUUUGGCUUGAUGCUUGGAAUGUGGGAGGUUCUUCCAGACUGUUGAACUUGAGGCUUCCAAGAUUAUUCUCUUUUGUUCUGGAUGACAAGCUCUCCGUCAGAGACUUCAUACAAAACCAGGACUUGUUUUCCAUGUUCCAUCUGCCAAUCUCACAAGAGGCAGCAGCAGAACUGGAAAUUUUGGAAGGAUGGUUAUUUAAUCUUCAGAGAGACCCCACCCUGCCUGAUGUAUGGCUCUGGCCUGGCAAAUCUGGACAGUUUUCGGCUAAGAGCUUCUAUGUGAUCAUGCACUCACACCUUCCAACUAUCCAACCUUGCAAGUGGCUGUGGCAGAGCAGGUGUACUAUGAAAAUUAAGGUCUUUGGCUGGCUCCUUUUCUUUGACAGGCUCAAUACUAAGGACAUGUUAGUCAGAAGGCACUAGAGGCCCCCUCUGGAUGAUAAUUUAUGUGUCAUCUGCAAUGCGUUUGUCUAUGAGGACAGAGCACAUCUUUUCUUUGAAUGCAAUUUCAGUUGCAGGGUUUGGAAUUAUUUGCAGCUAGAUUGGAAUCAUGGCUCAAAUAUUCAACAGUGCAUCUCCCACGCAAGGCAAAGUUUUGGCCACCCAUUCUUAUUUGAAGUGAUGCUCACGGCUGCUUGGAAUAUUUGGAUUCUGAGGAAUGGACGAACCUUCAGGGGGACGAGGGCUACUUUUGGUGCAUGGAGAUGUAAUUUUAUUCAUGAUAUCCUUCUAUUGUCUCAUAGACUCAAGGAUACCCUUAGGACUAGACUUGUUGACUGGGUUAACUCCCUCAUGUAAAGUAAGCUUUCUUUCUUUUAGCUUAGGCCUGUAAAUAUUGUAACCUCUGUACAGUUUGGUUUUGUUUGGUUGAGGCAAUAAAGGGCUGUGGGGUUUUUACCCUAGAUUAAAUAUUAAAAAAAAGAACGUUUUGAACAAGGCCUUCACGAGCCUUCUAAGAGGUUUCGAGGUUUGUGAUGUAAUUUUGCCAAUUGAAUUUUAUUGACAGAAUGCACCUGUUGUAUAUGCAGUAGCCCCUGAGACUCGGAUUGCCUUCCGAAGGAAGCAAUCGGAGGAUCAAAAAGAUAUGCUUAGGUACUAACCUUGAUUUAAUUCUGAAUACAGGCUGCCUCCCCCCGGCGGCUACCCGAAACAUGGAAGUGGCCAAACUGCAGCGAAAGCUGGAUGUUGCGGGGGAUGACAUUGCAUUGAUCAACAUGCGUCUUGAUGACUCUCGCAAGGUAUAUAUUUCGAGCAUUCCUUACACCAAUGUGCUUAUAAUUUAAGCCUGAUGCUGAAAAGAGUUUUAUAUGAAAUGUGCAUGAAUGCAGAUGGUGCUACCGCCAUUGAAGCUCUUCGGGCGGAGCUAGACCGGGCCAAGGAGCAGGCCCGGUGUAGUAAUGCGGCUGCCAAAAAGGCAUAAGAUGAUCUAAGAGCCGAACAAGCAGCUCAGCACCAAAAUGAGGAGAAAAUAUCCGCACUGGCGCUUGAAUCGAAGAAUGCUGCUAGCCGCUGUGAAUAUCUUGAGAAGGAGAAUAAAGCCAAAACGGCUGAACUUGAUAAGGCCUUACGAGAGGCGAGUGAAGCUCGGUCUGAAUCCAGGUCAGCUCGCGAAGAGAUUCGACAGGCUAAGGAGAUAGCGGCCGGUAAGCCCUUUUUUGCUUCAGACUAAGUUUGGCGAUCCGGACUAUGCUCAGCUGAACCAGGUCUGGAGUUCUCUGGCUGAAUUUUUGGACUUGCCGAAGAGUUCUUUCGAUGUGGCGUAGUUUUACCAAGCGCAAGAGGGGUAUGCAAUGGAGAAGCUUUUCUGGUCACAAUUUGGCGCAUCAAAGCGCACUCUGUUGCUGAAUGAACAGAUGUCCCAAUGGGUCGAGCUUCAUAGGAUAUCCGGCGACGCCAUGAAGAACGUCAUAAUCCGGUUGUGGCCAAAUGAGCCUAUUCUGAAGAGUUACUUUGGCUUGGUGCGGCAUCUUGUUGACGCGGUGCCACGUAUCGACACUGUGAAGCGAUCGACAUGCAUUGAAGGUGCACGGAUGGCCUUUGCCCGAGUCAACACAUUCUGGGGGAAGAUGAAGGCCAUCGAUGUUGCGGCGACGAGUCUGCCCAAGGGCAAGGACCGUAAUGAGACGGAGCAUUAUUUUUAAGACGUCCUGGAAGCCGCCCGCCUGAUAGAGGGUCAAUGCUCGAAGAACAUAAUGUUCAAGUCAGGUGUAUUAGAAUUGUAAAAGACAAUUUUAUAAUUAAUCUAUUUUGAUAUAUUGCUCAAAAGCUUGUGCUCCUCCUAUGCGGUCGUUUUAAUAUAAUCUGAAAGUUUUCUAGUCGUCGGCUUCAGCCCCCUCGUAGGAAGUACGGGGGUGUUCGAAAAAAGCAUGUAAUCUCUCUUGAUCAAACUCUUGGUCCAUAAAGGAGGUGACAAUGCGGCGAAUCAGGCAAUCGGACUAUAGGGCGUUAACACUUUCACUUAGCCAUAGGAGUUCUUUAGGUGGGGUUACGAUAUAGCCCUUGGUAUGUAUACGACUUAUUCCGAUGUGAUGUGUUACAUAUAUGACCUGAAAAGGAGGCCUUCGUGUUACAUGGAGGAAUUGCGACAGAUUCCGAUAAGUCAUCGAGUGGUUGACGAGCUCACGCAGCAUCAUGAUAGUCGGUUUUCAGCUUUCUCUACUGAGGUGCUUGACCAGAUGAACCGGAAGCACAAUCGCAGUAGUUCUCCCUUUACUACGCUAGCCGAUAGAGCGGAAUGUAAGGUAGCAAGCAUAGGAGCCAGGCAACCCAACCAUUGACCCAAGACAUGAUUCGGAGCUGAUGCAUAUAAGGCCAAAACUCGUGACGCCGAAGUAUGCUAUAAAGAUGUUCGGACUUUGCUGGCAACUCAUUUGUUCCCAUACCGAGCCCCUGGCAGGUUAUGCCGAGGUGCAUCUGUAAAGCAGCCAUUAAGGCCGUACUCAUUGUUGAAAGAGUAUGAAAGAUUAGUUCGGAUAAAGUUUACUGGGAGCGAAACGAUAUGCCAAUGAUAAAUUCAUAUUUAUAAAAACCACAAACCCGGCUAUUUGACAUGCUCGGGGUCGGGAACGAAGGAGAAAGGCAUAGUACAGGCUCAAAAUAAAGAGUGCGGUCUACAAAAAGUUAUUUUGGACCUCUUGUUGCACGUCUGCGCUGCCCGUCCUCGGGAGGGAGGGGGGGAAUCCUUAACUGAAGUUGCCCCUUAGGUGAGUGUACGGAUCCGAACUCCGAUAGUGUCCGUUAUAGAUGCUGUCCUUUUCGUCACCCGUUUUUAAGAGAUAAUAUUGAAAGAAAAAAAUAAAAUAGGUAAAAAACGUUACGUGAAUGCUUGCAGGGUUGUCCGUAUUGUGCUUCCGUCGACGCCCAUGGUAUCUUGAGUGCGUAGUGAUGUACGCGCGGUGUAAAUUUUGCCGGUAUAGGAGGUGGGUGGUGGAAGCCGAACAGCUAUUUCCGUUCCGGGAGUGGUCGAACUUCAGAGGGAAACUAUUUCUGGCCCCUGGUGUUUGGCUGGUGAGCCGCUCCGUCGUCUUUAUCGCCUGGCGGCCUCCUCCCCUUGUGCUCGCCGUUGAGCUUGCCGGCCUGCUUGAAGACCCAACAGUUUCUGUUGGUAUGAUUAGCUGGCUUAUCAGGGUGGCCGUGAAUCUGGCAAGGUCGGUCCAAUAUGUUGGGAAACGUAGUAAUUUCAAAAAAUUUCCUACGCACACGCAAGAUCAUGGUGAUGCAUAACAACGAGAGGGGAGAGUGUUGUCUACGUACCCUCGUAGACCGGCAACGGAAGCGUUGACACAACAUAGAGGAAGUAGUCGUACGUCUUCUCAAUCCGACCGAUCCAAGCACCGAACGUACGGCGACUCCGAGUUCUGCACACGUUCAGCUCGAUGACGUCCCUCGAACCCCGAUCCAGCCGAGUGUUGAGGGAGAGUUUCGUUAGCACGACGGCGUGGUGACGAUGAUGAUGUUCUACCGAUGCAGGGCUUUGCCUAAGCACCGCUACGAUAUGAUCGAGGUGGAAUAUGGUGGAGGGGGGCACCACACACGGCUAAGGAACGAUCACGAAGAUCAACUUGUGUGUUCUAGGGAGCCCCCUUGCCCCCGCAUAUAAAGGAGGGAGGGGGAGGCCGGCCGGCCCUCUAGGCGCGCCCCCAAGAGGGGAAUCCUACUAGGACUCCAAGUCCUAGUAGGUUUCCACCUAAAGGAAGAGAGGGGGAAGGAAGGAGAGGGAGAGGGAGAAGGAAAGGGGGCGCCGCCCCCCUUCUCCUAGUCCAAUUCGGACCAGAGGGGAGGGGGCGCGCGGCCCCUCCUGGCCGGCCCCUCUCUCUCUCCACUAAAGCCCAAUAAGGCCCAAUACUUCCCCGGGGGGUUCCGGUAACCCCUCCGGCACUCCGGUUUUAUCCGAAACUUCUCCGGAACACUUCCGGUGUCCGAAUAUAGUCGUCCAAUAUAUCAACCUUUAUGUCUCGAACAUUUCGAGACUCCUCGUCAUGUCCGUGAUCACAUCCGGGACUACGAACAACCUUUGGUACAUCAAAACAUAUAAACUCAUAAUAAAACUGUCAUCGUAACGUUAAGUGUGCGGACCCUACGGGUUCGAGAACAAUGUAGACAUGACCGAGACACGUCUCCAGUCAAUAACCAAUAGCGGGACCUGGAUGCCCAUAAUGGCUCCUACAUAUUCUAUGAAGAUCUUUAUCGGUCAGACCCCAUAACAACAUACGUUGUUCCCUUUGUCAUCGGUAUGUUACUUACCCGAGAUUCGAUCAUCAGUAUACCAAUACCUAGUUCAAUCUCGUUACCAGCAAGUCUCUUUACUCGUUCCAUAAUACAUCAUCUCGCAACCAACUCAUUAGUUGCAGUGCUUGCAAGGCUUAAGUGAUGUGCAUUACCGGGUGGGCCCAGAGAUACCUCUCCGACAAUCGGAGUGACAAAUCCUAAUCUCGAAAUACGCCAACCCAACAUGUACCUUUGGAGACACCUGUAAUGCUCCUUUAUAAUCACCCAGUUAUGUUGUGACGUUUGGUAGCACCCAAAGUGUUCCUCCAGCAAACGGGAGUUGCAUAAUCUCAUAGUCAUAGGAACAUGUAGAAGUCAUGAAGAAAGCAAUAGCAAUAUACUAAACGAUCAAGUGCUAAGCUAGUGGAAUGGGUCAAGUCAAUCACAUCAUUCUCCUAAUGAUGUGAUCCCAUUAAUCAAAUGACAACUCAUGUCUAUGGUCAGGAAACAUAACCAUCUUUGAUCAACGAGCUAGUCAAGUAGAGGCAUACUAGUGACAUUCUGUUUGUCUAUGUAUUCACACAUGUAUUAUGUUUCUGGUUAAUACAAUUCUAGCAUGAAUAAUAAACAUUUAUCAUGAGAAUAAGGAAAUAAAUAAUAACUUUAUUAUUGCCUCUAGGGCAUAUUUCCUUCAGUCUCCCACUUGCACUAGAGUCAAUAAUCUAGUUCACAUCACCAUGUGAUUUAACAUCGAUAGUUCAUAUCAUCAUGUGAUUAACACCCAUAGUUCACAUCGUCAUGUGACCAACACCCAAAGGGUUUACUAGAGUCAGCAAUCUAGUUCACAUCGCUAUGUGAUUAACACCCAAAGAGUACUAAGGUGUGAUCAUGUUUUGCUUGUGAGAUAAUUUUAGUCAAUGGGUCUGACACAUUCAUAUCCGUAUGUAUUUUGCAAAUUUCUAUGUCAACAAUGCUCUUGCACGGCGCUACUCUAGCUAAUUGCUCCCACUUUCAAUAUCUAUCUAGAUCGAGACUUAGAGUCAUCCAGAUCUGUAUCAAAACUUGCAUCGACGUAAUUCUUUAUGACGAACCUUUUGUCACCUCCAUAAUCGAGAAACAUAUCCUUAUUUCACUAAGGAUAAUUUUGACCGCUGUCCAGUGAUCUACUCCUAGAUCACUAUUGUACUCCCUUGCCAAAAUCAGUGUAGGGUAUACAAUAGAUCUGGUACACAGCAUGGCAUAAUUUAUAGAACCUAUGGCCGAGGCAUAGGGAAUGACUUUCAUUCUCUUUCUAUCUUCUGCCGUGGUCGGGCUUUGAGUCUUACUCAAUUUCACACCUUAUAACACAGGCAAGAACUCUUUCUUUGACUGUUCCAUUUUGAACUACUUCAAAAUCAUGUCAAGGUAUGUACUCAUUGAAAAAAAAACUUAUCAAGCGUCUUGAUCUAUCUCUAUAGAUCUUGAUGCUCAAUAUGUAAGCAGCUUUACCGAGGUCUUUCUUUGAAAAACUCCUUUCAAACACACCUUUAUGCUUUGCAGAAUAAUUCUACAUUAUUUCCGAUCAACAAUAUGUCAUACACAUAUACUUAUCAGAAAUGCUGUAGUGCUCCCACUCACUUUCUUGUAAAUACAGGCUUCACUGCAAGUCUGUAUAAAACUAUAUGCUUUGAUCAACUCAUCAAAGCGUAUAUUCCAACUCCGAGAUGCUUGCACCAGUCCAUUGAUGGAUCGCUGGAGCUUGCACACUUUGUUAGCAACUUUAGGAUCAACUAAACCUUCUGGUUGUAUCAUAUACAACUCUUCUUAAAUAAAUCCCUUAAGGAAUGCAGGUUCGACAUCCAUUUGCCAAAUUUCAUAAAAUGUGGCAAUUGCUAACAUGAUUCGGACAGACUUAAGCUUCAAUACGAGUGAGAAAAUCUCAUCGUAUUCAACUCUUUGAACUUUGUCGAAAACUUUUUGCGACAAUUCGAGCUUUGUAGAUAGUAACACUACUAUCAGCGUCUGUCUUCCUCUUGAAGAUCCAUUAGUUCUCUAUGGCUUGCCGAUCAUCGGGCAAGUCCACCAAAGUCCAUACUUUGUUCUCAUACAUGGAUCCUAUCUCAGAUUUCAUGGCCUCAAGCCAUUUUGCGGAAUCUGGGCUCAUCAUCGCUUCCUCAUAGUUCGUAGGUUCGUCAUGGUCAAGUAACAUGACCUCCAGAAUAGGAUUACCGACCCACUUUGGUGCGGAUCUUACUCUGGUUGACCUACAAGGUUUUUGUAGUAACUUGAUCUGAAUUUUCAUGAUCAUCAUCAUUAGCUUCCUCACUGAUUGGUGUAGACAUCACUGGAACUGAUCUCUGUGAUGAACUUCUUUCCAAUUCAAGAGAAGGUACAACUACCUUAUCAAGUUUCUACUUUCCUCCCACUCACUUCUUUCGAGAGAAACUCCUUCUCUAGAAAGGAUCCAUUAUAAGCAACGAAUGUCUUGCCUUAGGAUCUGUGAUAGAAGGUGUACCCAAACAUUUCCUUUGGGUAUCUAUGAAGACGCACUUCUCCGAUUUGGGUUUGAGCUUAUCAGGAUGAAACUUUUCACAUAAGCAUCGCAGCCCCAAACUUUAAGAAACGAUAGCUUAGGUUUCUUGUGAAACCAUAGUUCAUACGGUGUCAUCUCAACGGAUUUAGAUGGUGCCCUAUUUAAUGUGAAUGCAGCUGUCUCUAAUGCAUAAUCCCAAAAAGAUAGUGGUAAAUCAGUAAGAGACAUCAUAGAUCGCACUAUAUCUAAUAAAGUGCGUUUAUGACGUUCGGACACACCAUUAUGCUAUGGUGUUCCAGGUGGCAUGAGUUUGUGAAAAUAUUCCACAUUGUUUUAAUUGAAGGCCAAACUCGUAACUCAAAUAUUUGUCUCUACGAUCAGAUUGUAGAAACUUAAUUUUCUUGUUACGAUGAUUCUUCACUUCACUAUGAAAUUCUUUGAACGUUUCAACUGUUUCAGACUUGUGUUUCAUUAAGUAGAUAUACCUAUAUCUGCUCAAAUCAUCUGUGAAGUUCAGAAAAUAACGAUACUUGCCACGAGCCUCAACACUCAUUGGACCACAUACAUCAGUAUGUAUUAUUUCCAAUAAGUCAGUUGCUUGCUCCAUUGUUCUGGAGAAUGGUGUCUUAGUCAUCUUGCCCAUGAGGCAUGGUUCGCAAGCAUCAAGUUAUUCAUAAUCAAGUGAUUCCAAAAGCCCAUCAGCAUGGAGUUUCUUCAUGCGUUUUACACCAAUAUGACUUAAACGGCAGUGCCACAAAUCUGUUGCACUAUCAUUAUCAACUUUGCAUCUUUUGGCAUCAAUAUUAUGUGCAUCACUGUGAUCGAGAUUCAGUAAACCAUUUACAUUGGAUGUAUGACCAUAAAAGGCUUUAUUCAUGUAAACAGAACAACAAUUAUUCUCUGACUUAAAUGAAUAAUCGUAUUGCAAUAAACAUGAUCGAAUCAUAUUUAUGCUCAACGCAAACACCAAAUAACAUUUAUUUAGUUCCAAUAUUAAUCCCAAAGGUUGAGGGAGUAUGCGAUGGUGAUCUUAUCAACCUUGGAAACAUUUCCAACACACAUCAUCGCUUCGCCCAUAACUAGUCUCUGUUUAUUUUGCAACUCCCGUUUCGAGUUACUACACUUAGCAACUGAACUAGUAUCAAAUACUGAGGGGUUGCUAUAAACACUAGUAAAUUACACAUCAAUAAUAUGUAUAUCAAAUAUACUUUUGUUCACUUUGCCAUCCUUCUUAUCCACCAAUUAUUUGGGGUAGUUACGUUUCUAGUGACCAGUCCUUUUGCAGUAGAAGCACUUAGUCUCAGGCUUAGGUCCAGACUUGGGUUUCUUCACUUGAGCAGCAACUUGCUUGCCGUUCUUCUUGAAGUUCCUCUUCCUUCCCUUUGCCCCUUUUCUUGAAACUAGUGAUCUUUGUCAAACAUCAACACUUGAUGUUUUUCUUGGUUUCUACCUUCGCCGAUUUUAGCAUCGCGAAGAGCUUGGGAAUUGUUUUCGUCAUCCCUUGCAUACUAUAGUUCAUCACAAAGUUCUACUAACUUGGUGAUGGUGACUAGAGAAUUCUAUCAAUCGCUAUUUUAUCUGGAAGAUUAACUCCCACUUGAUUCAAGCGAUUGUAGUACCCAGACAAUCUGAGCACAUGCUCACUGCUUGAGCUAUUCUCCUCCAUCUUUUAGCUAUAGAACUUGUUGGAGACUUCAUAUCUCUCAACUCAGGUAUUUGCUUGAAAUAUUAACUUCAACUCCUAGAACAUCUCAUAUGGUCCAUGACGUUCAAAACGUCUUUGAAGUCCCGAUUCUAAGCUGUUAAGCAUGGUGCACGAAACUAUCAAGUAGUCAUCAUACCGAGCUUUGCCAAACGUUCAUAACGUCUGCAUCUGCUCCUGCAAUAGGUCUGUCACCUAGCGGUGCAUCAAGGACAUAAUUCUUCUGUGCAGCAUUGAGGAUAAUCCUCAGAUCACGGAUCCAAUCCGCAUCAUUGCUACUAACAUCUUUCAACAUAAUUUUUCUCUAGGAACAUAUCAAAAUAAACAUAGGGAAGCAACAAUGCGAGCUAUUGAUCUACAACAUAAUUAUGCAAAUACUAUCAGGACUAAGUUCAUGAUAAAUUAAAGUUUGAUUAAUCGUAUUAUUUAAGAACUCCCACUUAGAUAGACAUCCCUCUAAUCCUCUAAGUGAUCACGUGAUCCAUAUCAACUAAACCAUAAUCGAUCAUCACGUGAAAUGGAGUAGCUUUCAAUGGUGAACAUCAAUAUGUUGAUCAUAUCUACUAUAUGAUUCAUGCUCGACCUUUCGAUCUUCGUGUUUCGAGGCCAUAUCUGCAUAUGCUAGGCUCGCCAAGUUUAACCUGAGUAUUCCGCGUGUGCAAAACUGGCUUGCACCCGUUGUAGAUGGACGUAGAGCUUAUCACACCCGAUCAUCACGUGGUGUCUGGGCACGAUAAACUUUGGCAAUGGUGCAUACUCAGGGAGAACACUUCUUGAUAAUUAGUGAGAGAUCAUCUUAUAAAGCUACCGUCGAACUAAGCAUGAUAAGAUGUAUGAAAGAUAAACAUCAUAUGCAAUCAAAAUAUGUGACUUGAUAUGGCCAUCAUCAUCUUGUGCCUUUGAUCUCCAUCUCCAAAGCAUUGUCAUGAUUUCCAUCAUCACCGGCAUGACACCAUGAUCUCCAUCAUCUUGAUCUAUAUCAAUGUGUCGUCACAUGGUCGUCUCGCCAACUAUUGCUCUUGCAACUAUUUCUAUCGCAUAGCGAUAAAGUAAAGCAAUUAUUUGGCGCUUGCAUCUUAUGCAAUAGAGAGACAACCAUAAGGCUUUUGCCAGUUGCCGAUAACUUCAACAAAACAUGAUCAUCUCAUACAACAACUUAUAUCUCAUCCCGUCUUGACCAUAUCACAUCACAACAUGCCCUGCAAAAACAAGUUAGACGUCCUCUACUUUGUUGUUGCAAGUUUUACGUGGCUGCUACGGGCUUAGCAAGAACCGUUCUUACCUACACAUCAAAAACCACAACGAUAGUUUGUCAAGUUGGUGCUGUUUUAACCUUCGCAAGGACCGGGCGUAGCCACACUCGGUUCAACUAAAGUGAGAGAGACAGACACCCGCCAGUCACCUUUAAGCAACAAGUGCUCGUAACGGUGAAACCAGUCUCGCGUAAGCGUACGCGUAAUGUCGGUCCGGGCCGCUUCAUCUCACAAUACUGCUGAACCAAAGUAUGACAUGCUGGUAAGCAUUAUGACUUAUAUCACCCACAACUCACUUGUGUUCUACUCGUGCACAACAUCAACGCAUAAAACCAGGCUCGGAUGCCACUGUUGGGAAACGUAGUAAUUUCAAAAAAUUUCCUAUGCACACGCAAGAUCAUGGUGAUGCAUAGCAACGAGAGGGGAGAGUGUUGUCUACAUACCCUCGUAGACCGGCAACGGAAGCGUUGACACAACAUAGAGGAAGUAGUCGUACGUCUUCUCAAUCCGACCGAUCCAAGCACCGAACGUACGGCGACUCCGAGUUCUGCACACGUUCAGCUCGAUGACGUCCCUCGAACCCCGAUCCAGCCGAGUGUUGAGGGAGAGUUUCGUUAGCACGACGGCAUGGUGACGAUGAUGAUGUUCUACCGACGCAGGGCUUCGCCUAAGCACCGCUACGAUAUGAUCGAGGUGGAAUAUGCUGGAGGGGGGCACCGCACACGGCUAAGGAACGAUCACGAAGAUCAACUUGUGUGUUCUAGGGUGCCCCCUUGCCCCCGUAUAUAAAGGAGGGAGGGGGAGGCCGGCCGGCCCUCUAGGCGCGCCACCAAGAGGGGAAUCCUACUAGGACUCCAAGUCCUAGUAGAUUUCCACCUAAAGGAAGAUAGGGGGAAGGAAGGAGAGGGAGAGGGAGAAGGAAAGGGGGGCGCCGCCCCCCUUCUCCUAGUCCAAUUCAGACCAGAGGGGAGGGGGCGCGCGGCCCCUCCUGGCCGGCCCCUCUCUCUCUCCACUAAAGCCCAAUAAGGCCCAAUACUUCCCGGGGGGUUCCGGUAACCCCUCCGGCACUCCGGUUUUAUCCGAAACUUCUCCGGAACACUUUCGGUGUCCGAAUAUAGUCGUCCAAUAUAUCAACCUUUAUGUCUCGAACAUUUCGAGACUCCUCGUCAUGUCCGUGAUCACAUCCGGGACUCUGAACAACCUUCGGUACAUCAAAACAUAUAAACUCAUAAUAAAACUGUCAUCGUAACGUUAAGUGUGCGGACCCUACGGGUUCGAGAACAAUGUAGACAUGACCGAGACACGUCUCCGGUCAAUAACCAAUAGCGGGACCUGGAUGCCCAUAAUGGCUCCUACAUAUUCUACGAAGAUCUUUAUCGGUCAGACCGCAUAACAACAUACGUUGUUCCCUUUGUCAUCGGUAUGUUACUUACCCGAGAUUCGAUUGUCGGUAUACCAAUACCUAGUUCAAUCUCGUUACCAGCAAGUCUCUUGACUCGUUCUGUAAUACAUCAUCUCACAACCAACUCAUUAGUUGCAGUGCUUGCAAGGCCUAAGUGAUGUGCAUUACCGAGAGGGCCCAGAGAUACCUCUCCGACAAUCGGAGUGACAAAUCCUAAUCUCGAAAUACGCCAGCCCAACAUGUACCUUUGGAGACACCUGUAAUGCUCCUUUAUAAUCACCCAGUUAUGUUGUGACGUUUGGUAGCACCCAAAGUGUUCCUCCAGCAAACGGGAGUUGCAUAAUCUCAUAGUCAUAGGAACAUGUAGAAGUCAUGAAGAAAGCAAUAGCAAUAUACUAAACGAUCAACUGCUAAGCUAUUGGAAUGGGUCAAGUCAAUCACAUCAUUCUCCUAAUGAUGUGAUCCCAUUAAUCAAAUGACAACUCAUGUCUAUGGUCAGGAAACAUAACCAUCUUUGAUCAACGAGCUAGUCAAGUAGAGGCAUGCUAGUGACAUUCUGUUUGUCUAUGUAUUCACACAUGUAUUAUGUUUCCGGUUAAUACAAUUCUAGCAUGAAUAAUAAACAUUUAUCAUGAGAAUAAGGAAAUAAAUAAUAACUUUAUUAUUGCCUCUAGGGCAUAUUUCCUUCACAAUAUCCUGUCAAGGGUGGAUGGUCCGUCUUGGUUUUCCUUCAGUGGCUUCUUCCGUUGACCGGGUUUCGGAUUGUUAAAUCCGGCGUUGACCGCUGUGUCGCGUGAUCUUUCAUUGUUAUUGCAACUGGUGUGUUCGGUUCGUCGUGGCUUGCCGUUGCCGUCUCAGAUUUCGAAAGUGCCCGGGUCGCUGGCGUUGUUGCUUUUACGAGCGAGCCAAUUGUCUUCUCCUGCACAAAAGCGAAUCAUUAGAGCGGUAAGGGCUGUCAUGGAUUUGGGUCCUUCCUGGCCGAGGUGACGUGCUAGCCAUUCAUCCCGGGUGCUAUGUUUGAAGGCCGCAAGGGCUUCCGCAUCCGGGCAGUCGACAGUUUGGUCUUUUUGACUAAGAACCUAGUCCAGAGCUCCCUGGCUGACUCAUCGGGCUGCUGGACAAUAUGACUUAAGUCAUCGGCAUCCUGUGGCCGGACAUAUGUUCCUUGGAAGUUGUCUCGAAAGGCGUCUUCCAAAUCUUCCCAGCUGCCAAUAAAAUUUUCUGGCAGACUGUUUAGCCAGUACCGCGCUGGCCCUUUGAGCUUGAGAGGUAGGUAUCUAAUGGCAUGAAGGUCAUCUCCGCGACCCAUGUGAAUAUGAAGGAGGAAAUCCUCAAUCCAUACCGCAGGAUAUGUUGUUCCAUCAUAUGAUUCGAUGUUAAUGGGUUUGAACCCGUUUGGAAAUUCAUGCUCCAUUACCUCGUCAGUGAAGCAGAGAGGGUGUGCGGCUCCUUUAUGUUGGGCCCACGCUGUGAAGCACCUCCGGUGGAUUCCGUUUGCGGUUUUCAGACCGGACGUGGUCGGGUCUGUUGUGUCUGAAUAGGUAGCCAUCAUUGGCGGGCGCGGCACGUCUCCGCGAUCUGUACAUUGAUCUUGUGUGUCCUGCUCUGCCAUCCAGGUCUUGUUGGAUGUCGUGGGUAUUCCCCCGAACUGCUUUGUUUUUGAUUUGACGGCCGGGUGGGGUGGUAUGGUGUUCUGCUUGGGCUGCUACUUUAUCCGGACUGAACUGUGGUUGGCCUACCGCAUUAUGCGAUGGUGGUGCGGGCUCUAGCACCUCGCCAUCGUAUUGUGGGAGCCACCUACACUUGGGGUGGCUUUUGUCUGGCUGCUAAGGCCGUAUUCUUCGGUGGCCAGGACCUUGGUCCAUCUACCAUUGAGAAAAUCUUGGCUCGCUUGAAGUUGCAGCUGCUUCUUUCUUAGGCUCCUUGUAGUGGCUAUUAGCCGGCGUUUAAAGUGCUCCUGCUCGAGAGGUUCCUCAGGCAUGGUGAAAUCCUCGUUGCUGAGGCUCUCCUCUUCCUUGGAGAGUGGAAGAUAAUUACUAUCCUCCGAGUCUCCAUAUACGGCCUGUUCAUCAGGGCUAUCUUGCCCGCUUUCCUGUUCCUCCUGUUCGGAUCCUACCUCAACAGGGUCUUCAUUUUCCGGAGUGUUGUCUUCUCUGGUGCUAGUAUUGUUUUCUCUUGAGCGACGUGGCUUAGAGCGGCGCCGGGGGCGCCGGUGUUCGGACUGUGUCCCAGGAGGCUUAUCCUCAACUGGAUCCUCCUUGUCAUUGUCGAGAGCGUCGUUGGGUGUGCCUACCAUACACACGUCAUACCAGGAGGUGGCCGUCCCGCGUCUAGUGGAUGGUGAGUUCUAGCCUUGCCCCUCAUCGUCGUCCAUACCGUCGAUGUCUUUGGAGCCGGGGUCAAGCGUGUUGGUUGGGUCUUCGACAGUGGCUAUGAAGUGAGUGGCGGGUGGGAAGCAAGAUUCUCCAUCUUCCGCCGCAUGUUCGAACCGGACAUAGUUCGGCGGCCAAGGAUAGGUUUUUUAGUGAGUUCAGUACGUCGCCAUGGGCGAGUGUUGGAAGACGUCUACGGCGCUGAACUUGAAGAUCGAUAACCGAUUGAGUUCGUUAUCCGUGUACUCGCAGGGUUCGGAACUUAUCGCCGGAGACGAGUUCGGGGUUCCGUUGAUGCAGAUAUCAUAUGAAGUAGAGUCUGUGUGCGGCUCCAACACCGCGGAAUCGGCAGCCUCCGUGAUGGGGUUGAGCUUCCCAUCUUCGGAUGACUUGAUCUGCUCCAGAUCUAAGGCCAGAGUUGUUACAGGAGCUAUCUCCUAGAUGCAGCCCGAUGACAGGUUUAAGCCAUGCUUAUCGGGGCAAAGGGGAGUGGUUGCCGCGGUCUCAAAUCCGUCGAAGAUCGAGUCUCCACGGAUGUCCGCGACGUAGUUCAAGCUUCUGAAUCUAACCUGAAGGCCAGGGGCGUAGCUGUCGAUCUGCUCCAGAUGGCCAAGCGAGUUGGCCCGCAGUACGAAGCCGCCGAAUACGAAGAUCUGUCUGGGGAGGAAGGCUUCUCCCUAGACAACGUCAUUAUAGACGAUCGAAGGGGCCAUCGGACCCUUUGCCGACGGCACAGUGGAACUCUCAAUGAAAGCACCAAUGUCGGUGUCAAAACCGGCGGAUCUCGGGUAGGGGGUCCCGAACUGUGCGUCUAAGGUCGAUGGUAACAGGAGAUGGGGGACAUGAUGUCUACCCAGGUUCGGGCCCUCUCUAUGGAGGUAAUACCCUACUUCCUGCUUCAUUGAUCUUGAUGAAUAUGAGUAUUACAAGAGUUGAUCUACCACGAGAUCGUAAUGGCUAAACCCUAGAGGCCUAGCCUGUAUGACUAUGAUAAUGAGUAUCCGCCUAUCCGGACUACGCUCUCCGGUUUAUAUAGACACAGGAGAGAUCUAGGGUUACGUGGAGUUGGUUACAUAAAAAGGAAUCUACAUGAUUGAUCGCCAAGCUUGUCUUCCACGCUAUCUUCGGUCUUUGUAUCUUCACAGCCAUCAGUCCGGCCCAUGGCUAACAGGCCGGCCGCCCGAGGACCCCUUAGUCCAGGACUCCCUCACCCACCCCAUGGGGUGCGCCUCCCUGCCUCGUGGCCUCCUCACUUGUUUCUUGACGUCCACUCCAAGUCCCCUGGAUCACGUUUGUUCCAAAAAUCACGCUCCCGGAGGUUUCAUUCCGUUUGGACUUCGUUUGAUAUUCCUUUUCUGCGAAACACUGAAAUAGGCAAAAAAAACGACAAUUUGGGCUGGGCCUCCGGUUAAUAGGUUAGUCCCAAAAAUAAUAUAAAAGUGUAUAAAUAAGUCCAUUAAACAUCCAAAACAGAUAAUAUAAUAGCAUGGAACAAUAAAAAAUUAUAGAUACGUUGGAGACGUAUCAGAGGCAAAUAAGGCCCAGCGAGACAGAUAGACAGAGAGAAUGGAGCUAGGAGGUGGUGCGAGAGGCCGAGCUACUAGCUAGAUAGGGGGAGGAGUGUGCGGUUGUGAGAUCGAUGAAAAGAGGGGAGAGAGUUUACACGUGUGUGGGACCGUAUGAGAGACACGAGGCAUGGACACAGAAAGGAGGAGAUGGAAGGUGCGUGUGUAUGUUGUAGGCAGACAUCGCCGGAGAUGUUUAUCGAUCCGUGUGUGUCGGAAAGGAGUUGUGGAGACUGUGGGAGAACGACCUAAAGAAGAAAAAAAAUGUGCGCGAUGGAUGGAAUGCUGAGGGAGGGGGAGGGCGAGGAGGGCGUGUGUGUGCACGAGAGAAAGUUAGUGCUAGCUACAAAGGUUAGAGGAUUGUGUGGGUGUAAAAGACUAACAAAGAUCAUAAUUUGAUAUGAAAGUGGAUUCAUAUAUUUGAAUAGGAGAUCAUAGUGUUAUAAACAUAUGCAUGCAUGAAUAUAGCGGUGAUACGCGUGUUGUGGGUUUGCACAUGUUAUACCAUAAUGUGAUAAUGCAUGGCAUUUGCAACUCACAGCUAAAUGUUGAACAAUCUAAACCAUACUAUACAUCGAACAAUCUCACAUUUUAUUUGAAUUUGUGAUAAUGUGUGGUGUUUGUAGCUUACAACUAAAUAUCGAACAAUCUAAACAAUACUAUAUAUAUCGAACAAUCUCACAUUUUAUUUGAAUUUGUGGUAAUGUGUGGUGUUUGCAACUCACAUCUAAAUACUUGUAGGCGUAGGGGGCGGGGCACCAUACAUUAUGUGAUAAACACAUUAUACAUAUGAGACAUGGUUUAGAUUAUGAAGAUCUAGCUAGAGCUUGAAAUGUACUGUGAUUUGAAAACAGCAUAAAGUGGAUUCAAAAAAUUGUGUUCGAGUUCAUAUAGUACACAUAGUUCAUAUCUAACUCGAGAGUAAUCAUGUGGUGUGCUGUGAAGAUAAUACACGAACGAUGGUUUAACUUGACAAUAAUGAUGAUUGUAUAUCUUAUUAAAAUAGAGAAACAAAUUCAAAUGGGUUGACUUCACAGCAAUCAUUAUUGUAGAUCUUAUUCAAAUAGAGAAACAAAUUCAAAUUUAGUUCAUAUUUAAGCGGUAGUAUAUACCUUUGGAAUGCACUAAAACGUUCAUUUGAGUAGCAAGUUGCAUGCAUUAUACACGUAGCGAAGUAUUUUAAUUGAACAUAACAUGAAUUCAAAGUUUUGAAUGACAUUUUGUAGUGCGAAUUGAUUUGGUACAGUACACAGGACUAGACUCUCUUGUGUGCUGCGAAUUGAUUUUUUUUGUUUUUUCGUCGACGGAAGUGCGAAUUGAUUUGGUACAGUACACAUUAGGCUUGUCCGGAAAUUUCAACCCGCGCCUUGUUACCCCGAAAUAUUUAAGAUAUAUCUUUGUCUCGUUGUGCUCCGACAACUCCCUCCAUCUCAACCCGCGCCUUGCUAUUCCAAAAUUACAACACGCGCGAAAACUCCCACCUCCUGUGAAAUCCUGACACGCGAAAUGCCCGUGAUACCCCUGAACCGAAAGAACCGCCUAGGUCAAAUCGGUGGGGGUACUUUCAUAACUUACCCCACAUUUCGGACAAGCGCGUCCCUAAGCCAUGGUUCCCCACUCCCAUCCCAUCCGCCCACCCAUUCGUACACCGAGGCCGCGAAAACCCGCGAAGCCCCACACCCUCCUCCAUCCGCAACCCAACCGGAGCCUCUUCCCUGACGACGCCGUCCAGAUCAACACCUCAACGUCCCUCAUCCACCGUACCAGAUGAGGAUCCGUCGUCGAUCUCGUCGUCCCGCCGGUUCAGCCACCCCGUCCUCCACCUCCAAGGAGCUGCCCCGAUGUUCCCCUCGUCUUCCCCGCCACCUCCAUUCCCACACUGCCGUCUUCACCUGCACCACCGGAAGAGCAUCAUCAUCACCGUUUCCUCGGAUGAAGCUGAGGCCUAAUCGGUGCCACCAAAGAGGCUGUACACUAAUCACCACAUUUUCUUCUUGAUUCGACUCACGGUGCUGCCGGCGCUCGGUCCCGAGCCAACACGGCGUGGCUCCAUCCACGGCGACAUCGCCGGCCACUUCCUCCACGGCGUCGCUCCCUUGGCGGCGACAUCCACAUUAGUAGGAGCUGCUGCUGCUUUAGCUCUCGCUCGUGCUGCUGCUCUGCUCUUGCUCUCGGUCCCCUGCUUGGUUUGAUAUUGUUAUUGCUCUUGCUCUUGCUCUUGCUACUGCUCUCGCUCUUGCUCUUGCUUGCGAUGCUGCUCCGAUUUAGCUACACUUCAGUCGACUAAAUCGACUUUCGGGUCAGUCAAUUUUCAGGGGGUGGGGGGCUCACCGGAGUUAAGGAAUAACCAGCCGCAGCGGGGAGGGGGGCUCGCCGGAGAGGUACCGCACUAUCUAUCUUAGGGUUUAGGGUGGGGGCGNNNNNNNNNNNNNNNNNNNNNNNNNNNNNNNNNNNNNNNNNNNNNNNNNNNNNNNNNNNNNNNNNNNNNNNNNNNNNNNNNNNNNNNNNNNNNNNNNNNNNNNNNNNNNNNNNNNNNNNNNNNNNNNNNNNNNNNNNNNNNNNNNNNNNNNNNNNNNNNNNNNNNNNNNNNNNNNNNNNNNNNNNNNNNNNNNNNNNNNNNNNNNNNNNNNNNNNNNNNNNNNNNNNNNNNNNNNNNNNNNNNNNNNNNNNNNNNNNNNNNNNNNNNNNNNNNNNNNNNNNNNNNNNNNNNNNNNNNNNNNNNNNNNNNNNNNNNNNNNNNNNNNNNNNNNNNNNNNNNNNNNNNNNNNNNNNNNNNNNNNNNNNNNNNNNNNNNNNNNNNNNGGGGCUAGAGGGAUGGCCGGGGCGGCGGCGGACCGGCGGUGGGGAGUGGUUUCGGGGCGGUCGGGGCUGCGGGGGGCGGCUCUUUGGCCGGUGGUGGUUGGCGGCUCAGGGGGUGGAGGUUGAAGAUGAACUGCAGGCCCUUAAUUUUGUAUCCAACGGCUAGAAAAUCGACUGACCAAAGAUGAAAAAGUCAGUCGACUAACGUGUAGCCUCACCUGAUGCUGCUACACGACCAGCUGCCCCGGCUCUCGCACGCGCUGCUGCUGCUGCUACUACUUUUCUGCUACUAGUGCGUUCAGUUUCAACAGUACAAUUCAGUUACGACAGCAAAAUUCAGUUUCGACAGUUAAGUUCAGUUUCGACAGUUAAGUUCAGAGAUGAGCGGCUGAUGUAUUUUACAUCUAGCACUUUGUGGUUAUGUAUUUUAUGUCAUCUAUUGGAGAUGCUAUUAGAAUUCCACUCAGGUUAACGUUGUCUCUCCUGUCCUGCUUCAGCCUCGGCAUCGUACAACUCAUCGGAGCUGCUCCAACGACGAAACCCUCCAUCACAGCGGAGCAGUCCCCCGGGCUCCAUCUCAAGAUGCCUAAGAUCUUCUUCCCCUCCUCCGACAGCCAAGUCAGCCGGAUCAUCCUCACCGACCAAUCCAAUCACGCUGAGAUCGACAUGGCUUCGCCAAAGAGGUUGUACACUUGUUGCAUCUCUUUUUUACUCUACAUGUUAUAUAUAUUGUCCACUGAGCACACACAGUAACGUGAAAUAUGAUUAGUUUCUCCUACUAUAUGACAAGCAAUGAGGUACCAGGCAACUUAGCUAUCUGUGAUGGACUCUCUUGAAUGCCAUCAUUAUUUAUCUCUACGCGUUUGAGCUGUGCAUUUGUCGAUGGGCCUAGGAGUUGAGCUAGUAGGGCAGUGGCCUGGGUCCAAAGUAGUAGAAGUAGCACAAAAAUAUUUUUUGAGUGUAGGCUUUUCUUUGCUCAAGCCUGCCUGCUAGAAUUGCCAGUGCUUGAAAGGAAAAGUGAAGAAAAACAUAGGAAUUGGAAAGUUUCCUAUGGUACUACUAUUCAUGCAUUUGGUUCAAAGGAAUGCAACAAAGGAAAAUUGUAGGAUUUGUUCCUUUAGUGUCUCCUUGAAAGAAAAACCGUAGGAAUUUUAAUAUCCACUUGUCCUCCUUUUCAAAUUCCUAUUCAUGUAGCACAAGACUAAGAGAUAGUAGCAUAAUAGCAUUAUAACCGUACAUUUUCUUGUGGUUUGACUUAAUCUCACCCUGCUUCUUUGCAUCAUGUGAUCUUCCAAUUCUUGUGAACCAAACACUCAGAUUGGCAGAAAUCCUGUGUUUUUAAAUUCUCUGUUUUGCACGUGCAUUCCUAUCCUAUUACUGUGUAUUUCCUAUCCCUACAUUGUUAGAAUCCUCCAAUUCAAACAAGCCCUUACAGAAUUACUUCUCUUACAGAUAGUUGUCAAAGAAAACCUUGUGUGGUUUGUCCCGCUCCUACUGCGCCGUCGUCCACCCCAGCUCAGCGGCUCCAAUUACAGAAGGGUCCAGCACAGCAAGGAUCUGGCCUCUAGACCGUCUUUCGCCGCCUCAGAUCUUCUUCCCUGCUGCUGCCAGCCAUGACAACUGCAUUACCAUCAUCAACCGAGCAGAUGACCUCGAGGACUACACGGGUUCGCAAGAGAGGUCACACUCUUUCAUGUCUGCUUACGUUAUGCAUCGCUUAAUAUUACAUCGCUUAGAUGAUUCAGAGACAGAUGACCAGUCCUAUUUCCCCUCAAGGUGUAUGCUCUAACUUGGUAGGGUUAUGUUGCUCAUAUCGUGCGUAUGGUGUCUUGCAUUGCUAUGUCAUUUGAUUAGUUUAGACAUGCUUUGUGUGAAUGCCACCUGUUUAUUGUCUAAUUCCCAUAUAUGUGAAUUAUGCAUUGCCAUCUUGUUGCAAGACAUUAUAUAUGUGAAUUAUGUAAUGCUAUCUUGUUGUAAAGGCAUUAUAUAUGUGAAUUAUCCAAUGCCAUGCUGUUUAGCCAAUCAUCAUGUAUGUGAAUUAUAUCAUGCUAUAUAUUUUUUGUAUUACGUGUUCCAUUUGUCGACAACAUUUGUAUAUUCAACUACUCUUCCUGUGCAUCAGCCAUUUGAAGCGGUGAUGCAAGUAUCUGGAGUGAAAACAAGGUAUUCAGAGCAGACAAUGCUACGUGCUGAAGCAGACAUCUUGCUGGUCACAGAGAGCUCCUCAAAGGAGGAUUCAGAGACUGAUGACCAGUCCUAUUUCCCCCUAAGGUCUAUGCUCAAACUUGGCAGGGUUAUAUUACCCAUGUCAUGCAUGUUGUCUUGCAUUGCUUAGUUUUUACAUCAUAUAUGGAUUGCCAUCUGCUUACUUGCUUACUAUAUAAAUCAUAUAUUUGAAUUAUAUCAUGCCAUCAUGUUUACAUACACAACAUCUAUCUGAAUUAUGGCAUGGCAACCCAUUUAGUAGACAUCAUAUAGUUAUAUCAUCUCAUCCUGUUUAGUGUUUACAGUCAUCAUAUUUUGAAUUAUGUCAUUCUGUCCGUGAAUUAUAUCUUGCUAUCAUGUUUCCAUAGGCGGCAUGUAUGUGAAUUAUGGCAUGCCAACCUAUUUAAUAAAGACAUUGUAUAGUUAUAUCAUGCCAUCCUGUUUACAUAGUCAUCAUAUUUUGAACUAUGUCUUUCCAUCUUUUUUAGUUAGCCAUCAUAAUGUGAAAUUGUGUCAUGCUAUCCUAUUUAGUUAGCCAUCAUAUAUGUGAAAUUGUGUCAUGCUAUCCUGUUUGGUUAGACAGCAUAAAUGUGAAUUAUUUCAUGCCCUCUUUUAUUCCCCACUAUCCAUUGCACCUGUAUUAUCAUAAAAUGUCUACACAUUCAAUUACUUUUCUUGUUUAUAAGCCAUUUGAAUUGGAGAGGGUGAUGGCAGUUUCUAAGGGAGUAACAACACGGUCUUCAGAAAAGAUAGUGCUAACAGUUGAUGCAGAUAGAACCACUGUUGUACUUGCCCAAGAACCAACCCCACCAAACAUAACCCAGACUCUCGCAAACUGUACCCCUACCCAGUUGGACAGAGAACCAGCUACACCCCUUCUAACCCCAACCCCAAAAGAUAGUAACCCAGUUCCAGUCGACACAACACCGUCUCCACCACAGAGCACCCAAACACGAGCAAUUAGUAAGGGAACUGCAGUGCCCAAAGCACGAGGACCACCACUCCGAAUCCCAACUCAACGCGUAAAGGAGAAGAAGAAUUGUUCUCAUGUCAGGUUCUGUAGCUAUGGUUCAUACUCCUUUGCUCUUGCAUCACUGUAUUUACUCAUACCAACUAUUUUCAAAUUUGAAGGAUGGAAUUGAAACUCCAAUGGCGCAACAGGUAUGUUUUAAACCUGUUUCUUUAACUAGUUUGUUGUUGUAACUUGCUCUAUGUUGAUUCCGGUUUCAAUUGAAUAAACAUUUAUGUUCUCAUGUCAUGCACAUUACAAGUGUUGUUAUUGCUCUAUAGUUUCCCACACUUAUAUUCUGUCUAUUCUGCUUUGUCUUGAACCAUAAAGUGACCAUGGUACAUAGAUAUAUGUUUGUUUCAUGUUGUUAUCCUGUCCACUUUACAACUGAUCUGAUUUACCAAAAUGAGUUUCAUAUACAACAUGGUAACCCUGUGAUGUGUCUGCUUGUUUCUCUUUUAGAAUGCAGACAAAAUAUUGGAGAACAGUACCCCGUUAUGCAAUGGAAGUAAUGUAGAUAAGGUUUAAGAUAGUGAGACAUCCCUAUUGGUCUCCAAGAAAGCUGAUAAAAACUAUCUUAACGACAGUGAGAUAACCCAAAAGUCGUGUCUUGAUGUAGUGUUCGAGUUACUGGCCACUACUACUGGCACAAGCUCUUCGAACUCGCUGCUUGAAUCGGUUCGUCUUCUUGAGUCUCAACUUCAAGUUGAAAGACAUUGAUUAGAUGUGCUGCGGCAGGAAGCUGAAGGACCGAGGAAGUCCCUGCAGAAUUCAGAUGCAUACUUUCUGGUGCAACAGCAAGCGGUGGAGGAUUUAAGCACCCAAACAAGAGAAAGUUAAUAAGUGUAACAUCCCAAAUUUUCAAUUUGGAAUGUUAUACGUUAGGUCAUCAUGCAUAUCAUAUUUUCUCGCAUUUUUCUGAUCCUAGAAAUUUCACGCAACUCAAAGACCCUCGGAGAGAGUUGGAAGUUUCAUUAUUUUCAUAUUUGGGAUUUCUCAAAUUUUGAAAAUAGGAUCAUUGGAUUUAUUUAAUUAUCUUCAUAAAGUUUUUCCUAUAAAAAUAUUUUGAGAGGGAAUAAUAUGACUUUCCCAACAAUUAGGAAAAAUGAAGAUUUUAUAAAUAAAUCAAAUUCGGUUUUGGAAGAUUUAUUUUGCUUAGGCAAAAAUGAGCAUUUAAAAAAAAUUUAUGCAUGUUUGCCGUUUUUAAAGUUCAUUUUGUUUGACUCAUUUUUAGGAGUCGGGGAAAAUUCGUUUUAUUUAAUUUGGAGUUCAUUUGGUUUAAAUUUCAUUAAAAAAAAAUACGCGCCCCCCCCGGGCCGAGGCCCAGCCGCCCCAGCCCAGCGCCCCCCCGGCCCACCUCCCUCCUCCCUCGCGCGCUCGGCCGCCCGAGCGAGGUGCCCCGCCGCCGCACGCCAUCGCCCCGCCGCNNNNNNNNNNNNNNNNNNNNNNNNNNNNNNNNNNNNNNNNNNNNNNNNNNNNNNNNNNNNNNNNNNNNNNNNNNNNNNNNNNNNNNNNNNNNNNNNNNNNNNNNNNNNNNNNNNNNNNNNNNNNNNNNNNNNNNNNNNNNNNNNNNNNNNNNNNNNNNNNNNNNNNNNNNNNNNNNNNNNNNNNNNNNNNNNNNNNNNNNNNNNNNNNNNNNNNNNNNNNNNNNNNNNNNNNNNNNNNNNNNNNNNNNNNNNNNNNNNNNNNNNNNNNNNNNNNNNNNNNNNNNNNNNNNNNNNNNNNNNNNNNNNNNNNNGCCCCGCCGGAGCUCGCCGGCGAGAUCACCGGAGGUAGCCCCGCGCCUCGAUCCGGUUUUCCCCUAAUAAACCAAUCCGGUUUUUUAAAAAAAAAAAGAUGUUCGGUUUUUUUUAAAACCCUAGAUUGGUUUUAUUUUUUUUCGGUUUUCUUAUUUAACGAACGUUCACCGAACCGUUCGUUUCAAUGAACGCGUUCGUUGGAUUCGUUCUGUUAACGAACGUCCGUUAUUUAAACCGUUCGUCGUUUUUCUUUUAAUCGGAUUUAAUCCGUUAUUUUUCUGAUUUGAUUUCAGAUCCGAUUUUCAAAACUGUUUUAUUUCUCGCUCGUUUAUCGGAAUCAGGUGAUUCAAGCGCCUGGAGUUUCGUAACGAAACCGCCGUUCCGACUAACCUACUUUCACAGAGUUUUGCUACUGUGAAAUUUUGACCUAAUUUCAGAUUGCUAAACCGAGUCGUUCUCUCUCGAGUUUCGACUUUCGGAGUUUAUUUUGAUUCGAUUCUUUUGCAACCAGGGUUCUUAAGUUGAACUUUCUGGUUAGAUCUUUUAUUCGAGAUUUCCCCGUGCAUUAGAUGAGUACUUAUUGUAUGCUUGUUGUUUGUCUGCGUUAGAUCACCCGGAGUGCGCCGCUUGUUACUUCGAAUCUCUAGGUCUCGCGGAUCAUCAGCAAGGCAAGUAACACUUUGAUCAUACCCUUCUCAUACCCAGUUUUUAUGCAUUAGAUCUAUUCCUCAAACACUUGCAUGAUUAGGAUCUAAUUAAAUUGUGGGUUUGGGAAGUAGAUUGAGGUAGUACCUAUUACCUGUUUUACUUAUGAAACCUUGGGAGUUACUUCUACGUUUGCUUAUUAUGCUAUGCUAUGCUAGUAGACGUGGAUUGGGUGAGUGAAUAUCCAUGACAGAUGUGAGAUUGUUAAUUAAUGGUUUAUCUAAGGUGGCAACCUAAACACACAUCUGGGUGGAUUGAGGCACCUGGUUUCUAUCAGGACUUGCCUGUAUUUCUUCGGACCGCCACCCAGGCUCUAAGGGAUCAUAAGAUUAUUCAAACUGGAAACUUCCGUGUGCAGCCACAAGCCAAUUAUGGGCUCUGGCGUAGUUGACUAAGUCGUGCGAACUCUUACGGGUAGGCUAGCUGAUGUAGGGGAUGUAGGUUGGUACGGUCUACCCACAUGUAAGGUGCUAGCGCUUCUGAAAGACUAUGUCUCGAUCAUCCGUUUCUCAAACACCAUGUAGUGCGAGAACCAAGCGGAGGCGAUCGAGUCUUGUGGGGAAAAGUGCGCAAACCUCUGCAGAGUGUAUAAACUAAUCAUGAUUAGCCGUGUCCCCGGUUAUGGACAAUUUGAGUAUCCUGUAAUUGAAUAUCAUGUGAAUCUCAACAUGUUACUUCUAAUAAAAGUUAUUGGGUUUGAUGAGUACUUUUAAUUGGGAUUGAGGAUGCUGUCAACCAUUCUCAAUGUUUAACAACCAACAUGAUAGUUAAAUAAAACUAUUCCUUUGAUGUAGGGAAAAAUCAGCUUUAUGCAAAUGUAACCGUAGAGCCUUACCACCAGCCAUAUAUGCAUGUAGUAUAGGCUUAUUUCCUUCAUUGCUCUUUAUGUGUUACAUUGCCAGCAUAUUCCAUGUGCUGACCCGUUUUCGGGCUGCAACUUUCACGUUGCAGACUUUUCAGACGACGAGUAAGGUGUUAGGUCGUGGUUCUAUACUCAGUGAUGCCGUUGGAGUUGAUGGACUCGCUUAUCUUCCAAGCCUUCCGCUGUUAUUAUUAGAUGGCCUUAAGCCAUAUUAUUGUAAUAAGUUCCCUUGUGGACAACGAUGUAAUAAGUGUGUGAUUGCUACUCUGCAAUAAAUCCUUCGAAGUACUGUGCGGUGUCAGCAUUACUGAUCCAGGGAUGACACUGAGCACAGAGACUGGAUCCAUUCGGGUCUGGUCGCUAUAGAGAAUGGUAUCAGAGCACACGCUGACUGUAGGACACGACCACUAAGUUAAAGCCAUAGAUCACUACUCUCUUCCCAUUUUCUAACUCCUCAUCUUUUCUACUCUCUUUAGGAUGACGGACGCGAAGAUCAAGUACACCCAACCGGAUGAAGGCACACCUUUUGGAUUUCACUUGAAGGAAGUUACUAAGUACCUGAACAUUGGACUACCAAGCUUCACCGGGACUUUCAACGCCACUCUGCCUGAAGAGGAGCGCUGGAAGAUUCAUGCUCACGUUCCAGGAAGGACAUUCGCCCCAAUCACCAAGUCUAUAGAUAGUGUUUUCAGUGCACCAACUUGGAGUCUGGGAAAGAGCAUGGCAGCUCACAUCACCAUGGGACGCAUUGGAGAAGUUUAUCAAGAAGACCUCAAGGACACCAUCUACCAGAUUUGCGGACGCCGAGAUGACAACUGGGACGUCGUCAACACCAAGAAGGAUAGAUCCAUUGCAGCUUUCAUCCAGGAGUUAAAUCAGCACAUUCGACGCCAGGAGAACCAAAUGUGCAAUGACAUGUUGGAGUUGCAGAAGACAAAGGGAAGGAUCAUCGAACUGGAAGAAGAACUAAAGACUACACGCAAGGACUACAUGGACGAGAUCGUAGCUCUGGCAAGACACAAUAACGAUCUUAAGUACGAGAUCGAAGAACUCAAGAAGAAGUUGGCGCUCAGGAAUGAAGACUAGUAUGUCGAACACCCAAGCGACUACAUUAACAUCGACGACACCGAUUCGGAUCCAAGUGAACCCGACUUUGAAGACGAAGCUGGAGCAGACAUCAUGGAGUCUUCCACCGGUUCAAACUAGUAGAAGUCCCCCACAUAUUAGUAGUAUCUCCCUCCAUGUAAACAUUAUAGUACACGCACUUUUGCGAUAGUUAGAUCGUUGUAAGCCCUUGUUUGAUUGAAUGGAGUGAUUUUGUGUGUUUUUGCUCAUGUGCAUUUGGGUAGUGAUUCCCUUAGACCUCAUUCUAUUCUACAUUUCUCUCCUUUUCUAAACCCAUCAGAUGCCUCCGAGACGCGACCCCGGAUUCGUUUUCCCGCCAGAGAUCACCCAAUUGAUCCAGCAGCAGAAUACCCUGAUUCAAACAUUGGUGCAGAACAACAACAACAACAACCCACCGCCACCACCACCACCUGCGGAUCAUCUGACUCGUUUCCUUAGACUGAACCCGCCGGUGUAUUCCAGUAGCACCGAGCCGAUUGUAGCAGAUGACUGGCUCCGCAAGAUAGGAAGGGAGCUGACCACUGCAGGAUGCACAGAUGGUGAAAGAGUGAAGUUUGCAGCACAUCAGCUUGAAGGACCCGCAGCAACAUGGUGGGAGAAUUUCACAGCCACUUACCCCGUAGACACUGUCACAUGGGACCAGUUUCAGCAAGCUUUUCGCACUGCCCAUGUUUCAGCAGGAGCCAUGGCCAUGAAGAAGCGUGAGUUUCGCAACUUACGCCAAGGAGGAAGGACUGUUGGCCAGUAUGUGGAUGACUUUAGUAAAUUAGCACGUUAUGCCCCAGAUGACGUUGCUACAGAUGCGGCUAAACAGGAGAAGUUUCUAGAAGGACUGAAUGAUGAGUUCAGCAUGCCGUUGAUGGUAGCAAGUUUCAACAACUACCAGGAGUUAGUAGACCGAGCUCUCAUGAUCGAAGGAAAGCAGCAGCAAAUUGAGAACCGCAAGCGGAAGUAUGGACAAGGGAAGUAUAACUCUGGAUCCCAGCAGAAGCCUCGUUAUACCCCUAAAUCAGGAAUUCAGUUUCAGCAUACCCAUGGAGGAGGUAAUUCGCACAACCAUAAUGGCACCAAGAAUGGGAACAGGAAUGGAGGAAGCAACGGACAGAACCGCACCAACCCGUCAACACCAUCCAAGGUAGAUCUGAGUCAUAUUACUUGCUUUAAGUGCCGCAAGACUGGGCACUAUGCAAAUGACUGUCCAGAAGGCCAGAAUGGAAAUGGCAAUGGAAGCUCUGGAAAGAAGCCCAACCCUUUCAACAGGGGACAGGUGAACCACAUUGAUGUGGAGGAGGUUGAAGAUCAGUCCGAUGCAGUAAUCGGUAAGUUUUUGGUUAAGUCAUUUACUGCAAUUGUUCUUUUCGAUACUGGUGCAUCGCAUUCAUACAUAUCAAGGGGAUUUGUGGAUAAGUACAAGUUACCAACCCAAGCCCUUAGGUCACCCAUGCUAGUAACCUCACCCGGAGCAGAGUACAUGGCUAGUAAAUGGUGUGAUCGACUGCCACUACGGAUUGGACACUAUGUUUUCCCCUCAGACCUAAUAGUUCUGGAAUCCCAAGGAUUGGAUGUGAUAUUAGGAAUGGAUUGGUUAUCAAAGUAUGGAGGAAACAUAGAUUGUACCACAAGGUCAAUUUUGCUCACCACACCAGAAGGAAGAAGGAUCAAGUAUGUAUCACGGCACGAGCCGAGGAGAGCACAAGUUAAUUGUUUAUCAGGAGUGGUACAGGAAGAAGUACCAGUGGUGAAGGAUUAUCCUGAUGUAUUUCCGAAAGAGUUGCCAGGAAUGCCGCCGGAUAGAGACAUUGAGUUUUUGAUCGAGCUGUUGCCAGGAACAGGCCCGAUAUCGAAGCGACCGUACAGGAUGCCCGCAAAGGAUUUGGCGGAAAUCAAGAAGCAGAUUAAGGAACUAUUGGAUAAAGGUUUUAUUCGCCCAAGUUCUUCACCUUGGGGAUCACCCGUUUUGUUAGUGGAGAAGAAGGAUGGAUCGUUGAGAAUGGUUGUUGAUUACCGUGGAUUGAAUGAAGUAACAAUCAAGAACAAGUACCCACUACCUAUGAUUAAUGAUCUGUUUGAUCGCUUGCAAGGAGCCAAAGUGUUUUCUAAGAUCGACUUGCGAUCAGGGUACCAUCAGUUGAAGAUUCGGGAGCAAGACAUACCCAAGACCGCAUUUACCACGAGAUAUGGACUGUACGAGUAUACCGUUAUGUCAUUUGGACUGACUAACGCACCAGCCUAUUUCAUGAACCUGAUGAACAAAGUGUUUAUGGAGUUUUUGGAUAAGUUCGUCGUGGUGUUCAUUGAUGAUAUUUUGAUUUUCUCGAAGAAUGAAGAGGAACACAAGGAACAUUUGCGAUUGGUUUUGGAGAAACUGAGGGAACACCAGUUGUAUGCCAAGUUCAGCAAGUGUGAGUUUUGGCUAAAGGAAGUUGGAUUUCUCGGACAUGUUAUAUCCGGAGAAGGGAUAGCAGUUGACCCCACAAAGGUUGAGACCGUAACCAAAUGGGAAGCACCAACGACAGUUGGAGAGAUUCGGAGUUUCCUUGGACUCGCAGGAUACUACCGAAGAUUCAUUGAGAAUUUCUCAAGGAUUGCAAAGCCUAUGAUAGAAUUGUUGAAGAAGGAAAACAAAUUCAUAUGGACUGAGGACUGCGAGGCAAGUUUUCAGGAGUUGAAGAAAAGAUUGGUUACCUCACCCGUUUUGAUAUUGCCAGAUCAGACUAAGGAUUAUGAGGUGUAUUGCGACGCUUCACGUCGAGGACUUGGAGCAGUGCUUAUGCAGGAAGGAAGAGUUGUUUCGUAUGCUUCACGACAACUUAAGCCUCAUGAGUUGAAUUAUGCCACUCAUGAUUUGGAGUUAGCAGCCGUUGUGCAUGCCUUGAAGACGUGGAGACAUUUUCUCAUUGGAAAUCAUUGUGAAGUAUAUACGGAUCACAAGAGUUUGAAGUACAUCUUCACCCAGAAGGAAUUGAAUCUCAGACAAAGGAGAUGGUUGGAACUUAUUAAGGAUUAUGAUAUGAGAUUGCAUUAUAACCCCGGAAAGGCUAAUGUCGUAGCUGACGCAUUGAGCCGUAAGAGCCACGUCAAUACCCUAAUGAUGGGAGGAAUACCCAAUGAGUUAGCCGAGGACCUUCGAGAACUAUGUUUGGAAAUAGUUCCGAGAGGCUAUGUAGCAGCAUUGGAGAUUCAGUCGACACUAAUGGACAAAAUUAGAGAAGCCCAAAAGGCAGAUAAGGAAGUUGCCUCUAUAAAGGAGAAAAUGAGCAAAGGAAAAGCAAAAGGAUUUCGUGAGGAUGAGCACGAUACCCUAUGGUUUGAAGACCGUGUUUAUGUGCCCAAUGACCCAGAGAUCAGGAAGUUGAUUUUGCAAGAAGCCCAUGAUUCACCCUAUUCGAUUCACCCAGGAAAUACCAAGAUGUAUUUGGAUUUGAAGAAUAUUUUCUGGUGGACCGGAAUGAAGAAGGAUAUUGCGGAGUAUGUAGCAGUUUGCGACAUAUGUCAGAAAGUAAAGGCAGAGCAUCAGAAGCCAGCAGGAUUGUUACGACCGUUGCCGAUACCCGAAUGGAAGUGGGAUAAACUAGGCAUGGAUUUCAUCACAGGUUUGCCAAAGACCCGUUCAGGAUAUGACUCGAUUUGGGUCAUAGUCGAUCGUUUGACCAAGGUAGCUCAUUUCAUUCCAGUCAAGACUACCUAUAGCAGUGCUAAGUUGGCAAAGAUAUAUAUGACCGGAAUUGUGUGUUUACACGGAGUUCCGAGGAGCAUCGUACGGAUAGAGGAACCCAGUUCACUUCGAAAUUUUGGAACCAGUUGCACGAAACAUUGGGAACCCGAUUGGAAUUCAGUACAGCUUUCCACCCACAGACCGAUGGACAGACCGAGAGAGUCAAUCAGAUUUUGGAGGACAUGCUGAGAGCUUGUGCACUAGAUUAUGGAUCCAGUUGGGAUGAUAAUUUGCCGUAUGCAGAAUUUUCCUACAACAACAGUUACCAAACCAGCUUAAAGAUGGCACCUUUCGAGGCUCUGUAUGGAAGAAGGUGCAGGACACCGUUGUCAUGGGACGAAACUGGAGAUCGUCAGUUGUUUGGACCAGAUUUGAUUAAGGAGUCUGAACAGAAAGUUAAGUUGAUUCGAGACAGGCUCAAGGUAGCCCAGUCCAGACAGAAGAGCUAUGCCGAUUCAAAAUGCAAAGCGAUUGAGUAUGAAGUUGGAGACAGAGUAUAUCUCACAGUAUCCCCGCUUCGAGGAGUUAAGCGUUUUGGAGUGAAAGGAAAGUUAGCACCCCGUUUCGUUGGACCAUAUAAGAUUUUGCAAACGCAUGGGAGAAGUUGCGUAUAAAUUGGAAUUGCCAGAAGGACUGUCAGGAGUUCAUGAUGUAUUCCAUGUUUCUCAGUUGAAGAAAUGUCACCCCGAGAUAGCAGAGGUACCGUUAAGAGACGCAGUGCCACUGGAAGCAAUUCAGUUGAAGGAUGACUUGACAUAUGAGGAAAAACCAGUUAAGAUUCUCGAUUAUGCCAGCAGAGUUACCCGCAGCAAGGUUAUCAAGUCUUGCAAAGUUCAGUGGAGCCACCACACUAAGGAUGAAGCCACCUGGGAAAGAGAGGAAGUUUUGCUUAAGGACCACCCUCACCUAUUUUCUAGCCAACCAGAAUCUCGAGGGCGAGAUUCAUCUUAAGGGGGUAGGUUUGUAACAUCCCAAAUUUUCAAUUUGGAAUGUUAUACAUUAGGUCAUCAUGCAUAUCAUAUUUUCUCGCAUUUUUCUGAUCCUAGAAAUUUCACGCAACUCAAGGACCCUCGGAGAGAGUUGGAAGUUUCAUUAUUUUCAUAUUUGGGAUUUCUCAAAUUUUGAAAAUAGGAUCAUUGGAUUUAUUUAAUUAUCUUCAUAAAGUUUUUCCUAUAAAAAAUAUUUUGAGAGGGAAUAAUAUGACUUUCCCAACAAUUAGGAAAAAUGAAGAUUUUAUAAAUAAAUCAAAUUCGGUUUUGGAAUAUUUAUUUUGCUUAGGCAAAAAUGAGCAUUUUAAAAAAAUUUAUGCAUGUUUGCCGUUUUUAAAGUUCAUUUUGUUCGACUCAUUUUUAGGAGUCGGGGAAAAUUUGUUUUAUUUAAUUUGCAGUUCAUUUGGUAUUUUUUUAAUUCAUUUGGUUUAAAUUUCAUUUAAAAAAAAAUACGCGCGCCCCCCCUGGGCCGAGGCCCAGCCGCCCCAGCCCAGCGCCCCCCCGGCCCACCUCCCUCCUCCUUCGCGCGCUCGGCCGCCCGAGCGAGGUGCCCCGCNNNNNNNNNNNNNNNNNNNNNNNNNNNNNNNNNNNNNNNNNNNNNNNNNNNNNNNNNNNNNNNNNNNNNNNNNNNNNNNNNNNNNNNNNNNNNNNNNNNNNNNNNNNNNNNNNNNNNNNNNNNNNNNNNNNNNNNNNNNNNNNNNNNNNNNNNNNNNNNNNNNNNNNNNNNNNNNNNNNNNNNNNNNNNNNNNNNNNNNNNNNNNNNNNNNNNNNNNNNNNNNNNNNNNNNNNNNNNNNNNNNNNNNNNNNNNNNNNNNNNNNNNNNNNNNNNNNNNNNNNNNNNNNNNNNNNNNNNNNNNNNNNNNNNNNNNNNNNNNNNNNNNNNNNNNNNNNNNNNNNNNNNNNNCUCCCGCCCCGCCCGGAGCCCCGCCGGAGCUCGCCGGCGAGAUCACCGGAGGUAGCCCCGCGCCCCGAUCCGGUUUUCCCCUAAUAAACCGAUCCGGUUUUUUUUUUAAAAAAGAUGUUCGGUUUUUUUUAAACCCUAGAUUGGUUUUAUUUUUUUUCGGUUUUCUUAUUUAACGAACGUUCACCGAACCGUUCGGUUCAAUGAACGCGUUCGUUGGAUUCGUUCUGUUAACGAACAUCCGUUAUUUAAACCGUUCGUCGUUUUUCUUUUAAUCGGAUUUAAUCCGUUAUUUUUCUGAUUUGAUUUCAGAUCCGAUUUUCAAAACUGUUUUAUUUCUCGCUCGUUUAUCGGAAUCAGGUGAUUCAAGCGCCUGGAGUUUCGUAACGAAACCGCCGUUCCGACUAACCUACUUUCACAGAGUUUUGCUACUGUGAAAUUUUGACCUAAUUUCAGAUUGCUAAACCGAGUCGUUCUCUCUCGAGUUUCGACUUUCGGAGUUUAUUUUGAUUCGAUUCUUUUGCAACCAGGGUUCUUAAGUUGAACUUUCUGGUUAGAUCUUUUAUUCGAGAUUUCCCCGUGCAUUAGAUGAGUACUUAUUGUAUGCUUGUUGUUUGUCUGCGUUAGAUCACCCGGAGUGCGCCGCUUGUUACUUCGAAUCUCUAGGUCUCGCGGAUCAUCAGCAAGGCAAGUAACACUUUGAUCAUACCCUUCUCAUACCCAGUUUUUAUGCAUUAGAUCUAUUCCUCAAACACUUGCAUGAUUAGGAUCUAAUUAAAUUGUGGGUUUGGGAAGUAGAUUGAGGUAGUACCUAUUACCUGUUUUACUUAUGAAACCUUGGGAGUUACUUCUACGUUUGCUUAUUAUGCUAUGCUAUGCUAGUAGACGUGGAUUGGGUGAGUGAAUAUCCAUGACAGAUGUGAGAUUGUUAAUUAAUGGUUUAUCUAAGGUGGCAACCUAAACACACAUCUGGGUGGAUUGAGGCACCUGGUUUCUAUCAGGACUUGCCUGUAUUUCUUCGGACCGCCACCCAGGCUCUAAGGGAUCAUAAGAUUAUUCAAACUGGAAACUUCCGUGUGCAGCCACAAGCCAAUUAUGGGCUCUGGCGUAGUUGACUAAGUCGUGCGAACUCUUACGGGUAGGCUAGCUGAUGUAGGGGAUGUAGGUUGGUACGGUCUACCCACAUGUAAGGUGCUAGCGCUUCUGAAAGACUAUGUCUCGGUCAUCCGUUUCUCAAACACCAUGUAGUGCGAGAACCAAGCGGAGGCGAUCGAGUCUUGUGGGGAAAAGUGCGCAAACCUCUGCAGAGUGUAUAAACUAAUCAUGAUUAGCCGUGUCCCCGGUUAUGGACAAUUUGAGUAUCCUGUAAUUGAAUAUCAUGUGAAUCUCAACAUGUUACUUCUAAUAAAAGUUAUUGGGUUUGAUGAGUACUUUUAAUUGGGAUUGAGGAUGCUGUCAACCAUUCUCAAUGUUUAACAACCACCAUGAUAGUUAAAUAAAACUAUUCCUUUGAUGUAGGGAAAAAUCAGCUUUAUGCAAAUGUAACCGUAGAGCCUUACCACCAGCCAUAUAUGCAUGUAGUAUAGGCUUAUUUCCUUCAUUGCUCUUUAUGUGUUACAUUGCCAGCAUAUUCCAUGUGCUGACCCGUUUUCGGGCUGCAACUUUCACGUUGCAGACUUUUCAGACGACGAGUAAGGUGUUAGGUCGUGGUUCUAUACUCAGUGAUGCCGUUGGAGUUGAUGGACUCGCUUAUCUUCCAAGCCUUCCGCUGUUAUUAUUAGAUGGCCUUAAGCCAUAUUAUUGUAAUAAGUUCCCUUGUGGACAACGAUGUAAUAAGUGUGUGAUUGCUACUCUGCAAUAAAUCCUUCGAAGUACUGUGUGGUGUCAGCAUUACUGAUCCAGGGAUGACACUGAGCACAGAGACUGGAUCCAUUCGGGUCUGGUCGCUACAAUAAGCUUGCUAAGCAUCUUUCCAGCAUUAUGGGUACCCAGGAUAUUGUUUCUUGAGAUCUUAUGAAGUAGUUUCAGUUCUGGACUUGUUUUGCUACGGCGUUAUUUGCACUGGUCGCCAACUUUGACAACCAGUGUAUAUGAUAUGCUGCUUUGUUCCGUAUAUUUGCACUGGUGGCAAACUUUCAUGCCCAGUGGAUGUAAUAUGUGUAAUAGCUGUGAUAGCCUAGCGUAAGUUGCUUGCUUAUUUAUUUCCUUGUUUGUCUUGUUUAUUUGUUUGCUUGUAGUCAGUGCAGUUCUUUUUCCGCGGUUUGGCCGCAAUAACCUAUUUUUUAAAACUACGCCACAAUAACCAUGGGCUACAUAUUUAUUGUAGUUACCAUGGGCCCCUACGGGACGUAGAAACAAUGGGCCUUCUACGGAUCGUAGAAACAAUGGGCCUUGUAAGGGCUAUAGCAUCAAUGGGCCUUCUACGGGUCGUAGCAUCAAUGGGCCUUCUACGGGCCGUAUGAACGAUCGACCAAACAUGGGCCAAUAACAGACCGCAUUAUGGGCUGUAAACGGGCUAGAUUUGGAAUCAUCCAUUCAUGGGCCGACAAUAACGGGUCGUCGUUAAUCGGCCGUAUUUGAUGAGGCUAUGAAAAUGGCCCAAUGGAUUAACGGGCCGCAAACGGGCCGAUUGUUACCACGGGCUGAAUUUGGCCCACAAGCAGAAAAGGCCAGUAACAUGCUGUAAGUAACCGAAUGCUGGAAAUAAGCCCAGGAAUAAAUGGGCCCUAAGAAGGCCGAAAGAUAACACGGGUUGGAAACGGCCCAAUGGAAUAAUGGGCCGUUAGUGGGUACGAAGCGAUACACUCUUCAUUGUGGGCCAGAUUCACUACGGGCUGUUAAUGGGCCAAGAGUUACAAAUGGCCUCGUAUGGGCCGAAAGACAUCAUGGGCCAUACAUGGGCCGGAAGUUACAAUGGGUUGGAAUCAUAUUGGAUGCCCCAAAUGAAGCUACUGAGCUUAAUUCCGAUAGGCCGUAACGGGCCGUGAGUUAGCGGUCCGUAAAUGGGCUAUAUAGGAACAUGAUUUCCGUGGGCCGGCCCGUUACCUUUUGACCAAGUCAAACUGGCCGGCCUUUUCACCGGAAUGGGCCUCUGUUGGGCCGUGCCAUGUGUCGACCUAUCAUAGGCGCCUCCUGUCCAAUGAAUGGAUGACAUCUGUCCCAACGGUGAGCCAACACGUGUUUCCUCUGGCCAAUGACAAUUUUACACGUGGAAAAUCCUCAUUGGUCCGGGCUUUAACGGGUUAUCAGAUCCAAAACCGGACCCGAUAGCUUAACGGCGGCCCAUUACAUUGGAUGCCACAUGUCGGUCACCCUUGACGAAAGCACUUCCAUGAUGCGCGAUUUAUCGCCAUGGAAGUGGACACUUCCGUAAUGAUAAUUUUGGUAAUGUCAUGGAACACUUCUACUGCAGCACAGGUAUGACUAUCUUGAUUCUGUCAUAAAGUUGUCAUGGAUGUACAUGCAUGACAGAAAACGUGACCUACUAUGACAAACACGUAUCAUCACGGAAGUGUAUUUUUUUGUAGUGAAUUCCCUUAAACCUGCAUACCUUGCGUUUCAUCAAAACGCUUGUUGAUGCGGUCGAGCUCUUUGUCAGCUAGUUUAAGCUUCCGAUUUAACUCGGAAACCUCUGCGGCUCGGACAGAUGCCGCAACCAAAGAAGCCUGUUCAAGCACAAAGUACACAGUUCAACUCCAUCAGGCACUACUGUAUAUAUAUAUAUAUAUAUAUAUAUAUAUAUAUAUAUAUAUAUAUAUAUAUAGGGUUCUCUUUAAAGAAUAUUACAUCGCAUACCUCAAAGUUUGUUGGUAGGCUGUUGAAAGCUUCGUUCAGUCCGCCUUUGACGGACUGAAUUUUCUCCAUGACUGCACUCAUCAGAGUGCGGUGUUCCUCUAUGAUGGAAGCACUUUGCAGUGCUCCCUCCAGAGUGUUCGGCACCUCCGGAUGGACGGUGGGCACCGUGGGACCAGUCUCUCCCUCCCCCAUCACGGGGGGCUGAUCUCCUGAUUUCGGAGCCGCACUGGGCCCCGACACAGUGUUCGGUGGGGCCCCAGAUUGCAUGGCCCCCCAUCCCUGGUCACCAUGGGGAUUGCUCCCCCUUGGUCGACAGCGGCCGAGGGAUUGACCUCGGGCGCCCUUUCGUCCACCCCACUCCCACCUGCUGGAGCAGGGGGAGUCUGUAGAGCGGAUACCUCGGUAUCCCCCAUAGUGGGCGACGAGCCCCGCGGAGGCGUAUCACUCUCCACCAUCCCCAGCGAUAGGGAGUUCCCCGAUGACAGUGAAGCCACGGGGAUGUCAUGUGGAGGACUAUAUAAAGGCAAAGUAAAUAUUAGAUGCUAAAAAGGAAAAUUAUCCGAACAUAAGCUAUUAUCAUCAAAAUACUUACGAUUCGUCCAGGGGCUUAAUCUUGGGCUGAACUCGAUACCUGUGUUCGAACAUUGAGUCCGAACUAUCUGGAAGAUUCAAUUUCUUCCUGGGCACGGCAUUGCCUGCGUCAGCUGGGGCCGCCCUUUUCCUCCCCGUCACUUGGAUAGGGGAGUCAUCUUCUUUUUCCUCCUCCUCUUCUUCUUCAGGAGAGAGGAGGGUGCCAGUUUCCCCGAACCUUGUGUCCGCGAGACCUAUAGGGUGGGGGUCGCUCUUGACUUCCUUGCCCUUCUUCUUGGCCUUCUUCUCUGGCACCUUGUACGGCACCGGAACCAACAUCGCCGUCAACUGAGGCGUCUCUGGGUCUUCUGGCAAGGGAGCCGGACACUUGAUCCGCUCUGCCUUUUUCGUCCAGGCCUGGAUAGAGCGCAGAAACUUCAACUCCUGUUAUAAUUGAAGUAUGAAUGGAGUGUGUAUUCGAUGGAAAUCUUUAUUACCUCUGAAGCAGUGAGCACGCUGCUGAAGCCCUUGUCUUCGGUCCCCUCUGGCCACCCCUUCUGGGUCUUGAAGAGGUACUUCCAUAUGUCUUCGUGCGUAGUGCCGAAGAGACGCUUCAAUGACCGGGGCCCUUCCGGAUUGAACUCCCACAGAUGGGAGUCUCGGUGUUGGCAGGGAAGGGGGAGACGGAAGAGCAUUACCUAAAUUACAUUUGUGAGGAGGGUGCCCUUGGUGAUCAUGUCGGCGAUGCGGCUUUGGAGCGCCAGCACCUCCGCCUGAGACCCCCAUCCGGACCCUUGUCGGUCCAAGAGGUUAGCCUCUCCUGGGAGUCCAGAUCUAAAUGCGGGCGCCGCCGCCCACUUGGUGUCGCAGGGCUCGGUGAUGUAGUAUCACUCCUGCUGCCAGGCCUUGUUCGUCUCCACAAAGGCCCCCUUGGGCCAAGUGGCGUCGGGGAGCUUGCUCACCAUGGCACCUCCGCACUCCACGUGCUGCCCGUCGACCACCUUCGGCUUCAAAUUGAAGGUUUUGAGCCAAAGGCCAAAGUGUGGGGGGACACGGAGGAAUGCCUCACAUACCACUAUAAAAGCGGAUAUGUGGGAAUUGAGUUCAGGGCAAGAUCAUGGAAAUCUAGCCCACAGAAAAAUAAGAGGCCCCCUACAAAGGGGUGGAGAGAGGAAAUCCCAGCCCCCGAAUAAAGUGCGAGAGGAAGAUGACCCUCUCCCCCGCCUUAGGGACAGGGAUCACUUGGUCCUUUUCGGGGACCCGGUGCGCGACAUCGUCAGUGAGAUAGCCCGCACUCCGAAGAUUAUUCACGACCUUCUCUCUGACCAUGGAAGCUUCCUACUUGCCCUUGGAACCGGAUCCGUCCAUGGCUGGGAAGGGGGGCGGUGGUUGAGGAGUCGAGAGUUGCGGGCGCAAGAGCUGAGGACGCUGGGGCUAGGGAGAUUGGAGAGCUAGGGCUUAAGGAAGGCGUGGGGCUGGUGAAAGGGGGAUUUGUGUCCUUUUAUAAGCGGUGAAUGCUAAACGCCCCCCCCCACUUUAGUCGUGAACCUCGCCGGUUCCCAACGUAGUCAUGCGUAAGGCAUGGUUAAGAUGCUCACGUCACAUUGAUAAGGAUCCCGUAAUAAGCGGGCACGAUCUCUAUUUUGACAAGACGUGACAAUGGGGCUAUACCUCAAAGCACGACACUGGAGACAAGAAAACGGUUUGAUAUAUUAAAGGGACAGACGUGACGCUUCGCUGAAAAAAGUUGUCAGUAAAGACGCAAUAUCCCUUUUUUGAUACCUUGCCUUCGAGGCGAAGGGUUGUACUAACCAUGCAGAGCCGGACGUAGUACCUUUUUGUAGGGAAUAUUGCUUCAAUGUGUUCGGGAGGAGGAACCCGCCUUGCAAUGCCGAAGACAGUACGCGAGCCGAACUCAUCGUCAUGAAAGACUGGUUCAGGGGCUACUAAGGGAGUCCUGGAUUAAGGGGUCCUCAGGUGGCCGGAUCGCUCGUCAUGGGCCGGACUGAUGGGCCGUGAAGAUUAUUGAUGAAGACUAUCUCCCGUACCCGGAUUGGACUCCCAUAUGUGUAAAAUAGCAAGUUUAGAGUUCGAGUGUAAAACAUUCCUUCCUCUGCAAGAUGGUCAUGUACAAACCCUAGGUCCCUCCGGUGCAUAUAUAAACCGGAGGAUUUUAGUCCGUAGAGACAGAAGAAUCGUAGCAAUUACAUAGGCUAGACUUUUAGGGUUUAGCCAUUACGAUCUCGUGGUAGAUCAACUCUUGUAACCCUAUAUUCAUCAAGGUUAAUCAAGCAGGAAGUAGGGUAUUACCUCGAUUGAGAGGGCAUGAACCUGGGUAAACAUCGUGUCCCCAGCCUCCUGUUACCAUCAAUCCUCAGACGCAUAGUUCGGGACCCCCUACCCGACAUCCGCCGGUUUUCACACCGACAGUGAUGACACCGAAGGUAGAGUAAUGAGUAGACGGUGAUAAAAGAGGGCGAAGGUAGAUCAAAUUUUGUCUUGGUGGGGUGAUGUCUACUACGCAACCUUCUUCUUGUAGACGUUGUUGGGCCUCCAAGUGCAAAGGUUUGUAGGACAGUAGCAAAUUUCCCUCAAGUGGAUGACCUAAGGUUUAUCAAUCCGUGGGAGGCAUAGGAUGAAGAUGGUCUCUCUCAAGCAACCCUGCAACCAAAAAACAAAGAGUCUCUUGUGUCCCCAACACACCCAAUACAAUGAUAAAUUGUAUAGGUGCACUAGUUCGGCAAAGAGAUGGUGAUACAAGUGCAAUAUGGAUGGUAGAUAUAUGUUUUUGUAAUCUGAAAAUAUAAAAACAGCAACGUAGCAAGCGAUAAAAGUGAGCGUAAACGGUAUUGCAGUGCUAGGAAACAAGGCCUAGGGUUCAUACUUUCACUAGUGCAAGUUCUCUCAACAAUAAUAACAUAAUUGGAUCAUAUAACUAUCCCUCAACAUUCAACAAAGAGUCACUCCAAAGUCACUAAUAGCGGAGAACAAACGAAGAGAUUAUUGUAGGGUACGAAACCACCUCAAAGUUAUUCUUUCUGAUCAAUCCAUUGGGCUAUUCCUAUAAGUGUCACAAACAGCCCUAGAGUUCGUAGUAAAAUAACACCUUAAGACACACAUCAACCAAAACCCUAAUGUCACCUAGAUACUCCAAUGUCACCUCAAGUAUCCGUGGGUAUGAUUAUACGAUAUGCAUCACACAAUCUCAAAUUCAUCUAUUCAACCAACACAUAGAACCUCAAAGAGUGCCCCAAAGUUCCUACCGGAGAGUCAAGACGAAAACGUGUGCCAACCCCUAUGCAUAGGUUCAUGGGCGGAAACCGCAAGUUGAACACCAAAAUAUGCAUCAAGUGAAUCACGUGAUAUCCCAUUGUCACCACAGAUACGCAAGGCAAGACAUACAUCAAGUGUUCUCAAAUCAUUAAAGACUCAAUCUGAUAAGAUUACUUCAAAGGGAAAACUCAAUCCAUUACAAGAGAGUAGAGGGGGAGAAGCAACAUAAGAUCCAACUAUAAUAGCAACGCUCGCGAUACAUCAAGAUCGUAUCACCUCAAGAACACGAGAGAGAGAUCAAACACAUAGCUACUGGUACAUACCCUCAGCCCGGAGGGUGAACUACUCCCUCCUUGUCGUGGAGAGCGUCGGGAUGAUGAAGAUGGCCACCGGUGAGGUUUCCCCCCUCCGGCAGGGUGCCGGAACAGGGUCCCGAUUGGUUUUUGGUGGCUACAAAGCGUUGCGGCGGCGGAACUCCCGAUCUAUUCUGUUCCCCGAUGUUUUUAGGGUAUAUGGAUAUAUAUAGGUGAAAGAAGUCGGUCAGGGGAGCCACGAGGGGCCCACGAGGGUGGAGGGCGCACCCAGGGGGGUGGGCGCGCCCCCCUGCCUCGUGCCUUCCUCGUUGCUUUCUUGACGUGGACUCCAAGUCCCCCGGAUUGCUUUCUUUCCAAAAAUAACUUCUCUAGAAGGUUUCAUUCCGUUUCGACUCCGUUUGAUAUUCCUUUUCAUCGAAACACUGAAACAAGGGAAAAAACAGGAACUGGCACUGGGCUCUGGUUUAAUAGGUUAGUCCCAAAAAUAAUAUAAAGUGCAUAAUAAAGCCCAUAAACAUCCAAAACAGAUAAUAUAAUAGCAUGGAACAAUCAAAAAUUAUAGAUACGUUGGAGACGUAUCAGCAUCCCCAAGCUUAAUUCCUGCUCGUCCUCGAGUAGAUAAAUGAUAAAAACCGAAUUUUUGAUGUGGAAUGCUACCUAACAUAUCUAUCCAUGCAAUUAUCUUUAUUGUGGCAAGAAUAUUCAUAUCCAUAAGAUUCAAGACAAAAGUUUAAUAUUGACAUAAAAAUAAUAAUACUUCAAGCAUAGUAACUAAGCAAUCAUGUCUUCUCAAAAUAACAUGGCCAAAGAAAGUUCAUCCCUACAAAAUCAUAUAGUUUAGUCAUGCUCCAUUUUCGUCACACAAGAAUGAUCUCAUCAUGCACAACCCCGAUGACAAGCCAAGCAAUUGUUUCAUACUUUAGUAAUCUCAAACUUUUUCAACCUUCACGCAAUACAUGAGCGUGAGCCAUGGAUAUAGCACUAUGAGUGGAAUAGAAUAUGAUGAUGGGGGUUAUGUGGAGAAGACAAAAAAGGAGAAAGUCUCACAUCAACGAGGAUAAUCAAUGAGCUAUGGAGAUGCCCAUCAAUUGAUGUUAAUGCAAGGUGUAGGGAUUGCCAUGCAACGUAUGCACUAGAGCUAUAAAUAUAUGAAAGCUCAACAAAAGAAACUAAGUGGGUGUGCAUCCAACUUGCUUGCUCACGAAGACCUAGGGCACUUGAGGAGGCCCAUUGUUGGAAUGUACAAGCGAAGUCCUAUAAUGAAAAAUUCCCACUAGUAUAUGAAAGUGACAAAACAAGAGACUCUCUAUCAUGAAGAUUAUGGUGCUACUUUGAAGCACAAGUGUGGUAAAAGGAUAGUAACAUUGCCCCUUCUCUCAUUUUCUCUCAUUUUUUGGGCCUUCUCUUUUUUAUGGCCUUUCUUUUUUUAUUCCUCACUUGGGACAAUGCUCUAGAAAAUGAUGAUCAUCACACUUCUAUUUAUUUACAACUCAAUGAUUACAGCUCGAUACUAGAACAAAGUAUGACCCUAUAUGAAUGCCUCCGGCGGUGUACCGAGAUAUGCAAUGAACCAAUAGUGACAUGUAUGAAAGAAUUACGAAUGGUGGCUUUGCCACAAAUACUAUGUCAACUACAUGAUCAUGAAAAGCAAUAUGACAGUGAUGAACGUGUCAUGAUAAACGGAACAGUGGAAAGUUGCAUGGCAAUAUAUCUCGGAAUGGCUAUGGAAAUGCCAUAAUAGGUAGGUAUGGUGGCUGUUUUGAGGAAGAUAUAAGGAGGUUUAUGUGUGAUAGAGCGUAUCAUAUCACGGGGUUUGGAUGCACCGGCGAAGUUUGCACCAACUCUCAUUGUGAGUUAGGGCAAUGCACGGUACCGAAGAGGCUAGCAAUGAUGGAAAGGUGAGAGUGCGUAUAAUCCAUGGACUCAACAUUAGUCAUAAAGAACACACAUACUUAUUGCAAAAAUCUACAAGUCAUCAAAAACCAAGCACUACGCGCAUGCUCCUAGGGGGAUAGAUUGGUAGGAAAAGACCAUCGCUCGUCCCCGACUGCCACUCAUAAGGAGGACAAUCAAGGAACACCUCACAUUUCAAAUUUGUUAAACAACGUUUACCAUACGUGCAUACCAACAUUACACAAGUUAUUUUUGGAAAUAAUAAAAAAUACUGAGCGAAGAAAAUACCAGAGGGGGCCCACACCCUGACCAUGAGGGUGGGGGCGCGCCCCCUGCCUCGUGGGUCCCCUGGCAGGCCUCCGGUGUCCAUCUUCUGCUAUAUGAAGUCUUUUACCCUGGAAAAAAAUUAGAAGAAAGCUUUCGGGACGAGACUCCGCCGCCACGAGGCGGAACCUUGGCGGAACCAAUCUAGGGCUCCGGCGGAGCUGUUCUGCUGGGGAAAUUUCCAUCCGGGAGGGGGAAAUCAUCGCCAUCGUCAUCAUCAACUAUCCUCUCUUUGGGAGGGGGUCCAUCUUCAUCAACAUCUUCACCAACACCAUCUCCUCUCAAACCCUAGUUCAUCUCUUGUAUCCAAUCUUUGUCUCAUAGCUUGAGAUUGGUACCUGUAGGUUGCUAGUAGUGUUGAUUACUCCUUGUAGUUGAUACUAGUCGGUUUAUUUGGUGGAAGAUCAUAUGUUCAGAUCCAUUACGCAUAUUAAUACCCCUCUGAUUAUGAACAUGAAUAUGGUUUGUGAGUAGUUACUUUUGUUCCUGAGGACAUGGGAGAAGUCUUGCUAUUAGUAGUCAUGUGAAUUUGGCAUUCGUUCGAUAUUUUGAUGAGAUGUAUGUUGUCUUUCCUCUAGUGGUGUCAUGUGAACGUCGACUACAUGACACUUCACCAUUGUUUGGGCCUAGAGGAAGGCAUUGGGAAGUAAUAAGUAGAUGAUGGGUUGCUAGAGUGACAGAAGCUUAAACCCUAGUUUAUGCGUUGCUUCGUAAGGGGCUGAUUUGGAUCCAUAUGUUUCAUGCUAUGGUUAGGUUUACCUUAAUACUUCUUUUGCAGUUGCGGAUGCUUGCAAUAGGAGUUAAUCAUAAGUGGGAUGCUUGUCCAAGUAAGGAAAGCACCCAAGCACCGGUCCACCCACAUAUAAAAUUAUCAAAGUAACGAACGUGAAUCUUAUGAACGUGAUGAAAACUAGCUUGACGAUAAUUCCCAUGUGUCCUCGGGAGCAUUUUCCUUUGUAUAAGAAAUUGUCCAGGUUGUCCUUUUCUAAAAAAGGGAUUGGGCCAUCUUGCUGCACCUUAUUUACUUUCAUUACUUGUUACUCCUUACAAAUUACCUUAUCACAAAACUAUCUGUUACCGAUAAUUUUAGUGCUUGUAGAGAAUACCUUGCUGAAAGCCGCUUAUCAUUUCCUUCUGCUCCUCGUUGGGUUCGACACUCUUACUUAUUCAAAGUACUACGUUAGAUCCGCUAUACUUGUGGGUCAUCAAGACUCUUUUCUGGCACCGUUUCCGGGGAGUGAAGCGCCUUUGGUAAGUGGAAUUUGGUAAGGAAAAAUUUCUAUAGUGUGCUGAAAUUUACUGUCACUUGUUACUAUGGAAAGUAAUCCUCUGAGGGGCUUGUUCGGGGUAUCUUCACCCCGACCAGUAGAGCAAAUAGUUUCUCCUCAACCUACUGAACCUACUGAAAAUGUCUACUUUGAAAUUCCUUCAGGUAUGAUAGAGAAACUGCUAGCUAAUCCUUUUGCACGAGACGGAACAUUACAUCCUGAUGAGCACCUAAUCUAUGUGGAUGAAGUUUGUGGAUUAUUUAAGCUUGCAGGUAUGCCCGAUGAUGUUAUCAAGAAGAAGGUCUUCCCUUUCUCUUUGAAGGGAGAUGCAUUGACAUGGUAUAGGCUAUGUGAUGAUAUGGGAUCAUGGAACUACAAGCGAUUGAAAUUGGAAUUUCGUCAGAAGUUCUAUCCUAUGCAUCUUGUUCAUCGUGAUCAUAAUUAUAUAUAUAAUUUUUGACCUCGCGAAGGAGAAAGCAUCACUCAAUCUUGGGGGAGGCUUAAUUCAAUGUUAUAUUCAUGCCCCAAUCAUGAGCUCUCGAGAGAAAUGAUUAUUCAAAAAUUUUAUGCUCGGCUUUCUGACAACAAUCGCACCAUGCUCGAUACUUCUUGUACCGGUUCUUUUAUGACGAAGACUAUUGAAUUCAAAUGGAAUUUAUUGGAGAGAAUUAAAUGCAACUCUGAAGUUUGGGACCUCGACAAAGGUAAAGAGUCAGGUAUAACACCUAAGUUUGAUUGUGUUAAAUCUUUUAUGGAUAACGAUGUUUUCUGUAAAUUUAGCACUAAAUAUGGACUUGACUCUCAGAUAGUAGCUUCUUUCUGUGAAUCCUUUGCUACUCAUGUUGAUCUCCCUAAGGAGAAGUGGUCUAAAUAUAAUCCUCCCACUGAAGUUAAAGUAGUUGCACCUAUUAAAGUUGAAGAAAAGACUAUCACUUAUAAUGAUCCUAUUGUUCCUACUACUUAUGUGGAGAAAUCACCUUUCCCUGUUAGGAUUAAGAAUCAUGCUAAAGCUUCAACUGUGGUCCGUAAGAGUAAUACUAGAACUUAUACACCUCCUGAGCAAGUUAAAGUUGAACCUAAUAUUGCUAUGGUUAAAGAUCUCUUGGCUGAUAAUAUCGAUGGGCAUGUUAUUUACUUCUGUGAUGAAACUGCUAGGAUUGCUAAACCCGGUGCUAAAGAUAAACAUAGACCUAUUGUGGGCAUGCCUGUUAUUUCUGUUAAAAUAGGAGAUCAUUGUUAUCAUGGCUUAUGUGAUAUGGGUGAUAGUGCAAGUGCAAUACCUCAUUCUUUAUAUCAAGAAAUUAUGCAUGAUAUUGCACCUGCUGAGUUAGAAGAAAUUGAUGUCACCAUUAAGCUUGCCAAUAGAGAUACUAUUUCACCAAUUGGGAUUGUUAGAGAUGUUGAAGUCUUGUGUGGGAAGGUUAAAUAUCCUGCUGAUUUUCUUGUUCUUGGUUCCCCACAAGAUAGCUUUUUUCCCAUUAUAUUUGGUAGACCCUUCUUGAAUACUGUUAAUGCUAAGAUAGACUGCAAGAAGGAUGUUGUUACUAUCGGUUUGGAUGAUAUGUCUCAUGAGUUUAGUUUCUCUAAAUUUCGUAGACAACCUCGUGAUGAGGAAUUGCCUAGUAAAGAUGAAAUUCACUAGUGUAGAACCGGGCUUUAGUCCCGGUUCGUAAAGGCCUUUAGUGUCGGUUCCGUAACCGGCACUAAAGGGUGGGCACUAAAGGGGCCCCCCUUUAGUACCGGUUCGGCACGAACCGGCGCUAAAGUGCCACCACGUGGCACGAGCCAGGCCACGGGUGCGGUAGAUCAUUAGUACCGGUUGGUAACACCAACCGGUACUAUAUGUUUGUGGGUUUUGGUUUUAUUUUUUAUAUUUCCUUUAAAUUUGUGUUUUCAAUUUAAUUUAGGAUUGUUUUACGUUAUAAUGAGUUGUUAAAUCAUUAGGUGCUAGUUAAUUAUAUAUAGCUAGCUAAGUGAUCAAGUAUAUGCCAUAGCCAUAUUAUAUAUACUUGAUCACCUAAAGUGAUCAAGCAGUAAUAUGGGUAUGGCAUAUAUUUGAUCACUUAGCUAGCUAGCUAUCUAGGAUCCACAUGCAUGCACUAACACUAGCUUAAGGCAGAAACAUUCACUUAAGUAUACCAGAAGCAAAGAUAUCAUCGAGUUCAACAUGGUCAUGAUAUUAUAAGCGCGUUCAUAUAACACCACAAAAGCAAAUCACUCUUAGAUUAAGUUCAGGACGAAGAAUGACAUGAGAGGAAGUACUAAGAGCAUGAACUAGCUAAAUCACCCCUGCUGCUCCCUCUGAGGUAAAAUAACAUAGAACAUGUAUAGCUCUCCCGAUUGAUCAAACUGGAGCAUGCAGAUGAACCUGUCACCUAUGCGUGGCCUGCGCUUCUCAUCGCUGCCCCCUAGUACUUCUCUGGGAUCGUAAACAAUUUUGCUCCAAUCUUUCACUAUUAAGCAAUCAUCGCUUUCAGAAAUCCUGAAUUCACUCGUGUUCCAUGUAGGAUAUCUUGGCCAUAAGCUAACCAUUGAUAUGAGACCUUUAGUCUCGAUCCACUGAGGCACAACUGUCAUCGGGAGUCCCUGUUGAAGAACAUCGUAUAGUAAUUAAUAAACUUAGCAAUGAAAGUUUAGCUUUAAAAAUAAUGUAUGCAAAAGAUGCACUAAGGACAAAUAGUAAAAAUCUUAUCAUCUUUCCAUUAUAGAUGUGACCGUAGUUCAAUACGAUCACUAUUGGUCGGACGUUUUGAGUACUAACAUUUCUAAGUGCAGGAAGAAAAUUUGUCUUGACAGUAUGAAGAUCCUCAAGCCAUGAAACAUAAUGACUUAUCUCCUCGCAGUUUAAUUCAUCCCUGGGGCAGUAGUAGGUCCUGUCUACCAAGCGUCAAACAUGUUUGCUUGAACCGAAAUAAGCUGACGAUACAAAUUAGUUGUCAACUAUUUUUGAAUAAACAGUAUGAAAGACAUAAACAUAUGCAUGCAUGUGGUUGAGAAAAACUCACAUAAUGGUAGAACUGGAGGCGUUUGCACAUCGACCCAGAUGUCUCUAUUACCUUCAAUAUCAUCUUCCGGACGAAUAUCAAAGGUGAUAACCAUAUCAGGCUCAAAUGCAUAAGCCUUGCAUAGUGCUUGCAAGUUUCGCAUUCAAAAUGGGUGUAUGUGUCUCCAUUGUAUAAUUUGACGUUGAAAGUAUACCCAUGCUCGGUCUUCAAGUAAACUCUCUUUACCUCCAUAUCAUCUAUAGCACUAAAACCUACCUUAUCCAAGACAAAAAUUCGAGCAUGGCAGGGGAUGCGCUAGUAGAAUAGUGAAAAUUUAAAAUUAUAAGUUCAAGCAAAUGAUGCAUAAGUCAUGCUUUAUUAGGAAAAAAAUACUUGCCGGUGUGACUUACUGUAUCCACUUUGAAUGUCUCAUCCAGCUUGAUGCUGAAGCUCCUAUUGUCAUCAAGGAAAUUUCUAUCGCACAGGCCGCGUUGGUCUUCACAGUGUUCGCACAUAAUGAAAUCUUUUUCAUCGUCAGACGACAUUUCCUAUGUUCAUAUAAGUGAAACAUUAAACACUUACUAUCUAACAUUAAUUAAUAUCUAACUAAUUCUAAUAUUCAUCUAACAUUUGACAUUAAUAUCUAACAUAUAUUUCUAUCUAAUUCAUCUAACAUUUGACAUUAAUCUAACAUUUAUAUAAACUAAAUAUAUAUAUAAAAAUAAAAAACAGAAAAAAUAAACUAGUUAAGUUCUAUAUAUAUAGGUGAAACAUUACUAGUUCUAUUAUUUCAACUAAUACAACUAGUUAUAUUAAUUCAACAAGUUCUAUUAAUUAAUUCAAUUACUAAUUAAUUCAACUAAGCAUUUACUAAAAAUAAACUAGUUAUAUUAAUUCAAUUAGUUCAAAUCUCAUGCAUAUANNNNNNNNNNNNNNNNNNNNNNNNNNNNNNNNNNNNNNNNNNNNNNNNNNNNNNNNNNNNNNNNNNNNNNNNNNNNNNNNNNNNNNNNNNNNNNNNNNNNNNNNNNNNNNNNNNNNNNNNNNNNNNNNNNNNNNNNNNNNNNNNNNNNNNNNNNNNNNNNNNNNNNNNNNNNNNNNNNNNNNNNNNNNNNNNNNNNNNNNNNNNNNNNNNNNNNNNNNNNNNNNNNNNNNNNNNNNNNNNNNNNNNNNNNNNNNNNNNNNNNNNNNNNNNNNNNNNNNNNNNNNNNNNNNNNNNNNNNNNNNNNNNNNNNNNNNNNNNNNNNNNNNNNNNNNNNNNNNNNNNNNNNNNNNNNNNNNNNNNNNNNNNNNNNNNNNNNNNNNNNNNNNNNNNNNNNNNNNNNNNNNNNNNNNNNNNNNNNNNNNNNNNNNNNNNNNNNNNNNNNNNNNNNNNNNNNNNNNNNNNNNNNNNNNNNNNNNNNNNNNNNNNNNNNNNNNNNNNNNNNNNNNNNNNNNNNNNNNNNNNNNNNNNNNNNNNNNNNNNNNNNNNNNNNNNNNNNNNNNNNNNNNNNNNNNNNNNNNNNNNNNNNNNNNNNNNNNNNNNNNNNNNNNNGGCGCGACGACGGCGACGGGGACGGGACGCGCGGCGACGAAGACGGAACAGAGAGGAACUAACUGAAAAUUUUCGUAAGUGAUGUAUAUAUAGGAGAGGCCUUUAGUACCGGUUGGAUCCACCAACCGGUACUAAAGGCCAACUUUGGCCCGGCCAAGAGGCGGGAAGAGCAGGCCUUUAGUACCGGUUGGUGGCUUCGACCGGUACUAAAGGUCACCCUUUAGUACCGGGUGGAGCCACCAACCGGUACUAAAGGUGGUGCGCUGCCUGCACAAAGUUUAGUCCCACCUCACCGGGCGAAGGGCAGCCGCACUGGUUUAUAAACCCAGCCGCGGCUGCCCUUUCGAACUCCUAUAUAAAGCAGGCUUCUGGGCCUAAAUACGGCGCGCUGCCCUGUGAGUCUGCUGGGCCUUGUGAGCCUGAAAUUGCACGCCCGUGGUCUAGCAGGCCCCAGGGCAGCGCCCUAAAUUUUUUGAUAUAGAUUUUUUCUUUUCUGCUUUAUUUUUUCUUCUAUUUAUUUCUGAGUAGUUUUUUCUUUUCUGCUAUUUAUUUUCUUCUAUUUAUUUCUGAGUAGUUUUUUUAUAUAGUUUUUUUCUUUUGUGCUAUAUUUUUUUUCUUUUCUGCUAUUUUUUCUUUUCUACUUUAUUUAUUUUCUUCUAUUCAUUUAUUUUUAUAUACCAUGCCAAGUUGAUGGUUAAAACUUUAUGGUUUAUUUCUGAGUAGUUUUAAUAAGUUAUUAAAAAUAAAAAAGAGGUGCAAUGCUCGUUGAUUAGCUUCAAGCCUUUCAGAAUAGUGUAAACUGCACUACACAUAGCUCCGUGCAGUCUACCAUAUUCCUCAAGGCUUGAAGCUAAGCAACGUGAGCAUUGAGCCUCUUCUUCAUCGUCUCUGCACUCAGGGCUUAUAAACCGCUCCUAGUCCCUCUCUCUUCGCGAGGUGGGACUAAAAAACAGCUUACUAAGAAACUGUAGUACUGGUUCAUGCCAUGAACCGGUACUAAAGGUGCUCGUGGGGCCCCAGCCUUACCUGACACAACCUCAUUAGUACCAGUUCGUCGCACGAACCGGUGCUAAAUGUUCGCCACGAACCGGUACUAAAGAGCUCCUCCCGCCUACCAGUUGGAACCGGCACUAAUGGACACAUUAGUGCUGGCUCAAAUUCAAACCGCGACUAAUGUAUCUCAUUUUGUAGUGCUUUUCAAUUUCAGGGUCAUUUAGCUCAAAACAAAUCAUUAAAUGCAUGAAAAAUAGCAAAUGAAGGCAGAAAUGGUUGAAAGUUGAUGGCGUCGCUUUGAAUGGUGCAUACUGAAUGCACAAAAAGUGUGGAGUUGUAAUAAGUUAAAAAAAUGAAAUGCCUUUGUAACACAUGAGUUUAAUUUCGUCAGAAACCCGAAUACUUUCGAAAGAGAUUGUCCAGUUUUUGCCGUAACCCUCUCUACUUUUUUGAACAUGCUAUGUGGGUGAAAUGAUGAUACCAUGCCAAGUUUCAACUUUUUCAGAGAUCAUUUGUAGUGCUUUUCAAUUUCCAGGUCAUUUAGUUCUCAAAACAAACCAUUAAAUGCAUGAAAAAUAGCAAAUGAAGGCAGAAAUGGUUGACAGUUGAUGGCGUCGCUUUGAGUGGUGCAUACUGAACGCAAAAAAUAUAAGAGCAUUUAGAUCAUUAUCUUAUAUUUCUUUACAGUAUGAAUUGUCAAUAUGAUCUUAUACAUCAAAAAUACUUUGAUCAUCAAUGAUCUUUUUGUAUACAAUCUGAAUUGUCAAUAUGAGUCCUCAACGAUUUAUAAACCAGUGAAGACUCAUAUUGCGGCCACAAAUUCUACACAUAGAGUUCAAUGAAGACCAAGUGCUUGUGAUAGUUUGAGAAGUAACAUAUUUAAGGUGGUAAAAGCCUUGUUAGGGGAGCGAGGUGGGACUAAAAACAGCUUGCCAUAACCUCAUUAGUACCGGUUCGUCGUACGAACCGGCACUAAAUGGUGAUGGUGGGGCCAUAGCCUGACCGCAGGCUUCCACAGCCUCUUUAGUACCGGUUCGUGCGAUGAACCGGCACUAAAGGUUCGCCAUGAACCGGUACUAUUGAUCGCCGCCACAAACCGGUACUAUUGAUCUCAUUAGUGCCGGUUUUUUUACAAACCGGCACUAAUGUGCUUCACAUUUGAACGUUUUUCUACUAGUGAUUAUUGGUCUUGCUUCUAUUGUCGUGCCUCCUAGUGAUCCUUUAGAACAAUAUUUGCUAGACCAUGAAAAUGAUAUGUUUAUGAAUGAAAGAAGGGAAAUAGAUGAAGUAUUCUUUAAGCAGGGACCUAUUCUAAAACACAACUUGCCUGUUGAAAUCCUAGGGGAUCCUCCUCCACCCAAGGGAGAUCCCGUGUUUGAGCUUAAACCAUUACCUGAUACUCUUAAAUAUGCUUAUCUUGAUGAAAAGAAGAUAUAUCCUUUUAUUAUUAGUGCUAACCUUUCAGAGCAUGAAGAAGAGAAAUUAUUGAAAACUCCGAAGAAGUACCGCGCUGCUAUUGGAUAUACUCUGGAUGAUCUUAAGGGCAUUAGUCCCACUCUAUGUCAACACAAAAUAAAUUUGGAGAAAGACGCCAAACCAGUUAUUGAUCAUCAACGACAGCUAAAUCCUAAGAUGAAAGAAGUGGUAAGAAAGGAAAUACUAAAGCUCCUUGAGGCAAGUGUCAUUUAUCCCAUUGCUAAUAGUCAGUGGGUAAGUCCUAUCCAUUGUGUCCCUAAGAAGGGAGAGAUUACUGUCGUUCCUAACGAUAAAGAUGAAUUGAUCCUACAAAGAAUUAUUACAUGUUAUAGAAUGGUAAUUGAUUUCCGCAAAUUAAAUAAGGCUACUAAAAAAGAUCAUUACCCGUUACCUUUUAUUGAUCAAAUGCUAGAAAGAUUAUCCAAACAUACACAUUUUUGCUUUCUAGACCACUUUUACUUGCCCUUUCGGUACUUUUGCUUAUAGACGUAUGCCUUUUGGUUUAUGUAAUGCACCUGCUACCUUUCAAAGAUGCAUGAUGGCUAUAUUCUAUGACUUUUGUUAAAGGAUAUGUGAGGUUUUCAUGGAUGAUUUCUCCGUUUAUUGAUCCUCUUUUGAUGAUUGCUUGAGCAACCUUGAUUGAGUUUUGCAGAGAUGUGAAGAAACUAAUCUUGUCUUGAAUUGGGAGAAGUGCCACUUUAUGGUUAAUGAAGGUACUGUCUUGGGGCAGAAAAUUUCUGAAAGAGGUAUUGAAGUUGAUAAAGCUAAAGUUGAUGCUAUUGAAAAGAUGCCAUGUCCCAAGGACAUCAAAGGUAUAAGAAGUUUUUUGGGUCACGCCGAUUUCUAUAGGAGGUUCAUUAAGGACUUCUCAAAAAUUUCUCGGCCUCUUUCUAAUCUAUUACAAAAAGAUAUACCUUUUGUCUUUGAUGAUGAUUGUGUAGAAGCAUUUGAAAUACUUAAGAAAGCAUUAAUUUCUGCACCUAUUGUUCAGCCACCUGAUUGGAAUUUACCCUUUGAAAUUAUGUGUGAUGCUAGUGAUUAUGUUGUAGGUGCUGUUCUAGGGCAAAGAGUUGAUAAAAAAAUUAAAUGUUAUUCAAUAUGCUAGUAAAACCCUAGACAAUGCCCAGAGAAAUUAUGCUACUAUCGAAAAAGAAUUUUUAGCAGUUGUAUUUGCCUGUGAUAAGUUCAGACCUUAUAUUGUUGAUUCUAAAGUAACUAUUCACACUAAUCAUGUUGCUAUUAAAUAUCUUAUGGAAAAGAAAGAUGCUAAACCUAGACUUAUUAGAUGGGUUCUCUUGCUACAAGAAUUUGAUUUGCAUAUUAUUGAUAGAAAGGGAGCUGAGAACCCCGUUGCAGACAACUUGUCUAGGUUAGAAAAUGUUCUUGAUGACCCACUACCUAUUGAUGAUAGCUUUCCCGAUGAACAAUUAAAUGUCAUAAAUGCUUCUUGUACUGCUCCAUGGUAUGCUGAUUAUGCUAAUUACAUUGUUGCUAAAUUUAUACCACCUAGUUUCACAUACCAACAAAAGAAAAAGUUUUUCUAUUAAGACAUUACUUCUGGGAUGACCCACAUCUUUAUAAAGGAGUAGAUGGUGUUAUUAGACGUUGUGUACCUGAGCAUGAACAGGAACAUAUCCUGGGCAAGUGUCACUCCGAAGCUUAUGGGGGACACCAAGCUGGAGAUAGAACUGCACAUGAGGUAUUCCAAUCUGGUUUUUAUUGGCCUACUCUCUUCAAGGAUGCUCGUAAGUCUGUCUUGUCUUGUGAUGAAUGUCAAAGAAUUGGUAAUAUUAGUAGACGUCAAGAAAUUCCUAUGAAUUAUUAACUUGUUAUUGAACCAUUUGACGUUUGGAGCUUUGAUUAUAUGGGACCAUUUCCUGCCUCUAAUGGAUAUACACAUAUUUUAGUUGCUGUUGAUUAUGUUACUAAGUGGGUAGAAGCUAUUCCAACUAGUAGCGCUGAUCAUAACACCUGUAUUAAGACGCUUAAAGAAGUUAUUUUUCCGAGGUUUGGAGUCCCUAGAUAUUUAAUGACUGAUGGUGGUUCACAUUUUAUUCAUGGUGCCUUUCGUAAAAUGCUUGCUAAGUAUGAUGUUAAUCAUUGAAUUGCAUCUCCAUAUCAUCCACAGUCUAGCGGUCAAGUAGAAUUGAGUAAUAGAGAGCUUAAAUUAAUUUUGCAAAAGACUGUUAAUAGGUCUAGAAAGAAUUGGUCCAGGAAACUUGAUGAUGCAUUAUGGGCCUAUAGAACUGGAUAUAAAAAUCCUAUGGGUAUGUCUCCGUAUAAAAUGGUUUAUGGAAAAGCAUGUCACUUACCUCUCGAACUAGAACAUAAGGCAUAUUGGGCCAUUAAAGAGCUCAAUUAUGAUUUCAAACUUGCCGGCGAGAAGAGGUUAUUUGACAUUAGCUCACUUGAUGAAUGGAGAACCCAAGCCUAUGAAAAUGCCAAGUUUUUUAAAGAAAAAGUUAAAAGAUGGCAUGACAAAAGGAUACAAAAGCGUGAGUUUAAUAUAGGUGAUUAUGUGUUGCUAUACAACUCUCGUUUAAGAUUUUUUUCAGGAAAACUUCUCUCUAAAUGGGAAGGCCUUUACGUUAUCGAGGAGGUCUAUCGUUCCGGUGCCAUAAAAAUCAACAACUUCAAAGGCACAAAUCCAAAGGUGGUGAACGGUCAAAGAAUCAAACAUUAAAUCUCAGGUAAUCCUAUAAAUGUUGAAACUAAUAUUAUUGAAACCGUAACCCCGGAGGAAUACAUAAGGGACACUUUUCGGAACGUUUCAGACUCCAAAAAGGAAUAGGUACGUGGUACGGUAAGUAAACCGACUCCAAAACAGUUCUAAAGGCAAUUUUUCUCCGUUUUGGAAUAUUUAGAAAAAUAGGAAAAUAAAAAGCAGUACGGGAAGGACACGAGGCUUCCACGAGGGUGGGAGGCGCGCCCUAACCCCCUACGCGCGCGCCCUGCCUCGUGGGCACCUCGUGCGCUCUCCAGACUCUAUUUUCUUACACGAUACAUAUUUUGGUCGGUAAAAAUUCAUUAGAUAAUCUCCCGAAGGUUUUGACUCUCGUAUCACACAAAUAUCCUCUGUUCUCGUUUCGAGCUGUUUUUCUGACAGAUCUAGGCCACCAUGACGUCUCCAAGUGCCCCCAAGGACAAGUUCUUUGAGAAGGUCAUCAAUCCCUUCCUUGCGGAGGUGCUGCAACACCCUCAAACCAUUGAGAUGCAUGAGGGGGUGCUGCACAUCCGCGAUGUUGAGGGACCAAGGAGGACCGGAAGUGUGGAUACAAGGCUGGAAACAAUGGAGCAACAAGUCUUCAAGUGUCAGGAGAUGGUGGAGCGGGGACUCGGUACCACAUAAUGAUCACAGAGUUCACCAACAACCACAAGUUGGAUGUCAAGGACAUUGGGGAGGCCAUCUUAAAGCUUCACGAGAAAAUCAAGCACCUCCAAGCCCAGAUCUACGACCUGCAAAACAAAAACUAUGAGUAUGAAUAUAGAUUCAAGAGGAUGAGUUUGCCUGCAGAUUUGAGGAUCCCGGAGACUCGAUCAUCCUUCUAUGAUGGUGAGCCCAUGCCUUGGAAGAUGGAUGACAAGCCUACAUCAUCAAGAACUCCAUCUCCUUCACCAUCAAAAGAGACAUGAUCACAUGGGUAUGGGCACUCCCCUUGGCAACUGCCAAGCUUGGGGGAGGUGCCCCGGUAUCGUAUCACCAUCACACUCCUAUCUUUACUGUUUUUCUUAGUUCGAUCCUUUUGGUAAUAUCUUGAUUUAGUAGAAUAAAGUUUUUAGUAUGAUUCCCCUAUGUAAUCGAGUCCGUGAGCUAUCUAUAAUAAAGAUUAGUGUUGAGUCAAGGGCUUGAUUAUCUUGCUAUGAUCUUGAGUGAAAAAAGAGAGAAAAGGAAAGAAUAAAAAGAAAUAAAGAGAUCAUAUUGAUCUUAUGGAGAGUAAUGACUUCACAUAGAGAGAGUAUGAUGAUUAAAAGUUAUUGUGAGUUGACAAACAUAGUUUUGGUCAUCGUUGCAAUUAAUAGGAAGUAAAAUGAAAGAGAUGUUUCACAUAUAAAUAUACUAUCUUGGACAUCUUUUAUGAUUGUGAGAACUCAUUAAAAUAUGACAUGCUAAAGAGUUGAUAUUGGACAAGGAAGACAAUGUAAUGGGUUAUGUUUUCUUAUAUCCGAGAUAAAGUAUAUUGUUAUGGAUCAUCCAACAUGUUGAGCUUGCCUUUCCCCCUCAUGCUAGCCAAAUUCUUUGCACCAAGUAGAGAUACUACUUGUGCUUCCAAAUACUCUUAAACCCAGUUGUGCCAUGAGAGUCCACCAUAUCUAUGAAGGAAAUUGUUGGGGAACGUAGUAAUUUCAAAAUUUUCCUACGCACACGCAAGAUCAUGGUGAUGCAUAGCAACGAGAGGGGAGAGUGUUGUCUACGUACCCUCGUAGACCGAAGCGGAAGCGAUCACAACGUAGAGGAAGUAGUCGUACGUUCUCCUCGCGAUCCAACCGAUCCCAGCGCCGUUACUCCGGCGCCUCCGAGUUCUUGACACACGUACAGCUCGGUGACGCUCCUCGGGCUCCGAUCCAGCAAAGCUCCGGGGAGAGAGAGUUCCGUCAGCACGACGGCGUGGUGACGAUCUUGAUGUUCUACCGACGCAGGGCUUCGCCUAAGCACCGCUACGGUAUGACCGAGGUGGUAUAUGGUGGAGGGGGGCACCGCACACGGCUAAGGAACGAUCUCAAGGAUCAACUUGUGUGUUCUAGGGUGCCCCCUGCCCCCGUAUAUAAAGGAGCCAAGGGGGAGGGGGCCGGCCGGCCAAGAGGAGGCGCGCCAGGGAGUCCUACUCCCUCCGGGAGUAGGAUUCCCCCUCCAAUCCUAGUUGGAAUAGGAUUCACCGGAGGGGGGAAAGAGAGAGAGGGGGCCGGCCCACCUUUCCUAGUCCUAGUAGGACUAGGGGAAGGGGGGAGGCGCGCGGCCACCUAGGGCUGGUCCUUUCUCCUUUCCACCAAGGCCCACUAUGGCCCAUAUAGUUCCCGGGGGGUUCCGGUAACCUCCCGGUACUCCGGUAAAUUCCCGAUUUCACUCGGAACAUUUCCGAUGUCCAAAUGUAGGCUUCCAAUAUAUCAAUCUUUACGUCUCGACCAUUUCGAGACUCCUCGUCAUGUCCGUGAUCACAUCCGGGACUCCGAACUCCUUCGGUACAUCAAAAUACACAAACUCAUAAUAUAACCGUCAUCGAAACCUUAAGCGUGCGGACCCUACGGUUCGAGAACAAUGUAGACAUGACCGAGACACGUCUCUGGUCAAUAACCAAUAGCGGAACCUGGAUGCCCAUAUUGGUUCCUACAUAUUCUACGAAGGUCUUUAUCGGUCAAACCGCAUAACAACAUACGUUGUUCCCUUUGUCAUCGGUAUGUUACUUGCCCGAGAUUCGAUCGUCGGUAUCCAAUACCUAGUUCAAUCUCGUUACCGGCAAGUCUCUUUACUCGUUUCGUGAUACAUCAUCUCACAGCUAACUCAUUAGUUGUUAUGCUUGCAAGGCUUAGUGAUGUGCAUUACCGAGAGGGCCCAGAGAUACCUCUCCGACAAUUGGAGUGACAAAUCCUAAUCUCGAAAUACGCCAACCCAACAUCUGCCUUUGGAGACACCUGUAGUACUCCUUUAUAAUCACCCAGUUACGUUGUGACGUUUGGUAGUACCCAAAUUGUUCCUCCGGUAAACGGGAGUUGCAUAAUCUCAUAGUUAUAGGAACAUGUAUAAGUCAUGGAUAAAAGCAAUAGCAACAUACUAAACGAUCGGGUGCUAAGCUAAUGGAAUGGGUCAUGUCAAUCAGAUCAUUCAACUAAUGAUGUGACCUUGUUAAUCAAAUGACAACUCCUUUGUCUAUGGUUAGGAAACUUAACCAUCUUUGAUUAACAAGCUAGUCUAGUAGAGGCAUACUAGUGACACUCUUGUUUGUCUAUGUAUUCACACAUGUAUUAUGUUUCCGGUUAAUACAAUUCUAGCAUGAAUAAUAAACAUUUAUCAUGAAAUAAGGAAAUAAAUAAUAACUUUAUUAUUGCCUCUAGGGCAUAUUUCCUUCAGUCUCCCACUUGCACUAGAGUCAAUAAUCUAGAUCACAUCACCAUGUGAUUCACAUCGAUAGUUCACAUCAUCAUGUGAUUAACACCCAUAGUUCACAUUGCCAUGUGACCAACAUCCAAAGGGUUUACUAGAUUUAGUAAUCUAGUUCACAUCACUAUGUGAUUAACACCCAAAGAGUACUUAGGUGUGAUCAUGUUUUGCUUGUGAGAGAAUCUUAGUCAACGGGUCUUUCACAUUCAGAUCCGUUAUGUAUUUUGCAAUUUUUUUUAUGUCUACAAUGCUCUGCACGGAGCUACUCUAGCUAAUUGCUCCCACUUUCAAUAUGUAUCUAGAUCGAGACUUAAAGCCAUCCAGAUCGGUGUCAAAACUUGCAUCGACGUAACCCUUUACGACGAACCUUUUAUCACUUCCAUAAUCGAGAAACAUAUCCUUAUUCCAUUAAGGAUAAUUUUGACCGCUGUCCAGUGAUCUAUUCCUAGAUCACUAUUGUACUCCCUUGCCAAACUCAGUGCAGGGUAUACAAUAGAUCUGGUACACAGCAUGGCAUACUUUAUAGAACCUAUGGCCAAGGCAUAGGGAAUGACUUUCAUUCUCUUUCUAUCUUCUGCCGUGGCCGGGUUUUGAGUCUUACUCAAUUUCACACCUUUGUAACACAGGCAAGAACUCUUUCUUUGACUGUUCCAUUUUGAACUACUUCAAAAUCUUGUCAAGGUAUGUACUCAUUGAAAAAACUUAUCAAGCGUCUUGAUCUAUCUCUAUAGAUCUUAAUGCUCAAUAUGUAAGCAGCUUCACCGAGGUCUUUCUUUGAAAAACUCCUUUUAAACACUCCUUUAUGCUUUGCAGAAUAAUUCUACAUUAUUUCCGAUCUACAAUAUGUCAUUCACAUAUACUUAUCAGAAAUAUUGUAGUGCUCCCACUCACUUUCUAGUAAAUACAGGCUUCACUGCAAGUCUGUAUAAACUAUAUGCUUUGAUCAACUUAUCAAAGCGUAUAUUCCAACUCCGAGAUGCUUGCACCAGUCCAUAGAUGGAUCGCUGGAGCUUGCACACUUUGUUAGCUCCCUUUGGAUCGAUAAAACCUUCUGGUUGCAUCAUAUACAACUCUUCCUCCAGAAACCCAUUCAGGAAUGCAGUUUUUACAUCCAUUUGCCAAAUUUCAUAAAUUGUGGCAAUUGCUAACAUGAUUCGGACAGACUUAAGCAUCGCUACAGUUGAGAAAAUCUCAUUGUAGUCAACACCUUGAACUUGUCAAAAACCUUUUUGCGACAAGUCGAGCUUUGUAGAUAGUAACACUACUAUCAACGUCCGUCUUCCUCUUGAAGAUCCAUUUAUUUUCUAUUGCUUGCCGACCCUCGGGCAAGUCAACCAAAGUCCACACUUUGUUUUCAUACAUGGAUCCCAUCUCAGAUUUCAUGGCUUCUAGCCAUUUAGCGGAAUCUGGGCUCACCAUCGCUUCUUCAUAGUUCGUAGGUUCGUCAUGAUCUAGUAGCAUGACUUCCAGAACAGGAUUGCCGUACCACUCUGGUGCGGAUCUCACUCUGGUUUACCUACGAGAUUCGGUAGUGACUUGAUCUGAAGUUACAUGAUCAUCAUCAUUAGCUUCCUCACUAAUUGGUGUAGGAAUCACUGGAACUGAUUUCUGUGAUGAAAUACUUUCCAAUUCGGGAGAAGGUAUAAAUUACCUUAUCAAGCUCCACUUUCCUCCCACUCACUUCUUUCAAGAGAAACUCCUUCUCUAGAAAGGAUCCAUUUAUAAGCAACGAAUGUUUUGCCUUCGGAUCUGUGAUAGAAGGUAUACCCAACAAUUUCCUUUGGGUAUUCUAUGAAGACGCACUUCUCCGAUUUGGGUUUGAGCUUAUCAGGAUGAAACUUUUUCACAUAAGCAUCGCAGCCCCAAACUUUAAGAAACGACAACUUUGGUUUCUUGCUAAACCACAGUUCAUAUAGUGUCGUCUCAACGGAUUUAGAUGGUGCCCUAUUUAACGUGAAUGCAGCUGUCUCUAAUGCAUGAUCCCAAAACGAUAUUGGUAAAUCGGUAAGAAACAUCAUAGAUUGUACUAUAUCCAAUAAAGUACGGUUAUGACGUUCGGACACACCAUUAUGAUGUGGUGUUCCAGGUGGCAUGAAUUUGUGAAACUAUUUCACGUUGUUUUAAUUGAAGACCAAACUCGUAACUCAAAUAUUUGUCUCCACGAUCAGAUCGUAGAAACCUUUAUUUUCUUGUCAUGAUGAUUUUUUCACUUCACUCUGAAAUUCUUUGAACCUUUCAACUAUUUCAGACUUAUGUUUCAUCAAGUAGAUAUACCCAUAUCUGCUCAAAUCAUCUGUGAAGGUCAGAAAAUAACGAUACCUGCCGCGAACCUUAACACUCAUUGGAUCGCAUACAUCAGUAUGUAUUAUUUCUAAUAAGUCAGUUGCUCGCUCCACUGUUCCGGAGAACAGAGUCUUAGUCAUCUUGCCCAUGAGGCAUGGUUCGCAAGCAUCAAGUGAUUCAUAAUCAAGUGAUUCCGAAAUCCCAUCAGCAUGGAGUUUCUUCAUGCGCUUUACACCAAUAUGACCUAAACGGCAGUGCCACAAAUAAGUUGCACUAUCAUUAUUAACUUUGCAUCUUUUGGUUUCAAUAUUAUGAAUAUGUGUAUCACUACGAUCGAGAUCCAAUAAACCAUUUUCAUUGGGUGUGUAACCAUAUAAGGUUUUAUUCAUGUAAACAGAACAACAGUUUAUUCUCUUACUUAAAUGAAUAACCGUAUUGCAAUAAACAUGAUCAAAUCAUAUUCAUGCUCAACGCAAACACCAAAUAACAUUUAUUUGGGUUCAACACUAAUCCCGAAAGUAUAGGGAGUGUGCGAUGAUGAUCAUAUCAAUCUUGAAACUACUUUCAACACACAUCGUCACUUCACCCUUAACUAGUUUCUGUUUAUUCUACAACUCCCGUUUCGAGUUACUACUCUUAGUAACUGAACCAGUACCAAAUACCGAGGGGUUGCUAUAAACACUAGUAAAGUACACAUCAAUAACAUGUAUAUCAAAUAUACCUUUGUUUACUUUGCCAUCCUUCUUAUCCGCCAAAUACUUGGGGUAGUUCUGCUUCCAGUAACCAGUCCCUUUGCAGUAAAAGCACUUAGUCUCAGGCUUAGGUCUAGACUUGGGAUUCUUCACUUGAGCAGCAACUUGCUUGCCGUUCUUCUUGAAGUUCCCUUCUAUCCCUUUGCCCUUUUCUUGAAACUAGUGGUCUUGUUAACCAUCAACACUUGAUGUUCUUUCUUGAUUUCUACCUUCAUCGAUCUCAUCAUCAUGAAAAACUCGGGAAUUAUUUUCAUCAUCCCUUGCAUACUAUAGUUCAUCACGAAGUUCUACUAACUUGGUGAUGGUGACUAGAGAAUUCUGUCAAUCACUAUCUUAUCUGGAAGAUUAACUCCCACUUGAUUCAAGCGAUUGUAGUACCCAGACAAUCUGAGCACAUGCUCACUAGUCGAGCGAUUCUCCUCCAUCUUUUAGCUAUAGAACUUGUUGGAGACUUCAUAUCUCUUAACUCGGGUAUUUGCUUGAAAUAUUAACUUCAACUCCUGGAACAUCUCAUAUGGUCCAUGAUGUUCAAAACAUCUUUGAAGUCCCGAUUCUAAGCCAUAAAGCAUGGUGCACAAAACUAUCAAGUAGUCAUCAUAUUGAGCUAGCCAAACGUUCAUAACGUCUGCAUCUGCUCCUGCAAUAGGUCUGUCACCUAGCGGUGCAUUAAGGACAUAAUUCUUCUGUGCAACAUUGAGGAUAAACCUCAGAUCGCGGAUCCAAUCCGCAUCAUUGCUACUAACAUUUUUCAACACAAUUUUCUCUAGGAACAUAUGAAAAUAAACAUAUGAAAGCAACAACGCGAGCUAUUGAUCUACAACAUAAUUUGCAAAAUACUACCAGGACUAAGUUCAUGAUAAAUUUAAGUUCAAUUAAUCAUAUUACUUAAGAACUCCCACUUAGACAGACAUCUCUCUAGUCAUCUAAGUGAUCACGUGAUCCAAAUCAACUAAACCAUAACCGAUCAUCACGUGAGAUGGAGUAGUUUUCAAUGGUGAACAUCUUAUGUUGAUCAUAUCUAGUAUAUGAUUCACGCUCGACCUUUCGGUCUCCGUGUUCCGAGGCCAUAUCUGCAUAUGCUAGGCUCGUCAAGUAUAACCUGAGUAUUCUGCGUGUGCAAAACUGGCUUGCACCCGUUGUAGAUGGACGUAGAGCUUAUCACACCCGAUCAUCACGUGGUGUCUCGGCACGACGAACUUUGGCAACGGUGCAUACUCAGGGAGAACACUACUUGAUAAUUUUAGUGAGAGAUCAUCUUAAAAUGCUACCGUCAAUCAAAGCAAAAUAAGAUGCAUAAAGGAUAAACAUCACAUGCAAUCAAUAUAAGUGAUAUGAUAUGGCCAUCAUCAUCUUGUGCUUGUGAUCUCCAUCUCCGAAGCACCGUCGUGAUCACCAUCGUCACCGGCGCGACACCUUGAUCUCCAUCGUAGCAUCGUUGUCGUUUACGCCAUCUAUUGUAGCGACCUGACCCAAAAUCGGUCAAAUCUCUGUGUCUGUACCAUCCCAAGAUCAUGCUGGUACUCACAGUACAUCGAUAAAGUAAUCAAAGUUCAAUCACACCUGAAUAUCAUUAAACGAUUCUCAUAUAGAGUCUUUAUUACAAGGGAAUAAAUUCGGCUCAAGGCCAACUCAUGAGAAAUAAACUACAAAUGCUGCGGAAGCGUCGAAGGUAAGCGAGUCCAUCCGACUCCAAAGGGCAAUCGCCAAGCGCAGAGCGUAGCCUCACUCCUGAUCGGAAUAUAUCUCUGCAACAUAAUACGUUGCAGCCAUGUAGGUCAGCUUUUGGAAUAAGCUGGCAAGUCAUGAAGAAUAACAAUAAUAAAGUUACUAACUCUAUAUGCAUUUUGGCUGUGGAGCUCUAAGUUUCAUCAUUUUGCGAAAAGCAAAUUUUAUCCUACUACAGUGGACUUGCUUGCAAAUUACUACAAUUGUUGGUAGUUAUUGAGAUGGUUCCGCCAACCAAUAUCUCGUUCCCAAUUAUUAAGUCAUAUAAACCCUCAAAUUUAUUCAUUUGUUUUAGUGUUGAGAUAUCCGAAUACUUCCAAGUUCCAGAGGCUCAAAUGUCCGUAACCGGGGACACGGCUAAUCGAUUAGAUCUUUAACUCUGCAGAGGGUUGCGCACUUUCCCCGCAAGAAUCAUUCCCUCCUUUAAAGUCUUCGCACUUCAUGGUGUUUGAAGACGGGACGAAUGAAACAGGGUCUUCCAAAGAGUUCUUCUGGCCACUGCCGGUACCCAUCCAAUCCUACCGUUCGUCUACUUCUCGUAGUACCGUCCAGCCAGCGUCACUACUAGGGUCAACCCAGCCAGAGCCCAUAAUGGCUUGCGGCUGCACAGGUAAGCUUCCGGUCAUGGGGCAUCCAUCCUUCUCUUUGUGGCUGGGUGAAGCUUUCCGCAGGAUGUCAUGGCGCUUCUCCAUGCAUCCCGGCCACCACUGGGUGCUCCAGGGUGCCCGUCAACCGUCCUCCACCCAGUAGUGAUUUUCCGAAGUCCAUCUUGAUCAUUGUAGUCCAUGGGGUUGUCAUCAUCAUUGACUCUCACAUCUUGCUUAUGAAUUUCACUCAUCCCAAAUCCCGUCUACGAGCAUAGCAAAAUAACUACUACGUCCCGGGGUCAUGGUAACAAGGGGGUUGGUUCAUCCUACCACAUGAUACUACUCAAGUUUAAUGACUUCAAGAUUUCACUACUGCAUGCAUGGUGGGGUGGUGACAACUACUAAUGCACAAAACAUAGGUAUAGAAAUAACAUGAUCAAAACUUGCCUUGUUGUUGAUCCUCGUAAGCUAAAGAGUCGUAGUAGCAAGCUUCGCACUCCGGAAACUCUACCGAGACAAACAAUAGCACAAUAAGCACAAAGCAAUAGGAUCACACAACAUAACAAAAGUAACAUAACACAACAAAACAAUCAAAACCAAAUCCAAAAGGAAAACUCAAAGAAACCAAUUCAAGUUUUUCCCUACCCCAAACAAUAACUAAAAUAGUUUUUAUAUAACAAAAAUUCCUUAAUAUAACCUAAUCAUGGUUUUAAGUUAACUUAACAGAAAAGGUUUCACUAAGCAACUAGGAGCAAAAAGAAUUAAUUAAAAAGCUAUUAUAAAACUCAUUUUAGGCCUAAUCCAAUUUCUAUUAAGAAAAAUAAUUUAAAACUUUUAAUUAUAAAUAAAAGUUCAUCUACUAAAGUGACAGAAACUAACCUAGAAUAACUAAUCACAAGUUAAAAACAAAUUCAUUUACUAAUUUAAACAUUAGGAAAACAGGAACUAGUUAAUUAAUUAGGUUUAAUAGGAUUCUGUCUAAAACUAAUUAUUUAUUAAUCCUAAAAUACCCAAGUUAAUUUCUAGGGUUUGGCAAUGUCAAAAUAAAGUGGUGACAAAAAAGAAUCAUGCAAAAAUAAUUUUUCUAACUAAAGUUAUAGCAGAUUUACUAUUCUGACCAAAACUAAAAUAAAGCAAUUUUAAUUAUUUUUAACAUAGCUAAAUAUAUAUUCUACAGAAACUACAUAAAAUUUGCAAUACAACAAAAAAAUAAUCAUCUAAAAAUAUUAAACAGAAUAAAAGAUAUAAAUUUUUGAAAACAGAAACUAUUCGGCUAAAACAGAAAAUCAAAAUAAAAGAAAAAGGCCUAAUGGGCCUAUACUGUGCCCUGUGCGUUAGAUAGCCUAACGGGUUCUAGGGUUAACUAAAACGAACCGGCCUAAAAAAAUAAACCUAACCUAAAAAUAAACCGAUUGGACCGGCCGGUUUUAUAAUAAAAACUUACCCCUUCGGGGGUUCUAAUCCUAGUCGUUGAUCUAGGAUCGGACGGGGGAGGGUGAUGCCGGUGGCUUACCGGACUCCGGCGACGGCGGCGGCGGCGGCGAGAGUGCGUCGGGGCUUCCGGGCGUCGGGGAGCUCCGGCGAGUCGUCGGGAGGAUGCGGGGGAGCNNNNNNNNNNNNNNNNNNNNNNNNNNNNNNNNNNNNNNNNNNNNNNNNNNNNNNNNNNNNNNNNNNNNNNNNNNNNNNNNNNNNNNNNNNNNNNNNNNNNNNNNNNNNNNNNNNNNNNNNNNNNNNNNNNNNNNNNNNNNNNNNNNNNNNNNNNNNNNNNNNNNNNNNNNNNNNNNNNNNNNNNNNNNNNNNNNNNNNNNNNNNNNNNNNNNNNNNNNNNNNNNNNNNNNNNNNNNNNNNNNNNNNNNNNNNNNNNNNNNNNNNNNNNNNNNNNNNNNNNNNNNNNNNNNNNNNNNNNNNNNNNNNNNNNNNNNNNNNNNNNNNNNNNNNNNNNNNNNNNNNNNNNNNNNNNNNNNNNNNNNNNNNNNNNNNNNNNNNNNNNNNNNNNNNNNNNNNNNNNNNNNNNNNNNNNNNNNNNNNNNNNNNNNNNNNNNNNNNNNNNNNNNNNNNNNNNNNNNNNNNNNNNNNNNNNNNNNNNNNNNNNNNNNNNNNNNNNNNNNNNNNNNNNNNNNNNNNNNNNNNNNNNNNNNNNNNNNNNNNNNNNNNNNNNNNNNNNNNNNNNNNNNNNNNNNNNNNNNNNNNNNNNNNNNNNNNNNNNNNNNNNNNNNNNNNNNNNNNNNNNNNNNNNNNNNNNNNNNNNNNNNNNNNNNNNNNNNNNNNNNNNNNNNNNNNNNNNNNNNNNNNNNNNNNNNNNNNNNNNNNNNNNNNNNNNNNNNNNNNNNNNNNNNNNNNNNNNNNNNNNNNNNNNNNNNNNNNNNNNNNNNNNNNNNNNNNNNNNNNNNNNNNNNNNNNNNNNNNNNNNNNNNNNNNNNNNNNNNNNNNNNNNNNNNNCUUCGGGAUCCGGCGAUCCUCCGGCGAGUGGCGUUGCAUGGGCGAGGGGGGAAGAAGAGGGGGCGGGGCCCACGGGUCAGAGAGAGAGAGAGGGAGGGGUGAGGCGAGCGGUCGACCGAAGCCUAGGGGAUUCGGGCGAGGGGCGAGGCCGGUCGGGCGCUGGGCUGGCCUGUUGGCCUAGUGGGCCGGCUGGCUUGGGCCAGGCGCAGGGUGCGGCACUGGCUGGGCCUGGGGUGGCCUGGCUGGCGCCCCGGGGGGGUUUUUCUUUAUUUUUUUAAAUAAAACGAAAACAAAAAUAUAACAAUAUCUAUAAAUAUUUUAUAUAGGGUAUAUAUAUACCAAAAUGAUCAGGGGAAUAUUCCCUUUCAUUUGAACAUUUUUCCAAAGGCAAAAUCCAAACUUCAUAAAAAUCUAUUUUUUUCAAAUUCAAAUAAAAUUCAGAUUUGAAUUCCAAAACUUUUGGCAUUGUUUCCUCUGAUAUUUUUGGAGUGUCAUGUUUGCUCCUCUCAUACUUUUGAUCAAGUAUUUAUCAGGCUUAGUUUUUUUUGAAAUGAUUCCCACAUGCCAAAGUUUGAAAUUCAAAUUCAAAACUCAAAAUUCUCUGAAACUUCAAAUGGCAUUCAAAUUCAAACAGGAUGCAUAGGAUGCUUAGCUAUAAUUGUAAAACAUUCCAAAUAGGAAAUUUGGGAUGUUACAAACCUACCCACCUUAAGAUGAAUCUCGCCCUCGAGAUUCGGGUUGGCUAGCAAAUAGGUGCGGAUGGUCUCGAAGAAGAUCUUCUUCGCGUUCCCAGGUGGCUUCUUCCUUGGUGUGGUGACUCCACAGCACCUUGCAAAAUUUGAUGACCUUGCUGCGGGUGACUCUGCUUGCAGUCUCGAGAAUUCGGACGGGUUUCUCCUUGUAAGUCAGAUCACUGUCAAGCUGUAUGGCCUCUAGGGGCACUGUAUCUCUCAACGGAACAUCGGCCAUGUCGGCAUGGCACUUCUUCAGCUGAGAAACGUGGAAGACAUCAUGAACUCCGGACAAUCCUUCCGGCAAUUCCAACUUGUACGCAACCUCUCCACGACGUUCGAGGAUUUUGUAGGGGCCAAUGAAUCGGGGUGCUAACUUUCCCUUGACACCAAACCUCUUGAUUCCACGAAGUGGUGACACACGAAGAUAUGCUCGGUCUCCCACUUCGUAAGUCACAUCUUUGCGCUUACUGUCGGCAUAACUCUUCUGUCUUGACUGUGCUAUCUUGAGCCUGUCUCGAAUUAGCUUGACUUUCUCUUCGGAAUCCUUGAUAAGAUCGGAACCGAAAAAUGAUCGAUCUCCAACAUUAUCCCACAGCAAUGGUGUUCUACACCUUCUUCCGUAUAGAGCUUCGAAAGGGGCCAUCUUCAGACUGGAUUGAUAACUGUUGUUGUAUGAGAACUCUGCGUAUGGCAAAUUAUCAUCCCAGCUAGACCCAUAGUCUAGCACACAAGCUCUCAACAUGUCUUCCAGAAUCUGGUUGACUCUCUCGGUCUGUCCAUCUGUCUGCGGAUGAAAAGCUGUACUGAAUUCCAGCCUCGUACCCAAAGUUUCAUGCAGCUGCUUCCAAAACUUUGAGGUAAACUGCGUUCCUCUAUCUGACACGAUUUUCCUCGGAACUCCAUGCAGACAUACGAUCCUGGUCAUGUAUAUCUUGGCCAGCUUGGCACUGGUAUAGGUAGUCUUCACGGGAAUGAAGUGAGCUACCUUAGUCAAACGAUCAACUACUACCCAGAUAGAAUCAUAACCUGAACGGGUCCUGGGUAAUCCUGUGAUGAAAUCCAUACCAAGUUUCUCCCAUUUCCAAUCUGGAAUCGGCAAAGGUUGAAGUAACCCUGCUGGCUUCUGAUGUUCUGCCUUUACACGUUGACAAACAUCACAUACUGUUACGUACUCGGCAAUGUCCUUCUUCAUACCUGUCCACCAGAAACUUUGCUUCAAAUCCAGGUACAUCUUGGUGUUGCCGGGGUGAAUCGAGUACGGUGAAUCAUGAGCCUCCUGAAGAAUUAGCUUCCUGAGCUCGGGAUCAUUGGGCACAUAAAUACGAUCCUCAAACCAUAUAGUUCCGUUUUCAUCCUUACGGAAUCCUUUAGCUUUUCCUUCAUCCAUCUUUUGCUUAAUUUCAUCAAUUUCCUUGUCCGACUUCUGGGCUUCACGAAUCCUUUCGGUCAAGGUGGACUGAACUUCCAAAGUUGCAACAAAUCCUUUCGGAACUAUCUCCAGUCGGAGGUCUCUGAGGUCAUCGACUAACUCCUGGGGUAAUCCUCCUGCUGUAAGAGUAUUCACAUAACUCUUACGGCUCAAAGCAUCUGCUACAACAUUAGCUUUACCGGGGUGGUAAUGCAGUCUCAUGUCGUAGUCCUUUAUCAACUCUAGCCAUCUCCUCUGCCUGAGGUUCAAUUCCUUCUGCGUGAAGAUAUAUUUCAAACUCUUGUGAUCUGUGUAGACAUCACAACGAUUUCCGAUGAGGAAAUGUCUCCAGGUCUUGAGUGCAUGCACUACAGCUGCUAACUCCAAAUCAUGCGUGGCAUAGUUCAUCUCAUGAGGCCGUAGCUGUCUGGAGGCAUAAGCUACAACCUUACCUUCCUGCAUCAAUACUCCUCCGAGUCCUUGACGAGAAGCGUCACAAUAAACCUGGUAUUCCUUGUGCAUGUCCGGCAAAAUCAACACUGGAGCGGUGACCAACCGUUUCUUCAAUUCCUGAAAACUGGCUUCACAUUCCUCGGUCCAGACAUACUUGGCUUCCUUCUUCAACAGCUCAGUCAUGGGCUUGGCAAUCUUCGAGAAGUUCUCAAUGAACCUCCGAUAAUAUCCUGCGAGUCCGAGAAAACUGCGGAUCUCCUUGACUGAGGUGGGUGACUGCCAAUCGGUGACUGAUUCAACCUUGGCGGGAUCAACUGCUAUUCCUUCUCCUGAAAUAACAUGUCCGAGGAAUCCAACUUCCUUCAACCAAAAUUCACAUUUGCUGAAUUUGGCAUACAGCUGAUGUUCUCGAAGCUUCUCCAGAACUAGACGCAAAUGUUCCUUAUGCUCUUCCUCGCUCUUGGAGAAAAUCAAUAUAUCAUCGAUGAACACCACGACAAACUUGUCCAAAUACUCCAUGAACACCUUGUUCAUCAAAUUCAUGAAGUAUGCAGGAGCAUUAGUCAAUCCAAAUGACAUGACGGUAUACUCAUAUAAACCAUACCUGGUAGUGAAUGCUGUUUUGGGUAUAUCCUUUUCACGAAUUUUCAACUGAUGAUACCCUGAUCGAAGAUCGAUCUUAGAGAAUACCUUGGCUCCAACUAGCUGAUCAAACAAGUCAUUGAUCAUGGGCAGGGGGUACUUGUUCUUGAUGGUUACUUCGUUCAAUGCACGAUAAUCCACAACCAUCCUCAAGCUUCCAUCCUUCUUCUCUACCAAAAGAAAUGGGGCUCCCCAAGGUGAUGAGCUUGGACGAAUAUAUCCUUUCUCUAAUAACUCAUUUAUUUGAUCCUUGAUCUCUUUCAACUCAUUCAGUGGCAUCCGAUAAGGUCUCUUGGAUAUUGGGGCUGUGCCGGGCAAUAACUCAAUCAGAAAUUCAAUGUCCCUGUCCGGUGGCAUUCCUGGUAAUUCCUCCGGGAACACAUCGGGAAAUUCUUGCACUACUGGCACUUCCUCCUGAACAACUCCCGUGAGGGAAUGCACCUGAUUCUUCAUCUGGCUGUGCCUGGCUACAUACUUGAUCCUCUUCUGCUCCGGGGUGGUGAGCAGAAUAGACUUGCGGGCACAGUCAAUGUUCCCUUCAAACUUUGACAGCCAAUCCAUGCCUAGGAUUACAUCCAAGGUCUGGGUUUCCAACACUAUGAGGUCCACGGGAAAUUUGUGGUUCCCGAUAUUGAGGGUUGCAGGACAGCCUACACCUGCCAUCAUUUCUCCUCCUGCGGAACUGACGCGAAGGGGGCUUCUAAGGGUUCUAGUGCGCAACCCGUACUUUUCCACAACUACCCUUGAUAUGAAUGAAUGCGUUGCACCAGAAUCAAAGAGAACCAAAACUGAACGUGAAUUCAAUAAAAACUUACCAACCACAGUGUCUGGCUGAUCAUAGACGUCCUCCACGUCGAUGUGGUUCACCUGAGCACGAGGGAACGGAUUUGGCUUCUUCACUGAGCCUCCAUUGCCAUUGCCAUUCCUCUGCUUGGCCUCCGGGCAGUCGGUGGCAUAGUGCCCUGUCUUCUGGCACUUGAAGCAGGUGAUGUGGCUCAGAUCCUUCGGAGCCGGGGCAGAACGGUGCUGAUUGCCAUUACCAUUUCCAUUGCCAUUGCCAUGGCCUGACUUGUUGUCCUGGCUGCGGUUGUUCCCAUUUCCUCCAUGGUUAUGACCUCCAUGGUUAUGAUGGGUGUGCCCUCCUGAGUACGGUGCAUAACGGGGCUUCUGCUGAGCUCCUGAGUUGUGCUUCCCCUGGCUGUACUUCCGCUUGCGGCUUUCUAUCUGCUGCUGCUUGCCUUCAAGAAUGGUGGCCUUGUCUACCAGCUCCUGGUAGUUGUUGAAGGUAGCCACAAUAAGCUGCAUGCUCAGUUCAUCAUUGAGUCCCUCAAGGAACUUCUCCUGCUUGGCGGCAUCUGUGGCCACAUCAUCAGGGGCAUAGCGAGCGAGCUUGCUAAAUUCAUCCACGUACUGUGCCACAGUACGGUUCCCCUGGCGUAAGUUGCGGAACUCACGCUUCUUCAGACUCAUGGCUCCAGCUGAGACAUGAGCGGUGCGGAAGGCCUGCUGGAAUUGGUCCCAAGUGAUGGCACCAAUGGGAAAAGUGGCGGUGUAAUUCUCCCACCAAGAAGCUGCAGGUCCAUCCAGUUGAUGCGCGGCAAAGCGCACCUUCUCAGCAUCAGUGCAUCCAACGGUGACUAGCUCUCUUCCGAUCUUGCGGAGCCAAUCAUCGGCCACAAUCGGCUCAGUGCUACUAGAGAACACUGGCGGAUUCAACCUCAGAAAUCGAGUCAAGUUGUCCACAGUGGGUGGUGGCGGUGGCGGUGGAUUGUUGGCGGUGUUGUUCUGAUUCUGAAUAAGGAGCUGCAUCAGUGCAUUCUGCUAUUGGAGCAGCUGGGUGAGCUCCGGCGGGAAACCAGUGUCACGUCUCGGAGGCAUCUGGUGUUUUGGAGGGGAUGAGAAGUUUAGAAUAGAACAAUGGUCUAUGAGAAAUACACUACCCAUAUGAAUGCGCAAUCAUAACACACCAAUCAUUUAUUCAUUCCAUUCAAACAUGGUUCAAACUCGAUUACAAUAGCUCAUGACUAAUCGAAGGGAAAACAUCGGCCUAACUGAUCGACGAAAAAGUAAAAGAUAACAUGGUGGUCGACUAAAAAGUCUUCAUCAGUGGCGCCUCCUCUUGGGGUUUCCUUCAGUGGUACUCCCUUCGAAAUCCUGAUCAUUGCUCACGAGGGGUGCUUCAUCUCCACUCGGGUAAAGGUCCUCUCCCAAGUCCAUCUUUUCCUCUAUCGCGGCAAGCUUCAUCUUCAGAUCGUCGACUAUCUCCAUGAAGUCCGUGAUUUCUUCCUCAUGGCCAAGGAAGUCUGCGCGUGCCUUCUCCUCCAGUUCCAGUUCGCGGAACAAAAGCUUCCGGUGUGUCUUCGAGUUACGGCGAGUCUGAAUCUCCCGUUUCCUGAGAAGACACUCCAAGUCCUGGAUGUACGAGAGAGUGGAAUCGUCCUCAAUGGUACGGAUGAUAUCUCCAUUCCUUGCCCUGCGAGAAACCAUGGCGAGGUCUGAGUGAUCGAGCUCGGCCAUGUACUCCUCUCGGAGAUGUCCAAGUGCUCGAUAGAUCGCCACAUCCCUUCCGAUGAUCCAGUUGAACUCGGUGAACUCAAAGUUGAUAGGCUCCGUGUGUCCUCCAAAGGUUCUCCCUGGGAUAUGCACUUCAAUCCUGUAUCGGGUGUCCGUUGGAAGUGCAUUAGUGGGCUUCCCGGUGAUCGAGGGUAGAGCUAUCUUCAGCUGCUUCACCAUCUGGACCAGCUUUCUUCCGAAGGGCAUCGUCUCAUCGGGCUGGCAGAACUCCGAUAGCAAAACUGGGGUGAACUCGGCGGCCAUCUAGAAUGUUGCAAAGGGGAGAAGAGUCAGAAUUGAACAGGGGAGAAUUAUGGAAUGAAAAGGAUGAAAGUAAAUGGUCUCUGCUUAUGGCUUUCCGAUCCUAGGGGUUACGAUCCUACGGUCAGCGUGUGCUCUGAUACCAUCUCUGUAGCGACCUGACCCAAAAUCGGUCAAAUCUCUGUGUCUGUACCAUCCCAAGAUCAUGCUGGUACUCACAAUACAUCGAUAAAGUAAUCAAAGUUCAAUCACACCUGAAUAUCAUUAAACGAUUCUCAUAUAGAGUCUUUAUUACAAGGGAAUAAAUUCGGCUCAAGGCCAACUCAUGAGAAAUAAACUACAAAUGCUGCGGAAGCGUCGAAGGUAAGCGAGUCCAUCCGACUCCAAAGGGCAAUCGCCAAGCGCGGAGCGUAGCCUCACUCCUGAUCGGAAUAUAUCUCUGCAACAUAAUACGUUGCAGCCAUGUAGGUCAGCUUUUGGAAUAAGCUGGCAAGUCAUGAAGAAUAACAAUAAUAAAGUUACUAACUCUAUAUGCAUUUUGGCUGUGGAGCUCUAAGUUUCAUCAUUUUGCGAAAAGCAAAUUUUAUCCUACUACAGUGGACUUGCUUGCAAAUUACUACAAUUGUUGGUAGUUAUUGAGAUGGUUCCGCCAACCAAUAUCUCGUUCCCAAUUAUUAAGUCAUAUAAACCCUCAAAUUUAUUCAUUUGUUUUAGUGUUGAGAUAUCCGAAUACUUCCAAGUUCCAGAGGCUCAAAUGUCCGUAACCGGGGACACGGCUAAUCGAUUAGAUCUUUAACUCUGCAGAGGGUUGCGCACUUUCCCCGCAAGAAUCAUUCCCUCCUUUAAAGUCUUCGCACUUCAAGGUGUUUGAAGACGGGACGAAUGAAACAGGGUCUUCCAAAGAGUUCUUCUGGCCACUGCCGGUACCCAUCCAAUCCUACCGUUCGUCUACUUCUCGUAGUACCGUCCAGCCAGCGUCACUACUAGGGUCAACCCAGCCAGAGCCCAUAGUGGCUUGCGGCUGCACAGGUAAGCUUCCGGUCAUGGGGCAUCCAUCCUUCUCUUUGUGGCUGGGUGAAGCUUUCCGCAGGAUGUCAUGGCGCUUCUCCAUGCAUCCCGGCCACCACUGGGUGCUCCAGGGUGCCCGUCAACCGUCCUCCACCCAGUAGUGAUUUUCCGAAGUCCAUCUUGAUCAUUGUAGUCCAUGGGGUUGUCAUCAUCAUUGACUCUCACAUCUUGCUUAUGAAUUUCACUCAUCCCAAAUCCCGUCUACGAGCAUAGCAAAAUAACUACUACAUCCCGGGGUCAUGGUAAUAAGGGGGUUGGUUCAUCCUACCACAUGAUACUACUCAAGUUUAAUGACUUCAAGAUUUCACUACUGCAUGCAUGGUGGGGUGGUGACAACUACUAAUGCACAAAACAUAGGUAUAGAAAUAACAUGAUCAAAACUUGCCUUGCUGUUGAUCCUCGUAAGCUAAAGAGUCGUAGUAGCAAGCUUCGCACUCCGGAAACUCUACCGAGACAAACAAUAGCACAAUAAGCACAAAGCAAUAGGAUCACACAACAUAACAAAAGUAACAUAACACAACAAAACAAUCAAAACCAAAUCCAAAAGGAAAACUCAAAGAAACCAAUUCAAGUUUUUCCCUACCCCAAACAAUAACUAAAAUAGUUUUUAUAUAACAAAAAUUCCUUAAUAUAACCUAAUCAUGGUUUUAAGUUAACUUAACAGAAAAGGUUUCACUAAGCAACUAGGAGCAAAAAGAAUUAAUUAAAAAGCUAUUAUAAAACUCAUUUUAGGCCUAAUCCAAUUUCUAUUAAGAAAAAUAAUUUAAAACUUUUAUUAAUUAUAAAUAAAAGUUCAUCUACUAAAGUGACAGAAACUAACCUAGAAUAACUAAUCACAAGUUAAAAACAAAUUCAUUUACUAAUUUAAACAUUAGGAAAACAGGAACUAGUUAAUUAAUUAGGUUUAAUAGGAUUCUGUCUAAAACUAAUUAUUUAUUAAUCCUAAAAUACCCAAGUUAAUUUCUAGGGUUUGGCAAUGUCAAAAUAAAGUGGUGACAAAAAAGAAUCAUGCAAAAAUAAUUUUUCUAACUAAAGUUAUAGCAGAUUUACUAUUCUGACCAAAACUAAAAUAAAGCAAUUUUAAUUAUUUUUAACAUAGCUAAAUAUAUAUUCUACAGAAACUACAUAAAAUUUGCAAUACAACAAAAAAAGAAUCAUCUAAAAAUAUUAAACAGAAUAAAAGAUAUAAAUUUUUGAAAACAGAAACUAUUCGGCUAAAACAGAAAAUCAAAAUAAAAGAAAAAGGCCAGGGGGUCGGGCGGCUUCGGGGGGUCGAUCGGGGGCGAUCGGGGAUCCCGGAUUCUUCGGGAUCCGGCGAUCCUCCGGCGAGUGGCGUUGCGUGGGCGAGGGGGGAAGAAGAGGGGGCGGGGCCCACGGGUCAGAGAGAGAGAGGGAGGGGUGAGGCGAGCGGUCGACCGAAGCCUAGGGGAUUCGGGCGAGGGGCGAGGCCGGUCGGGCGCUGGGCUGGCCUGUUGGCCUAGUGGGCCGGCUGGCUUGGGCCAGGCGCGGGGUGCGGCGCUGGCUGGGCCUGGGGUGGCCGGGCUGGCGCCCCGGGGGGGUUUUUCUUUAUUUUUUUAAAUAAAACAAAAACAAAAAUAAAACAAUAUCUAUAAAUAUUUUAUAUAGGGUAUAUAUAUACCAAAAUGAUCAGGGGAAUAUUCCCUUUCAUUUGAACAUUUUUCCAAAGGCAAAAUCCAAACUUCAUAAAAAUCUAUUUUUUUUCAAAUUCAAAUAAAAUUCAGAUUUGAAUUCCAAAACUUUUGGCAUUGUUUCCUCUGAUAUUUUUGGAGUGUCAUGUUUGCUCCUCUCAUACUUUUGAUCAAGUAUUUAUCAGACUUAGUUUUUUUUGAAAUGAUUCCCACAUGCCAAAGUUUGAAAUUCAAAUUCAAAACUCAAAAUUCUCUGAAACUUCAAAUGGCAUUCAAAUUCAAACAGGAUGCAUAGGAUGCUUAGCUAUAAUUGUAAAACAUUCCAAAUAGGAAAUUUGGGAUGUUACAUCUAUUGCUUCUACGACUAUCGCUACCGCUUAGUGAUAAAGUAAAGCAAUUACAGGGCGUUUGCAUUUCAUACAAUAAAGCGACAACCAUAUGGCUCCAGCCAGUUGCCGAUAACUUCGGUUACAAAACAUGAUCAUCUCAUACAAUAAAAUAUAGCAUCACGUCUUGACCAUAUCACAUCACAACAUGCCCUGCAAAAACAAGUUAGACGUCCUCUACUUUGUUGUUGCAAAUUUUACGUGGCUGCUACGGGCUUAAGCAAGAACCAAUCUCACCUACGCAUCAAAACCACAACGAUACUUCGUCAAAUAGACUCCGUUUUAACCUUCUCAAGGACCGGGCGUAGCCACACUCGGUUCAACUAAAGUGAGAGAGACAGACACCCGCCAGCCACCUUUAAGCACGAGUGCUCGUAACGGUGAAACCAGUCUCGCGUAAGCGUACGCGUAAUCUCGGUCCGGGCCGCUUCAUCUCACAAUACCGCUGAACCAAAGUAUGACAUGCUGGUAGGCAGUAUGACUUGUAUCGCCCACAACUCACUUGUGUUCUACUCGUGCAAAACAUCAAACCAUAAAAACCUAGGCUCGGAUGCCACUGUUGGGGAACGUAGUAAUUUCAAAAUUUUCCUACGCACACGCAAGAUCAUGGUGAUGCAUAGCAACGAGAGGGGAGAGUGUUGUCUACGUACCCUCGUAGACCGAAGCGGAAGCGAUCACAACGUAGAGGAAGUAGUCGUACAUUCUCCUCGCGAUCCAACCGAUCCCAGCGCCGUUACUCCGGCGCCUCCGAGUUCUUGACACACGUACAGCUCGGUGACGCUCCUCGGGCUCCGAUCCAGCAAAGCUCCGGGGAGAGAGAGUUCCGUCAGCACGACGGCGUGGUGACGAUCUUGAUGUUCUACCGACGCAGGGCUUCGCCUAAGCACCGCUACGGUAUGACCGAGGUGGAAUAUGGUGGAGGGGGGCACCGCACACGGCUAAGGAACGAUCUCAAGGAUCAACUUGUGUGUUCUAGGGUGCCCCCUGCCCCCGUAUAUAAAGGAGCCAAGGGGGAGGGGGCCGGCCGGCCAAGAGGAGGCGCGCCAGGGAGUCCUACUCCCUCCGGGAGUAGGAUUCCCCCUCCAAUCCUAGUUGGAAUAGGAUUCACCGGAGGGGGGAAGAGAGAGAGGGGGCCGGCCCACCUUUCCUAGUCCUAGUAGGACUAGGGGAAGGGGGGAGGCGCGCGGCCACCUAGGGCUGGUCCUUUCUCCUUUCCACCAAGGCCCACUAUGGCCCAUAUAGUUCCCGGGGGGUUCCGGUAACCUCCCGGUACUCCGGUAAAUUCCCGAUUUCACUCGGAACAUUUCCGAUGUCCAAAUGUAGGCUUCCAAUAUAUCAAUCUUUAUGUCUCGACCAUUUCGAGACUCCUCGUCAUGUCCGUGAUCACAUCCGGGACUCCGAACUCCUUCGGUACAUCAAAAUACACAAACUCAUAAUAUAACCGUCAUCGAAACCUUAAGCGUGCGGACCCUACGGUUCGAGAACAAUGUAGACAUGACCGAGACACGUCUCUGGUCAAUAACCAAUAGCGGAACCUGGAUGCCCAUAUUGGUUCCUACAUAUUCUACGAAGAUCUUUAUCGGUCAGACCGCAUAACAACAUACGUUGUUCCCUUUGUCAUCGGUAUGUUACUUGCCCGAGAUUCGAUCAUCGGUAUCCAAUACCUAGUUCAAUCUCGUUACCGGCAAGUCUCUUUACUCGUUCCGUAAUACAUCAUCUCACAGCUAACUCAUUAGUUGUUAUGCUUGCAAGGCUUAGUGAUGUGCAUUACCGAGAGGGCCCAGAGAUACCUCUCCGACAAUUGGAGUGACAAAUCUAAUCUCGAAAUACGCCAACCCAACAUCUGCCUUUGGAGACACCUGUAGUACUCCUUUAUAAUCACCCAAUUACGUUGUGACGUUUGGUAGUACCCAAAGUGUUCCUCCGGUAAACGGGAGUUGCAUAAUCUCAUAGUUAUAGGAACAUGUAUAAGUCAUGGAUAAAAGCAAUAGCAACAUACUAAACGAUCGGGUGCUAAGCUAAUGGAAUGGGUCAUGUCAAUCAGAUCAUUCAACUAAUGAUGUGACCUUGUUAAUCAAAUGACAACUCCUUUGUCUAUGGUUAGGAAACUUAACCAUCUUUGAUUAACAAGCUAGUCUAGUAGAGGCAUACUAGUGACACUCUUGUUUGUCUAUGUAUUCACACAUGUAUUAUGUUUCCGGUUAAUACAAUUCUAGCAUGAAUAAUAAACAUUUAUCAUGAAAUAAGGAAAUAAAUAAUAACUUUAUUAUUGCCUCUAGGGCAUAUUUCCUUCAGAAAUAUGCCCUAGAGGCAAUAAUAAAGUUAUUAUUUAUUUCCUUAUAUCAUGAUAAAUGUUUUCAUGCUAGAAUUGUAUUAACCGGAAACAUAGUACUUGUGUGAAUACAUAGACAAAGUGUCACUAGUAUGCCUCUACUUGACUAGCUCGUUGAUCAAAGAUGGUUAUGUUUCCUAGCCAUAGACAUGAGUUGUCAUUUGAUUAACGGGAUCACAUCAUUAGAAGAAUGAUGUGAUUGACUCGACCAUUCCGUUAGCUUAGCACUCGAUCAUUUAGUAUAUUGCUAAUGCUUUCUUCAUAACUUAUACAUGUUCCUAUGACUAUGAGAUUAUGCAACUUCCGUUUACCGAAGGAACACUUUGUGUGCUACCAAACGUCACAACGUAACUGGGUGAUUAUAAAUGUGCACUACAUGUGUCUCCAAAGGUACUUGUUGGGUUGGCGUAUUUCGAGAUUAGGAUUUUUCACUCCGAUUGUCGGAGAGGUAUCUCUGGGCCCUCUCGGUAAUGCACAUCACAUAAGCCUUGCAAGCAUUGCAACUAAUGAGUUAGUUGUGAGAUGAUGUAUUACGGAACGAGUAAAGAGACUUGACGGUAACGAGAUUGAACUAGGUAUUGAGAUACCGAUGAUCGAAUCUCGGGCAAGUAACAUACCGAUGACAAAGGGAACAACGUAUGUUGUUAUGUGGUCUGAUCGAUAAAGAUCUUUGUAGAAUAUGUGGGAGCCAAUAUGAGCAUCCAGGUUCCGCUAUUGGUUAUUGACCGGAGACGUGUCUCGGUCAUGUCUACAUAGUUCUCGAACCCGUAGGGUCAGCACGCUUAAAGUUCGGUGACGAUCGUAAUUAGGGUUUUUGUGUUUUUAUGUACCGAAGGUUGUUCGGAGUCUCAAAAUGGUCGAGACAUAAAGAUUGAUAUAUUGGAAGCCUAUGUUUGGAUAUCGGAAGUGUUCCGGUUGAAAUCGGGAUUUUACCGGAGUACCGAGAGGUUACCGGACCCCCCGGGAGGUAAAAUGGGCCUUAGUGGGCCUAUACGGAGAAGAGGAGAGGCGGCCAGGGCUGGGCCGCACGCCCCUCCCCCUAGUCCGAAUAGGACAAGGAGAGGGGGGGCGCCCCCCUUCCUUCUCUCUUUCCUCUUUCCCCCUUUCGAAUCCUAUUCUAACUAGGAAAGGGGGGGGGGGGUCCUACUCCCGAUGGGAGUAGGACUCCUGGCGCGCCCCCUCUGGCCGGCCGCACCUCCGCCCUCCCUCCUUUAUAUACGGGGGCAGGGGGGCACCUCUAGACACACAAGUUGAUCAUCGUGAUCGUUCCUUAGCCGUGUGCGGUGCCCCCCUCCACCAUAUUCCACCUCGGUCAUAUCGUAGCGGUGCUUAGGCGAAGCCCUGCGUCGGUAGCAACAUCAUCAUCGUCAUCACACCAUCGUGCUGACGAAACUCUCCUUUGACGCUCGGCUGGAUCAGAGCCAGAAGGACGUCAUCGAGGUGAACGUGUGCAGAACUCGGAGGUGCCGUGCGUUCGGUGCUUGGAUCGGUCGGAUCGGGAAGACGUACGACUACUUCCUCUACGUUGCGUCAACGCUUCCGUUGCCGGUCUACGAGGGUACAUAGACAAUACUCUCCCCUCUCGUUGCUAUGCAUCACCAUGAUCUUGCGUGUGCGUAGGAAUUUUUUUGAAAUUACUACGUUCCCCAACAGUGGCAUCCGAGCCUGGUUUUAUGCGUUGAUGUUAUAUGCACGAGUAGAACACAAGUGAGUUGUGGGCGAUAUAAGUCAUACUGCUUACCAGCAUGUCAUACUUUGGUUCGGCGGUAUUGUUGGAUGAAGCGGCCCGGACCGACAUUACGCGUACGCUUACGCGAGACCGGUUCUCCCGACGUACUUUGUGCAAAGGUGGCUAGCGGGUGUCAGUUUCUCCAACUUUAGUUGAACCGAGUGUGGCUACGCCCGGUCCUUCAGAAGGUUAAAACAUCACCAACUUGACAAACUAUCGUUGUGGUUUUGAUGCUUAGGUAAGAACGGUUCUUGCUAAGCCCGUAGCAGCCACGUAAAACUUGCAACAACAAAGUAGAGGACGUCUAACUUGUUUUUGCAGGGCAUGUUGUGAUGUGAUAUGGUCAAGACAUUAUGAUAUAUUUUAUUGUAUGCGAUGAUCAUGUUUUGUAACUGAGUUAUCGGCAACUGGCAGGAGCCAUAUGGUUGUCGCUUUAUUGUAUGCAAUGCAAUCGCCCUGUAAUGCUUUACUUUAUCACUAAGUGGUAGCGAUAAUCGUUGAAGCAUAUGAUUGGAGAGAUGACAACGAUGCUACGAUGGAGAUCAAGGUGUCGCGCCGGUGACGAUGGUGAUCAUGACAGUGCUUCGGAAAUGGAGAUCACAAGCACAAGAUGAUGAUGGCCAUAUCAUAUCACUUAUAUUGAUUGCAUGUGAUGUUUAUCUUUUAUGCAUCUUAUCUUGCUUUGAUUGACGGUAGCAUUAUAAGAUGAUCUCUCACUAAAUUAUCAAGAUAAGUGUUCUUCGUGAGUAUGCACCGUUGUGAAAGUUCUUCGUGCUGAGACACCACAUGAUGAUCGGGUGUGAUAGGCUCUAUGUCAAAUACAACGGGUGCAAAACAGUUGCACACGCAGAAUACUCAGGUUAAACUUGACGAGCCUAGCAUAUAACAGAUAUGGCCUCGGAACACAGAGACUGAAAGGUCGAGCGUGAAUCAUAUAGUAGAUAUGAUUAACAUAGUGAUGUUCACCAUUGAAACUACUCCAUCUCACGUGAUGAUCGGACAUGGUUUAGUUGAUUUGGAUCACGUGAUCACUUUGAGGAUUAGAGGGAUAUCUUUCUAAGUGGGAGUUCUUAAGUAAUAUGAUUAAUUGAACUUAAAUUGAUCAUGAACUUAGUACCUGAUAGUAUCUUGCUUGUCUAUGUUGUUGUAGAUAGAUGGCCCGUGCUGUUGUUCCAUUGAAUUUUAAUGCGUUCCUUGAGAAAGCUAAGUUGAAAGAUGAUGGUAGAAAUUACACGGACUGGGUCCGUAACUUGAGGAUUAUCCUCAUUGCUGCACAGAAGAAUUACGUCCUAGAAGCACCGCUGGAGGACAAACCUGCUGCAGGGGCUGAACCAGAUGUUAUGAACGUCUGGCAAAGCAAAGCUGAUGACUACUCGAUAGUUCAGUGUGCCAUGCUUUACGGCUUAGAACCGGGACUUCAAUGACGUUUUGAACAUCAUGGAUCAUAUGAGAUGUUCCAGGAGUUGAAGUUAAUAUUUCAAGCAAAUGCCCGGAUUGAGAGAUAUGAAGUCUCCAAUAAGUUCUAUAACUGCAAGAUGGAGGAGAAUAGUUCUGUCAGUGAGCAUAUACUCACGAUGUCUGGGUAUAAUAAUCACUUGAUUCAACUAGGAGUUAAUCUUCCAGAUGAUAGCGUCAUUGACAGAAUUCCCCAAUCACUGCCACCAAGCUACAAGAGCGUCGUGAUGAACUAUAAUGUGCAAGGGAUGGAUAAGACAAUUCCCGAGCUCUUCGCAAUGCUAAAGGCUGCGGAGGUAGAAAUAAAAAAGGAGCAUCAAGUGUUGUUGGUCAACAAGACCACCAGUUUCAAGAAGGGUAAAGGGAAGAAGAAGGGGAACUUCAAGAAGAACAGCAAGCAAGUUGCUACUCAGGAGAAGAAACCCAAGUCUGGACCUAAGCCUAAGACUGAGUGUUUCUACUGCAAGCAGGCUGGUCACUGGAAGCGGAACUGCCCCAAGUAUUUGGUGGGUAAGAAGGAUGGCAAGGUGAACAAAGGUAUAUGUUAUAUACAUGUUAUUGAUGUGUACCUUACUAAUGCUCGCAGUAGCACCUGGGUAUUUGAUAUUGGUUCUGUUGCUAAUAUUUGCAACUCGAAACAGGGGCUACGGAUCAAGCGAAGAUUGGCUACGGACGAGGUGACAAUGUGCGUGGGAAAUGGUUCCAAAGUCGAUGUGAUCGCAGUCGGCACGAUACCUCUACAUCUACCUUCGGGAUUAGUAUUAGACCUAAAUAAUUGUUAAUUGGUGCCAGCGUUAAGCAUGAACAUUAUAUCUGGAUCUUGUUUGAUGCGAGAUGGUUAUUCAUUUAAAUUGGGGAAUAAUGGUUGUUCUAUAUAUAUGAGUAAUAUCUUUUAUGGUCAUGCACCCUUGAAGAGUGGUCUGUUCAUAUUAAAUCUCGAUAGUGACGAUACACAUAUUCAUAAUAUUGAUGCAGAGUUGAUAAUGAUAAUGCUACUUAUUUGUGGCACUGCCGUUUAGGUCAUAUCGGUAUAAAGCGCAUGAAGAAACUCCAUACUGAUGGACUUUUGGAAUCACUUGAUUAUGAAUUACUUGGUACUUGCGAACCGUGCCUUAUGGGCAAGAUGACUAAAACACCGUUCUCUGGAACUAUGGAGCGAGCAACUGAUCUGUUGGAAAUUAUACAUACUGAUGUAUGUGGUCCAAUGAAUGUUGAGGCUCACGGCGGGUAUCGUUAUUUUCUCACCUUCACAGAUUAUUUAAGCAGAUAUGGGUAUAUCUACUUGAUGAAGCAUAAGUCAGAAACAUUUGAAAAGUUCAAAGAAUUUCAGAGUGAAGUGGAAAAUCAUCGUAACAAGAAAAUAAAGUUUCUACGAUCUGAUCGUGGAGGAGAAUAUUUGAGUUACGAGUUUGGUCUUCAUUUGAAACAAUGCGGAAUAGUUUCUCAACUCACGCCACCCGGAACACCACAGCGUAAUGGUGUGUCCGAAUGUCGUAAUCAUACUUUACUGGAUAUGGUACGUUCUAUGAUGUCUCUUACUGAUAUACCGCUAUCGUUUUGGGGUUAUGCUUUAGAGACGGUUGCAUUCACAUUAAAUAGGGCACCAUCUAAAUCCGUUGAGACGACGCCUUAUGAACUGUCGUUUGGCAAGAAACCAAAGUUGUCGUUUCUUAAAGUUUGGGGCUGCGAUGCUUAUGUGAAAAAGCUUCAACCUGAUAAGCUCAAACCAAAAUCGGAGAAAUGUGUCUUCAUAGGAUACCCAAAGGAGACUGUUGGGUACACCUUCUAUCACAGAUCCGAAGGCAAGAAUUUUUUUUGCUAAAUUUGGAUCCUUUCUAGAGAAGGAGUUUCUCUUGAAAGAAGUGAGUGGGAGGAAAGUAGAACUUGAUGAGGUAACGGUAAUUGCUCCCUUAUUGGAAAAUAGUUCUUCACAGAAACCGGUUCCUGUGACGACUACACCAAUUAGUGAGGAAGUUAAUGAUGAUGAUCAUGAAACUUCAGAUCAACUUGUUACUGAACCUCGUAGAUCAACCAGAGUAAGAUCCGCACCAGAGUGGUACGGUAAUCCGGUUCUGGAAGUUAUGUCACUAGACCAUGACGAACCUACGAACUAUGAAGAAGCGAUGGUGAGCCCAGAUUCCGCAAAAUGGCUUGAAGCCAUGAAAUCUGAGUUGGGAUCCAUGUAUGAGAACAAAGUGUGGACUUUGGUUGACUUGUCCAUUGAUCGGCAAGCCAUUGAGAAUAAAUGGAUCUUCAAGAAGAAGACUGACGUUGACGGUAAUGUUACUGUCUAUAAAGCUCGACUUGUCGCAAAAGGUUUUCGACAAGUUCAAGGGAUUGACUACGAUGAGACCUUCUCACCUGUAGCGAUGCUUAAGUCUGUCCGAAUCAUGUUAGCAAUUGCUGCAUUUUAUGAUUAUGAAAUUUGGCAAAUGGAUGUCAAAACUGCAUUCCUGAAUGGAUUUUUGGAAUAAGAGUUGUAUAUGAUGCAACCAAAAGGUUUUGUCGAUCCAAAGGGUGCUAACAAAGUGUGCAAGCUCCAGCGAUCCAUUUAUGGACUGGUGCAAGCCUCUCGGAGUUGGAAUAAACGCUUUGAUAGUGUGAUCAAAGCAUUUGGGUUUAUACAGACUUUUGGAGAAGCCUAUAUUUACAAGAAAGUGAGUGGGAGAUAUGUAGCAUUUCUGAUAUUAUAUGUAGAUGACAUAUUACUAAUUGGAAAUGAUAUAGAAUUUCUGGAUAGCAUAAAGGGAUCUUUGAACAAGAGUUUUUUUUAUGAAAGAUCUUGGUGAAGCUGCUUAUAUAUUGGGCAUCAAGGUCUAUAGAGAUAGAUCAAGACGCUUAAUUGGACUUUCACAAAGCACAUACCUUGACAAAGUUUUGAAGAAGUUCAAAAUGGAUCAAGCAAAGAAAGGGUUCUUGCCUGUGUUACAAGGUGUGAAGUUGAGUAAGACUCAAUGCCUGACCACUGCAAAGGAUAGAGAGAAAAUGAAAGAUGUUCCCUAUGCUUCAGCCAUAGACUCUAUCAUGUAUGCAAUGUUGUGUACCAGACCAGAUGUCUGUCUUGCUAUUAGUUUAGCAGGAAGGUACCAAAGUAAUCCAGGAGUGGGUCUUCGUGAGCAAGCGAGUUGGAUGCACACCCACUUAGUUUCUUUUGAUGAGCUUUCAUAUACUUAUAGCUCUAGUGCAUCCGUUGCAUGGCAAUCCCUACUCACUCACAUUGAUAUCUAUUGAUGGGCAUCUCCAUAGCCCGUUGAUACGGCUAGUUGAUGUGAGACUAUCUUCUCCUUUUUUGUCUUCUCCACAACCACCAUUCUAUUCCACAUAUAGUGCUAUGUCCAUGGCUCGCGCUCAUGUAUUGCGUGAAGAUUGAAAAAGUUUGAAAAUUCUAAAGUAUGAAACAAUUGCUUGGCUUGUCAUCGGGGUUGUGCAUGAUUUAAAUACUUUGUGUGGUGAAGAUAGAGCAUAGCCAGACUAUAUGAUUUUGUAGGAAUAACUUUCUUUGGCCAUGUUAUUUUGAGAAGACAUGAUUGCUUUGUUAGUAUGCUUGAAGUAUUAUUAUUAUUAUGUCAAUAUGAACUUUUAUAUUGAAUCUUACGGAUCUGAAUAUUCAUACCACAAUUAGGAAGAAUUACAUUGAAAUUAUGCCAAGUAGCACUCCGCAUCAAAAAUUCUUUUUUAUCAUUUACCAACUCGAGGACGAGCAGGAAUUAAGCUUGGGGAUGCUUGAUAUGUCUCCAACAUAUCUAUAAUUUUUUAUUGCUCCAUGCUAUAUUAUCUACUGGUUUGGGCAAUAUUGGGCUUUAUUAUCCACUUUUAUAUUAUUUUUGGGACUAACCUAUUAACCGGAGGCCCAGUCCAGAUUUGCUGCUUUUUGCCUAUUUUAGUGUUUCGAAGAAAAGGAAUAUCAGACGGAGUCGAAAAGGAACGAAAUCAACUAGAGAAGUUAUUUUUGGAAGGAAACCCACCUGAUGGAAUUGGACCCCAUGUCAGAAGAAACGGGAGCUGCCCAUGAGGGUGGGGGCGCUCCCACCCCCCUAGGGUGCGCGCCCUUGCCUCGUGGGGCCCCCGUGGCUCCCCGACGUACUUCCGGCUCCUAUAUAUUCCCAUAUACCCUAAAAACAUCAACAGAGAACCUAGAUCGGGAGUUCCGCCGCCGCAAACCUCUGUAGCCACCAAAAGUCAAUCGGGACCCUGCCGGAGGGGGGUCCCUCACUGGUGGUCAUCUUCAUCAUCCCGGCGCUAUCCAUGACGAGGAGGGAGUAGUUCACCCUCGGGGAUGAGGGUAUGUACCAGUAGCUAUGUGUUUGAUCUCUCUCUCUCUCUCUCUCUCUCUCUCUCUCUCUCUCGUGUUCUUGAUUUGGCACGAUCUUGAUGUAUCACGAGCUUUGCUAUUAUAGUUGGAUCCUAUGUUUCUUCUCCCCCUCUUCUCUCUUAUAAUGGAUUGAGUUUCCCCUUUGAAGUUAUGUUAUCGGAUUGAGUCUUUAAAGAUUUGAGAACACUUGAUGUUUGUCUUGCCGUGCGUAUCUGUGGUGACAAUGGGAUAUCACGUGAUCCGCUUGAUGUAUGUUUUGGUGAUCAACUUGUGGGUUCCUCCCAUGAACCUAUGCAUAGGGGUUGGCAAACGUUUUCGUCGUGAUUCUCCGGUAGAAACUUUGGGCACUCUUUGAGGUUCUAUGUGUUGGUUGAAUAGAUGAAUCUGAGAUUGUGUGAUGCAUAUCGUAUAAUCAUGCCCACGGAUACUUGACAAUGGAGUAUCUAGGUGACAUUAGGGUUUUGGUUGAUUUGUGUCUUAAGGUGUUAUUCUAGUACGAACUCCAGGGCUGUUUGUGACACCUAUAGGAGUAGUCCAACGGAUUUUGUACCCUACCAUAAUCUCUUCGUUUGUUCUCUGCUAUUAGUGACUUUGGAGUGACUCUUUGUUGCAUGUUGAGGGAUAGUUAUAUGAUCCAAUUAUGCUAUUAUUGUUGAGAGAACUUGCACUAGUGAAAGUAUGAACCCUAGGCCUUGUUUCCUAUCAUUGCAAUACCGUUUACGCUCACUUUUAUUAUUAGUUACCUUGCUGUUUUUAUAUUUUCAGAUUACAAAUACCUUUAUCUACCAUCCAUAUUGCACUUGUAUCACCAUCUCUUCGCCGAACUAGUGCACCUAUACAAUUUACCAUUGUAUUGGGUGUGUUGGGGACACAAGAGACUCUUUGUUAUUUGGUUGCAGGGUUGUUUGAGAGAGACCAUCUUCAUCCUACGCCUCCCACAGAUUGAUAAACCUUAGGUCAUCCACUUGAGGGAAAUUUGCUACUGUCCUACAAACCUCUGCACUUGGAGGCCCAACAACGUCUACAAGAGGAAGGUUGUGUAGUAGACAUCAAAACCUCGAGACUUGUCAGAAGUAAUAUGUUUCCGUUGUGAUGAAGCAGGGCACUUUUCCAGAGAUUGUCCCAAGGAAGAGACUUGUGAUAAAUAGUUGAGCCUAUGAGAAGUAUAGUAGUAGUAGUGAGGACAUUUUCCUUUAUCUUGAGGCGAUGAGUUGAGGCAUGUAAUGGAAAAGCACGAGAAUUGUACUCGUUGGAGAAUCAGUAAAGUUAGCAUCGUUGGUAUUGAUUGGAUUUUAUGAGUUGUUACUUUAUGAAGAAAGAUUUUGGCCAUUUUCGAGGAUAUGGGAAAUAUGGUCUACGGAUAAAUUUAUGCAUUUUAAGGGUGGUAGUACCGUGUGAGGAAACUUGACCCUUGGAAAAAGGUAAUGAUAUUCCACGAAGUGGACUUCGGACAGAAUAAGUAUUAAUUUCAUCUCAAUAUGUGAGAUACCCCGAGAGUAUGAAGGGAUGAAGUACUAUUGGGUAUAAAAGAGGUAUAAUGAUGGUAAUAAUGAGCAAUUGUAACUCCAUGAUGAGUUUGAGUAAUCACGCCUUAGUUUAGUACCAAUAGAUGGAAGGGAGACAGUACAAUUGUAUGGAUUUAAGAAUGCCAGGAAGUUGGCUGUUGGAUUAAGGAUCAGUUGCCCCGAUGAUGAGCUCAAAGGUUUACAAGUGAUGAGAUGGGCCAUAACCCAUAGGCCCCAGGACCUGCCAAGAAGCAAGCACAUUCUUGUUGAAGGAAAAACCCUGGAAGAGGAUAUGCCUUUAUCGACAGACGAUCUUAUAGGAGUUUACGCAAACCUGAGUGUUGUGUAGGAACGAUAGAUGUUUGUUUGGCUUGCAGAAUCAAUGGAUUAUCCGAACUUGGUUCGUCGACAAGAGAGAUUCUGCAAUGCUUGUGAGGAUGACCGAGUGUUAGAAUGCGAGAUUCGCUAAACCGUAUAUAAGGUAAUGAUUUGGGUGCGGGAUGGAUUGAUCACCAUACCGACUUACUCUUAUUAUUCGCCUUGCUAUAUGGGAUGGUAAAUCUGAGUGACUUACCUAUAAUAGAGAGACGACGAUCAAAAACCUUGUUUAAACCCUAGAAUGGUAUGAUAAUUUUUCCCUUGUACACGACAGUUGUUGCCAACCGUAGGUUAUACGGUGAGGAUCAACCCAGACCCAUUUCCUGCAGGAGAAACCAUAAAUUGUUGACCACCUUGAGAUAUCGAUAGUUGUUUAGCAUUGGCGCUAGACCCGUUAGCUAUGAAGACCCAGUCUCAGAAUAACCUUACCAAGAUGAAAGGACAAAAGAAUUGAGGAAAGGGUUAUGCCACUACCAGAAGAGCAGAAUAGGAUUUUUCCCGAGGAUCUCAGAGGACUGAACCUGUCAACAAUAAGGAUGGAGUAUAUGAGUUUUGAUGGAACCGUAACCAUGAUUCUAAGGGUGGUAGUACCCCAGACCCCCUGUGAAGAUCGAUGGAGUUUUUGAGAAGACCCCAAACCUAACCUAUUUCUUUCUAGCCUCUCCGAAUCUCGAGGACGAGAUUCAUUUUAAGGGUGGUAGGUUUGUAACAUCCCAAAAUUCUAAAUUUUGGAAUGUUAUAUUAAAUAGAUAGAUUUGAUUGAUUGUUUGAUUGUUGUGUGAUUGAUUCACUAAAAUUGAGUGAAAUUUGAAACUUUUUGAAAGUUAAAUGAGAGGGACUAAAAGGACUUUCCCAAACUUUCAUUUUGCAUUCGUGAUCUCCGUGAAUUCAAAUUCUUUUCACCACAAAACCCUGGAGAGAAGAUGACAUGACUUCUUACAUUUAUUUAAAUGAAAAGGGGUGUUGAAAAUAUUUGAAUUUCAUUUGAGAAUAUUUCCAAUUCUGAAACUUUAUGCAACUAAAUGAUUUUCACCGGGAAGAUAAAAUGACUUCUUCAAAACAUAUGAAAUAUGAGUUGGGAAUUUCAAAGAUCAAAUUAAAAGUCCUUUUGAAAUUAUUUUUCAAUUUGGAGUCAUUUGGGUUUUAUUCAAAUUAUUUUUCUCCAAAAAUAAAAUAUAUGGAAAAUAGGGUAACAUUAUUCCCUACAUCAAAAAAUUGGAGAGAAAUAAAUUUGAAAUCAUUUUGGUAUUUUUUAAAUGAUUUUUAGGAGGUUUUAUUGCAAUAGAAUCACUCUUUGCUUUAUUUGAAUUUUUGUGGAUUUUAUUCGUAAGUAGAAUAAUGCUCAAGUCAUAGAAAAUCUUUUUCUAAAAAUUUUGAUAUAUUAUAUGCCUAUAUAAAAGUUUUAUUUUUUGCCUUAUUUUUUUCGAUUGACAGUGUUUUAAAAAAAUCCCCGCCGCGACUGGGUCGGCCCAGGGCCCGGCCGCAGCCGCGGCCCAUCUCCCCGCCGCCUCACCCGUCGUCCCCGGUCGGGACUCCUCCCGAGUCCAGGUCGCCGCCGCCGCUCGUCGUGGCCGAUCCGGCCACCUCCGCGUCGCCCUGCCCCCUUCCCCACGCCACCUCCUCGCCCCCCUCCAUAAAUAGCCGCGCCCCUCCUCUUCUCGAGCCGUUGCUGCCGCGCCGCAGAUCGCCGCCGCCACGUAGCUCCGUCGCUGCCGCCGCACUUUGCCGCCGCCACCGCACUCCACCUGCUGCAGCGCUGCUGCCCCGCGCCAUACANNNNNNNNNNNNNNNNNNNNNNNNNNNNNNNNNNNNNNNNNNNNNNNNNNNNNNNNNNNNNNNNNNNNNNNNNNNNNNNNNNNNNNNNNNNNNNNNNNNNNNNNNNNNNNNNNNNNNNNNNNNNNNNNNNNNNNNNNNNNNNNNNNNNNNNNNNNNNNNNNNNNNNNNNNNNNNNNNNNNNNNNNNNNNNNNNNNNNNNNNNNNNNNNNNNNNNNNNNNNNNNNNNNNNNNNNNNNNNNNNNNNNNNNNNNNNNNNNNNNNNNNNNNNNNNNNNNNNNNNNNNNNNNNNNNNNNNNNNNNNNNNNNNNNNNNNNNNNNNNNNNNNNNNNNNNNNNNNNNNNNNNNNNNNNNNNNNNNNNNNNNNNNNNNNNNNNNNNNNNNNNNNNNNNNNNNNNNNNNNNNNNNNNNNNNNNNNNNNNNNNNNNNNNNNNNNNNNNNNNNNNNNNNNNNNNNNNNNNNNNNNNNNNNNNNNNNNNNNNNNNNNNNNNNNNNNNNNNNNNNNNNNNNNNNNNNNNNNNNNNNNNNNNNNNNNNNNNNNNNNNNNNNNNNNCGCUGCGCAAGCCGCCACCGUCUCGCCCCGCAACGCUGGACGCCGCCGCCGCCCGACUCCCGCGCCGGAGUUCGCCGCCGGACGGAUCCGCCCGCCUCUAGUUUUUUGUCGGAAAACCGCCCCGAGCCGGUAAAACCGAUAAAACCACCCGGUUUUAUUUUAUUAAGUUUGGUUUUAUAUUUUUUUGAGCUGGUUUUUUUUUCCGAUCUGGUUAAUUAGUGAACGAUUCGUUAGUUAGAGUUCGUAGCGAAUGGUUUUCGUUCAUUAGCAUUCUGUAGCAAGCGUUUGCUCGAUAGUUUUUUUCUUCUUUUUCUUUUUAUUUUCUGCUAGGGACCUGUUUGUGAAUAAUUUAUUCACAGAUUAGUCCCUCUGUUUCAAUCUAGCGUUACUUUUUACUCGUUUGUCCAAAUCCAACGAAACCAACGCCCACUUCUUAGUUAUGAUCCCCUCUUUCCAGUAAAACAACUCAAACUUUUUUUUGAAAUUUUAAAAUUUGAAUUAGACCAGAUUUGAAUUCAAACUUUGUUUGAUCGUAACUUGAGUUUUAUAACUCCGUUUGAGUUGAUUCUUUUUGCUAAUCGAAUCUCUUGACCUAAACCUUCAUCAACAGUACAGGCAAGUAACACUUUGAUCACAUAAUUUUGGUACUGUUAGAAAUUGUUUUGUGUUGCAAGAGUUAUUUGCUUGGUUUUGAUGUUUUCCGAAUUGUCUUCUUCGUUCUUUCUGAUGUUCUGAGUGAUUGCUUAUGUGUGGUUACUACUACUUGCUUGCGAUAGAUUGACCGGAGUGUGACGAGUAGAUCUAUCCUGAGUUUUGAGUGCGAAUCAUCUUCAUCAACAGUACAGGCAAGUAACACUUUGAUCAUACCACCUCAUUACCCAGUUUUAUUGCAUUAGAUCAAACCUCAAACCACUGCACGAUUAGGAUCUGAAUAAUAUGUGGGUUUUGGGAAGUAGAUGAGGUAGUACCUAUUACCUGCUUCAUUGUCAAACCCUGGGAGUUACUUCUACGUUAUGCUUAUGUUGUUAUGCUAUGCUCAUAGACGUGGAUUUUGUUUGAGUGAUAUCCAUGACAGAUGUGAGAUUGUUAAUUAAUGGUUUACUUAAGGUGGCAACUUAAAUACACAUCUGGGUGGAUUGAGGCACCUGGCUAUUCCAGCGAUUGCCUGUUUUUCUUUAUGGACCGCCACCCAGGCUCAAAGGGAUCAUGAGAUUAUUCAUACUAGAAACUUCCAUGUACAGCCACGAGCUAUUAGGGCUCUAGCAUAGUUGAUUAAGUCGUACGAACUCUUAAAGUGGUAGACUAGCAGAUGUAGGGGAUGUAGGUGGUACUGUCUACCCGAUCGUAAGGUGCUAGCGCUUCUGAAAGACUAUGUCUCGGUCAUCCGUUUCUCAAACAUCCUGUAGUGCGAGAAUCCCAACGGAGGAGAUCGAGUCUUCUGGGGAAAAGUGUGCAAACCUCUGCAGAGUGUAUAAACUAAUCAUGGUUAGUUGUGUCCCCUGUUAUGGAUGUUUUGAGUAUCUAGUACUUGGAUUAUCGUGUGAAUCUCAUCAUGUGACUUUAAUUAAUUUUGUUGGGUUUUAAUGAUGAUGCUUAAUUGGGAUUGAGAUGCCUGUCAACGCUCUCAAUGUUUAACAACCACCAUGAUAGUUAAAUAAAAGUUAUUCCUUUACAGUAGGGAAAAAUUGGCUUUUCGCAAUAAUUAUAACCAUAGAGCUUUUCCACCAGCCAUAUAUGCAUGAAGUGAUAGCAUUUAUUCUGUUCAUUGCACUACCGUGUUAUCUUGCGAGUACAUUCAAUGUACUGACCCGUUUCGGGCUGCAACGUCUCGUGUUGCAGGUUUCUUACGACGAGUAAGUGAUACGUUAGGGUUACGAUUUCUACACUCAACUUUGCCGUUGGUGUUGAUGGGAAUCCACAACCUUGUUACUUCCGCUUUUUGGAUUGAGGUAAUAGUAUUUACGUUAUUUAUACAUGUGAUUUACCUCUGUUAUAAAUCCUCGAGUACUACGUGUGUCAGCAUACCGAUCCAGGGAUGACACUUAAGCACAGAGACUUGAUCCAUUCGGGUUGGGUCGCUACAGAAGGAAUCACUCGAUCAGGUUCAGUUAACAGCCAUCGAUCAAUCGCUCGGGUUCAGUAACGCGUAGCCUGCAGUGCAAUCGCUCGGGUUCAGUUAGAGCCCAACGCCUUGCUCAGGUUCAGUUAGAGCCAACUCCUCGCACACACGCACGUACGUGUAUGAGAGAAACGCGCAUCGCUCGGCCCCCGACCUCCCACCGUAACCGGAACUCCCUGAAAUUUUCCUCGCCCUCGCUUCUACCAUGGUUUUUUCCGUCAUGGAUGGCCCAAAGAAUGUCAUGCAGCUGCGUCUCCGGCCCGCCCAGGACGAAAAGCCCAUUUUCUGCCAUGAUUUUUUGUCAUAGAAGUAGGAGCCCACCACAUCAAUGAUGAUACCGGGUUUUGUCACAAUUAUCGUCAUAGAAGUGUCAUAUGUAUGACAGAAAAAAAAUUUGUUCGGCCCAAAAUGUCACAGAUGUGUCUUUUUGUUUGCAGUGCCUGGUGGCCCUCCGGUGUCCAUCUUCUGCUAUAUGAAGUCUUUCGUCCAAAUAAAAAUCAGAAGCAAGCUUUCGGGACGAGACUCCGCCGCCAUGAGGCGGAACCUUGGCGGAACCAAUCUAGGGCUCUGGCGGAGCUGUUCUGCCGGGGACACUUCCCUUCGGGAGGGGGAAAUCAUCGCCAUCGUCAUCACCAACGCUCCUCUCAUUAGGAGGGGGCCAAUCUCCAUCAACAUCUUCACCAGCACCAUCUCAUGUCAAACCCUAGUUCAUCUCUUGUAUCCAGUUCUUGUCUCUAAGUCUGGGAUUGGUACCUGUAGGUUGCUAGUAGUGUUGAUUACUCCUUGUAAUUGAUGCUAGUUGAUUAAUUUGGUGGAAUAUCAUAUGUUCAGAUCCUAUAUGCGUAUUAAUACCACUCUGAUUAUGAACAUGAAUAUGCUUUGUGAGUAGUUACGUUUGUUCCUGAGGACAUGGGAGAAGUCUUGCUAUUAGUAGUCAUGUGAAUUUGGUAUUCGUUCAAUAUUUUGAUGAGAUGUAUGUUGUCUCCCCUCUAGUGGUGUUAUGUGAACGUCAACUACAUGACACUUCACCAUUAUUUGGGCCUAGAGGAAGGCAUUGGGAAGUAAUAAGUAGAUGAUGGGUUGCUAGAGUGACAGAAGCUUAAACCCUAGUUUAUGCGUUGCUUCGUAAGGGGCUGAUUUGGAUCCAUAUGUUUCAUGCUAUGGUUAGGUUUACCUUAAUACUUCUUUUGUAGUUGCGGAUGCUUGCAAUAGGGGUUAAUCAUAAGUGGGAUGCUUGUCCAAGUAAGGACAGUACCCAAGAACCGUUCCACCCACAUAUCAAAUUAUCAAAGUACUGAAUGCGAAUAAUAUGAACGUGAUGAAAACUAGCUUGACGAUAAUUCCCAUGUGUCCUCGGGGGCGCUUUUCUCUAUAUAAGAGUUUGUCCAGGCUUGUCCAUUGCUACAAAAAGGAUUGGGCCAUCUUGUUGCACUCUAUUUACUUUUGUUACUUGUUGCUCGUUAUAAUUUAUCCUAUCACAAAACUAUCUGUUACCUAUAAUUUCAGUGCUUGCAGAAAAUACCUUGUUGAAAACCGCUUAUCAUUUCCUUCUGCUCCAAGUUGGGUUAGACACUCUUACUUAUCGAAAGGACUACGAUAGAUCCCCUAUACUUGUGGUUCAUCAAGACUCUUUUCUGGUGCCGUUGCCGGGGAGUGAAGCGCCCUUGGUAGGUGGAAUUUGGUAAGGAAAAAUUUAUAUAGUGUGCUGAAAUUUACUGUCACUUGUUACUAUGGAAAGUAAUCCUCUGAGGGGCUUGUUCGGGGUAUCUUCACCUCGACCAGUAGAGCAAAGAGUUGCUCCUCAACCUACUGAACCUACUGAAAAUGAAAAUGUCUACGUUGAAAUUCCUUUGGGUAUGGUAGAAAAACUACUAUUUACUCCUUUUACAGGAGAUGGAAUAUUACAUCCUGAUGAGCACCUAAUAUAUGUGGAUGAAGUUUGUGGAUUAUUUAAUCUUGCAGGUAUGCCCGAUGAUGUUAUUAAGAAGAAGGUCUUCCCUUUAUCUUUGAAGAGAGACGCAUUGACAUGGUAUAGGCUAUGUGAUGAUAUGGGAUCAUGGAACUACAAACGAUUGAAAUUGGAAUUUCAUCAGAAGUUUUAUCCUAUGCAUCUUGUUCAUCGUGAUAGUAAUUAUAUAUAUAUAUUUUGGCCUCGCGAAGGAGAAAGCAUCGCUCAAGCUUGGGGGAGGCUGAAAUCAAUGUUAUAUUCAUGCCCCAAUCAUGAGCUCUCAAAAGAAAUGAUUAUUCAAAAAAUUUAUGCUCGGCUUUCUGAUAACAAUCGCACCAUGCUGGAUACUUCUUAUGCUGGCUCUUUUAUGAUGAAGACUAUUGAAUUCAAAUGGGAUUUAUUGGAAAGAAUUAAAUGCAACUCUAAAGAUUGGGACCUCGACGAAGGUAAGGAGUCAGGUAUGACACCUAAGUUUGAUUGUGUUAAAUCUUUUAUGGAUACCAAUGUUUUCCGUAAUUUAGCACUAAAUAUGGACUUGACUCUGAGAUAGUAGCUUCUUUCUGUGAAUCUUUUGCUACUCAUGUUGACCUCCCUAAGGAGAAGUGGUUUAAAUAUCAUCCUCCCAUAGAAGUAAAAGUAGCUGCACCUAUUAAAGUUUAAGAAAAGACUAUCACUUAUAAUGAUCCUAUUGUUCCUACUGCUUAUGUUGAGAAACCACCUUUCCCCGUUAGAAUGAAGGAUCAUGCUAAAGCUUCAACUGUGGUUCAUAAAAGCAAUAUUAGAACGUAUACACCUCCUGAGCAAGUUAAAGUUGAACCUAAUAUUGCUAUUGUUAAAGAUCUCUUGGCUGAUAAUAUUGAUGGGCAUGUUAUUUACUUCUGUGAUGAAACUGCUACAAUUGCUAAACCUUGUGCUAAAGAUAAACAUAGUCCUGUGGCAGGCAUGCCUGUUAUUUCUGUUAAAAUAGGAGAUCAUUGUUAUCAUGGCUUAUGUGAUAUGGGUGCUAGUGCUAGUGCAAUAACUUUUGACUUAUACAAAGAAUUUAUGCAUGAUAUUGCACCUGCUGAGUUAGAAGAUAUUGAUGUCACAAUUAAACUUGCCAGUAGAGAUACUAUAUCACCAAUGGGAAUUGUUAGAGAUGUUGAAGUCCUGUGUGGGAAAACUAAAUAUCCUGCUGAUUUUCUCGUUCUUGGUUCCCCACAAGAUAGCUUUUGUCCCAUUAUAUUUGGUAGACCCUUCUUGAACACUGUUAAUGCUAAGAUAGACUACAAAAAGGAUGUUGUUACUAUUGGUUUGGGUGAUAUGUCUCAUGAGUUUAAUUUCUCUAAAUUCCGUAGCCAACACUGUGAAGAGGAAUUGCCUAAUAAAGAUGAAAUUAACGAUCUUGCUUCUAUUGUCGUGCCUCCUAGGAUCCUUUAGAACAAUAUCUGCUAGACCAUGAAAAUGAUAUGUUUAUGAAUGAAAGAAGGGAAAUAGAUGAAGUGUUCCUUAAACAAGGACCUAUUCUGAAAAACAACUUGCCUGUUGAAAUAUUAGGGGAUCCUCCUCCACCCAAAGGUGAUCCCGUGUUUGAGCUUAAACCUUUGCCUGAUACUCUUAAAUAUGCUUAUCUUGAUGAAAAGAAGAUAUAUCCUGUUAUUAUUGGUGCUAACCUUUCAGAGAAGGAGGAAGAAAAAUUAUUGAAAACUCUGAAGAAGCACCGUGCUGCUAUUGGAUAUACUCUUGAUGAUCUUAAGGGCAUUAGUCCCACUCUAUGUCAACAUAAAAUAAAUUUGGAGGAAGAUGCCAAACCAGUUAUUGAUCACCAACGACGAUUGAAUCCUAAAAUGAAAGAAGUGGUAAGAAAGGAAACACUAAAGCUCCUUGAGGCAGGUAUAAUUUAUCCCGUUGCUGAUAGUUAGUGGGUAAGUCAUGUCCAUUGUGUUCCUAAGAAGGGAGGUAUUACUGUCGUUCCUAAUGAUAAAGGUGAAUUGAUUCCGCAAAGAAUUAUUAUAGGUUAUGGGAUGGUAAUUGAUUUCCGCAAAUUAAAUAAGGCUACUAAAAAGGAUCAUUACCCCUUACGUUUUAUUGAUCAAAUGCUAGAAAGAUUAUCCAAACAUACACAUUUUUGCUUUCUAGAUGGUUAUUCUGGUUUCUCUCAAAUACCUAUGUCAGUUGAUGAUCAAGCGAAGACCACUUUUACUUGCCCUUUCGGUACUUUUGCUUAUAGACGUAUGCCUUUUAGUUUAUGUAAUGCACCUGCUAACUUUCAAAGAUGCAUGAUGGCUAUAUUCUAUGACUUUUGUGAAAAGAUUUGUGAGGUUUUCAUGGACGAUUUCUCCGCUUAUGGAUCCUCUUUUGAUGAUUGCUUGAGCAACCUUGAUCGAGUUUUGCAGAGAUGUGAAGAAAAUAAUCUUGUCUUGAAUUGGGAAGAGUGCCACUUUAUGGUUAAUGAAGGUAUUGUCUUGGGGCAUAAAAUUUCUGAAAGAGGUAUUGAAGUUGAUAAAGCUAAAGUUGAUGCUAUUGAAAAGAUGCCAUGUCCCAAGGACAUCAAAGGUAUAAGAAGUUUCCUUGGUCAUGUCGGCUUCUAUAGGAGGUUCAUUAAGGACUUCUCAAAAAUCUCUUGGCCUCUGACUAAUUUAUUACAAAAAGAUAUACCAUUUGUCUUUGAUCAUGAUUGUGUAGAAGCAUUUGAAAUACUUAAGAAAGCAUUGAUCUCUGCACCUAUUGUUCAGCCACCUGAUUGGAAUUUACCUUUUGAAAUUAUGUGUGAUGCUAGUGAUUAUUUUGUAGGUGCUGUUCUAGGGCAAAGAAUUGAUAAGAAAUUAAAUGUUAUUCAAUAUGCUAGUAAAACUCUGGACAAUGCCCAGAGAAAUUAUGCUACUACUGAAAAAGAAUUCUUAGCGGUUGUAUUUGCUUGUGAUAAGUUUAGACCUUAUAUUGUUGAUUCUAAAGUAACUAUUCACACUGAUCAUGCUGCUAUUAAAUACCUUAUGGAAAAGAAAGAUGCCAAACCUAGACUUAUUAGAUGGGUUCUCUUGCUGCAAGAAUUUGAUUUGCAUACUAUUGAUAGAAAGGGAGGUGAGAACCCCGUUGCAGACAACUUGUCUAGGUUAGAAAAUGUUCUUCAUGACCCACUACCUAUUGAUGAUAGAUUUCCUGAUGAGCAAUUAAAUGUCAUAAAUGCUUCUCGUACUGCUCCAUGGUAUGCUGAUUAUGCUAAUUACAUUGUUGCUAAAUUUAUACCACCUAGUUUCACAUACCAGCAAAAGAAAAGGUUUUUCUAUGAUUUGAGACAUUACUUCUGGGAUGACCCACAUCUUUAUAAAGAAGGAGUAGAUGGUGUUAUUCGACGUUGUGUACCUGAGCAUGAACAGGAACAUAUCCUACGCAAGUGUCAUUCCGAGGCUUAUGGAGGGCACUACGCUGGAGAUAGAACUGCACAUAAGGUAUUGCAAUCCGGGUUUUAUUGGCCUACUCUCUUCAAGGAUGCCCGUAAGUUUGUUUUAUCUUGUGAUGAAUGUCAAUGGAUUGGUAAUAUUAGUAGACGUCAAGAAAUGCCUAUGAAUUAUUCACUUUUUAUUGAACCAUUUGAUGUUUGGGGCUUUGAUUAUAUGGGACCGUUUCCUGCCUCUAAUGGGUAUACACAUAUUCUAGUUGUUGUUGAUUACAUUACUAAGUGGGUAGAAGCUAUUCCAACUAGUAGUGCUGAUCAUAACACAUCUAUUAAAAUGCUUAAAGAAGUUAUUUUUCCGAGGUUUGGAGUCCCUAGAUACUUAAUGACUGAUGGUGGUUCACAUUUUUUUCAUGGUGCUUUCCGUAAAAUGCUUGCUAAAUAUGAUGCUAAUCAUAGAAUUGCAUCUCCAUAUCACCCUCAGUCUAGUGGUCAAGUAGAAUUGAGUAACAGAGAGCUCAAAUUAAUUUUGCAGAAGACUGUUAAUAGAUCUAGAAAGAAUUGGUCCAAGAAACUUGAUGAUGCAUUAUGGGCCUAUAGAACUGCAUUUAAAAACCAAAGUUUUAGAUAGCGCGCUAUAGCGGCGCUACACGCAUCCUGACUGUGGUGCGCUACGCGAAGCUCGAUUUCACGUACGAAGAGUUAGCGUGCUAAUAGCGUGCUAGAUGUCACUUAGCGCUAAAAUUGGGCCUCUAGCAUUAGCGUCCCGCGUCUCUGACCUAAAAUUUUUGGUCCAAAAUGAAACCGCUGCAUGGGCCAAAGCCCAAGCCUACCAAUAGUCGAAUACCCCCAACCCUCCUCUCGAGCCAAACCCUAUCCCCACUCCCAUCCUCAUCUCAAACAGGAACCAUGGCGGCGGCCGACCAAUGACCAACCAUGGCGACAGCCUCGAGCUGCCACUUCGGCGACUGGCCUUCCUCGCCACUCCAUCCCAGCGACGGGGUAUUCCACUAGGCGACGCAGCUCCCAGUCGUUUCCUCUCGGCUGCUCCCUCCUGGCCACUUCCUCUGCUGACGGCGACGACCGCAUCCACAAGGCGAUGGAGCACCCCGCGGCGACGGUAUCCACCAGGCGACCAUGAGCCAGCAAAUCCCAUCAACAGGUAAGCUCAUCUAUCCUCUGUUAUCUCUUCUUGUCGAUGCUUGUAAUGCUCAAGAUUCGCAAUAAAAAUGAAUCUUUUGAAUGCUCAAGAUUUGUGUUUUUCAAACGAUGGACUCAGUUCAACGGGGAAAAUGGUGAAUAGCUGAAUGCUCCAGAUUCGCAAUAAAAAUGAAUCUGCUGAAGUUUUCAGUUAUAUACAGAAUACAGAUGCAUUGAAAGUUUAUUUGCUACAGAUGUACAUUUUUCUAUCACGUACUUUGGAUUGCCUUAAUCUGCCUAAACAAUAACUAAUUUUACUUUGUUCGCUUCUUUUUGCAUAGGUGUUGGUGGCUCAAGCACUGCCUCAAUAGCAGCACCUUCAUUCCCUCAAGUUGUUGAUUCGGAUGACCCUGCGUGGAAGUAUUGGACUCUUCCAGAUGUGAACAAGAAGCAUUGGCAGCGAUGCAACUAUUGUGGCAAGAUAUGCACAGCUGGCAUUACAAGGAUAAAGUUUCACCUUUCACAAAUAACGAAUUGUGGUGUCUUACCAUGCAAGAAGGUUCCUAGUGAUGUCAGGCUGGAGAUGAUAGCUUUGCUCCUAAAGAGUGUUGAGCUGAAGGAAAAAAAGAUCGAGGGAUUGGAGGCGCUCAGAUCUAGUGUUGACUUAGAUCACUCCGAUGAAGAACAAGAAACUGAUGAAGAAGAUGGCAAUCAGGUUGUGAUUUUGAGGUCAAAACCAGGCACAAGCAGCUCAAUGGGUGGCCCUAUGGACAAAUUCUGCAAGCCUAGUAUAGAAGAAACUGUCAAGAGGAAGCAAAAAAGAAAUUGUGAAUACGAAAAGGUUCAGUCGAAGGUGUCAACUCAGCAAAGACAACAGAGGAGGGAUAGAGCUUGUGGAUAUAUAUGUCAAUUUUUCUGUGAAGCUAGCAUCCCACAUAACACUGUCACACUUCCUAGCUUUGCAUGUAUGCUUCAGGCCAUUGGAGAUGUUGGCAGAAACUCCGAUGGGCCUACUGCAUAUGAGAUGAGUGGACUAUUCUUGCAGAAAAGGAAGAAGAAGGUGUUAGAUUCAUUCAAACCACAUAAGCAAGCAUGGGAGCACACAGGUUGUACCGUAAUGACAGAUGCAUGGACAGAUAAAAAGGGCAGGGGAGUAAUGAACCUAGUUGUGCAUAGUUCUCAAGGAGUCAUAUUCUUGAAUUCAGUUGAUUGUUCAUCGGUCCAGAAAAAUGGCAAAUACAUCUUUGACCUCGUUGAUAAUUGCAUUGAAGAUAUAGGGGCAGACAAAGUCGUUCAAGUGGUGAUCGACAAUGCUAGUGUCAAUGUAGCAGCAGCAAGUCUAAUGAAAGCAAAGCGACCUUCCAUUUUUUGGAAUGGAUGUGCAGCCCAUUGUAUUGAUCUCAUGUUGGAGGACAUAGGGAAGCUUGGAUCGGUUGACAAAAUAAUUGCCCAAGCAAGACAAGUAACGGUGUUCUUGUAUUCACAUAAGGGUGUUAGCUCUGAUGAGGAAAACACUUGGGAAAGACUUGGUAUGGUCAGGUGUUACUAGGUUUGCCACGGCUUAUCUCAAUCUUAAAAGCUUGCAAGACAACAAGAAGGAAAUGCUUAAACUAUUCAGAUCAGAUGAGCUACAUGAAAUGGGUUACUUAGAGAAGGACAAGGGGAAGAUGGCUCACAAAACGGUGCAAUCGGAAGCCUUCUGGAAAGGUGUUGGCGUUGUUGUCAACUACUUUGAGCCAAUGGCUAAUGUGCUAAGAAUAAUGGAUAGUGAUGUGCCCGCAAUGGGAUUCUUAUAUGGUUGUAUGUUGGAUGCAAAAAAGGAAAUUGUUGCGAGUUUUGAUAAUGAUGAGAGUCGCUUCAAAUGUGUUAUUGAUAUCAUUGACAAGAGAUGGGACAGAAAACUCAAGUCGCCACUACAUUUGGUUGGGUACUUUCUGAAACCCUACUAUUAUUAUCCAAACAAGGUUGUGAUAGAGAGGGAUGGAUCAUUUACAAUAGUCAUGGUCCAUUGCAUCACAAGGAUGAUUAAAGAUCAAAAAACUCAAGAUGAGCUUAUUGAUGAACUCGACAAAUACGAGGCGGAGGAAGAUUCCUUUGGAAUGGACAUUGCUGUACGACAGAGAAAAAUGUAAAAAAUUUCUCCAUGUGAGUGUUUACUGAAAUCUUGUGAUGUUAUUUCAUAUCACUUCCUCUGUUUCCCCUCUUUGUACUUGCCUAAAUAGUACAAUGUUUCAAUGUCUUAAUGCAGCAAGAUGGUGGCUAAAUUAUGGCACAUGUGCACCCCUGUUGAAGGACUUGGCAAUGAAGAUUUUGAGUUUGACAUGUAGCUCCUCAGCUUGUGAGAUAAAUUGGUCAGCAUUUGAACAAGUAAGAAAGACAAUUACAAGUUCACAAGUAAAAAAUAUAGUUCCUUGCACUUCUCACAUUGAGGCCAUGUGUUCCAUACUUGAUUUUGUUCACUUACACAAGUUCAUACAAAGAAACGCAGCAGGCUACUCCAUGAUAGGAUGAGUGAUCUUGUAUUUAUCAAGUUCAACACUAGGAUGAAGCAUAAGAGAGAGAACAAGAGUAGAGACCCAAUAGAGAAGACAAUCGUUGAUGUUCUUGAAGACGAGGAUAACGAGUUCAUCACCGGCAUUGUUGGAAAUGAUAAUGUUCUUGAACAUGUUGGUGAUGAAGAUCAAACUCAACAAGAGAGAGCUUCAACUUCACAAGAACAAGGGAAAAAGAAGAAGAGGCCUACUGCGCCCCCUAGAAAGAAGAUGAAUAAGAGCUUGCAAUCUCUCCUUAAUAGUGUCAAUGAGGAAGCUAUACUUUCUGCCUCUUCCAAUUCUUGUUCGUCAGAAUCAGAAGAUGAGUCUCCCUCGGCCCUUGCUGACAAGGAUUAAUUGCAUGGUUGGGUGUACCACUUUUGUUGUUUCAAAGUGUGCUGGUGGUAUGUUGUUAUGUUGCUAUGUCAAGUUAGUUGGCUGAACUUAUAAACCGGACCAUCUCAUGUUGUUGAUGUACCACUUUUGUUAUUCAAUGUGUGUUGGUGGUAUGUUGCUAGUUGUUAUGCCAAACUUUGCUCUGGUAUGUAAUGAAUUGAACCAUCUCCUGAUAUAUGUCCUUAUUAUGUAUUAUACUAUAUGGGGCUGUUCUUUGCAUUAUGACUAUGAGUUUAGGACUUACUGCUAUAGUUUAUGAACUACACUAUGUUAUGUGGCUGUUUGCAUGAGUAUGGUAGGAACUACAUAAUACAGUAUCAUUUUUCUAUUAACUUGGCUGUAUGCUAGUUGAUACAUGUCCAUUUUCAAGUAUAUAUAUAUAUAUAUAUAUAUAUAUAUAUAUAUAUGUCAAGUUGAUGACUGAUUCUAUGUUUAUUUUUUCAUUUUUUAUUGAUUUAUACUGAAACGCUAAAUGGGGCCUAGCACGCUAUAGCUGCGCUAUAGCGUUUCAUAGCUUUUGGUCAGGCUGAUGCUAAGAGGUUUAGCGGGCUAUCUAAAACUUUGAUAAAAACCCUAUGGGUAUGUCUCCGUAUAGAAUGGUUUAUGGAAAAUCAUGUCACUUACCUCUCGAACUAGAACAUAAGGCUUAUUGGGCAAUUUAAGAACUCAAUUAUGAUUUCAAGCUUGCCGGUAAGAAGAGGUUAUUUGACAUUAGCUCACUUGAUGAAUGGAGAACCCAAGCCUAUGAAAAUGCCAAGUUGUUUAAAGAAAAAGUCAAACGAUGGCAUGACAAAAGGAUACAAAAGCGUGGCUUUAAUGUAGGUGAUUAUGUAUUGCUAUACAACUCUCGUUUAAGAUUUUUUGCAGGAAAACUUCUCUCUAAAUGGGAAGGUCCUUACGUUAUCGAGGAGGUCUAUCGUUCCGGUGCCAUAAAAAUCAACAACUUUGAAGGCACAAAUCCGAAGGUGGUGAACGGUCAAAGAAUCAAACAUUAUAUCUCGGGUAAUCCUAUAAAUGUUGAAACAAAUGUUAUUGAAACUGUGACCCCGGAGGAGUACAUAAGAGACACUUCCCAGAAAGUUUCAGACUCCGAAAAGGAAUAGGUAUGUGGUACGGUAAGUAAACAGACUCCAGAACAGUUCUAAUGGCAUUUUUUCUCCAUUUUGGAAUAUAUAGAAAAAUAGAAAAAUAAGAAGCAGUACGGGAAGGACACGAGGGCUCCACAAGGGUGGAGGCCGCGCCCUACCCACCUAGGCGCGCCCCCUACCUCGUGGGCACCUCGUACGCUCUCUGGACUCCGUUUUCUUGCACGUUACGUAUUUUGGUCGGUAAAAAUUCAUUAUAUAAUCUCCCAAAGGUUUUGACUCAUGUAUCAUGCAAUUGUCCUCUGUUAUUGUUUCGAGCUGUUUCCUGUCAGGGUUGUCAAGGCCAGGAUUCAUGUCGUCCCCCUCCUCCAACAACGGUGACAACGAUGCUUGGCUAAUGAAGAUAGAGCUGAAGAGGGAAGAACCCAUGGAGAUCAACAAGGAUGAAGGGAUCAAAAAGGCCACGGAGGAUCAAGCUCCUGAAGACAACCUUCAACUUGAUCACAAUCUUCUUACCCCAACUGAGAUCGAAGCUUUCAGGAUGAUUGAGUUAGCUCGUAUACAAAACAAGUAUCUCACACGUGAAAAUAUUUUGUUGAACGAGCAUAUCGUUGCACUCAAGGGCAUUAUCCGCAAGUUGGAGGACCUCUUACGCUCGAUGUGCGACUGUCCAUCAUCACCUCCACCUUCUUCACCAGCAAAGGAGACAUAAUCACAUGGUUAUGGGCACUCCCCAUGGCAACUGCCAAGGUUGGGGGAGGUGCCCCAGUAUCGUAUCACCAUCACACUCCUGUCUUUACCAUUUUUCUUAGUUCGAUCCUUUUAGUAAUAUCUUGAUCUAGUAGAAUAAAUUUUAUGGCAUGAUCUAGUUUUGAGUUUUGCUUUAUGAUUCCUUUAUGUAAUCGAGUCCGUGAGCUAUAUAAUAAAGAUUAGUGUUGAGCCAAGGGCUUGAUUAUCUUGCUAUGAUCUUGAGGGAAUAAAAGAAAAGAGAAAAGAAUAAAAAGAAACAAAGAGAUCAUAUUGAUCUUAUGGAGAGUAAUGACUUCACAUAGAAAGAGUAUGAUCAUUAAAAAAUGUUAAGAGUUGACAAACAUAGCUUUGGUCAUCGUUGCAAUUAAUAGGAAGUAAUAAAGAAAGAGAGGUUUCACAUAUAAAUAUACUAUCUUGGACAUCUUGGGAGCACUCAUUAAAAUAUGACAUGCUAAAGAGUUGAUGUUGGACAAGGAAGAUGUCGGGGGUUGGGUGUGACAUAUGCCAAAGGAUGGCUUAUCAUGGUGGGAGCGAGUAGAACGUCGCCGGUGCCUGGAAGCGGGAUAAGGCGUAGACACGAACGCCGGCGUACUUUACCCAGGUUCGGGGCUCUCCUAGGAGAUAACACCCCUAGUCCUGCUCUGCGGGGUCUCCGCAUGAUCAAUAAGGCAAAGUGAAUACAAGGUUGCUCCUAGAGCUGUGUUGCUGGAGGUAGGAGAAGGCAAGGCUAGCUCUCUCCUUCCUAUAUGAUCUGGUCUAGUGCUAAUGGAUUCGAACCCUUGGCAUGGGUGCCCUGGGGGGUUUAUAUAGGCAUACCCCCCAGGGGUACAAUGGUAAUCCGACUGGGCGCAGGGCCCAGUCGUCGGUCUCUUCGGUCGCCGGCUUCUCCGCCGACUGGUGGGUCCAGCCGACUGGUCUGGUACGGAGCCGACAGGCUGCGUCCACUGCUGGUGGGUCCUGCCGACUGCUGGUUACUGUAGCCGUGCUUCUAGUGACGCGGGCUUGGUCAUGGGGUCGUGGCUACAGCUCCGCUGCCUGGCGGGCGAUUACUGUAGCCACGCCCUGUCUCGUCUGGUUGAUGGCACAUGGGACCCGCGGGAGGGGCUGGCCGACUCCUGGGGGCCGACUCCCAUUGGGUCUGACUGGAGGCACACUUGCCGUCUUCGGGACUCUCGCCGACUGGUGGGGGGCCGUCAUCCUUGGUCCGUACAGACAGGUCGUCGUGGGUGCAGGACUCCGCCCGCUAGUGCUGAUGUCAGGGAGAGCAUGGCAACAGUGCUGCGCCGGACGGAGAUCUCCGUGGGUACAGCGCACUAUGGCCAUGCCAGCCUCUGGAAAGGGGAGGGAGUGGGCGUUACUGCAGCCACACCCUGUCACAUCCCCUUGAUGAGGGCAUGGCGUUGUUGGCGUCGCGGGCCGACUCCCCAUGGCCGGCUUCGCUGGAAGCCGCCAGAUAGAAGUCGGUCUGUCCUGAGGCCGUCUCCAGGACUCGGCCGCGAGUGGGCAGUCGGCUGUUCCCCCAGCCGGCUCCCAGAAGGUGGCUCCUUGUCUUGUAGUCUGGAGGGGCGCAGUCGGCCCCAAUGUCUUGAAAGGUUCUAGGGCUCGGGUUAGUCUACCCGUGGCCCAUUACUCCGACAGUAGUCCCUGAAGCUGGUGAGGCGCCGCGGGUGAUAUGUCGAGGAGCCUCAACAGUUUCUUCUUCCCAGUGGUUGAUUUUAAGCUUCAUCCGCCGUCUUCUGCCAAGCCGACUAGCUGGAGUCGGACUUGUUCAGGCUGACUUGCCCCCAAAAAAAGUUCGAACGCCGCGGCGGGAUCCAGGUGGCGUGCCUGAUAAGCUUCCAGGUCGACGCCUGCUUCAAGCCUGCNNNNNNNNNNNNNNNNNNNNNNNNNNNNNNNNNNNNNNNNNNNNNNNNNNNNNNNNNNNNNNNNNNNNNNNNNNNNNNNNNNNNNNNNNNNNNNNNNNNNNNNNNNNNNNNNNNNNNNNNNNNNNNNNNNNNNNNNNNNNNNNNNNNNNNNNNNNNNNNNNNNNNNNNNNNNNNNNNNNNNNNNNNNNNNNNNNNNNNNNNNNNNNNNNNNNNNNNNNNNNNNNNNNNNNNNNNNNNNNNNNNNNNNNNNNNNNNNNNNNNNNNNNNNNNNNNNNNNNNNNNNNNNNNNNNNNNNNNNNNNNACAUGCCCGCCAGCAGGGCCCGCCACUACAAUGCCUCGGCACGCGAGCGGAUCUGCUGCGCCUAAAGUUGGCGGUUGAGGUUCCCGGGGCAUUACAGCGCAGUAACUUAUGCGAGAAACGUGGGGUCGUGGGGGAUGUUGGCGCAGUAAAUCCCCUGGUUGCCUCUUCGGCUUCGCAGCCCACGAGCCUAUAAGUAGGCGGAGGGAGGGGAGCGGCCAAGCACGCACGCCCCUCCUCCCUACUUCUUCCUUCUUCUCCUUCUCUUGCUGUCGUUCCCUCGAACCACUCCGUGCAACGCAGCGAUGAGCUCCUCCUCCGCUGCCACGCCCCCCGCAGUGCGCUCCGGAAUGUGGGACGGAUCCGAGGUCGACGACGACGACAUCGACACUAGUAGAAAAAGGGUCAAACGUGAAGCACAUUAGUGCCGGUUUGUAUUUGAGCCGGCACUAAUGUGCCCAUUAGUGUCGGUUCGUGGCGGAGAUCAGUAGUCCCAGUUCGUGGCGUAUCUUUAGUACCAGUUCAUGCCACGAACCGGUACUAAAGAAGGUGUGGCAGGCUGCGGUCAGGCUGUGGCCCCACCAUCAGCCUUUAGUGCCGGUUCGUGCCAUGAACCGGUACUAAAGAGGUUAGCGCAGGCUGUUUUUAGUCCCACCUCGCUCCCCUAACAAAGUUUUUACCACCUUAAAUAUGUCAUUUCUCAAACUAUCACAAGCACUUGGUCUUCAUUGAACUCUAUGUGUAGAAUUUGUGGCUGCAAUAUGAGUCUUCACUGGUUUAACCGUUGAGGACUCAUAUUGACAAUUCAGAUUGUACACAAAAAGAUCAUUGAUGAUCAAAGUAUUUUUGACAAUUUUAGACUGUAAAGAAAUAUAAGAUCAUGAUCUGAAUGCUCUUAUAUUUUUUGCGUUCCGUAUGCACCAUUCAAAGUGACGUCAUCAAUUUUAAACCCUUCCUGACAUCAUUUGCUAUUUUUCAGACAUUUACCGAUUUGUUUAAAGAGCUAAAUGCCACGAACCGGUACUAAUGAGGUUGUGUGAGGCUGUGGUUAGGCUGGGGCCCCACGAGCAUCUUUAGUACCGGUUCAUGGCAUGAACCGGUACUAGAGUUUCUUAGUAAGCUGUUUUUUAGUCCCACUUUGCUAAGAGAGAGGGACUAGGAGCGGUUUAUAAGCCCUGAGUGCAAAGACGAUGUAGAAGAGGCUCAAUGCUCAUGUUGCUUUGCUUCAAGCCUUGAGGAAUAUGGUAGACUACACGGAGCUAUGUGCAGUGCAGUUUACACUAUUCCGAAAGGCUUGAAGCAAAGUAACGAGCAUUGCACCUCUUUUUUAUUUUUAGUAACUUAUUAAACUCCGGAAUUCUUCUGUUAUGGCAAAAACUAGUUGCACUUCGGCAUUUCAUUUUUUUAAACUUUGGUUAUAACUCCAGACUUUGACAACCAAGUUUUAACCAUCAACUUGGCAUGGUAUAUAAAUAGAAGAAAAUAAAUGUCGCCGAAAAGAAAAAAUAGCAGAAAAGAAAAAAACUAUAUAAAAAAACUACGCAGAAAUAAAUAGAAGAAAAUAAGUUGACAUAUGGAAGUAAUCUGUUAAUCUGAAUUUUGUUACCAAAACCAAACUUGUUCAACAUACCAAAAGCAAACUUGUUCAUCAUUACAAAAGCAAAGUUGCUCAACAUAACGAAAGCAAACUUGUUCAACCACAUAACUACAAACUGAGACACAUAAUACCACAAACAACUCAAUAUCCCCAGUAGUAGGGGUCAUCCCAAUGAUCCUCCGCCUCUUGCCAUUGCUCCAAACCUUCUCUGAUGGUUUUGAUUUUCUUCCAUGCCUCGUAGGUGACGUACGCAUCUUUCGCUGCGUACUCGAUGAGGUUGUUUUGCAGUGGGCUAAUCCCCCAUAGUUUGUGGUCCAUUUUCUUAUCGAUCUUCUGCUUCAUUUCCUUGUAGGAUGGGUGGAUGAGGCUGGCUGCAAACUCAGCCAAAGACUGCCACUUCUUUCCAUUGGUUGGAACUCUCCAUUUGCGCUGCAUGUCGAUGAACUUGUCGGGGUUGAUCUCCAAACCAGACAACUUCAGCUUCUCCUUGUCACCUCCAAUGGAGAAGCCAACAAAGGUGUACAACUUCUUCUCCUGCAGGAGCGGGCGGAGUUCCUUGGGCCUGCAUCAAAUUAAUCUGGUGCAUCAAAUUCAUCUACUUCAAAAACUACACUAGUACAGCUAGUUCAGAAACUUCAGAACUUCAGAACUAGUAUUGCAUCUACUUCAGAACUUCAGAACUAUUGCAUCUACUUCAGAAACUUCAGAAACUACUAAUUAGAUAGAAACUUCAGAAACUUCUUCAGAACUAGUACUGCAUCUACUUCAGAACUUCAGAACUAUUGCAUCUACUUCAAAAACUUCAGAAACUACUAAUUAGACAGAAACUUCAGAAACUACUAAUUAGACAGAAACUUCAGAACUUCAGAAACUUCAGAACUGGAUGUUUUUACCAUUUGGUUGCCGCAGUGAUGUGGUAUACCAGGACGAGAUCCUCCAUGCAUAACUGCAGAACUGCAGCCAUUUGCGGAGGUUCGUCAUCCCUGGUAUACUCUAUAUCAACGCCGAUCGACCGAAACCGAGAAUGCAUGCCGCCGAGCCUCAUCCUGAUCUUGCGGAUCCUCUUGUCGGCUUCGUCUGGAUUGCUGGUGCAUACGACAUCCAGCUUCUCCUUCAGGUGGAUAUCAACCUUGAGCGGCACGGUGUAGUCCAGCUUCUGCCCGGGGAUCGGAACGUCGUCGUCGACCACUAGCGGCUCCUUGCCAGACGCCUCACCACGGUGAUGCUUGGGAGACGGAGGGGAGUUGCUCCAUGAUGCCUCCGCCAUUCUCUUGGCAGACGGAGGGGAGUUGCUCCACGAUUUCUCCGCCAUUGCCCUCCUGGCCCGCGAUGGGGGAGGCAGAGGGGAGUUGCUUGAUGGUGAAGGCAGAGGGAGGUAGAGGGAGGAACAUGGAGCGGUGAUGGAAUGAGAAGUUGCCAGUGGGGAGACGUGGGGAGUUGCCAGUGGGGAGACGUGGGGAGUUGCCUUGAAAACUCAAACGUCCUACCCUUUGGCCCUCAAAAAAAUAGCAUAAAAGAAAAAAAACUAUAUAAAAAACUACGCAGAAAUAAAUAGAAGAAAAUAAAUAUAGCAGAAAAGAAAAAAACUACUCACAAAUAAAUAGAAGAAAAAAUAAAGCAGAAAAAAAACUAUAUAGAGGAUUUUUCAUUCGUUUACUGAUUUGUUUAGAGAGCCAAAUGACCGUGAAAUUGAAAAUCACUACAAAAUGAACUCUGAAAAUGUUGAAUUUUGGCAAACUAGAUAAAAAAUUACUCACAAAUAAAUAGAAGAAAAUAAAUAUAACAGAAAAGAAAAAACUAUACAAAAAACUACGCAAAAAUAAAUAGAAGAAAAUAAAGCAGAAAAAAACUAUAAAAAAAAUUGGGGCGCUACAAAAUGACCGUGAAAUUGAAAAUCAAUACAGAAUGAACUCUGAAAAUGUUGAAUUUUGGCAAACUGGAUAAAAAAUUACUCACAAAUAAAUAAAGAAAAUAAAUAUAACAGAAAAGAAAAAACUAUACAAAAAACUACGCAGAAAUAAAUAGAAGAAAAUAAAGUAGAAAAAAAACUAUAAGAAAAAUUGGGGCGCUGCCCUGUGGGCCUGCUAGGCCACGGGCGUGCAAUUACAGGCCUUAAAGGCCCAGCAGACUCACAGGACAGCGCGCAGAAUUUAGGCCCACAAGCCUACUAUAUAGAGGAGUUCGAAGAGGUAGCCGCGACUGGGUUUAUAAACCAGUGCGACUGCCCUUCGCCUGGCAAGGUGGGACUAAACUUUGGGGUGGCAGCGCGAGGCCUUUAGUACCGGUUGGUGGCUCCAACCAGUACUAAAGACCACCCUUUAGUAUCGGUUGGAGCCACCAACCGGUACUAAAGGCCUCCUCUUCCUGCCUCUUGGCCUGGCCAAAGUUGGCCUUUAGUACCGGUUGGUGGCUCCAACCGGUACUAAAGGCCUCUCCUAUAUAUACAACACUUACGAAAAUUCAGUUAGAUCUCCCCACUUCUUUUGUCUCAACCUCUCGCGCGCCGCUCGAACCCGUCAUCGCCGCCCGUCGUCCGUCGUCGUCGUCGUCCCCGCCGCUGCCCUUCGUCGUCGUCGUCUCGCGCCGCCGCCCCGAACGCCGCGCGCCGCCGUCCGUCGUCGUUCCGCCGCGGUCACGUACGUACGUCUCUUGCUCUCCUCGCGUACCCGCCGCGCUGCCGUCAGUCGUCGUCGCACCCGGCCCGUACGUCGGCGCCCCCACCCGUACGUACGCCCCCGCCCCGUACGCCGGCGCCCCCGCUCGUACGUACGGGGCGGCCGGCGGCGUACGGGGCCGCACACACACAUACACACACAUAUAUACGUACACACACAUACACACACACAUACGUACACACAUAUAGACGUACACACACAUACACACACACACCUUUUUUUACUUAUUUUCUGUUUUUUAGAAAAGUUAAUUAGAUGAUCGAAUGUUAGAUUAAUGUCGAAUGUUAGAUGAACUAGCUAGAUAGAAAAUUGUCAAACUAGAGAUUUGAACUAGUUGAAUAAUUAAUAUAACUAGUUUAUUUUGAGUAAGAAAAUUGUCGAACUAGUUUAUUUAGGUAUAUGAGAUUUGAACUAGUUCAAUAAUUAAUAUAACUAGUUUAUUUUUAGUAAGAAAAUUUAGGUAUCUGAGAUUUAAUGAUCUAAGUAAAAUAUUAUUUGUUAAUGCGUUUUUCUGUUUAUUUAAUUUUUUAUAUAUUUUGAGUUUAUAUAAAUGUUAGAUUAAUAUCGAAUGUUAGAUGAAUUAGAUAGAAAAAGGUAAAUAUAUAGUAAUGUCAAUUGUUAGAGAUGAAUAUAGUUAGAUAUAUUAAUGUCAAAUGGUAGAUGAAUAUAUAUUUGGCUAGAUAUAAAUUAAUGUUAGAUAGUAAUAGGUGUUUAAUAUUUCACCUAUAUGAACAUAGGAAAUGUCAUCUGACGACGAAAAAGAUUUCAUUAUGUGCGAACACUGUGAAGACCAGCGCGGCCUGUGCGACAGAAAUUUCCUUGUUGAUGGUAGGCGCUUCAGCAUCAAGCUGGAUGAGACAUUCGAAGUUGAUACAGUAAGUCACUUUGGCAAUUAUUAUUUGAAUGCAAAACUUAUGCUUCAUUUGCUUCAACUUAUAAUUUUAAAUUUUCACUAUUCUACUAGCGCAUCCCCUGCCAUGCAAGAAUUUUUGUCUUGGAUAAGAUAGGUUUUAGUGCUAUAGAUGAUAUGGAGGUAAAGAGAGUUUACUUGAAGACCGAGCAUGGGUAUAGUUUCAACGUCAAAUUAUAUAAUGGAGACACAUACACCCAUUUUGAAUGCAAAACUUGGCAAGCACUAUGCAAGGCUUAUGCAUUUGAGCCUGAUAUGGUUAUCACUUUUGAUAUUCGUCCGGAAGAUGAUAUUAAAGGUAAUAUAGACAUUUGGGUCGAUGUGCAAACGCCUACAGUUCUACCAUUAUGUGAGUUUUUCUCAACCAUGCAUGCAUAUGUUUAUGUCUUUGAUACAGUUUAUUCAAAAAUAGUUGACAACUAAUUUGUAUUGUCAGCUUAUUUCGGUUCAAGAAAACAUGUCCGACGCUUGGUAGACAGGACCUACUACUGCCCCGGGGCUCAACUAAACUGCGAGGAGAUAAGUCAUUAUGUUUCAUGGCUUGAGGAUCUUAAUACUGUCAAGACAAAUUUUUUUCCUGAACUUAGAAAUGUUAGUACUCAAAACGUGCGACCAAUGGUGAUCGUAUUGAACUACGGUCACAUCUAUAAUUGAAAGAUGGUAAGACUUUUACUAUUUGUCCUUAAUUAGUGCAUCUUUUGCAUACAUUAUUUUUGAAGCUAAACUUUCAUUGCUAAGUAUAUUAUUUACUAUACAAUGUUCUUCAACAGGGACUUCCGAUGACAAUUCUGCCUCAAUGGAUCGAGACAAAAGGUCGCAUGUCAAUUGUUAGCUUACGACCAAGAUUUCCUACAUUGCACAUGAGUGAAUUCGGGAUUUCUUCAAGCGAAGAAUGCUUAAUAGUGAAAGAUUGGAGCAAAAUUGUUAAAGAUCGCAGAGAAGUACUAGGGGGCAGCAAGGACAAGCGCAGCCCAAGAUUAGGAGACAGAUUCAUCUGCAUGCUCCAGUAUGAUGAAUCAAGAGAGCUAUACAUGUUCUAUGCUAUUCUACCUGAGAGGGAGCAGCAGGAGUGACAAUUUUGCUAGUUCAUGCUCUUAAUUAGUACUUGUCCUCUCUCAUGCAUGUCCGUAUUGUCCUGAACUUCGAUGUUGGUGAUGAUUAUGUUUGAACUCGAUGAUAUCUUUGCUUCUGUUACAAAGUGAAUGUUUCUUCUUUAAGCUAGGCAGUGUUGGUGAUGAUUAGAUAGCGGUAAUGACUAUGAUGAUUAAAUAGUGGUAAUUAAUGAUGACUACGAUGAUUUUUAGCUAGCUAGAGUUAUUUAUUAAUAUGUGCUGCUGAUGAUGAUGAUGAUGAUGACGACGACGACUACAACUAAUUAUAACAUAAAACAAUCCUAAAUUAAAUUGAUAACACAAAUUUAAAUGAAAAAGAAAAAAUAAAACAAAAACCCACAAACAUUUAGUACCAGUUGGUGUUACCAACCGGUACUAAAGGGCUCCCGGCCCCCAGAGCUGGCUUGUGCCACGUGGUUUGCCUUUAGCGCCGGUUCGUGCCGAACCGGUACUAAGGGGGGGGGGCUUUAGUGCCCACAAAUUAGUGCCGGUUACGGAACCGGCACUAAAGGGCCUUACGAACCGGUGCUAUUGCCCGGUCCUGCACUAGUGCGAGCACCUCUGCCAGACGUGGCGGCUGCCCAGCAGGGGCUUAGUGCAAGUCCGCCUCGAGCCGGAGGGGGAGAUAUCGCCGGCGCCAGGGGAGUGCGAGCGGGUCAUCUUCCGCUCGCACUGCAUGCGUGGCCUGGGGCUGCCGGCGAGCGGCUUCUUCCGCUCCUUCCUGGAGUUCCAUGGGCUCCAGCCGCACCACCUCACGCCAAACACGGUGGUGGUGCUGUCCGCCUUCGCCACCUUAUGCGAAGGCUUCCUCAGCGUCCUCCCUACCAUCGAGCUCUGGGGGAAUUCUUCCAAUCCAAGCUCGGCACCCAUGUCGCCGGCGUGUCGUCCCAGUGCGGUGCGUUUAUCGCGAUACAGAGACGAGGGGCCGACAAUACGUUUCCAACCAUCGCGCUGAUAAAGUCGGUGAAGAUGUGGCAGCGGUCCUACUUCUACGUGAAGAAUGUGGCCCAGAAGGCAACUGGGUCAACCUGCCGGCUUACGAAGCCGGCGCGCCGGCUGGAAGGCUCCCCAGCUGGUCGCACCGGGCCAGGACGCUGUCACCUGCCGGAGCCGCCGCCGUCGCGCGACUCCGAGUGCUAACGCAGUCGGAGGGCCUGACUGGGUCUGACCUGCUGGCCGCCUUCGAGGCGCGCCGAGUACUCCCGCUCCAGGGCCGGCCUCACAUGAUCUGCCAGAUGAGCGGGCAUCGGGACCCGAGUCGGAUGUGCACCAAGGACAUGCCUCAUGUAGAGGUAGCGGACAUGGUGAACUACAUCGCGAACUGCGAGCUCACGAAGGAUUGGCAGUUCGGCAAGGAGCCGUAUUCAGGCGCCAACCCCUGCCCAUCGUAAGUCGUCUUUCUUCUUCUGUCUCUUUAGUGCCGAGUCCUACUGGUCCAGUCUAACCAUCAGCCUUUGAAUCAGAACCCCCUCCUCCAGCCAGCAGCCGGCACCACGGGGCCGGUCUGUCAAUUUAUCUCCGAUCGGGCGGAGAGCGAUGUUGACGACCCUGACUUAGGGGCGGCAGCUUUGGAGGCCGACGCCGAGGGAGGAGGAGGAGAAGCAGGCGGCUCUCGGCGCAGGGCCAGCUUCGCCGACUGGCCUGAUGACGAAGCCGAGGGAGAAGUCGCCCCGCACCACCAGCCAAGGGUCGGCCAGCCCGGCGCGAGCUCCUCCGCCGCCUCGGACGCUCAAGGCGGCACGAAGAAGCGCAGGGCCGGGCUGAGUAUGCUUGGUGGCCGGCCAAAGAAACCCAAGGGGGCGGCCGCGGCGACCAAGCGGGAAGAAGCGGCCGCGAGGGCCAACCGCUUCCGCAAGGAAGUGAAGCAGCCGCCGUUGAUCUCCGCGUGAGUGCUUCCGCCCCUCGUCUUUGUCUUCUCUUUGUUGAUCUUGUUUGAGUCUUUUCUUGUUUUCCCUUGAUCUAGGGCUCCCCUUUCUCUUGACAGGGUUGCUGCCUCCUCCGUCAUGGGGUCGGCGGAGACGUCUGCCACCACUCGGCGGAUUGACCCUGCCGCCGACCUCCAGGAGGCGACAAAGCGGAACGCGCGAGAGAAGCGCGCAGAGGGAGGGACCGCCCGCCUAGAGAAGGCACAGGCCGCUGCCAAGAAGAAGCUGGCAGAGGCCGAAGCCGCCAUCGUGGCGAGGGGGCAGGCUGAAGGAGCCGUGCACCGCCCAUCGGCAGUUUUCGUUACCCCGCUGAACUCCGUGCCACCACUUCCGGAGUUCACGGGGCAGACUGGGGAAGCCGGCGGUGAGAACCCGGCCAUGGAGGAGGAUGGCGGCUACGCCUUCAUUCCAGACAUGAUCGUGCCGCCACCGCCUAAAGGAAAUAUGCCCUAGAGGCAAUAAUAAAGUUAUUAUUUAUUUCCUUAUUCUCAUGAUAAAUGUUUAUUAUUCAUGCUAGAAUUGUAUUAACCGGAAACAUAAUACAUGUGUGAAUACAUAGACAAACAGAGUGUCACUAGUAUGCCUCUACUUGACUAGCUUGUUAAUCAAAGAUGGUUAUGUUUCCUCACCAUAGACAUGAGUUGUCAUUUGAUUAGCGGGAUCACAUCAUUAGGAGAAUGAUGUGAUUGACUUGACCCAUUCCGUUAGCUUAGCACUUGAUCAUUUAGUAUGUUGCUAUUGCUUUCUUCAUGACUUAUACAUGUUCCUAUGACUAUGAGAUUAUGCAACUCCCGUUUGCCGGAGGAACACUUUGGGUGCUACCAAACGUCACAACGUAACUGGGUGAUUAUAAAGGAGCAUUACAGGUGUCUCCGAAGGUACAUGUUGGGUUGACGUAUUUCGAGAUUAGGAUUUCUCACUCCGAUUGUCGGAGAGGUAUCUCUGGGCCCUCUCGGUAAUACACAUCACCUAAGCCUUGCAAGCACUGCAACUAAUAAGUUGGUUGCGAGAUGAUGAAUUAUGGAACGAGUAAAGAGACUUGCCGGUAAUGAGAUUGAACUAGGUAUUGAGAUACCGACGAUCGAAUCUCGGACAAGUAACAUACCGAUGACAAAGGGAACAACGUAUGUUGUUAUGCGGUCUGACCGAUAAAGAUCUUCGUAGAAUAUGUGGGAGCCAAUAUGAGCAUCCAGGUUCCGCUAUUGGUUAUUGACCGGAGACAUGUCUCGGUCAUGUCUACAUUGUUCUCGAACCCAUAGGGUCCGCACGCUUAAGGUCGCGAUGACAGUUUCAUUAUGAGUUUAUAUAUUUUGAUGUACCAAAGGUUGUUUGGAGUCCUGAAUGUGAUCGCAGACAUGACGAGGAGUCUCGAAAUGGUCGAGACAUAAAGAUUGAUAUAUUGGACGGCUAUAUUCGGACACCGGAAGUGUUCCGGAAGAGUUUUGGAUAAAACCAGAGUACCGGGGGGUUACCGGAACCCCCCGAGGGUUGAUGGGCCUCAUGGGCCCAAAGUGGAGAAGAGGAGGGGCGGCCAGGGCAGGCCGCGCGGCCCCUCCCCCUCUUGUCCGAAUUGGACAAGGAGGGGGGCGGCGCCCCCCUUUCCUUCCUCUCCUCUCUCCCUUCCUUCCCCCUCUCCUAGUUGGACAAGGAAAAGGAGGGAGUCCUACUCCCGGUAGGAGUAGGACUCCUCCCUGGCGCGCCUCCUCCUGGCCGGCCGCCCCUCCCCUCCACUCCUUUAUAUACGUGGGUGGGGGGCACCCCAUAGACACACAAGUUGAUCUUCGUGAUCGUUCUCUUAGCCAUUUACGGUGCCCCCCUCCACCAUAGUCCUCGAUAAUAUUGUAGCGGUGCUUAGGCGAAGCCCUGCGACGGUAGAACAUCAAGAUCGUCACCACGCCGUCAUGCUGACAGAACUCAUCCCCGAACGUGUGCUCGAACUCGGAGGUGCCGUAGUUUCGGUGCUUGAUCGGUCGGAUCGGGAAGACGUACGACUACUUCCUCUACGUUGCGUCAACGCUUCCGUUGCCGGUCUACGAGGGUACGUAGACAACACUCUCCCCUCUCGUUGCUAUGCAUCACCAUGAUCUUGCGUGUGUGUAGGAAUUUUUUUGAAAUUACUACGUUCCCCAACAGUGGCAUCCGAGCCAGGUUUUAUGCGUUGAUGUUGUGCACUAGUAGAACACAAGUGAGUUGUGGGCGAUAUAAGUCAUACUGCUUACCAGCAUGUCAUACUUUGGUUCGGCGGUAUUGUGAGAUGAAGUGGCCCAGACCGACAUUACGCGUACGCUUGCGCGAGACUGGUUUCACCGUUACGAGCACUUGUUGCUUAAAGGUGACUGGCGGGUGUCUAUCUCUCUCACUUUAGUUGAACCGAGUGUGGCUACGCCUGGUCCUUGCGAAGGUUAAAAUAGCACCAACUUGACAAACUAUCGUUGUGGUUUUUAUGCGUAGGUAAGAACGGUUCUUGCUAAGCCCGUAGCAGCCACGUAAAACUUGCAACAACAAAGUAGAGGACGUCUAACUUGUUUUUGCAGGGCAUGUUGUGAUGUAAUAUGGUCAAGACAUGCUGCUAAACUUUAUUGUAUGAGAUGAUCAUGUUUUGUAACCGAAGUUAUCGGCAACUGGCAGGAGCCAUAUGGUUGUCGCUUUAUUGUAUGCAAUGCAAUCGCCAUGUAAUGCUUUACUUUAUCACUAAGCGGUAGCGAUAGUCGUAGAAGCAUAAGAUUGGCGAGACGACAACGAUACUACGAUGGAGAUCAAGAUGUCGCGCCGGUAACGAUGGUGAUCACGACGGUGCUUCGAAGAUGGAGAUCACAAGCACAUGAUGAUGAUGGCCAUAUCAUAUCACUUAUAUUAAUUGCAUGUGAUGUUUAUCUUUUAUGCAUCUUAUCUUGCUUUGAUUGACGGUAGCAUUAUAAGAUGAUCUCUCACUAAUUAUCAAGAUAAGUGUUCUCCCUGAGUAUGCAUCGUUGCGAAAGUUCUUCGUGCUGAGACACCACGUGAUGAUCGGGUGUGAUAGGUUCUACGUUCAAAUACAACGGGUGCAAAACAUUUGUACACGCGGAAUACUCAGGUUAAACUUGACGAGCCUAGCAUAUAACAGAUAUGGCCUCGGAACACGGAGACCGAAAGGUCGAGCGUGAAUCAUAUAGUAGAUAUGAUCAACAUAGUGAUGUUCACCAUUGAAACUACUCCAUCUCACGUGAUGAUCGGACAUGGUUUAGUUGAUUUGGAUCACGUGAUCACUUAGAGGAUUAGAGGGAUGUCUAUCUAAGUGGGAGUUCUUAAGUAAUAUGAUUAAUGAACUUAAAUUUAUCAUGAACUUAGUCCUGGUAGUAUUAGCAUAUCUAUGUUGUAGAUCAAUAGCUCGCGUUGUUGCUUCCCUAUGUUUUAUAUAUGUUCCUAGAGAAAAGUAAGUUGAAAGAUGAUAGUAGCAAUGAUGCGGACUGAGUCCGUGAUUUGAGGUUUAUCUUCAUUGCUGCACAGAAGAAUUAUGUCCUUGAUGCACCGCUAGGUGACAGACCUAUUGCAGGAGCAAAUGUAGACGUUAUGAACGUUUGGCUAGCUCAAUACGAUGACUACUUGAUAGUUUAGUGCACCAUGCUUAACGGCUUAGAAUCGGGACUUCAAAGACGUUUUGAACGUCAUGGACCAUAUGAGAUGUUCCAGGAGUUGAAGUUAAUAUUUCAAGCAAAUAUCCGAGUUGAGAGAUAUGAAGUCUCUAACAAGUUCUAUAGCUAAAAGAUGGAGGAGAAUCGCUCAAGCAGUGAGCAUGUGCUCAGAUUGUCUGGGUACUACAAUCGCUUGAAUCAAGUGGGAGUUAAUCUUCCAGAUAAGAUAGUGAUUGACAGAAUUCUCUAGUCACCAUCACCAAGUUAGUAGAACUUCGUGAUGAACUAUAAUAUGCAAGGGAUAACAGAUGCAAUUCCCAAGCUCUUCGUGACGCUAGAAUCGACGAAGGUAGAAAUCAAGAAAAACAUCAACUGUUGAUGGUUGACAAGACCACUAGUUUCAAGGAAAAGGGUAAAGGGAAGAAGGGGAACUUCAAGAAGAACGGCAAGCAAGUUGCUGCUCGAGUGAAGAAGCCCAAGUGUGGUCCUAAGCCUGAGACUAAGUGCUUCUACUGCAAAGGGACUGGUCACUGGAAGCGGAACUACCCCAAGUAUUUGGCGGAUAAGAAGGAUGGCAAAGUGAACAAAGGUAUAUUUGAUAUACAAGUUAUUGAUGUGUACGUUACUAUUGUUUAUAGCAACCCCUCGGCAUUUGAGAAUGGUUCAGUUGCUAAGAGUAGUAACUCGAAACGGGAGUUGCAGAAUAAACAUAAACUAGUAAAAGUCGAGGUGACGAUGUGUGUUGGAAGUAGUUCCAAGAUUGAUAUGAUCAUCAUCGCACUCUCCCUAUACUUUCGGGAUUAGUGUUAAAACUAAAUAAGUGUUAUUUGGUGUUUGUGUUGAGCAUGAAUAUGAUUUGAUCAUGAUUAUUGCAAUACGGUUAUUCAUUUAAGUUAGAGAACAAUUGUUGUUCUAUUUACAUGAAUAAAACCUUCUAUGGUCAUACACACCAACGAAAAUGGUUUGUUGGAUCUCGAUCGUCGUAAUACACAUAUUCAUAUUAUUGAAGCCAAAAGAUGCAAAGUUAAUAAUGAUAGUGCAACUUAUUUGUGGCACUGCCGUUUAAGUCAUAUUGGUGUAAAGCGCAUGAAGAAACUCCAUGCUGAUGGAAAUUUGGAAUCACUUGAUUAUGAAUCACUUGAUGCUUGCGAACCAUGCCUCUUGGGCAAGAUGACUAAAACGCCGUUCUUCAGAACAAUGAAGCAAGCAACAGAUUUGUUGGAAAUCAUACAUACUAAUGUAUGUGGUCUGAUGAAUAUUAAGGCUUGCAGCAGGUAUCAUUAUUUUCUGACCUUCACAGAUGAUUUGAGCAGAUAUGGGUAUAUCUACUUAAUGAAAUAGAAGUCUGAAACAUUUGAAAAGUUCAUAUAAUUUCAGAGUGAAGUGGAAAAUCAUCGUCACAAGAAAAUAAAGUUUCUACGAUCUGAUCGUGGAGAAGAGUAUUUGAGUUACGAGUUUGGUCUUCAGUUAAAACAAUGUGAAAUAGUUUCACUACUCACGCCACCUGGAACACCACAACAUAAUGGUGUGUCCGAACGUCAUAACCGUACUUUAUUGGAUACAGUGCAAUCUAUGAUGUUUCUUACCGGUUUACCACUAUCGUUUUGGGGUUAUGCAUUAAAGACAGCUGCAUUCACAUUAAAAAGGGCACCAUCUAAGUCCAUUGAGAUGACACAAUCUGAACUAUAGUUUGGCAAGAAACCAAAGUUGUCGUUUCUUAAAGUUUGGGGUUGUGAUGCUUAUAUGAAAAAGUUUCAUCCUGAUAAGCUCAAACCCAAAUCGGAGAAAUAUGUCUUCAUAGGAUACCCAAAGGAGACUGUUGGGUACAGUUUCUAUCACAGAUCCUAAGGCAAGACAUUCGUUGCUUAUAAUGGAUCCUUUCUAUAGAAGGAGUUUCUCUCGAAAUAAGUGAGUGGGAGGAAAGUAGAACUUGAUGAGGUAACUGUACCUGCUCCCUUAUUGGAAAGUAGUACAUCACAGAAACCGGUUUCUGUGACACCUACACCAAUUAGUGAGGAAGCUGAUGAUAAUGAUCAUGAAACUUCAGAUCAAGUUACUACCGAACCUCGUAGAUCAACCAGAGUAAGAUCCGCACCAGAGUGGUACGGUAAUCCUGUUCUAGAAGUCAUGUUACUAGACCAUGAUGAACCUACGAACUAUGGAGAAGCGAUGGUGAGCCCAGAUUCUGCAAAAUGGCUUGAAGCCAUGAAAUCUGAGAUGGGAUCCAUGUAUGAGAACAAAGUAUGGACUUUGGUUGACUUGCCCAAUGAUUGGCAAGCAAUUGAGAAUAAAUGGAUCUUUAAGAAGAAGACUGACGCUGACGGUAAUGUUACUGUCUACAAAGCUCAACUUGUUGCAAAAGGUUUUCGACAAGUUCAAGGGAUUGACUACGAUGAGACUUUCUCACCCGUAGUGAUGCUUAUGACUAUGAAAUUUGGCAGAUGGAUGUCAAAACUGCAUUCCUGAAUGGUUUUCUGGAGGAAGAGUUGUAUAUGAUGCAACCAGAAGGUUUUGUUGAUCCAAAGGGAGCUAACAAAGUGUGCAAGCUCCAGCGAUCCAUUUAUGGACUGGUGCAAGCCUCUCGGAGUUGGAAUAAACGCUUUGAUAGUGUGAUCAAAGCAUUUGGUUUUAUACAGACUUUUGGAGAAGCCUGUAUUUACAAGAAAGUGAGUGGGAGCACUACAACAUUUCUAAUAAGUAUAUGUGAAUGACAUAUUGUUGAUCGGAAAUAAUGUAGAAUUAUUCUGCAAAGCAUAAAGGAGUGUUUGAAAGGAGUUUUUCAAAGAAAGACCUCGGUGAAGAUGCUUACAUAUUAAGCAUCAAGAUCUAUAGAGAUAGAUCAAGACGCUUUAUAAGUUUUUUCAAUGAGUACAUCCCUUGACAAGAUUUUGAAGUAGUUCAAAAUGGAAAAGUCAAAGAAAGAGUUCUUGCCUAUGUUACAAGGUGUGAAAUUGAGUAAGACUCAAAGCCCGACCAUGGCAGAAGAUAGAAAGAGAAUGAAAGUCAUUCCCUAUGCCUUAGCCAUAGGUUCUAUAAGGCCUUGUACAAUGGGAGGUGCUUAGGAGAGGUGCUUAGAGAAAUAAACCAGACUUUUCUUAAGCACCGGUGCUUAUUUAAACAGGAUAGACGCUUAACUAAGCGUCUCUCCUAUAGAAAUAGGCACCGGUGCUUUAGAAAAACCGGGUUUAUUUUUCUAAGCAUCUCUCUAAGCACCUCCCAUUGUACAAGGCCUAAAGUAUGCCAUGCUGUGUACCAGAUCUAUUGUAUACCCUACACUGUGUUUUGCAAGGGAGUACAAUAGUGAUCUAGGAGUAGAUCACUGGACAGCGGUCAAAAUUAUCCUUAGUGGAAUAAGAAUAUGUUUCUCGAUUAUGGAGGUGACAAAAGGUUCGUCGUAAAGAGUUACGUCGAUGCAAGUUUCGACACGGAUCUGGAUGACUCUAAAUCUCGAUCUAGAUACAUAUUGAAAGUGGGAGCAAUUAGCUAGAGUAGCUCCGUGCAGAGCAUUGUUGACAUAGAAAUUUGCAAAAUACAUACGGAUCUGAAUGUGGCAGACCCGUUGACUAAAUUUCUCUCACAAGCAAAACAUGGUCACACCUUAAUACUCUUUGGGUGUUAAUCACAUAGCGAUGUGAACUAGAUUAUUGACUCUAGUAAAACCCUUUGGGUGUUGGUCACAUGGCGAUGUGAACUAUGGGUGUUAAUCACAUGAUGAUGUGAACUAUUGAUGUUAAUCACAUGGUGAUGUGAUCUAGAUUAUUGACUCUAGUGCAAGUGGGAGACUGAAGGAAAUAUGCCCUAGAGGCAAUAAUAAAGUUAUUAUUUAUUUCCUUAUUCUCAUGAUAAAUGUUUAUUAUUCAUGCUAGAAUUGUAUUAACCGGAAACAUAAUACAUGUGUGAAUACAUAGACAAACAGAGUGUCACUAGUAUGCCUCUACUUGACUAGCUCGUUAAUCAAAGAUGGUUAUGUUUCCUGACCAUAGACACGAGUUGUCAUUUGAUUAGUGGGAUCACAUCAUUAGGAGAAUGAUGUGGUUGACUUGACCCAUUCCGUUAGCUUAGCACUUGAUCGUUUAGUAUGUUGCUAUUGCUUUCUUCAUGACUUAUACAUGUUACUAUGACUAUGAGAUUAUGCAACUCCCGUUUGCCGGAGGAACACUUUGGGUGCUUCCAAAUGUCACAACGUAACUGGGUGAUUAUAAAGGAGCAUUAAGGUGUCUCCGAAGGUACAUUUUGGGUUGGCAUAUUUCGAGAUUAGGAUUUGUCACUCCGAUUGUCGGAGAGGUAUCUCUGGGCCCUCUCGGUAAUACACAUCACCUAAGCCUUGCAAGCACUGCAACUAAUAAGUUGGUUGCGAGAUGAUGUAUUACGGAACGAGUAAAGAGACUUGCCGGUAACGGGAUUGAACAAGGUAUUGAGAUACCGACGAUCGAAUCUCGGACAAGUAACAUACCGAUGACAAAGGGAACAAUGUAUGUUGUUAUGCGGUCUGACCGAUAAAGAUCUUCGUAGAAUAUGUGGGAGCCAAUAUGAGCAUCCAGGUUCCGCUAUUGGUUAUUGACCGGAGACAUGUCUCGGUCGUGUCUACAUUGUUCUCGAACCCGUAGGGUCCGCACGCUUAAGGUUACGAUGACAGUUUCAUUAUGAGUUUAUAUAUUUUGAUGUACCAAAGGUUGUUCGGAGUCCCGGAUGUGAUCACGGACAAGACGAGGAGUCUCGAAAUGGUCGAGACAUAAAGAUUGAUAUAUUGGACGGCUAUAUUCGGACACCGGAAGUGUUCCGGAAGAGUUUUGGAUAAAACCGGAGUACCAUGGGNNNNNNNNNNNNNNNNNNNNNNNNNNNNNNNNNNNNNNNNNNNNNNNNNNNNNNNNNNNNNNNNNNNNNNNNNNNNNNNNNNNNNNNNNNNNNNNNNNNNNNNNNNNNNNNNNNNNNNNNNNNNNNNNNNNNNNNNNNNNNNNNNNNNNNNNNNNNNNNNNNNNNNNNNNNNNNNNNNNGGGGGUUAAUGGGCCUCAUGGGCCCAAAGUGGAGAAGAGGAGGGGCGGCUAGGGCAGGCUGCGCGCCCCCUCCCCCUCUAGUCCGAAUUGGACAAGGAGGGGGGCGGCGCCCCCCCUUUCCUUCCUCUCCUCUCUCCCUUCCUUCCCCCUCUCCUAGUUGGACAAGGAAAAGGAGGGAGUCCUACUCCCGGUAGGAGUAGGACUCCUCCCUGGCGUGCCUCCUCCUGGCCGGCCGCCCCUCCCCUCCACUCCUUUAUAUAGGGGGUGGGGGGCACCCCAUAGAUACACAUGUUGAUCUUCGUGAUCGUUCUCUUAGCCGUGUGCGGUGCCCCCCUCCACCAUAGUCCUCGAUAAUAUUGUAGCGGUGCUUAGGCGAAGCUCUGCGACGGUAGAACAUCAAGAUCGUGACCACGCCGUCAUGCUGAUGGAACUCAUCCCCGACACUUUGCUGGAUCGGAGUCCAGGGAUCGUCAUUGAGCUGAACGUGUGCUCGAACUCGGAGGUGCCGUAGUUUCGGUCGGAUCGGGAAGACGUACGACUACUUCCUCUAUGUUGCGUCAACGCUUCCGUAGCCGGUCUACGAGGGUACGUAGACAACACUCUCCCCUCUCGUUGCUAUGCAUCACCAUGAUCUUGCGUGUGCGUAGGAAAUUUUUUGAAAUUACUACGUUCCCCAACACCGCCGACAUCCGGAAGCACGCGAGGCGAGCAGCCGGCGGACCCGCUGGUGCCGCCGACUGAAGACGAGGUCGCAGCGGGGCUGAUUCUUCAAGUUGGUGCGCUGACGUGCCGCCGUCUUGUGAUGGUAGCCUCGGCGCCGCCCCCUCUAGAAGCCGGCGCCGCGAGCUCCGCGACCCCGGACACCGAGGCGACGAGCACCGCGCCCGCUGGGUGGUGCGGGUAGGCGGGACAGGCACGCUGAACUAGGCGCUCCUGGACAUCCAGGCAAAGAUCCGAGCCGAGGGCGACGCCCUCCAAAUUUGCACCAAGGCGCAUCUGGCGUCGCGGGCGGCCAUCGGAGUAUGUUUUCUCCUUCUUUGUUAUUGUUUCUUAUCUUCUUCGUGGGGGCGCGCCAGCGCACCCACUGGGUAUAGUCCCCGAGAUUCGGGCCGGCUGCUGAGCAGGCGGCUCGAAACUCUAAUUGGUGAGUUCCGAGUACUAACUUUUGUCUGAAAUCCUUCUUACAGGACUACCACAAUCUUCGUGCGGCCGCCUUCAACCGCAACGUUGAAGAACUGGCCAAACGGUCCGCUGACUUGUCGGACAGCCGGAGUAAGCUUUCUUCUUUUUCUGCGGGGGCGCGCUGGCGCACCCGCGGGCUGUAGUCCCUGAGAUUCAGGACGACUGCUGAGCAGUCGGGCCGGAUCUUCCCGGCGACCUUCUUCCUUGUUGUGGCUAACGCCCUUUUUCUCUUUUUCUUUUUUCCUUCUUCUUCAGGGGCCAACGCCAUCUUGCAGCAGCAGCUGGGCGAGGCCAACACCGCGCUGCACACCAAGGGGGAGGAGUACAACAAGCUCACCGCAGAGCGCGAUCUGCUGGUCGCGCGACUGGCAGAGCAGGAGGAGCUGCUCAAGAAGACCAAGAAGGAGGCGGAAGAAAAGGAGGCCGCCCUCCUUGCUGAGUUCGCGAUCAAGCGCUCCUCCUGGACCGACAAGGAGGCGAUGCUGACCUCCUGCUUCCAUGAGGUCGAGGACCUUGUUCAUGGUGAGUUUCCCCUUGUUUCCCUUAUUUGAGUUGUCGGCUGUUGGUCGAGCUGACUUCUGGUCGUUGACUUCUUUCCUUUGUUCUUCUGUCUUGGCAGACUUCUUCCCUGGCCAUUCGCAGGCUGCCAACCAGGCCACCGAGGCUGAUUGCGAAGGGCGGAGGGCAGAUGGCGCGGUGAUUGCCAUCGAUGCCCCCCGAACCCUCGACGAGCAGAUUCUGAGCAUCGAGGAUCGCCUUCGGCCGGCCCACCGGAUGUUGCGCCAGCUUCAGCGUGUCGGCGCCCAGGCGAUCGCCACCUUGUGGCCGGAUAUGCAGGCUCCGUGCACUCCCAGUCGGACUACCGACUGGUUGGAGGUCGCAGCUGGCCGUCUCGAGGCUUGGAAGGGUUCCUCGGCCCGGGCCGGAGCGCGUCGGGCCUUGGAGUUCGUGAAGGCGUGGUAUCUUGGGCUGGACCUGGACCGGCUAGCCACGUUCCGGCUAGAGGCCCAGGCGGAGUUGGCAGCCGUGGAAGAUGCCCUCGUCCAGCGCGCAGCGUCGAUCGCCGAGUAUACUGACACCAGCAUCUUCAUCCCAGAGCAGGCUGAAAGCGGUGAAGAGGCGCCGCCGGAGUGGUUUGGGAUGAAUCCAGACGACGGCGAGGACUCGGCGGAGGUGGUCGGCUCCAGUAGCGAAGAGGAAGGCAAGGCGGAGGAGGGAGGCGAAGGGGAAGCGCCAGAAGGUGGAGCAGACGGCCAACCUCAGCUCGACCGCGCCUCCAGCAACGACCUGCGCUCGGCCGAGCCGGCUACCGCCGGAGGGGAUCAAGCCGAGACCGCCCAGCCGGCCGCUCCAACGACUGGCACCGCCGACUCCUCCGACCCUCCGAACCCGUCUGCCACCUCCUAGGCUGCCGUUUAUCCUUGUUUCUAGUUGCUUAAUAGUCUCAAAGAACUUGUUAAUUUGCACAAUUCCACCCGCGGGGUGUAUUUUGAACUUCUAUCCGAAGAUCCGGCCAAAGGCCUUUGCUAUGUAAAUAUUUCUCCAAGUCCUAUCUCUUCUUGCUUAUUGCUCCUUUGGCUUUGUAUUUUGCCGCCUUCCCUUGGUUGCCGUCUUGCCGCCGGACAGCCGCUCUACGGGCUGCUGCCGGGUCAAGUACUUGGCUACUUUGGGAAGGCAAGUACUCAGCCGUUCAGAGUUCUUUAGCAAGUUGAAUAGAAGACGGCGAGCUGGCUGCUCAAGAGUUGGUUGUAAAAGGCUGGAAGGCGGCUAGAACUAUGUACAUGCUUUGAGUCCCUAGCCAUUUUUCAUGCGGGCACUCAUUCUACCUUACUCCUGCCCACCAGAUAGUCGCUCUGCGAGCUGCGGCUUCUGACAGGAGAUGGCUUAAGUGCCACACACUACUUGUCCGGCUGCAGGGAGCACUUCAUAGCACAAGGCGGCAAGUCCCCGGGCCAACUAGUCGAACUGCGUCAACUAUAAAAUCUUCAGAGGAGAUUGGCAUUCCAUGGCCGCUCCGAGUCUUUGCCAGAGUCAUCCCUCUUGCGUGCUCGGGGCUUCUGACCAUCGAUCAGGUAGUAGGAGUCGUUGCCCAACACUUUGCUAAUAAUAAAAGGGCCUUCCCAAGGGGCUGAAAGCUUGUGCUGGCUGGCUGUUCGCUGGAUCAGCCGGAGCACAAGGUCUCCUUCUUGGAAAGAUCUCGGCUUGACCUUCCGGUUGAAGUAUCGGCGCAGGCUCUGCUGGUAGAUGCUGGGGCGGCUGAGUGCUAACAGCUGGCCCUCUUCCAGCAGAUCGAUGCCGUCUUGGCGUGCUUCUUCUGCUUCCGCCUCGGUGUACAUGGUGACUCGUGGGGAGUCGAACUCUAUGUCUGUUGGGAUGACGGCUUCGGCACCGUAGACGAGGAAGAAAGGCGUGAAGCUGGUUGACUUGUUUGGAGUUGUGCGCAGACUCCGGAGGACAGCUGGCAACUCGUCAAGCCAACAGCCGGCCGAACAUUCUCGAGGCUCGACCAGUCGAGGCUUGAUGCCGGACAGGAUCAGGCCGUUUGCUCGCUCCACCUGACUGUUUGACUGUGGAUGGGCAACAGACGCUAAGUCCAGUCGGAUGCCCUGUGUUGCGCAGAAACAAGCCAAGGCGCCUUGGGCAAAGUUUGUGCCAUUAUUGGUGAUGAUGUUGUGUGGUAUGCCGUACCGAAUUGUGAUGUCGGAGAUGAAAGUCACGGCAGUCGGACCAUUCAGCUUCUUGAUCGGCUUUGCUUCUAUCCACUUGGUGAACUUGUCCACCGCGACAAGUAAGUGAGUCAGGCUGCCUCGUGCCGUCUUGAAUGGUCCUACCAUGUCCAGGCCCCACACAGCAAAGGCCCAGGUAAUGGGAAUGGUCUUGAGUGCAGAAGCUGGCUGAUGUGGCUUGGAGCGGAACUUCUGGCACCCUUUGCAUUUUUGGACCAACUCUUUGGCGUCUUCUAAAGCAGUUGGCCAGAAGAAACCAUGGCGGAAUGCUUUGGCGACGAGUGCUCUUGAAGCCGCGUGGUGGCCACACUCGCCUUGAUGGAUGUCUUUGAGUAUCGCUUGGCCUUGCUCAGGCACCACACAGCGCUGGUAGACGCCAGUGACACUGCUCCUUACAAGCUCUCUGUUGACUAUGGUGUAGGCCGCUGCUCGGCGUUGCACUUGCCGAGCUAGGAUCUCAUCAGUUGGCAGCUCUUUGCUCACCAGAAACUUGUGGAUGGGCUGGGCCCAUGAGGGUGCUGUGAUUUCUUCGACUAUUAGAACUGCGACUUGGACGAGGGCGGCCGGGCCGGGAGGCUACGGGUUGGAGUCGGUAGCCGCUAGCUGGAUUGAUGAAGUCACCGGGCCGAUUGGUGCAGUCCCAGGACCGAGUUUUGAAGUCCCCGGGCCGGGUUCAGAAGUCCCCGAGCCGGCUUCGACUGUCGUGGGCCCGGAGCCGCCUGUCAGAAUUCUCGUGCCGUCUGCUGUGGCACUUGAGUCGGAUCCGACUGCUUCAGGAGGAGCCGGCACAAAGAUAGUCUGAUUCUUGUGAAGGCUUGACAGACGGCUUGAGGAGGCGCUGAAGGGCGACGCCAGACGGUAUUGUCUGACGGGUAGAGCCGAUUCGUGCCAAGGCAUCAGCUUGCUCGUUGUCGUUUCUUGGCACGUGGAGGAAUUCGCACACCUCAAAAUAUCCACUCAGUUGCUGCACGAGGAAGCGGUAGCUCGCCAUAUUUGCAUCUUUGGCGUCCCAGUCGCCGGACGACUGCUGGACAACCAAGUCGGAGUCUCCAUAGCUCAGGAUCCGACAAAUGCCGAGUUCUUUGGCAAGCCAGAGCCCGUGGAUGAGUGCUUCGUAUUCGGCGACAUUGUUGGAGGCAGCGAAAUGGAUCUGCAACACAUAUUUGAGCUUGUCGCCUUUGGCAGAGGUGAGGACGAUGCCGGCUCCCAAGCCGGUGCACAUCUUGGAGCCAUCAAAAUGCAUCCGCCAAUGGGUGGAGUCGGGCGCCGGUGGCAGGUACUGGGUCUCGGCCCAGUCGACGAGGAAGUCGGCCAGCGCUUGUGACUUGAUGGCGGUGCGAGGCUGGUAGUAGAUGGUGUAGGGGGGAAACUCUAUGGCCCAUUUGGCCACUCGGUCUGAAGCAUCCCGGCUUCCGAUGAUCUCGGCCAGCGGGGCUGUGCAGACCAUAGUGAUUGGAUGUUCUUGAAAGUAAGGCUUCAGUUUCUUGGCGGCGAAGUGCACGCCGUAGCACAUCUUCUGGUAGUGGGGGUAGUUUUGCUUGGAGGUCGACAACACCUCACUCAAAUAAUAUACCGGCCUCUGGACUGGUAAUGCCCUGCCUUCCUCCUUGCACUCUACCAUGAUGACUGUGCUGACUACUCGGCUGGUGGCGGCGAUGUAUAGGAGCAUGGGCUCUUUAGGAGUCGGAGCCGCCAAGGCAGGUGGAGUAUUCAACAUCUUUUUAAGCUGGAGGAAAGCUUCGUCCGCCUUGUCGUUCCACUCAAAAAAGGUGGUUUUCUUCAUGAGUUGGUACAGGGGAAGGGCCUUCUCUCCCAGCCGACUGAUGAAGCGGCUGACAGAAGCCAAACAGCCAGUGAACUUCUGCACAUCCAGCAGUCGGGUGGGUACUUCCAUCCUCUCAAUGGCCUUGAUUUUCACGGGGUUGCACUCUAUGCCGCGUUCGGAGUCCAGAAAACCAAGAAGCUGGCCGGCUGGUACUCCGAAGACGCAUUUCUCCGGGUUGAGCUUGAUCUGGAAUCGACGCAGGUUCUCAAAGGUCUCCUUGAGGUCUUGUAGCAGCGUUCCAUGCUUUUCCGUCUUCACUACCACAUCAUCCAAGUAAACGUGGGCGUUUCUGCCGAGUUGCUUGAGAAGGCACUUCUGCAUGCAACGCUGAAAGGUGGCGCCGGCAUUCCUCAAGCCGAACGUCAUGGUCAGAUAGCAGAAGGCCCCAAACAGCGUGAUGAAGGCGGUCUUCAGCCUGUCGGCCGGGUUCAACUUGAUCUGGUGGUAUCCUGAAUAUGCAUCUAAGAGGCUCAACAGCUCGCAUCCGGCUGUGGAGUCUAUCACUUGAUCGAUCCUUGGCAGAGCGAACGGGUCUUUGGGGCAUGCUUUGUUGAGGCUAGUGUAGUCAAUACACAUUCGCCACUGCUUAUUCUUCUUCAGCACUAAGACCGGGUUGGCUAGCCACUCUGGAAAGAAUACUUCCAUAAUGAAGCCGGCAGCUAGAAGCUGGGCUAUCUCUUCUCCAACAACUCUUCUCUUCUCUUCUGACAGGCGGCGCAAGGGCUGCCUGACUGGCUUGACAUCAGAUCGGACAUGUAACUUGUGCUCGGCGAAUCCCGUCGGAACACCUGGCAUGUCUUUGGGGGACCAUGAGAAGAUGUCCCGAUUCUCACGGAGGAAGUCGACGAGCUCGCUUUCCUAUUUGUUGUCGAGGUUUGCACCUACGACAGCAUACCUCUCCGGGUGCUCCGGGUCCAAGGGUAUUUUCUUCGUCUCUUUGGCCGGCUUGAACGAGCCCUCGGCUUCCGACUCCUUGGGGUUGGGCGACAUCUCCGGCUACUUGCCUGCCAUUGCCACAACCCGGUCUAGGACCUGCUUCUCAGCCGCUAUCACGAGGGACUCGGCCAGCCGACUGCUCUCGGCCGCACAGGCAGAAGACUUCUUGUAGUCGCCGGCUAUGGUCAGAAUCCCCUUGGAACUGUGCAUCUUCAUAUUGAGGUAGGCGUAGUGGGGGACAGCCAUGAACUUGGCCAAGGCAGGUCGGCCAAGUAACGCAUGGUAUGGGCUUUCAAGGUCCACCACCUCAAACCAAACUGACUCUCGGCGGAAGUGAUCUUUGUCUCCGAAGAGGACAUCUAUUAGGAUCUUGCCGAUUGGUGAGCAGGAAAGGCCGGGAACAAUGCCACGGAAAACAGUCCGGCUACUCUGAAGCUGUCUUUGCUUGAUUCCUAACUUCUCCAUGGUGUCCUUGUACAGGAUGUUGAUGCUGCUGCCGCCGUCUAUCAGAACUCGGGAGAAACGAGCAGCUCUCCUGUCCGUGGCAAAGGUGGCACCCAAAACCAAGGCAUAAGAGCCGGGAUUGGGCAUCACCUCGGGGUGGUCAGCUCUGCUCCAGCUGAUGGGCUUCUCAGACCAAUGCAUGAACUCUGGCAUCUCUGAUGCUACCGCGUUGACUUCUUGUUGCUGCAGUCGCCUGCUGCGCUUGUCAUCAGCCACGCUAGUGAACACGACGUAGGCUCCGUGCUCUUCUGGAUACUCGUCUUUCACGGCUCCGACUGGCCUGACAGCCGGCUGCUGGGGUGGGGGAGGCGGCUGCCCAGCUGGCGGAGGAGGCGCAAGGCCGUCUCCCUUGGAGAUCUUGGAGAGCCAGUGACACUUCCGUGUUGUGUGGUUGGACGGCUUGGCUCCGCUAUGGAAUUUGCAGGGUGCAUCCAGAGUCUGCUCGUAUGAGAAGGCCGGCAACCAGUUGGACUUGCCGCCCUUCUGGCGCUUGGGCGAUGGCUGUCGAUCUUCGACUGUCGCCACCUAUCGGCUUGUGGAAGCCAGCUGCGGGGCCUUGCGCUUGUGGUCAUUCUGCUGCUGACGCCGACUGGUGUCGCCAACCGGGGUUCGGGGAGCCGGCGGUGCCGUCUUGCCCGAUGCGUCGACUCAGAUUUCUGCCUUCAUGGAGGAGUCGGCCAUAGCUAUUUGUCUGUUAUGAUCAGCAGCUCGUCGAGGGUCGCCGGCUCGUCGUAGAGGAGUCGAUGCUUGAGGAGGGUGCCCUCUCGGCACCCGGCGGUGAAGUAUUCGAUGGCCUGCACUUCGUGCACGCCCUCGCAAGAGUUGCGAAGCUCGGCCCAACGCGUGAGGUAGUCUCGAGUUGACUCGUCGGGGCCUUGCAUGCACAAGGAAAGCUGGCGAUGUUUGGGAGGUCGCUUGUACGUGCUGGUGAAGUUAUGGACAAAGGCGUCGGUGAAGUCGACCCAACUGUUGAUGAUGCGGGGCUUCAAGUUGUUCUACCACGUCCGGGUCGUGCCCUGGAGCAUGAGUGGAACAUACUUUACGGCAACGCGCUUGUUGCCAGUCGCUAUGUUGACGGCCAUGGAGUAGUCAAUCAGCCAGUCUUCCGACUUCACGGAGCCGGUGUACUUGGGUGUGUCUCUUGGGAGCGUGAACCCUUUGGGGAAGGGCUCGUCUCGAAUGCGGGGGCCAAAACACGGCGGCCCCAACUCGUCUUCUUCUUCUUCCACCGCCAGGGACAGUUGGAGUCGGUCGAUCCGGUGGCGGGCGUCAUUCCCUCCGACUCCAUCUCGGCGGCCAAGUCGGUCGCCAAGUGUCGGGUGGUCGAUAGGCGGCGGGGAGACACGCCUUUCCCUGCGGGGGGAGGAGGCGGGCUGUCAUCCCGUCGUUCUACUGCUCUCGGGCGGCCGUCUUAGUCUCGCUCUAUGGUGACGCGAGCCCGAUUGCAGCUGGCAGCCGGCUCCUUGUCUCUUCUCCUACGGGCGCCGCCAGUCGACGUCCGAGAUGUCGCGCCUUGAUCGAGGAGCCGCUGGACGCGCUCUGCCAUCAGGCGACGUUCCUCGCCCUCGAACUGGUCCAGCUCUUCUGUUGCUGCCUGGGCAGCCCGGAUGUUCUCCGCAGGCGUGUCGUAGACGGGGCGAUCUGCCCCGAACAGGUUGGCGAUGGCCACGCCGCGCCGCUGGACCGUGCCAAGGUGGCUGGGCCCAGUCGGAGCCAGCGUGUCGCCCACAGCGCGGUCCAUCUCGCGCUGAUAGGCCUCAGAGAGGCGUCUCAUGCUAGCGAGCUUCCUGGCGCCUUCGACGAGUUGGAGGCAGCAUGCCUCCAGCGUCUCGGUGUCGGCGUCUUCUGGGAUAGGCACCGUCAUGUCUUGCAGAGCUACGUCUAACGGGUCAUGAGCGCCUCCGCCGGAGGGCUCGCCAUGACCAAUGACCAGCACCUCCAUGAAGGUACUUCCGCCUCUCUCCGCGCGAGGGAGCGGCUCGUUGUAGACCACCACGUUGGAGGGAAACGCGUCGAGCGACGCGGUGUCAGAAUCUACCAACAUCGGGUCGGUGGAGCCUACGGACUCCAAGUCCCCAGCUGGCUCAUUGGCGACCUGGAGUUGGUCGAGGAGGCUCGCGAGGAGGCUCUCGGGGCCGCCUGUGCCCGCGUCGGAUGCGGGCUCGUCGGAGAGGUGAACCUCACUGACGAGAUAAGUGAGGCGAUUGGCCGCGUAGGCGAUUUCGGUGCCAUGCAGCAGGUCAGCGCAGACUCCGUCUGGCGUGCCGGGCUGGCUGCGCUCGCCAGGGAGGAAAAGGGUUCCCGUUCAGAACAGAUCUCCGGACGACGGUGCACCUCACCCCAUGGUGGGCGCCAAAUGUCGGGGGUUGGGUGCGACAUAUGCCAAAGGAUGGCUUAUCAUGGUGGGAGCGAGUAGAACGUCGCCGGUGCCUGGAAGCGGGAUAAGGCAUAGACACGAACCUCGGCGUACUUUACCCAGGUUCGGGGCUCUCCUAGGAGAUAACACCCCUAGUCCUGCUCUGCGGGGUCUCCGCAUGAUCACUAAGUCAAAGUGAAUACAAGGUUGCUCCUAGAGCUGUGUUGCUGGAGGUAGGAGAAGGCAAGGCUAGCUCUCUCCUUCCUAUAUGAUCUGGUCUACUGCUAAUGGAUACGAACCCUUGGCAUGGGUGCCCUGGGGGGUUUAUAUAGGCCUACCCCCCAGGGGUACAAUGGUAAUCCGACUGGGCGCAGGGCCCAGCCGUCUGUCUCUUCGGUCACCGGCUUCUUCGCCGACUGCUAGGGCCCGCCGACUGGUCUAGUACGGAGCCGACAGGCCGCGUCCGCUGCUGGCGGGUCAUGUCGGCUGCUGGUAACUGUAGCCGUGCUUCUAAUGACGCGGGCUUGGUCAUGGGGUCGUGGCUACAGCUCCGCCGCCUGGCGGGCAAUUACUGUAGCCACUCCCUGUCUCGUCUGGUUGAUGGCACAUGGGACCCGCGGGAGGGGUUGGCCGACUCCUGGGGGCCGACUCCCAUCGCGUCCGACUGGAGGCGCGCUUGCCGUCUUCAGGACUCUCGCUGACUGGUGGGGGCCCAUCGUCCUUGGGCCGUACAGACAGGUCGUCGUGGGUGCAGGACUCCGCCCGCUAGUGCUGAUGUCAGGGAGGGCAUGGCAACAGUGCCGUGCCGGACGGAGAUCUCCGUGGGUACAGCACACUGUGGCCAUGCCAGCCUCUGGAAAGUGGAGGGAGUGGGCGUUACUGCAGCCACUCCCUGUCUCAUCCCCUUGAUGAGGGCAUGGGGUUGUUGGCAUCGCGGGCCGACUCCCCAUGGUCGGCUUCGCUGGAAGUCGCCAGAUAGGAGUCGGUCUGUCCUGAGGCCGUCUCCAGGACUCGGCCGCGGGUGGGCAGUCGGCUGUUCCCACAGCCGGCUCCCAGAAGGCGGCUCCUUGUCUUGGAGUCUAGAGGGGCGCAGUCGGCCCCGAUGUCUUGAAAGGUUUUGGGGCUCGGGUUAGCCUACCCGUGGCCCAUUACUCCUACAGAAGACAACAUAAUGGGUUAUGUUUUCUUAUAUCUGAGAUAAAGUAUAUUGUCAUGGAUCAUCCAACAUGUUGAGCUUGUCUUUCCCCCUCAUGCUAGCCAAAUUCUUUGCACCAAGCAGAGAUACUACUUGUGCUUCCAAAUUCCCUUAAACCCAGUUUCGCCAUGAGAGUCCACCAUAUCUACCUAUGGGUUGAGUAAGAUCCUUCAAGUAAGUUGUCAUUGGUGCAAGCAAUACAAAUUGCUCUCUAAAUAUGUAUGAUUGACUAGUGUGGAGGAAACGAACUUUAUACGAUAUUGUGAUGUGGAAGAAAUAAAAGCGACGGACUGCAUAAUAAAGGUUCAUAUCACAAGUGGCAAUAUAAAGUGAUGUUCUUUCGCAUUAAGAUUUUGUGCAUUCAACCAUAAAAGCGCAUGGCAACCUCUGCUUCCCUCUGCGAAGGGCCUAUCUUUUAUUAUUAUCUUCUACCACUAGUGCAGAACCGGGCUAUAGCACCGGUUCGUAAGGGCCUUUAGUGCCGGUUCUGUAACCGGCACUAAAGGGUUGGCACUAAAGGCCCCCCCUUUAGUACCGGUUCAGCACGAACCGGCGCUAAAGUGCCACCACGUGGCACGAGCCAGGCCACGGGUGCGGUAGAUCAUUAGUACCAGUUGGUAACACCAACCGAUACUAAAUGUUUGUGGGUUUUGGUUUUAUUUUUUAUUUUUCCUUCAAAUUUGUGUUUUCAAUUUAAUUUAGUAUUGUUUUACAUUAUAAUGAGUUGUUAAAUCAUUAGGUGAAAGUACUACAGAAUAGUUUCGACUGGAUGCAGCUAGUUAAUAAGCUAAGUGAUCAAGUAUAUGCCAUAUCCAUAUUAUAUAUACUUGAUCACCUAAAGUGAUCAAGUAAUAUGGAUAUGGCAUAUAUUUGAUCACUUAGCUAGCUAGCUAUCUAGGAUCCACAUGCGUGCACUAACACUAGCUUAAAGAAGAAACAUUCACUUAUACCAGAAGCAAAGAUAUCAUCGCGAGUUCAACAUGGUCAUGAUAUUAUAAUUAAGCGCGUUCAUAUAACACCACAAAAGCAAAUCACUCUUAGAUUAAGUUCAGGACGAAGAACGACAUGAGAGGAAGUACUAAGAGCAUGAACUAGCUAAAUCACCCCUGCUGCUCCCUCUCAGGUAAAAUAGCAUAGAACAUGUAUAGCUCUCCUGAUUCAUCAUACUGGAGCAUGCAGAUGAACCUGUCACCUAUGCGUGGCCUGCGCUUCUCAUUGCUGCCCCCUAGUACUUCUCUGGGAUCGUUAACAAUUUUGCUCUAAUCUUUCACUAUUAAGCAAUCAUCGCUUUCAAAAAUCCUGAAUUCACUCGUGUUCCAUGUAGGAUAUCUUGGCCGUAAGCUAACCAUUGACAUGAGACCUUUAGUCUCGAUCCACUGAGGCACAACUUUCAUCGGGAGUCCAUGUUAAAGAACAUCAUAUAGUAAUUAAUAUACUUAGCAAUGAAAGUUUAGCUUUAAAAAUAAUGUAUGCAAAAGAUGUAAGGACAAAUAGUAAAAAUCUUACCAUCUUUCCAUUAUAGAUGUGACCGUAGUUCAAUACGAUCACUAUUGGUCGCACGUUUUGAGUACUAACAUUUCUAAGUGCAGGAAGAACAUUUGUCUUGACAGUAUGAAGAUCCUCAAGCCAUGAAACAUAAUGACUUAUCUCCUCACAGUUUAGUUCAGCCCCGGGGCAGUAGUAGGUCCUGUCCACCAAGCGCCGGACAUGUUUGGUUGAACCGAAAUAAGCUGACAAUACAAAUUAGUUGUCAACUAUUUUUGAAUAAACAAUAUCAAAGACAUAAACAUAUGCAUGCAUGGUUGAGAAAAACUCACAUAAUGGUAGAACUGGAGGCGUUUGCACAUCGACCCAGAUGUCUCUAUUACCUUCAAUAUCAUCUUCCGGACGAAUAUCAUAGGUGAUAACCAUAUCAGGCUCAAAUGCAUAAGCCUUGCAUAGUGCUUGCCAAGUUUUGCAUUCAAAAUGGGUGUAUGUGUCUCCAUUGUAUAAUUUAACGUUGAAAGUAUACCCAUGCUCGGUCUUCAAGUAAACUCUCUUUACCUCCAUAUCAUCUAUAGCACUAAAACUUAUCUUAUCCAAGACAAAAAUUCUUGCAUGGCAGGGGAUGCGCUAGUAGAAUAAUGAAAAUUUAAAAUUAUAAGUUGAAGCAAAUGAAGCAUAAGUCAUGCUUUAAAAUUAUAAUUUAAAAUUAUAAGUUUUGCAUUCAAAAAAUAAUUGCCGUUGUGACUUACUGUAUCCACUUCGAAUGUCUCAUCCAGCUUGAUGCUAAAGCGCCUAUCAUCAACAAGGAAAUUUCUGUCGCACAGGCCGCGCUGGUCUUCACAGUGUUCGCACAUAAUGAAAUCUUUUUCGUCGUCAGAUGACAUUUCCUAUGUUCAUAUAGGUGAAACAUUAAACACUUAUUACUAUCUAACAUUAAUUAAUAUCUAGCUAAUUCAAAUAUAUAUUCAUCUAACAUUUGACAUUAAUAUAUCUAACUAUAUUCAUCUCUAACACAAUUGACAUUAAUAUAUAUUUAACUUUUCUAUCUAAUUCAUCUAACAUUCGACAUUAAUCUAACAUUUAUAUAAACUAAAUAUAUAUAUAUAUAUAUAAUUAAAUAAACAGAAAAACUCAUUAACAAAUAAUAUUUUAAUUAGAUCAUCAAUUCUCUGAUACUUAAAUUUUCUUACUAAAAAUAAAGUAGUUCGAUUAUUUUCUCACUAAAAAUAAAAUAGUUAUAUUAAUUAUUCAACUAGUUCAAAUCUCAUAUACUUAAUUAAUAUCUAGCUAUAUUCAUCUCUAACAAUUGACUUUUCUAAAAAACAGAUAACAGACGGCGGCGGCAAGUAAAAAAAUGUGUAUGUGUGUGNNNNNNNNNNNNNNNNNNNNNNNNNNNNNNNNNNNNNNNNNNNNNNNNNNNNNNNNNNNNNNNNNNNNNNNNNNNNNNNNNNNNNNNNNNNNNNNNNNNNNNNNNNNNNNNNNNNNNNNNNNNNNNNNNNNNNNNNNNNNNNNNNNNNNNNNNNNNNNNNNNNNNNNNNNNNNNNNNNNNNNNNNNNNNNNNNNNNNNNNNNNNNNNNNNNNNNNNNNNNNNNNNNNNNNNNNNNNNNNNNNNNNNNNNNNNNNNNNNNNNNNNNNNNNNNNNNNNNNNNNNNNNNNNNNNNNNNNNNNNNNNNNNNNNNNNNNNNNNNNNNNNNNNNNNNNNNNNNNNNNNNNNNNNNNNNNNNNNNNNNNNNNNNNNNNNNNNNNNNNNNNNNNNNNNNNNNNNNNNNNNNNNNNNNNNNNNNNNNNNNNNNNNNNNNNNNNNNNNNNNNNNNNNNNNNNNNNNNNNNNNNNNNNNNNNNNNNNNNNNNNNNNNNNNNNNNNNNNNNNNNNNNNNNNNNNNNNNNNNNNNNNNNNNNNNNNNNNNNNNNNNNNNNNNNNNNNNNNNNNNNNNNNNNNNNNNNNNNNNNNNNNNNNNNNNNNNNNNNNNNNNNNNNNNNUGUCACACCCUAGCUAGUCAUGCAUUAGAGUGUUGCAUCAUGUUUACUCUUUCAUCAGAAACUUGAAAUGGGGAUGACAGAACCCCCAGUCCCCUCUGAAACCAACUAGGGUUUACUAAAAUAAUUUUUCAAUGAACCUGAAAUGCCCUUCUAAAAUGUCCAUCAUUUUAGCCUUGGUUCAGAACCUCUGACAAAAGUGGUGCACAUUUUUCUAGGCCAUCCUAGGGUCUUUGAAUUAAAUCAUAGAUAUUUGAAUUUGGGCAUUUAAAAUAAUAUAAAAUAUUUAAAUGCUCAAAUAUCUCCAAACUAAAAUGUUUCAUGUUGGAAAUAAUCCAACUAUGGACCAGGAGUAGUUUGGUGAAUUUUGGAGUUGCCUAGGUAUUUUAUUUAAUUCAACAAAGUUGCAGAUAUAUUAAAUAAAACAGAAAACAGAAAAGAAAGGGGAAAGACUUACCUGCGCGGCCCAGCCAGCUGGCCGGCCCAGCUAGCACCCGACCCAGCCCAACACUGUAGCUCCCCGUCGUCUUCCUCCCCACGCCCCGAAGCUGCUGCGUGCUCGCGCGCGCGCGGCCGCGCGGCCACCUCCUGCUUGCCGACGCCCUCCUGGCCGCGUGGACGACGUCCGCAGCCCGUCCCGAUCCCCCCUGCUCUCGCUCACUCUCCCCCGUUUCUCCCUCGCUCUCUCUCGCUCGCGACCGAAGAUCACCGUCGCCGCCGUUCGCCGUAGCCACUGUCUCCGGCCACCCCUCACUCCCCCGAGUAGCUCAGAAGCUCCGCCACAACUCCCUCUUCCUCCCCACCGCUCCACGAGUCCCCGGAAGCCCUGCAUCGCCGCCACGUCGCCGUUCCCCUCUUCGGGCUCCGACCACCGUCGCCGACGAAUUCGCCGUCUCCAGCGCAUCCCCGAGCCCGCUUCGACGCCCACUGCAACCGCGGUGAGCUACGCCACCGUUUCCCCCUCUUCUUCCCCUCGUUCCCUCACCGUAGCUGCAUCCCCACCACGGCCGAACCUCCGCCGUCGCCGAGCUCGCCGUCGACGCAGCUCCGGUGACCAUUUGGUCACCCCGGCGAGUCCAACACGUUCGCAAGAACCAGUAGAGCAUCCCUAGCGCCUCACUUUGCUCGACUUCGAGCUCCAGCACCACUCCCGUGCACGACCGAACCCCGGCGGCCGCAGCCGAGCUCACCGCCGUCAACUCCGGCCACCCCGACCCCAACUGACUCCGCCAAGAGCCGCGGGUCGUCCUCAACUUCACUCCGGUGGUCGCCGCGUUCCAUUUGGUGGCCGAAACGACCAAAACCACUAUCGCCGCCGCACUGUUGGUCGCCGCCGGCCAGAACUCUGGCGAGCUGACGUGGCCUAGUUGAUUAACCCCUAAUCCACCACCUACUGACGCUGACAAGUGGGCCCCAGGGCAUAGUCAAAGCUAACCAGCCCGGGGUCAACGCGGGAUUAGCCCCUGUGACACUGACGUGUGGACCCCACACGUCAGGUUUGACCCGAGCCAGCCCUAUUGACCUGCUGAUGUCACUGUGAUGUCAGGCUGACGCAGUAAUUGAAUUUCUGGAUUUAAAUUAAAUCAGGAAAUUCCAGAAUAUUAUUUAAACUUCAAAAAUUCAUAACUUUUAUUCUGUAACUCCAAAUUGGACAAAUUAUAUAUGAAAAAUGAUCAGAAAAAUCCAAUCUAUCCAUCUGUACUAUUUUCAUGCAUGAUCAAACAAGUUAAAUUGAUGUUUUAAUCAGAACAAGGAAAGGCACUUUAAAAGGCCAUAUUUGAAUUUGGAAUUUGAAUCUUUGAUUCAAAUUUGCUCAAACCCUACUGGCUUUAGUUGCAUUAGCCCAACACACUCAUAUUGCCAUGUUUCAUGCAUGCAUCAUAUUGUUGCACAUUGUUUGGUGAUGCCUGUGUAUCGUUAUCCUUUGCGACAGAAUCUGUCCCCGAGGAGUNNNNNNNNNNNNNNNNNNNNNNNNNNNNNNNNNNNNNNNNNNNNNNNNNNNNNNNNNNNNNNNNNNNNNNNNNNNNNNNNNNNNNNNNNNNNNNNNNNNNNNNNNNNNNNNNNNNNNNNNNNNNNNNNNNNNNNNNNNNNNNNNNNNNNNNNNNNNNNNNNNNNNNNNNNNNNNNNNNNNNNNNNNNNNNNNNNNNNNNNNNNNNNNNNNNNNNNNNNNNNNNNNNNNNNNNNNNNNNNNNNNNNNNNNNNNNNNNNNNNNNNNNNNNNNNNNNNNNNNNNNNNNNNNNNNNNNNNNNNNNNNNNNNNNNNNNNNNNNNNNNNNNNNNNNNNNNNNNNNNNNNNNNNNNNNNNNNNNNNNNNNNNNNNNNNNNNNNNNNNNNNNNNNNNNNNNNNNNNNNNNNNNNNNNNNNNNNNNNNNNNNNNNNNNNNNNNNNNNNNNNNNNNNNNNNNNNNNNNNNNNNNNNNNNNNNNNNNNNNNNNNNNNNNNNNNNNNNNNNNNNNNNNNNNNNNNNNNNNNNNNNNNNNNNNNNNNNNNNNNNNNNNNNNNNNNNNNNNNNNNNNNNNNNNNNNNNNNNNNNNNNNNNNNNNNNNNNNNNNNNNNUAAUAUCUAGCUAUAUUCAUCUCUAACAAUUGACUUUUCUAAAAAACAGAUAACAGACGGCGGCGGCAAGUAAAAAAAUGUGUAUGUGUGUGUAUGUGCGUGUGUAUGUGUGUGUAUGUGCGUGUAUACGUACGUGUGUGUGUGUAUAUAUGUGCAGUACGCCGCCGCCCCGUACGUACGAGCGGGGGCGCCGGCGUACGGGGCCGGGGCGGCGGCGUACGUACGGGCCGGCCGGGGCGCGCGGGUGCGAGGAGAGAGAGACGUACGUACGGGCGGCGCCGCGGCGACGACGACAGACGGUGGCGGCGUUCGGGGCAGCGGCGCGAGACGACGACGACGGGCGCGGUUGGAGACGAAGUGGGAGACGACGACGACGAAGGGCGGCGGCGCGGUUGGAGAGACGAAGUGGGAGAUGAAACUGAAAUUUUCAUAAGUGCUAUAUAUAUAUAGGUCGGGCCUUUAGUACCAGUUGGUGGCUCCAACCGGUACUAAAGGCUUAUUUUCGCCAGGCCAAGUGUCACACCCUAGCUAGUCAUGCAUUAGAGUGUUGCAUCAUGUUUACUCUUUCAUCAGAAACUUGAAAUGGGGAUGACAGAACCCCCAGUCCCCUCUGAAACCAACUAGGGUUUACUAAAAUAAUUUUUCAAUGAACCUGAAAUGCCCUUCUAAAAUGUCCAUCAUUUUAGCCUUGGUUCAGAACCUCUGACAAAAGUGGUGCACAUUUUUCUAGGCCAUCCUAGGGUCUUUGAAUUAAAUCAUAGAUAUUUGAAUUUGGGCAUUUAAAAUAAUAUAAAAUAUUUAAAUGCUCAAAUAUCUCCAAACUAAAAUGUUUCAUGUUGGAAAUAAUCCAACUAUGGACCAGGAGUAGUUUGGUGAAUUUUGGAGUUGCCUAGGUAUUUUAUUUAAUUCAACAAAGUUGCAGAUAUAUUAAAUAAAACAGAAAACAGAAAAGAAAGGGGAAAGACUUACCUGCGCGGCCCAGCCAGCUGGCCGGCCCAGCUAGCAGCCGACCCAGCCCAACACUGUAGCUCCCCGUCGUCUUCCUCCCCACGCCCCGAAGCUGCUGCGUGCUCGCGCGCGCGCGGCCGCGCGGCCACCUCCUGCUUGCCGACGCCCUCCUGGCCGCGUGGACGACGUCCGCAGCCCGUUCCGAUCCCCCCUGCUCUCGCUCACUCUCCCCCGUUUCUCCCUCGCUCUCUCUCGCUCUCGGCCGAAGAUCAUCGUCGCCGCCGUUCGCCGUAGCCACUGACUCCGGCCACCCCUCGCUCCUCCGAGUAGCUCAGAAGCUCCGCCACAACUCCCUCUUCCUCCCCACCGCUCCACGAGUCCCCGGAAGCCCUGCAUCGCCGACACGUCGCCGUUCCCCUCUUCGGACUCCGACCACCGUCGCCGUCAAAUUCGUCGUCUCCGACGCGUCCCCGAGCCCGCUUCGACGCCCACUGCAACCGCGGUGAGCUACGCCACCGUUUCCCCCUCUUCUUCCCCUCGUUCCCUCACCGUAGCUUCAUCUCCACCACGGCCGAACCUCCGCCGUCGCCGAGCUCGCCGUCGACGCAGCUCCGGUGACCAUUUGGUCACCCCGGCGAGUCCAACGAGUUCACAGAACCCAGUAGAGCAUCCCUAGCGCCUCACUUUGCUCGACUUCGAGCUCCAGCACCACUCCCGUGCACGACCGAACCCCGGCGGCCGCAGCCGAGCUCACCGCCGUCAACUCCGGCCACCCCGACCCCAACAGACUCCGCCAAGAGCCGCGGGUCAUCCUCAGCUUCACUCCGGUGAUCUCCGCGUUCCAUUUGGUGGCCGAAACGACCAAAACCACUAUCGCCGCCGCACUGUUGGUCGCCGCCGGCCAGAACUCCGGCGAGCUGACGUGGCCUAGUUGAUUAACCACUAAUCCACCACCUACUGACGCUGACAAGUGGGCCCCAGGGCAUAGUCAAAGCUAACCAGCCCGGGGUCAACGCGGGAUUAGCCCCUGUGACACUGACGUGUGGACCCCACACGUCAGGUUUGACCCGAGCCAGCCCUGUUGACCUGCUGAUGUCACUGUGAUGUCAGGCUGACGCAGUAAAUGAUAUUUCUGGAUUUAAAUUAAAUCAGGAAAUUCCAGAAUAUUAUUUAAACUUCAAAAAUUCAUAACUUUUAUUCUGUAACUCCAAAUUGGACAAAUUAUAUAUGAAAAAUGAUCAGAAAAAUCCAAUCUAUCCAUCUGUACUAUUUUCAUGCAUGAUCAAACAAGUUAAAUUGAUGUUUUAAUCAGAACAAGGAAAGGCACUUUAAAAGGCCAUAUUUGAAUUUGGAAUUUGAAUCUUUGAUUCAAAUUUGCUCAAACCCUACUGGCUUUAGUUGCAUUAGCCCAACACACUCAUAUUGCCAUGUUUCAUGCAUGCAUCAUAUUGUUGCACAUUGUUUGGUGAUGCAUGUGUAUCGUUAUCCUUUGCGACAGAAUCUGUCCCCGAGGAGUAUCGUGAUUACCCUAACGAAGAGUCGUAUCUGUGCAACGAAUCAUCAGGCAAGCAACCAACCAUUUGAUCAUAUCGAUACAAUCCCAUGUUCUCGCUCCUGCUCUAUUUUACUGCAUUAAGACAACGCGAUUCAAACUGCUGUGUGCUACGGUAGUUGAACCCAUUUCCUCUGCAUGACCUGUCAUUGCCACAGUAACUAGAUGAAACCCACUAGCAUGUGUAGGAGUUGAUUGAGCCAUAUGUAUGUGUUGUUCCUACCUUGCUAUGCCUGCUAUGCUUAGAGUUGUGUCAGGUCUGGUUCAUCUGGGUGAUGGGCUAGAGUGAAAUGAUUAUGUCGGUAAUAAGAGUGGUGUGGUGAACACGAUUUGGUAAAGGUAUCGAUGAGAGGCCAUGUAGGAGUACAUGGUGGGUUGUUUCAUUGAAGCCGACCUUAAGCACUGAGAUCUGUAUGUGUGAUUUAAGAUACAGCUACUACCAUGCAUUGGGCCCUGAAAUAUGACCCCGCUCGACUUCUUAUUCACCCUAGCUCUCUGUCCAGGAGUUGCUAGUAGUUUCUGGUGUUUGUAGCCUACUGGAGGCCGUGGACAGCGCUGACCGUAGGGGUGGGCUGUGAUGCGGUAGGUACGUGGCCGGGUGUACCGAAUACCCGUUAGGUAUCUCGGGAACCCUGUUCACAUCGUUCGGGGCCGUAUGGGAAACCUCGGCCGGACUCCCUGCGGAUGGAACCUGAAUAGGCGAUAAACCUGGACUAGAGGCUUAAGUGUUUAGGUAGGUCGUGGUCUACACCCACGUCGGCUUUCGCUUGAAGUCUGCCGAGCACAUGUCGUGUGCAGACGCUAAGUGGUGGAAACAUGUAUGAAGAAGUACACCCCUGCAGGGUUAACAUGAUCUAUUCGAAUAGCCGCGUCCGCGGUAAAGGACUACUUGGUUGCCUAUACAGUUCAUAGACAAGUAAAUGGAAACUACUAAAAGCCUCAAGAUAAGUGUGAGUGCCGAGGAUGGCUCUUCCGUAGGAAGACGGAGGUGAAUCCUCGGUAGUGUAUUGAAGUGGUGAGUAGUGGACUCGAGUGCGCAAAACAUUUUAAGUUGGUGUAUCGUAGGAUAGCCUAGCCAAGAGUCAAAGCUGGCUUGCUGCAAUAACUCCACCAACCCUUCCUGAUACUGUGCAUGUAUGUAGGAUCUGAUGUAAGUCUUGCUGAGUACCUUUGUACUCAUGUUGCUAUAUUCUACAUUUUUACAGAAGACGCUGCAACCCCUUCUGAUGGGUUCUAUGUAGACGUUGACAUCAACGAGUAGGCUAAAGACCCAGGUGGUGACCCUGAGCUUGUGAUGGACCACGUAGUAUAGUUAGGCUUCCAAGCCUCUUUUAUUUUACUAGUUGUCUGUACUCAGACAAGUUACUUCCGCUGCUGGCUUGUAUGACUGUAUGACUUGUAUGUUGGGUCGUGAGACCCGUACCUUUGUGUAUGAUAUAUAUAUGGCUCCCUGAGCCUUAAAUAAAGUAUUUGUGUCAUAGAGUCAUGUUGUGAUGCUUCGUUGUAUUUGCACAUAUCGAGCAUAUUGUGUGUAUGAUUGAAAUGCUUGGUAUGUGUGGGAUCUGACUAUCUAGUUGUUUAUCUUUAGUAGCCUCUCUUACCGGGAAAUGUCUCCUAGUGUUACCGCUGAGCCAUGGUAGCUUGCUACUGCUCUGGAACACUUAGGCUGGCCGGCAUGUGUCCUUCUUCGUUCCUGUGUCUGUCCCUUCGGGGAAAUGUCACGCAUUGAGUACCGGAGUCCUGUUAGCCCGCUACAGCCCGGUUUACCGGAGUCCUGCUAGCCCAGUGCUACAGCCCGGACCCACUUGUUGAUGACCGACACGUUCGAAGCUGGGUCAUGGAUGCCUGUCCCUGUAAGUCUGUGCCACUUUGGGUUUACGACUAGUCAUGUCAGCCCGGGCUCUUUAUCAUAUGGAUGCUAGCGACACUAUCAUAUACGUGAGCCAAAAGGCGCAAAUGGUCCCGGGAAAAGGUAAGACGACACCCGUGGGGAUAUCGUGCGUGAGGCCGCAAAGUGAUAUGAGGUGUUACCAGCUAGAUCGAUGUGACAUCGAGUCGGGGUCCUGACAGCGUUGGCAUCAGAGCCGGACUGCCUGUAGGUUCUCCAAGCCAAACUGGUCGAUGUUGGGUCUAGAAAUUCUUAGUUAUAUGUAGGGGAAUUGUUUGUGGGUUGGAACGUAAGGCUCUUUUACUCCUUAUACCUUAUGACAUUCUGAUCUGAGUCAGUCCAUUCUUCCACCGGGGGUUAAGGAAUUAGGAUCUGUUCUCUCUAUCAGGAUCACGUGUUAUUAAUAAGUAGUACCUUAUAAGUUUGAUGGUUAUAAGCCUAGUUUAGUUCUACUACCACAUUAUGUUGUUAGAAUGGUUUCAGAACUUUGAUAUGAUGAUGUUGAGUGGGUACGAAAUCCUUUGUCAAAUGUCUCAAUAUCCUUUUUGAGCAUUUACAGCUGUUAUGCUGCCGAAAUUUUGCUAGAAAUUCUAAUGCCUUUGCAUUAUAAUUGUGCUUUCAGAUGGCCACUCGCGACCUCAAUCAAGUGGUUCGCCUGACUCGAUGCCUAGAUGUACCCGGCCAUACUGCUAAGUUGGUCAGGGUAAUGACUGAGGCUGGAUACCGCUGGUAUCCUGAGUACACGGUCGAAGAGCAAUUCCGAGACUUUAAUCAAAGCCAGUAUCUCUGCACUGUCAGGAUAUUUCCAUCUUAUCCUGGAUCCACUGAGCCUCUUCAUUGCUCCUAUGGACUCGGGGUUACUAUCGAGAUGGCUGUGCAGGAUGCCGCCUACUCUAUGAUGACCAUUAUGCGAGUCAGAUCUGGGUUAUUUCGGGACUCUAAUUUCCGGUAUAUGCCAGGAUCACUUCCGGGAGCACAAGGGUAUCUCCAGGCUAUCUAUGCUGACUCCACUCAGGAGGAUUCACGGACUCGCACCACUGCUGAGAUGCUCGAGGAUAAGGACCGUGAAAAUCGGGCCUUAAGGUUAGAGCUCUUCAAUACCCAUGCUGACCACUGGGCCACUUUGACUCGGUUCGCACCGGCGGUGCAAGCUGGAUAUUCGGAUAUGCGCGAUCUCUAUCCUGUGAGAUCUGCUCUGCCAGACGUGAUGGUUUGGCGUGAUGUAGGAGGCAUCACCCCACCUCGCGGUCCCCGCAGGCCACCGUUUGCUGGUCCACGACCUCAUCCUAGUCCCUAUGGUCCACAAGCUCCGCGAGACCGUCUGUUUCCGGAUGAUCAUGUUGAACUUCCGGGCUAUGGAGGUGACUUCUACGAGGACUACUACGGAUCGGUCUGAGUUAGUAGUAGUAUCACUAGUUCGCACUAGCUGUGUCGUCUAUCGUCCUGCGUGACUCGUGGGAUAUGACCUAGUUUGUACUCCUUCCGGAGGUGUAGAAAAAUAAUGUAUAGGAGCUUGAGAUGCCUCCGAUGAGAUGUAAUCCUCUUUUCACCGUUUUAGUACCUUGCUUGGUCUUGUACUAAACCUGUAUGGUGUGUAUGACGAUGGAAUAAAGAAGCAGUUUCUGUAUCUACCAUGUCAUACGGAUGAUCAUCUUGCAUUUCGAGUUAUUCCUUACAUUAUGUACCCUGUGUCGGAAUUUUACCAUCCUGACUAAAUCAUUGUCUGGUUCACCUAGGAUGGUCAACACGCGCGCUAACCCUGCUUCCCAAGAGCAGGCCGAAGGCAGUGAAGCCAGGAAUGAACAUCUGCCUCAACCUCCUUCACUAGCCGAGGUUAUGAUGGAAGCUGAGAGAAACAAGCGGGAGACAAACCGUUUGCUAGAGCAUAUUGAACAGAAUACAGCACACCAUCAGAGGGCUAACGUGGUGUCACUCAGUGAUUUUAUCAAAUUGCAUCCACCCACGUUCCACCACUCCGUCGAGCCUCUCGACGCUGAUGACUGGCUUCGCAACAUCUCUCACAAGCUGCGUUCCGCGCUGGUAGCUGAGGCUGACAAGGUCACCUUUGCUGCAUAUCAUCUUGAAGGCCCUGCCAGUCUAUGGUGGGAGAAUUAUGGAGCUAUGCGCCCAGCGGGCCAUGUCACUACUUGGGCUGAGUUCAGCGAGGCUUUCCAUGAACAUCACAUUCCGGAGGGUCUCAUGGACCGUAAGCGUGAAGAAUUUUGCAAUUUCACCCAAGGCCGACUUUCUGUGGAUGUCUAUAGCAGGGAGUUUGGUAAUCUUGCCCGAUAUGCAACUGAGGAAGUGUCUACUGACGCCAAAAAGCAAGCAAGGUUCCGUAAGGGCCUUAGUCCUGAGCUUCGCCGCGACCUCCGUCUGCAUGAGUGCACAUCCUUUUCGAAACUUGUCAACAAAGCCAUCAAUGCUGAAACUGGUCAGACUGACUAUGACGCAACACGCAAGCAUGGACGUGACACGGGUUCCUCAUCCGGUGCUGGUCCUCAGAAGCGCCGCGUGUGGGUACCCAACACCGCCUUGCCACCCAGGUUCACACCGAGGCCAUCCUUCCAGGCGCCUCGCCCUGUUCAACAGUCUGCACCGGCCAAGCCCUAUGGGGGUCCAACCAAUAAUGCUCCUCCACGUACCAGUUCCGUGACGUGUUUCAAGUGUGGGGAAUCUGGUCAUUAUAUGCGUGAGUGUCCCCAGACCAACCCCAAUCAAUCUGCUAAAGCUGUUGGCCGUGGCAAGCCGACAGGAAAAGUGUUCCGCGCUAAACCGGUCACCGCUUCACGUGGCCAUGUCAACUGUGUCUCUGCCGAAGAAGCUCAAGAGGAUCCCGACGUCGUUCUCGGUACGCUUCUUGUUAAUUGCCACCCGGCAUCUGUUCUUUUCGAUACAGGAGCCUCUCAUUCCUUUAUAUCUGAAAAUUAUGCUCGUUUGCAUAACGUUGCAUUCUGUGAUCUGCCGUCCACUAUGGAAAUCUCUACCCCUGGGUCUAGAUGGCAGACCUCUAGGGUAAGAUAUGGGAAUGAAAUCCAAGUCGAUAGACUUGUCUUCCUUGCAUCUUUGAUAGCCCUUAAAUCUUCAGAUAUUAAUAUCAUUUUGGGUAUGGACUGGAUGUCAGCUCAUCAAGCCAAAAUUGAUUGCUUCUCUAGGACUGUUCAACUCACCCACCCUUCGGGGAAGAUAGUCAAUGUCUUGACUCGAAUAGCCAAGCGACAACUAUAUUCUCUUAACGCCAACCCUUUGCCAGACCUUGAGGACGUCCCGGUAGUCCGUGACUUCCCGGAUGUCUUUCCAGAGGAAUUGCCAGGUGUUCCACCUGACAGGGAUGUUGAGUUCGUAAUAAGACCUCAUCCCCGGAACCGUUCCGAUUGCUAGAAGACCUUACAAAAUGGCACCUCUAGAACUAGCCGAGCUUAAGAAACAACUCGAUGAAUCCUUGAAAAAGGGUUUCAUCCGCCCUAGUUCAUCUUCGUGGGCUUGCCCCGUCCUAUCCGUCAAGAAGAAGGAUGGUACGGACCGGAUGGUUGUAGAUUACCGACCUGUCAACUUGGUCACAAUCAAGAACAAAUAUCCACUUCCCAGGAUCAACGACCUGUAUGAUCAGCUCGCUGGAUCCUCAGUCUUUUCCAAGAUGGAUUUGAGGUUGGGAUACCAUCAAAUCAAAAUCAGAAACGGGGACAUUCCUAAAACGGCCUUUGUUACUCGUUAUGGCCAAUACGAGUACACCGUCAUGUCCUUCGGUUUAACCAACGCUCCAGCCACCUUUUCCCGGUUAAUGAACUCAAUCUUCAUGGAGUAUUUAGAUAAAUUCGUCGUAGUUUAUCUCGAUGAUAUACUCAUCUACUCCAAGAACGAGGAAGAACAUGCCGAACAUCUAAGACUAGUGUUGCAGAAACUUCGUGAGCAUCGCCUUUAUGCCAAAUUUUCAAAAUGUGAAUUCUGGUUGCCAGAAGUGACCUAUCUGGGCCAUGUAAUAUCUGGUAAAGGUAUUGCUGUUAACCCUGAGCGAGUUCAAGCCGUCCUUGAUUGGACUCCACCCGAAUCGGUCAAGCAAGUUCGGAGUUUUCUAGGCUUAGCGAGCUAUUGCCGUCGCUUUGUCGAGAACUUCUCCAAAGUUGCUAAACCCCUAACCGAACUCCUCAAGAAAGAUAAGAAGUUCGAAUGAACUCCACAAUGUGAGCACAGUUUUCAGGAACUGAAAAGACGCCUGACUUCUGCUCCCGUACUGGUACCGCCAGACUUCUCCAAGGACUUUGUUAUCUACUGCGACGCCUCGCGACAAGGACUAGGUUGCAUUCUCAUGCAAGAUCGACACGUAAUUGCUUACGCUUCACGGCAAUUGCACCCACAUGAGGAGAAUUAUCCCACUCAUGAUCUAGAACUUGCCGCCGUAGUCUAUGCACUUAAGACCUGGCGACAUUACCUCCUCGGUAAUCGUUGCGAAAUAUUCACUGAUCACCAAAGCCUGAAGUACAUCUUCACCCAACCGGAUUUGAAUCUCAGGCAGAGACGUUGGGUUGAAUUGAUCACAGACUUCGACUUAGGAAUAACCUACACCCCAGGGAAAGCCAACGUCAUGGCUGAUGCGCUAAGUCGUAAAUCUUAUUGUAACAACCUGAUGUUACAAUAAAGUCAACCGCUUCUCCAUGAGGAAUUUCGGAAGCUUAACCUUCACAUUGUUCCUCAAGGUUAUCUUUCCACCUUGGUAGCAAAACCUACUCUUACGGAUCAAAUCAUCGCUGCCCAAAAGCGAGAUAAGGGAAUAUCUAAAAUCAAAGAGAACAUUGCUAGCGGAGGUGCUAGUUGUUUCUCCACAAAUGAUCAUGGUGUUGUGUACUUUGAGAACCGUCUAGUGGUUCCCAAGAACCAGCAUCUACGGCAGUUGAUCCUGAAAGAGGCUCAUGAAUCUCCUCUCACUAUUCAUCCCGGUAGUACUAAAAUGUAUCAGGAUCUACGCCAGAGGUUCUGGUGGACUAGGAUGAAGAGAGAAAUCGCUCAGUAUAUUGCUAAUUGCGAUGUCUGUCGUCGUGUAAAAGCAGAGCAUCAACGGCCUGCUGGCACCCUUCAACCAUUAGCUAUUCCUGAAUGGAAAUGGGAUAAAAUUGGUAUGGAUUUCAUUACCGGUUUUCCCAGGACCAAAAGAGGGAAUAAUGCUAUUUUCGUCGUGAUCGAUCGUCUCUCCAAAGUAGCUCAUUUCUUACCUGUUCGUGAGAGUAUAACCGCUAGUCAGCUGGCAGACUUAUACAUCUCCCGAAUAGUGUCCCUCCAUGGUGUUCCUUUGGAAAUCAAUUCGGAUCGAGGAAGUCUUUUCACCUCUCGAUUUUGGGAAAGUUUCCAAAAUGCUAUGGGAACCCGUCUCUCCUUUAGCACCGCUUUCCACCCUCAGUCAAGUGGUCAAGUGGAACGCGUCAAUCAGAUUCUAGAAGACAUGCUCCGAGCCUCUGUUAUCUCGUUCGGAAUGGACUGGGAGAAGUGCCUUCCAUUUGCCGAAUUCGCUUACAACAACAGCUAUCAAUCUAGCUUGGGUAAAGCCCCUUUUGAAGUUCUCUAUGGACGACGAUGUCGAACACCCCUUAACUGGUCAGAGACCGGGGAAAGACAAUUCUUUGGCCCGGAUAUGAUUCAGGAAGCAGAAGAACAAGUUCGUAUCGUUCGUGAAAAAUUGAAAACAGCCCAAUCUCGUCAAAAGAGUCAAUAUGACCGAAAACAUAAGGCUAUGACUUUCGAGAUUGACGAGAAGGCUUAUCUUCGGGUCACCCCUCUGAAGGGAACCCAACGUUUCGGCAUCAAAGGCAAAUUGGCUCCUCGUUACAUUGGACCUUUUCGCAUUCUUGCCAAACGAGGGGAAGUUGCCUACCAGUUGGAACUACCUCCGCACCUCUCCAGAGUUCACGAUGUCUUCCACGUUUCUCAACUCAGGCGUUGCUUCUCGGAUCCUAUCCGUGAAGUGGACCACGAAACGCUUGAUCUCCAAGAUAAUCUUACAUAUCGAGAGUACCCCAUCCGUAUCCUCGAUCAAGCCGAACGUACCACGCGACGUCAUAAUAUCAAGUUUCUCAAGGUUCAAUGGUCGCACCAUUCUGAGGAUGAAGCAACUUGGGAAAGGGAGGAUCGUCUUCGACUUGAAUAUCCCGCCUUCUUCUCGGAGGAACCCAAAUCUCGGGACGAGAUUCUUUUGAGUGGGGGUGAGUUGUCACACCCUAGCUAGUCAUGCAUUAGAGUGUUGCAUCAUGUUUACUCUUUCAUCGGAAACUUGAAAUGGGGAUGACAGAACCCCCAGUCCCCUCUGAAACCAACUAGGGUUUACUAAAAUAAUUUUUCAAUGAACCUGAAAUGCCCUUCUAAAAUGUCCAUCAUUUUAGCCUUGGUUCAGAACCUCUGACAAAAGUGGUGCACAUUUUUCUAGGCCAUCCUAGGGUCUUUGAAUUAAAUCAUAGAUAUUUGAAUUUGGGCAUUUAAAAUAAUAUAAAAUAUUUAAAUGCUCAAAUAUCUCCAAACUAAAAUGUUUCAUGUUGGAAAUAAUCCAACUAUGGACCAGGAGUAGUUUGGUGAAUUUUGGAGUUGCCUAGGUAUUUUAUUUAAUUCAACAAAGUUGCAGAUAUAUUAAAUAAAACAGAAAACAGAAAAGAAAGGGGAAAGACUUACCUGCGCGGCCCAGCCAGCUGGCCGGCCCAGCCAGCUGGCCGGCCCAGCUAGCAGCCGACCCAGCCCAACACUGUAGCUCCCCGUCGUCUUCCUCCCCACGCCCCGAAGCUGCUGCGUGCUCGCGCGCGCGCGGCCGCGCGGCCACCUCCUGCUUGCCGACGCCCUCCUGGCCGCGUGGACGACGUCCGCAGCCCGUCCCGAUCCCCCCUGCUCUCGCUCACUCUCCCCCGUUUCUCCCUCGCUCUCUCUCGCUCGCGACCGAAGAUCACCGUCGCCGCCGUUCGCCGUAGCCACUGUCUCCGGCCACCCCUCGCUCCCCCGAGUAGCUCAGAAGCUCCGCCACAACUCCCUCUUCCUCCCCACCGCUCCACGAGUCCCCGGAAGCCCUGCAUCGCCGCCACGUCGCCGUUCCCCUCUUCGGGCUCCGACCACCGUCGCCGACGAAUUCGCCGUCUCCAGCGCAUCCCCGAGCCCGCUUCGACGCCCACUGCAACCGCGGUGAGCUACGCCACCGUUUCCCCCUCUUCUUCCCCUCGUUCCCUCACCGUAGCUGCAUCCCCACCACGGCCGAACCUCCGCCGUCGCCGAGCUCGCCGUCGAUGCAGCUCCGGUGACCAUUUGGUCACCCCGGCGAGUCCAACACGUUCGCAAGAACCAGUAGAGCAUCCCUAGCGCCUCACUUUGCUCGACUUCGAGCUCCAGCACCACUCCCGUGCACGACCGAACCCCGGCGGCCGCAGCCGAGCUCACCGCCGUCAACUCCGGCCACCCCGACCCCAACUGACUCCGCCAAGAGCCGCGGGUCGUCCUCAGCUUCACUCCGGUGGUCGCCGCGUUCCAUUUGGUGGCCGAAACGACCAAAACCACUAUCGCCGCCGCACUGUUGGUCGCCGCCGGCCAGAACUCCGGCGAGCUGACGUGGCCUAGUUGAUUAACCCCUAAUCCACCACCUACUGACGCUGACAAGUGGGCCCCAGGGCAUAGUCAAAGCUAACCAGCCCGGGGUCAACGCGGGAUUAGCCCCUGUGACACUGACGUGUGGACCCCACACGUCAGGUUUGACCCGAGCCAGCCCUGUUGACCUGCUGAUGUCACUGUGAUGUCAGGCUGACGCAGUAAUUGAAUUUCUGGAUUUAAAUUAAAUCAGGAAAUUCCAGAAUAUUAUUUAAACUUCAAAAAUUCAUAACUUUUAUUCUGUAACUCCAAAUUGGACAAAUUAUAUAUGAAAAAUGAUCAGAAAAAUCCAAUCUAUCCAUCUGUACUAUUUUCAUGCAUGAUCAAACAAGUUAAAUUGAUGUUUUAAUCAGAACAAGGAAAGGCACUUUAAAAGGCCAUAUUUGAAUUUGGAAUUUGAAUCUUUGAUUCAAAUUUGCUCAAACCCUACUGGCUUUAGUUGCAUUAGCCCAACACACUCAUAUUGCCAUGUUUCAUGCAUGCAUCAUAUUGUUGCACAUUGUUUGGUGAUGCCUGUGUAUCGUUAUCCUUUGCGACAGAAUCUGUCCCCGAGGAGUAUCGUGAUUACCCUAACGAAGAGUCGUAUCCGUGCAACGAAUCAUUAGGCAAGCAACCAACCAUUUGAUCAUAUCGAUACAAUCCCAUGUUCUCGCUCCUGCUCUAUUUUACUGCAUUAAGACAACGCGAUUCAAACUGCUGUGUGCUACGGUAGUUGAACCCAUUUCCUCUGCAUGACCUGUCAUUGCCACAGUAACUAGAUGAAACCCACUAGCAUGUGUAGGAGUUGAUUGAGCCAUAUGUAUGUGUUGUUCCUACCUUGCUAUGCCUGCUAUGCUUAGAGUUGUGUCAGGUCUGGUUCAUCUGGGUGAUGGGCUAGAGUGAAAUGAUUAUGUCGGUAAUAAGAGUGGUGUGGUGAACACGAUUUGGUAAAGGUAUCGAUGAGAGGCCAUGUAGGAGUACAUGGUGGGUUGUUUCAUUGAAGCCGACCUUAAGCACUGAGAUCUGUAUGUGUGAUUUAAGAUACAGCUACUACCAUGCAUUGGGCCCUGAAAUAUGACCCCGCUCGACUUCUUAUUCACCCUAGCUCUCUGUCCAGGAGUUGCUAGUAGUUUCUGGUGUUUGUAGCCUACUGGAGGCCGUGGACAGCGCUGACCGUAGGGGUGGGCUGUGAUGCGGUAGGUACGUGGCCGGGUGUACCGAAUACCCGUUAGGUAUCUCGGGAACCCUGUUCACAUCGUUCGGGGCCGUAUGGGAAACCUCGGCCGGACUCCCUGCGGAUGGAACCUGAAUAGGCGAUAAACCUGGACUAGAGGCUUAAGUGUUUAGGUAGGUCGUGGUCUACACCCACGUCGGCUUUCGCUUGAAGUCUGCCGAGCACAUGUCGUGUGCAGACGCUAAGUGGUGGAAACAUGUAUGAAGAAGUACACCCCUGCAGGGUUAACAUGAUCUAUUCGAAUAGCCGCGUCCGCGGUAAAGGACUACUUGGUUGCCUAUACAGUUCAUAGACAAGUAAAUGGAAACUACUAAAAGCCUCAAGAUAAGUGUGAGUGCCGAGGAUGGCUCUUCCGUAGGAAGACGGAGGUGAAUCCUCGGUAGUGUAUUGAAGUGGUGAGUAGUGGACUCGAGUGCGCAAAACAUUUUAAGUUGGUGUAUCGUAGGAUAGCCUAGCCAAGAGUCAAAGCUGGCUUGCUGCAAUAACUCCACCAACCCUUCCUGAUACUGUGCAUGUAUGUAGGAUCUGAUGUAAGUCUUGCUGAGUACCUUUGUACUCAUGUUGCUAUAUUCUACAUUUUUACAGAAGACGCUGCAACCCCUUCUGAUGGGUUCUAUGUAGACGUUGACAUCAACGAGUAGGCUAAAGACCCAGGUGGUGACCCUGAGCUUGUGAUGGACCACGUAGUAUAGUUAGGCUUCCAAGCCUCUUUUAUUUUACUAGUUGUCUGUACUCAGACAAGUUACUUCCGCUGCUGGCUUGUAUGACUGUAUGACUUGUAUGUUGGGUCGUGAGACCCGUACCUUUGUGUAUGAUAUAUAUAUGGCUCCCUGAGCCUUAAAUAAAGUAUUUGUGUCAUAGAGUCAUGUUGUGAUGCUUCGUUGUAUUUGCACAUAUCGAGCAUAUUGUGUGUAUGAUUGAAAUGCUUGGUAUGUGUGGGAUCUGACUAUCUAGUUGUUUAUCUUUAGUAGCCUCUCUUACUGGGAAAUGUCUCCUAGUGUUACCGCUGAGCCAUGGUAGCUUGCUACUGCUCUGGAACACUUAGGCUGGCCGGCAUGUGUCCUUCUUCGUUCCUGUGUCUGUCCCUUCGGGGAAAUGUCACGCAUUGAGUACCGGAGUCCUGUUAGCCCGCUACAGCCCGGUUUACCGGAGUCCUGCUAGCCCAGUGCUACAGCCCGGACCCACUUGCUGAUGACCGACACGUUCGAAGCUGGGUCAUGGAUGCCUGUCCCUGUAAGUCUGUGCCACUUUGGGUUUACGACUAGUCAUGUCAGCCCGGGCUCUUUAUCAUAUGGAUGCUAGCGACACUAUCAUAUACGUGAGCCAAAAGGCGCAAACGGUCCCGGGAAAAGGUAAGACGACACCCGUGGGGAUACCGUGCGUGAGGCCGCAAAGUGAUAUGAGGUGUUACCAGCUAGAUCGAUGUGACAUCGAGUCGGGGUCCUGACACCAAGCGGCGGGAAACAAAGGCCUUUAGUACCGGUUGAAUCCACCAACUGGUACUAAAGGCCUGGCCUUUAGUACCGGUUGGAGCCACCAACCGGUACUAAAGGCCUUGCGCUGCCACCCCGCGGUAAACAAAGUUUAGUCCCACCUCGUCGGGCGAAGGGCAGCCGCACUGGUUUAUAAACCCAGCCGCGACUGGCUCUUUGAACUCCUCUACAUAGCAGGCUUCUGGGCCUAACUUCUGUGCGCUGCCCUGUGAGCCUGCUGGGCCUUUAGGGCCUGUAAUUGCACGCCCGUGGCCUAGAAGGCCCACUGGGCAGCGCCCCAAUUCUUUUGUAUAGUUUUUUUCUUUUCUGCUUUAUUUUCUUCUAUUUAUUUCUGCAUAGUUUUGUAUAGUUUUUUAUUUUCUGUUAUAUAUAUAUUCUUUUAUUUAUUUGUGAGUAGUUUUUUAUCUAGUUUGCCAAAAUUCAACAUUUUUAGAGUUCAUUUUGUAGUGAUUUUCAAUUUCACGGUCAUUUGGCUCUCUAAACAAAUCAGUAAAUGAAUGAAAAAUAGCAAAUGGUGUCAGAACGUGUUGGAAAUUGAUGACGUCCCUCUGAAUGGUGCAUACUGAACGCAAAAAUUGUCUGGAGUUCAAAUAAGUUUAAAAAAAUGAAGUGCCCGUAUAACACAUGAGUUCUCGUCCGAAGCCCUGAUACUCCGAAAGCGAUUGUCCAGUUUGUACACGAAAUGCGUCAAGUUUUUGCCGUAACCCUCUCUACUCUCUUGCACAUGCUAUGGGUGAAAUGAUGAUACCAUGCCAAGUUUCAACAUUUUCAGAGUUCAUUUUGUAGUGAUUUUCAAUUUCACGGUGAUUUGGCUCUCUAAACAAAUCAGUAAAUGAAAGAAAAAUAGCAAAUGAUGUCAGAACGUGUUGGAAACUGAUGACGUCGCUUUGAAUGGUGUACACGAAGUGCAUCCAGUUUUUGCCGUAAUACAAGUAGUCCGGAGUUGUAAUAAGUUAUUAAAAAUAAAAAAGAGGCGCAAUGCUUGUUAAUUAGCUUCAAGCCUUUGGGAAUAGUGUAGACUGCACUGCACAUAGCUCCGUGCAGUCUACCAUAUUCCUCGAGGCUUGAAGCUAAGCAACGUGGAGGUGAGCAUUGAGCCUCUUCUUCAUCGUAUCUGCACUCAGGGUUUAUAAUCCGCUCCUAGUGCCUCUCUCUUAGUGAGGUGGGACUAAAAAACAGCUUACUAAGAAACUCUAGUACCGGUUCAUGCCAUGAACCGGUACUAAAGGUGCUCAUGGGGCCCCAGCCCAACCACAGCCUGACACAACCUCAUUAGUACCGGUUCGUGGCAUUUAGCUCUCUAAACAAAUUGGUAAAUGUCUGAAAAAUAGCAAAUGAUGUCAGAAAGGGUUUAAAAUUGAUGACGUCGCUUUGAAUGGUGCAUACGGAAUGCAAAAAAUAUAAGAGCAUUCAGAUCAUGAUCUUAUAUUUCUUUACAGUCUAAAUUGUCAAAAAUACUUUGAUCAUCAAUGAUCUUUUUGUGUACAAUCUGAAUUGUCAAUAUGAAUCCUCAACGGUUAAACUGGUGAAGACUCAUAUUGCAGCCACAAAUUCUACACAUAGAGUUCAAUGAAGACCAAGUGCUUGUGAUAGUUUGAGAAAUAACAUAUUUAAGGUGGUAAAAACUUAGUUAGGGGAGCGAGGUGGGACUAAAAACAGCCUGCAACAACCUCUUUAGUACCGGUUCGUGGCACGAACCAACACUAAAGGGUGAUGGUGGGGCCACAGCCUGACCGCAGCCUGCCACAGCUUCUUUAGUACCGGUUCGUGGCAUGAACCGGUACUAAAGAUAUGCCACGAACCGGUACUAUUGAUCUCCGCCACGAACCGGUACUAUUGAUCUCAUUAGUGCCGGUUUUGUUACAAACCGGACUAAUGUGCUUCACAUUUGACCCUUUUUCUACUAGUGUACCUUAUGCAAGAGUCAUGGUGAUCUUCACCUUUUCUUUUUACAUUUUAUCCUUUGGCAAGCACAGUGUGUUGGAAAGAUCCUGAUAGAUAUAUUCAAUUGGAUGUAAGUUAGCAUGAGCUAUUAUUGUUGACAUUACCCUUGAGGUAAACGGUUGGGAGGCGAAGCUAUAAGCCCCUAUCUUUCUCUGUGUCUGACUAAAACUCCGUAACCACAAGUAUUGCGUCGGUGUUAGAAAUUAUGAAAGACUAAAUGAUAGUUGAGUAUGUGGACUUGCUGAAAAGCUCUAACAUAGACUCUUUCUGAUGUUAUGAUAAAUGGCAAUUGCUUCAAUGACUAAGAUUAUAGUUUGUUAGUUCUCAAUAAAGUUUCUGAUUCAUACUUUGCAUUAUGAAUAGAUUGUUACUUGGGCAUAAGAAAUCAUAUGACAUUAUCCAUAUAUGUUGCUGUUAUAAGAAUGAUCAUGAUGCCCUCAUGUCCGUAUUUUAUUUUAUCGACACCUCUACCUCUAAACAUGUGGACAUAUUUAUCGUUAUCGGCUUCCGCUUGAGGACAAGCGAGGUCUAAGCUUGGGGGAAUUGAUACGUCCAUUUUGCAUCAUGCUUUUAUAUCGAUAUUUAUUGCAUUAUGGGAUGUUAUUACACAUUAUGUCACAAUACUUAUUCCUAUUCUCUCUUAUUUUACAAGGUUUACAUAAGGAGGGAGAAUGCCGGCAGCUGGAAUUCUGAACUGGAAAAGGAGCCAAUAUUAGAGACCUAUUCUGCACAACUCCAAAAGUCCCGAAACUCCACGGAAGUUAUUUUUGGAAAUAAUAAAAAAUACUGAGCGGAAGAAAUACCAGAGGGGGCCCACACCCUGGCCACGAGGGUGGGGGCGCUCCCUACCCCCGUGGGCGCGCCCCCUGCCUCGUGGGCCCCCUGGUGGCCAUCUUCUGCUAUAUGAAGUCUUUCAUCCGAAGAAAAAUCAGAAGGAAGCUUUCGGGACGAGACUCCACCGCCACGAGGUAGAACCUUGGCGGGACUAAUCUAGGGCUCUGGCGGAGCUGUUCUGCCGGGGACACUUACCUCCGGGAGGGAGAAAUCAUCGCCAUCGUCAUCACCAACGCUCCUCUCAUCGGGAGGGCGCCAAUCUCCAUCAACAUCUUCACCAGCACCAUCUCAUCUCAAACGCUAGUUCAUCUCUUGUAUCCAAUUCUUGUCUCUAAGUCUGGGAUUGGUACCUGUAGGUCUCUAGUAGUGUUGACUACUCCUUGUAGUUGAUGCUAGUUGGUUUAUUUGGUGGAAGAUCAUAUGUUCAGAUCCUAUAUGCAUAGUAAUACCCCUCCGAUUAUGAACAUGAAUAUGCUUUGUGAGUAGUUACAUUUGUUCCUGAGGACAUGGGAGAAGUCUUGCUAUUAGUAGUCAUGUGAAUUUGGUAUUCGUUCGAUAUUUUGAUGAGAUGUAUGUUGUCUCCCCUCUAGUGUGGUGUUAUGUGAACGUCGACCGAUACGUCCAUUUUGCAUCAUGCUUUAUAUCGAUAUUUAUUGCAUUAUGGGUUGUUAUUACGCAUUAUAUCACAAUACUUAUGGCUAUUCUCUCUUAUUUUACAAGGUUUACAUAAAGAGGGAGAAUGCCGGCAGCUGGAAUUCUGGGCUGGAAAAGGAGCAAAUAUUAGAGACCUAUUCUGCACAACUCCGAAAAGUCCUGAAACUCCACGGAAUAUCUUAUAUUAAUAAUGAAAAAUCCUCGCCAAAGAUGAAGGCCAGGGGGCCCACCACCUGUCCACGAGGGUGGGGGCGUGCCCCACCCUGCUGGGCGCGCCCCCCUACCUCGUGGGCCCCCUGGUGGCUCUCCGAUGCCCAUCUUCUUCCAUAUGAAGUCUUUCGUCAAGUGAAAAAUAGAAGGCAACCUUUCGGGACGAGACUCCGCCGCCACGAGGCGGAACCGAGGCGGAACCAAUCUAGGGCUCCGGCAGAGCUGUUCUGCCGGGGAAACUUCCCUCCCGGAGGGGGAAAUCAUCGCCAUCGUCAUCACCAACGCUCCUCUCAUCGGGAGAGGGCAAUCUCCAUCAACAUCUUCAUUAGCACCAUCUCCUCUCAAAACCCUAGUUCAUCUCUUGUAUCCAAUUCUUGUCUCCAAGUCCGGGAUUGGUGCUAGUAGUGUUAAUUACUCCUUGUAGUUGAUGCUAGUUGGUUUAUUUGGUGGAAGAUUAUAUGUUCAGAUCCUAUAUGCAUAUUAUUACCCCUAUGAUUAUGAACAUGAAUAUGCUUUGUGAGUAGUUAUGUUUGUUCCUGAGGACACGGGAGAAGUCUUGCUAUUAGUAGUCAUGUGAAUUUGGUAUUCCUUCGAUAUUUUGAUGAGAUGUAUGUUGUCUACCCUCUAGUGGUGUUAUGUGAACGUCGACUACAUAACACUUCACCAUUAUUUGGUCCUACAGGAAGGUAUUGGGAAGUAAAAAGUAGAUGAUGGGUUGCUAGAGUGACAGAAGCUUAAACCCUAGUUUAUGCGUUGCUUCGUAAGGGGCUGAUUUGAAUCCAUAUGUUUCAUGCUAUGGUUAGGUUUACCUUAAUACUUUUGUUGUAGUUGCAGAUGCUUGCAAUAGAGGUUAAUCAUAAGUGGGAUGCUUGUUCAAGUAAGAACAGCACCCAAGCACCGGUCCACCCACAUACCAAAUUAUCAAAGUACCGAACGCGAAUCAUAUGAACGUGAUGAAAACUGGCUUGACGAUAUUCCCACGUGUCCUCGGGAGCGCUUUUCCUUAUAUAAGAGUUUGUCCAGGCUUGUCCUUUAGCUAAAAAGGAUUGGGCCACCUUGCUGCACUUUCUCUUCUUUUGUUACUUGUUGCCCGUUACAAAUUAUCCUAUCACAAAACUAUCUGUUACCACUAUUUCAGUACUUGCAGAAAAUACCUUGCUGAAAACCGCUAAUCAUUUCCUCUGCUCCUCGUUGGGUUCGACACUCUUACUUAUCGAAAGGACUAUGAUAGAUCCGCUACACUUGUGGGUCAUCAAGACUCUUUUCUGUCGCCGUUGCCGGGGACUGAAGCGGCUUUGGUAGGUGGAAUUUGGUAAGGUAAAAAAUUAUAUAGUGUGCUGAAAUUUACUGUCACUUGUUACUAUGGAAAGUAAUCCUCUGAGGGGCUUGUUCGGGGUAUCUUCACCCCGACCAGUAGAGCAAAAAGUUGCUCCUCAACCUACUGAAUAUGAAAAUGUUCCUUUUGAAGUUCCUUCGGGUAUGUUCGAAAAACUGCUAGCUAAUACUUUUACAGGAGAUGGAACAAAGCAUCCUGAUGAACACCUUAUAUAUGUGGAUGAAGUUUGUGGAUUAUUUAAGCUUGCAGGUAUACCCGAUGAUGUUGUUAAGAAGAAGGUCUUCCCUUUAUCUUUGAAGGGAGACGCAUUGACAUGGUAUAGGCUAUGUGAUGAUACGAGAUCUUGGAAUUAUAAAAGAGUGAAAUUGGAAUUUCAUCGGAAGUAUUACCCUAUGCAUCUUGUUCAUCGUGAUCACAAUUAUAUAUAUAAUUUUUGGCCUCGCGAAGGAGAAAGCAUCGCUCAAGCUUGGGGGAGGCUUAGAUCAAUGUUAUAUUCAUGCCCCAAUCAUGAGCUCUCAAGAGAAAUAAUUCUUCAAAGUUUUUAUGCUCGGCUUUCUGAAAAUAAUCGCACCAUGCUCGAUAGUUCUUGUGCUGGCUCUUUUAUGAUGAAGACUAUUGAAUUAAGAUGGAACUUAUUGGAUAGAAUUAAACGCAACUCUGAAGAUUGGGACCUCGACGAAGGUAAGGAGUCAAGUAUGACACCUAAGUUUGAUUGUGUUAAAUCUUUUAUGGAUACCGAUAUUUUCCGUAAAAUUAGCACUAAAUAUGGCCUUAAUUCCGAUAUAGUAGCUUCAUUCUGUGAAUCUUUCGCUGCUUAUGUUGAUCUCCCUAAGGAGAAGUGGUUUAAAUAUCAUCCUCCCAUAGAAGUAAAAGUAGCCACACCCACUAAAGUUGAAGAAAAGACUGUCACUUAUAAUGAUCCUAUUGUUCCUACUUCUUAUGUUGAGAAACCACCUUUCCCUGUUAGAAUAAAGGAUCAUGCUAAAGCUUCAACUGUGGUUCGUAAAAGCAAUAUUAGAACUUAUACACCUCCUGAGCAAGUCAAAGUAGAACCUAACGUUGAUAUUGUUAAAGAUCUCUUGUCAGAUAAUAUUGAUGGGCAUGUUAUUCAGUUCUGCGGUGAAACUGCUAGAAUUGCCAAACCUAGCGAUAAAGAUAAACAUAGACCCGUGGUAGGCAUGCCUGUUAUUUCUGUUAUAAUAGGAGAUCAUUGUUAUCAUGGCUUAUGUGAUAUGGGUUCUAGUGUUAGUGCAAUACCCUUUAACUUAUACAAAGAAAUUAUGCAUGAAAUUGCACCUGCUGAGUUAGAAGAAAUUGAUGUCACCAUUAAGCUUGCCAAUAGGGAUACUAUUUCACCCAUGGGAAUUGUUAGAGAUGUUGAAGUCUUGUGUGGGAAAACUAAAUAUCCCGCUGGUUUUCUUGUUCUUGGUUCCCCACAAGAUAGCUUUUGUCCCAUUAUAUUUGGUAGACCCUUCUUGAAUACUGUUAAUGCUAAGAUAGACUGUGAAAAGAAUGUUGUUACUGUUGGCUUGGAUAAGAUGACUCAUGAGUUUAAUUUUUCUAAGUUUAGUAAACAACAUCGUGAAGAAGAAUUGCCUAGUAAGGAUGAAAUUAUUGGUCUUGCUUCUAUUGCCGUACCUCCUAGUGAUCCUUUAGAACAAUAUUUGCUAGACCAUGAAAAUGAUAUGUUCAUGAAUGAAAGAAGGGAAAUAGAUGAAGUAUUCUUUAAACAAGAACCUAUUCUGAAACACAAUUUGCCUGUUGAAAUCUUAGGGGAUCCCCCUCCACCCAAGGGUGAUCCCGUGUUUGAGCUUAAACCGUUACCUGAUAAUCUUAAAUAUGCUUAUCUUGAUGAGAAAAGAUAUAUCCUGUUAUUAUUAGUGCUAACCUUUCAGAGCAUGAAGAAGAGAGAUUAUUGAAAACGCUGAGGAAGCACCGUGCAGCUAUUGGAUAUACACUUGAUGAUCUUAAGGGCAUUAGUCCCACUCUAUGCCAACAUAAAAUAAAUUUGGAAGAAGAUGCCAAACCAGUUUGUGGUCAUCAAUGAAGACUGAAUCCUAAAAUGAAAGAAGUGGUAAGAAAAGAAAUACUAAAGCUUCUGGAAGCAGGUAUAAUUUAUCCCGUUGCUGAUAGUCAGUGGGUAAGUCAUGUUCAUUGUGUCCCUAAGAAGGGAGGUGUUAUUGUUGUUCCUAAUGAUAAAGAUGAAUUGAUUCCACAAAGAAUUAUUACUGGUUAUAGGAUGGUAAUUGAUUUCCGCAAAUUAAAUAAAGCUACUAAGAAAGAUCAUUACCCCUUACCUUUUAUUGAUCAAAUGCUAGAAAGAUUAUGCAAACAUACACAUUAUUGCUUUCUAGAUGGUUAUUCUGGAUUCUCUCAAAUACCUAUGUCUGCUAAAGACCAAUCUAAGACUACUUUUACAUGCCCUUUUGGUACUUUUGCUUAUAGACGUAUGCCUUUUGGUUUAUGUAAUGCACCUGCUACCUUUCAAAGAUGCAUGAUGGCUAUAUUCUCUGACUUUUGUGAAAAGAUAUGUGAAGUUUUCAUGGAUGACUUUUCUGUCUAUGGAUCUUCUUUUGAUGAUUGCUUGAGCAAUCUUGAUCGAGUUUUGCAGAGAUGUGAAGAAACUAAUCUUGUCUUGAAUUGGGAAAAGUGCCACUUUAUGGUUAAUGAAGGUAUUGUCUUGGGGCACAAAGCUUCUGAAAGGGGUAUUGAAGUUGAUAAAGCCAAGGUUGACGCUAUUGAAAAGAUGCCAUGUCCCAAGGACAUCAAAGGUAUAAGAAGUUUCCUUGGUCAUGCCGGUUUUUCUAGGAGGUUCAUUAAGGAUUUCUCCAAAAUCUCUCGGCCUCUGACUAAUUUAUUACAAAAAGAUAUACAGUUUGUCUUUGAUGAUGAUUGUGUAGAAGCAUUUGAAAUACUUAAGAAAGCAUUGAUCUCUGCACCUAUUGUUCAUCCACCUGAUUGGAAUUUACCCUUUGAAAUUAUGUGUGAUGCUAGUGAUUAUGCUGUAGGUGUUGUGCUAGGGCAAAGAGUUGAUAAGAAACUAAAUGUUAUUCAUUAUGCUAGUAAGACUCUAGACAGUGCUCAAAGAAACUAUGCUACUACCGAAAAGGAAUUCUUAGCCGUUGUAUUUGCUUGUGAUAAGUUUAGACCUUUUAUUGUUGAUUCUAAAGUAACUAUUCACACGGAUCAUGCUGCUAUUAAAUAUCUUAUGGAAAAGAAAGAUGCUAAACCUAGACUUAUUAGAUGGGUUCUCUUGCUACAAGAAUUUGAUUUGCAUAUUGUUGAUAGAAAAGGAGCUGAGAACCCCGUUGCAGACAACUUGUCUAGGUUAGAAAAUGUUCUUGAUGACCCACUACCUAUUGAUGAUAGCCUUCCGGAUGAACAAUUAAAUGUUAUAAGUACUUCUCGUAGUACUCCAUGGUAUGCUGAUUAUGCUAAUUAUAUUGUUGCUAAAUUUAUACCACCUAGUUUCACAUACCAGCAAAAGAGAAAGUUUUUCUAUGAUUUGAGACAUUACUUUUGGGAUGACCCACAUCGACAGGAAUAGAUCCUACGCAAGUGUCACUCCGAAGCUUAUGGAGGACACCACGCUGGAGAUAGAACUGCACAUAAGGUAUUGCAAUCCGGUUUUUAUUAGCCUACUCUCUUCAAGGAUGCCCGUAAGUUUGUCGUAUCUUGUGAUGAAUGCCAAAGGAUAGGUAAUAUUAGUAGACAUCAAGAAAUGCCUAUGAAUUAUUCACUUGUUAUUGAACCGUUUGAUGUCUGGGGCUUUGAUUAUAUGGGACCCUUUCCUACCUCCAAUGGAUAUACACAUAUUUUAGUUGGUGUUGAUUACGUUACUAAGUGGGUAGAAGCUAUUCCAACUAAUAGUGUUGAUCAUAACACCUCUAUUAAAAUGCUUAAAGAAGUUAUUUUCCCGAGGUUUGGAGUCCCUAGAUAUUUAAUGACUGAUGGCGGUUCACAUUUUAUUCAUGGUGCUUUCCGUAAAAUGCUUGCUAAAUAUGAUGUUAAUCAUAGAAUUGCAUCUCCUUAUCACCCACAGUCUAGUGGUCAAGUGGAAUUGAGUAAUAGAGAACUCAAAUUAAUUUUGCAAAAGACUGUCAAUAGGUCUAGAAAGAAUUGGUCCAAGAAACAUGAUGAUGCAUUAUGGGCCUAUAGAACUGCAUAUAAAAAUCCUAUGGGUAUGUCUCCAUAUAAAAUGGUUUAUGGAAAAGCAUGUCACUUACCUCUCGAACUAGAACAUAAGGCAUAUUGGGCUAUUAAAGAGCUCAAUUAUGAUUUCAAACUUGCCAGUGAGAAGAGGUUAUUUGAUAUUGGCUCACUUGAUGAAUGGAGAACCCAAGCUUAUGAAAAUGCCAAGUUGUUUAAAGAAAAAGUUAAAAGAUGGCAUGACAAAAGAAUACAAAAGCUCCAGUUUAAUGUAGGUGAUUAUGUAUUGCUAUACAACUCUCGUUUAAGAUUUUUUGCAGGAAAAAACUUCUCUCUAAAUGGGAAGGCCCCUACGUUAUCGAGGAGGUCUAUCGUUCCAGUGCCAUAAAAACAACAACUUCGAAGGCACAAAUCCGAAGGUGGUGAACGGUCAAAGAAUUAAACAUUAUAUCUCAGGUAAUCCCAUAAAUGUUGAAACUAAUAUUAUAGAAACCGUGACCCCGGAGGAAUACACAAGAGCCACCUUCCAGACCGUUUUAGACUCCAAAAAGGCAUAGGUAUGUGGUACGGCAAGUAAACCGACUCCAAAAUAGUUUUUAAGGCAAUAUUUCUCCGUUUUGGAAUAUUUAGAAAAAUAGAACAAUAAGAGGCAGUCCGGAAAGGAAACGAGGGCCCCACGAGGGUGGAGGGCGCGCCCCCCUACCUCGUGAGCGCCUCGUGUGCCUCCCGGACUCCGUUUUCUUGCACGUUACGUAUUUUGGUCGGUAAAAAUUCAUUAUAUAAUCUCCCGGAGGUUUCGACCACCGUAUCACGCAAAUCUCCUUUGUUUUCGUUUCGAGCUGUUUUCUGUCAGAGUUUUCAAGGUUAGGCAUUAUGUCGUCUCCCUCCUCCUCCAACAAUGAGGGCAACGAUGCUUGGCUAAUGAAGGUGGAGCUGAAAAGAGAAGAACCGGAGGAGGUCCACAAGGAUGAUAGGAUCAAGGAGGCCAUGGGAAAUCAAGUCCCGACAGCGCAAGAAGAAGCCAUCCUUCCACCGCUCUUUACCCCAACUGAGCUCGAAGCUUUCGAGAUGAUUGAAUUAGCUCGUAUUCAAAACAAGUAUCUCACACGUGAAAAUAAUUUGUUGAAGGAGCAUAUUGUUGCACUCAAGGGCAUUAUCCGCAAGCUGGAGGACCUCGUACGCUCGCUGUACAACUACCCGUCACCACCUCCACCACUUACUUCAUCAGCAAAGGAGACAUAAUCUUCUGGUAUGGGCACUCCCCUUGGCAGCUGCCAAGCUUGGGGGAGGUGCCCGGGUAUCGUGUCACCAUCACAUCUCCUAUCUUUACCGUUUAUCUUAGUUCGAUCCUAUUAGUAGUAUCUUGAUUUAGUAGAAUAAAGUUUUGGCAUGAUCUAGUUGUGAGUUUUGCUUUUGAUCUCUCUAUGUAAUCGAGUCCGUGAGUUAUAUAAUAAAGACUAGUGUUGAGUCAAGGGCUUGAUUGCUUUGCCAUGAUCUUGAAUGAAUAAAGAAAAAGAGAUAAAAGAAUAAAAAGAAACAAAAGAGUUCAUAUUGAUCUUAUUGAGAGUGAUGACUUCACAUAUAAAGAGUAUGAUGAUUAAAAGUUGUUGAGAGUUGACAAGCAUAGUUUGGUCAUCGUUGCAAUUAAUAGGAAGUGAUAAAGAAAGAGAGGUCUCACAUAUAAAUAUAUUAUCAUGGACGACUCUUAUGAUUGGGAGCACUCAUUAAAAUAUGACAUGCUAAAGAGUUGAUGUUGGACAAGGAAGACAACGUAAUGGCUUAUGUUUUUCUUAUAUCUGAGAUAAAGUAUGUUUUCAUGGAUCACCUACCAUGUUGAGCUUGCCUUCCCCCCUCAUGCUAGCCAAUUCUCAGCACCAAGUAGAGAUACUACUUGUGCUUCCAAUUCCCUUAAACCAGUUUUGCCAUGAGAGUCCGCCAUAUCUACCUAUGGAUUGAGUAAGAUCCUUCAAGUAAGUUGUCAUCGGUGCAAGCAAUAAAAAUUGCUCUCUAAAUAUGUAUGAUUGAUUGGUGUGGGAGAAAUAAGCUUUAUACGAUCUUAUGAUGUGGAAGUAAUAAAAGCGACGGACUGCAUAAUAAAGGUCCAUAUCAUAAGUGGCAAUAUAAAGUGAUGUUCUUUCGCAUUGAGAUUUUGUGCAUCCAACCCUAAAAGCGCAUGACAACCUCUGCUUCCCUCUGCGAAGGGCCUAUCUGUUACUAUUACCUUUCUUAUGCAAGAGUCAAGGUGAUUCUCACCUCUCCCUUUUUAUUUUAUCCUUUGGCAAGCUCAUCGUGUUGGAAUGAUUCUGAUAUAUAUAUUUAAUUGGGUGUAAGUUGGCAUGAGUUAUUAUUGUUGACAUUACCCUUGAGGUAAGUGGUUGGGAGGCGAAACUAUAAGCCCCAAUCUUUCUCUGUGUCCGGCUGAAACUCCAUAACCACAAGUAUUGCGUGAGUGUUAGCAAUUAUGAAGGAUUAAGUGAUAGCUGAGUAUGUGGACUUGCUAAAGAGCUCUGACAUAGACUCUUUCUGAUGUUAUGAUAAACUGCAGUUGCUUCAAUGACUGAGAUUUAGUUUGUUAGCCUUCAAUAAAGUUUCUGAUUCAUACUUGAUAUUGUGGAUGAAUUAUAACUUGAUUAUAAGAAAUCAUAUGACAAAAUUCACAUAUGUUGCUGUUAUGAGAAUAAGCAUGAUGCCUUCAUGUCCGUAUUUUAUUUUUAUCGACGCCUCUACCUCUAAACAUGGGGACAUAUUUAUUGUUAUCGGCUUUCGCUUGAGGACAAGCAAGGUCUAAGCUUGGGGGAGUUGAUACAUCCAUUUUGCAUCAUGCUUUAUAUCGAUAUUUAUUGCAUUAUGGGCUGUUAUUACGCAUUAUAUCACAAUACUUAUGGCUAUUCUCUCUUAUUUUACAAGGUUUACAUAAAGAGGGAGAAUGCGGGCAGCUGGAAUUCUGGGCUGGAAAAGGAGCAAAUAUUAGAGACCUAUUCUGCACAACUCGAAAAGUCCUGAAACUCCAUGGAAUAUCUUAUAUUAAAUAAUGAAAAAUCCUUGCCAAAGAUGAAGGCCAGGGGGGCCACCACCUGUCCACGAGGGUGGGGGUGCGCCCCACCCCCCUGGGCGCGCCCCCCUACCUCGUGGGCCCCCUGGUGGCUCUCCGAUGCCCAUCUUCUUCCAUAUGAAGUCUUUCGUCAAGGGAAAAAUAGAAGGCAACCUUUCGGGAUGAGACUCCGCCGCCACGAGGCGGAACCGAGGCGGAACCAAUCUAGGGCUCCGGCAGAGCUGUUCUGCCGGGGAAACUUCCCUCCCGGAGGCGGAAAUCAUCGCCAUCGUCAUCACCAACGCUCCUCUCAUCGGGAGAGGGCAAUCUCCAUCAACAUCUUCAUCAGCACCAUCUCCUCUCAAAACCCUAGUUCAUCUCUUGUAUCCAAUUCUUGUCUCCAAGUCCGGGAUUGGUGCUAGUAGGUUGCUAGUAGUGUUAAUUACUCCUUGUAGUUGAUGCUAGUUGGUUUAUUUGGUGGAAGAUUAUAUGUUCAGAUCCUAUAUGCAUAUUAUUACCCCUCUGAUUAUGAACAUGAAUAUGCUUUGUGAGUAGUUACGUUCGUUCCUAAGGACACGGGAGAAGUCUUGCUAUUAGUAGUCAUGUGAAUUUGGUAUUCGUUCGAUAUUUUGAUGAGAUGUAUGUUGUCUAGACUCUGGUAAUGUUAUGUAAACGUUGACUACAUAACACUUCACCAUUAUUUGGGCCUAGAGGAAGGCAUUGGGAAGUAAUAAGUAGAUGAUGGGUUGCUAGAGUGACAGAAGCUUAAACCCUAGUUUAUGCGUUGCUUCGUAAGGGGCUGAUUUGGAUCCAUAUGUUUCAUGCUAUGGUUAGGUUUACCUUAAUACUUUUGUUGUAGUUGCGGAUGCUUGCAAUAGAGGUUAAUCAUAAGUGGGAUGCUUGUUCACGUAAGAACAGCACCCAAGCACCGGUCCACCCACAUACCAAAUUAUCAUAGUACCGAACACGAAUCAUAUGAACGUGAUGAAAACUGGCUUGACGAUAUUCCCACGUGUCCUCGGGAGCGCUUUUCCUUAUAUAAGAGUUUGUCCAGGCUUGUCCUUUUGCUAAAAAGGAUUGGGCCACCUUGUUGCACUUUAUUUACUUUUGUUACUUGUUGCUCGUUACAAAUUAUCCUAUCACAAAACUAUCUGUUACCACUAUUCAGUACUUGCAGAAAAUACCUUGCUGAAAACCGCUUAUCAUUUCCUCUGCUCCUCGUUGGGUUCGACACUCUUACUUAUCGAAAGGACUACGAUAGAUCCCCUACACUUGUGGGUCAUCAUCGACUACAUGACACUUCACCAUUAUUUGGGCCUAGAGGAAGGCAUUGGGAAGUAAUAAGUAGAUGAUGGGUUGCUAGAGUGACAGAAGCUUAAACCCUAGUUUAUGUGUUGCUUCGUAAGGGGCUGAUUUGGAUCCAUAUGUUUCAUGCUAUGGUUAGGUUUACCUUAAUACUUCUUUUGUAGUUGUGGAUGCUUGCAAUAGGGGUUAAUCAUAAGUGGGAUGCUUGUCCAAGUAAGGAUAGUACCCAAGCACCGGUCCACCCACAUAUCAAAUUAUCAAAGUACCGAACGUGAAUCAUAUGAACGUGAUGAAAACUAGCUUGACGAUAAUUCCCAUGUGUCCUCGGGGGAGCUUUUCCCUAUAUAAGAGUUUGUCCUGGCUUGUCCUUUGCUACAAAAAGGAUUGGGCCAUCUUGCUGCACUCUAUUUACUUUUGUUACUUGUUGCUCGUUACAAUUAUUCUAUCACAAAACUAUCUAUUACCUAUAAUUUCAGUGCUUGCAGAGAAUACCUUGCUGAAAACCGCUUAUCAUUUCCUUCUUCUCCUCAUUGGGUUUGACACUCUUACUUAUCGAAAGGACUACGAUAGAUCCCCUAUACUUGUGGGUCAUCACUGCUACUGGCUCGCUGAUGAAGCUGUGCGAACUGCCGGAGUCCACUAGUAUCAACACCUGACGGUCCCCAAUGUCUCCCAACAACCUGACUGUGUGUGGGGUUGUUUCACCCGUUGUUGCCAUCUUCGAAAUCGACAUGACCUGCUCGUCCUCAGAAUCAGCGUCUUGCUCUUGUCGACCUUGAACCUCUGCUUGAAGAAGUUCCAGCAGCUCUUCCACCACAUGGAGCUGGACCGUGGCUGCGCAUUGGUGGCCUUGGCCCCAACGCUCUCCGCAUUUGAAGCAGAGCCCUCGCGCCCGUCGAUAGUUGCGGAGUGCUGCAACAUGGUCAUCGCCGCGCGCUGGCUCCUGGCGUCGAUCGCCUGCGCGUGCUGCCUCGAGCGCCCGACGGUCAUCCGCAGCCGCGGGAACAGCCGACUGCACUGGCCUGGGUGGUGGUGGUGGUGGUGGUGGUGCUCCUAUGGCCACCAUCGGUCAAUGCACGUGUCGAGCUGGCGCGGGCUCCUUCCAGGGCAUGUGGUCCAGCAGCUUUUCCUGCAACACAGCGAGAGAAAAAGCAGUAUCGAGUUCUUGUGGCCGGUGUAGCAUGACACCGAAUUUAAUUUCAGGUUUUAAACCAUCUAAGAAUUGAGUAGCAAAGAAUAGCGGGUCAAAGGAAGGAUUAUGCGCCCACAGAUGAUGCAUCAACUCCUUGAACUGUUCCAUAUACUCCACUACAGACCCAUUCUAACGCAAGUGAGUAAACUGGCGCAACUGCUGCUGAUACUGCUCUCGACCAAACUUGGCACACAGAGCUGCACACAACAUCUCCCAUGUGAAGUGAGUGUUGUGUUGUAAUGCCCCAAGACCGACGCUUCAGAUGCCUUUCAGUUAUUUCAUUGCCACCGUAUGUCUCAACUGCUUUGUUGCAUUCAUCAUUUCAUCUCUUGCAUUGCAUCAUGUCAUCAUGCCAUCAUGUUUUUUUAACUCAACUAAAUAAAUCACAUGGAUCUUCUGUCCAUUUAAAUCAAGGGAAUUCACAUAGUGAUUUCUCUUUAUAACAUAUCCUCUCGAUAUUUAGAGAGCUAUAAUAAAUAUUCCAUUAAUUUGGAAUUAACCAUAACACACUUGCAUUUUAGUUCCAUGCCACUUCUGCUUCAAGUUUCACCUCCUAAAUUCUCAACAUUUUUGGACACUCCUAAAACCUCGUCCAAGUUCAAACCAUUGGAAGUAAAAUCAAAUGAGUUUGAAUUCACAUUCACACGUGUGCCCACUUCUAUUUUUCCGGGAAAUAGCUCAUUUUUGUGAGUCCGGGGAAUUUAUCCGCGUGUCCAACUUCUUCCCCUAACCCCUCUUUCUUUUCUUUCUGAUCUCUGUUUUUUCUUUUUUUUAGUAGUGAGAGAGAGCCCAGCCGCAACCUGCAGCCAGCCCGGCCCAUUUGCGUCAUGGCCCAUACGACGUGCCCAUCCAUCCCUUCUAACCAUAGCCCGAUCCCCUUGCAGCCUCCCUCCCUCUCAUUCUCGUGCCCGCCGCGACACCCGCAUCACGCCCGAUCCCCAUCUCCCUUCGCUCGAUCUCCUCACCCUCUCGUUCUCCCAGCGCCUCCCAUCCCUCGCGCCCGUGCCUGUCCCGACCCGCCGCCGCCGUGACCCGGCCCCCAUCCUCAUCAGCGCCGGCGCCCCCUCCUCCCUCCGUUCGGCCUCAACCACCUGGAGACGCGGCGCCUUCCCGCCACGGCGCCCGCGCCCUCUAGGUGUGCCGCGCCCCAAGAGCCUCGCCACCCCGCCGCCGCGUCCGGUCGUCGCCGGCGACCACCAGGAGCACCGUCGCCUCGCCUCGAGCCUUGCUCUGCUCCGGCCCCGACCUUCGCCCCGCGCGCCGCCGCCCCGACACCUCCAGCGCCUCCGCGCCCCUCUGCUACCCCGUCCCCGCAGCACUUUGCUUCUCCGCCGGAGCUCUUCUCCCGUGCGCCGUCGCCGACCAAGACCAGCAGACCACCACAGCGCCAUCUCGCCUCCUCUACUUCGCUUCUGCACGAGGGCGAGGACGAGUCCCUGCCUCUGCCUCCCGCCGAGUUCGGGUGGCCCCUGCUCAAGCUGCCAAGACCCCUUCGAGUUUUUCGCCAAGUCCGACCACCGCUAAAUCGAGGGAUUUUUGCCUUGCUUGGAUACGCCAAGACCUUUCUGAAUUUUGCAAGUAGCAUGACACAAUGACCGUGGUUUCGACAAGCAUGCGCCAAGUUCCACUACCCUCGCUCGGAUUCGACAAGACAAUGUGUACCACUACUUCCACUAUGGCUCGUGAACCACUACUUCCCUCAACGAACUCGAACCGCUCUGAGAAUGCACGCUUCGAAGGUAUAAACCCAAGACGACGCCCAUGUACGAAUGAUUGUGAUGUAUGAGUUGCUCAUGUUCGAAUCGUGUCCGAAUUGAUCCUUGCAUGUUCCUCCUUGUUUGCCAUGCCGAUGACCCGUGGGAACCCUGUUAUCGGGAUCACCCCACCAUCCUUGCAUGACACGCUCACGCCCACUUUCUUUUGCACCAACAUCUCGACGAGUUGUCGGAUCAUCGGAAUGUUGCCGUGGCAUCAUUUCUGUUGUCGUUGCCGUGGCACCCCCUUCGUUCCGCCACGGAGACAAAUGCUUCAUAACAUGCUCAUGCCAACAUUUUCAUAAAAUUGCAUCAACUUGCAUAUGUCAUCCGCAUCAUGAUAACAACAUGUAAAUGCUUUAAAAUGUUGUUUGCAUGAAAAUUGCUAAAUGCAUAUGGGGUUUUUUCGGAAUUGUUGUUUGUUAUUUCCGGCCUCAUUUAAAUUGCCUAAAAUGUGUAGUUUACAUAUACCUCACCUCUUUCCAUGUUAAGAACAUUUAAACUUGUUGGGUGCUUAAACGAGAGCAAACUAAAUAACUCGAAUGUGGUGUUUCGUCAAUAUGCAACUCGUUGCAUAUUGAGCUCCACUUAAUCUGUAGUGUUGUUUGUUGCACUUUGCCAUGCCAUGCCUCUUUAAACCGUACAUGCAUCAUGUAGGGGAACGUAGUAAUUUCAAAAAUUUCCUACGCACACGCAAGAUCAUGGUGAUGCAUAGCAACGAGAGGGGACAGUGUUGUCUACGUACCCUCAUAGACCGGCAACGGAAGCGUUGACACAACGUAGAGGAAGUAGUCGUACGUCUUCCAAUCCGACCGAUCAAGCACCGAAACUACGGCACCUCCGAGUUCGAGCACACGUUCAGCUCGAUGACGAUCCCCGGGCUCCGAUCCAGCAAAGCGUCGGGGAAGAAUUCCGUCAGCACAACGGCGUGGUGACGAUCUUGAUGUUCUAUCGUCGCAGGGCUUCGCCUAAGCGCCGCUACAAUAUGACCGAGGUGGAAUAUGGUGGAGGGGGGCACCGCACACGGCUAAGGAACGAUCACGAAGAUCAACUUGUGUGUCCAUGGGGUGCCUCCUGCCCCCGUAUAUAAAGGAGUGGAGGAGGGGAGGGCCGGCCCUCUCUAUGGCGCGCCCUGGGGAGUCCUACUCCCACCAGGAGUAGGAUUCCCUUUUCCUAGUCCAAAUAGGAACCCUUCCAAGUAGUAGGAGUAGGAGGGAAGGAAAGGGAAAGGAAAAGGAGAAGGAAGGAAGGGGGCGCCCCCCCUCCCUAGUCCAAUUCGGACUAGCUCAUGGGGAGGGGUGCGGCCACCCUUUGAGCCCUUCCUCUCUUUUCCCGUAUGGCCCAUUAAGGCCCAAUACGAAUUCCCGUAACUCCCCGGUACUCCCGAAAAUACCCGAAUCACUCGGAACCUUUCCGAUGUCCGAAUAUAGUCGUCCAAUAUACCGAUCUUUACGGCUCGACCAUUUCGAGACUCCUCAACAUGUCCCUGAUCUCAUCCGGGACUCCGAACUCAUUCGGUACAUCAAAACUCAUAAACUCAUAAUAUAACUGUCAUCAAAACCUUAAGCGUGCGGACCCUACGGGUUCGAGAACAAUGUAGACAUGACCGAGACACGUCUGCGGUCAAUAACCAAUAGCGGGACCUGGAUGCCCAUAAUGGCUCCUACAUAUUCUACGAAGAUCUUUAUCGGUCAGACCGCAUAACAACAUACGUUGUUCCCUUUGUCAUCGGUAUGUUACUUGCUCGAGAUUCGAUCGUCGGUAUCUCAAUACCUAGUUCAAUCUCGUUACCGGCAAGUCUCUUUACUCGUUCCGUAAUACGUCAUCUCACAACUAACUAAUUAGUUGCAGUGCUUGCAAGGCUUAGGUGAUGUGUAUUACCGAGAGGGCCCAGAGAUACCUCUCCGUCAAUUGGAGUGACAAAUCCUAAUCUCGAAAUACGCCAACCCAACAUGUACCAUUGGAGACACCUGUAAUGCUCCUUUAUAAUCACCCAGUUAUGUUGUGACGUUUGGUAGCACCCAAAGUGUUCCUCCGGCAAACGGGAGUUGCAUAAUCUCAUAGUCAUAGGAACAUGUAUAAGUCAUGAAGAAAGCAAUAGCAACAUACUAAAUGAUCGGGUGCUAAGCUUAUGGAAUGGGUCAUGUCAAUCAGAUCAUUCAACCAAUGAUGUGAUCCCGUUAAUCAAAUAACAACUCUUUGUCCAUGGUUAGGAAACAUAACCAUCUUUGAUUAACGAGCUAGUCUAGUAGAGGCAUACUAGUGACAUUUUGUAUGUCUAUGUAUUCACACAUGUAUUAUGUUUCCGGUUAAUACAAUUCUAGCAUGAAUAAUAAACAUUUAUCAUGAUAUAAGGAAAUAAAUAAUAACUUUAUUAUUGCCUCUAGGGCAUAUUUCCUUCAGUCUCCCACUUGCACUAGAGUCAAUAAUCUAGAUCACAUCACCAUGUGAUUAACAUCAACAGUUCACAUCAUCAUGUGACUAACACCCAUAGUUCACAUCGCCAUGUGACCAACACCCAAAGGGUUUUACUAGAGUCAGUAAUCUAGUUCACAUCGCUAUGUGAUUAACACCCAAAGAGUAUUAAGGUGUGAUCAUGUUUUGCUUGUGAGAGAAAUUUAGUCAACGGGUCUGACAUAUUCAGAUCCGUAUGUAUUUUGUAAAUUUCUAUGUUAACAAUGCUCUGCACGGAGCUACUCUAGCUAAUUGCUCCCACUGUCAAUAUGUAUCCAGAUUGAAACUUAGAGUCAUCCAGAUCAGUGUCAAAACUUGUAUCGACGUAACCCUUUACGACGAACCUUUUUGUCACCUCCAUAAUCGAGAAACAUAUCCUUAUUCCACUAAGGAUAGUUUUGACCGGCGUCCAGUGAUCUACUCCUAGAUCACUAUUGUACUCCCGUUCCAAACACAGGGUAGGGUAUACAAUAGGUCUGGUACACAGCAUGGCAUACUUUAUAAAACCUAUGGCUAAGGCAUAGGGGAUGACUUUUCAUUCUUUUUCUAUUUUCUGCCGUGGUCGGGUGUUGAGUCUUACUCAAUCUUCACACCUUGUAACACAGGCAAGAACUCCUUCUUUGACUGUUCCAUUUUGAACUACUUCAAAAAUCUUGUCAAGGUAUGUACUCAUUGAAAAAUCUUAUCAAGCGUCUUGAUCUAUCUCUAUAGAUCUUGAUGCUCAAUGUGUAAGUAACUUCAUCGAGGUAUUUCUUUGAAAAACACCUUUCAAAUACUCCUUUAUGCUUUCCAGAAAAUUCUACAUCAUUUCCGAUCAACAAUAUGUCUCUCACAUAUACUUAUCAGAAAUGAUGUAGUGCUCCCACUCACUUUGUUGUAAAUACAGGCUUUACCGUAAGUCUGUAUAAAACUAUAUGCUUUGAUCAACCUAUCAAAGCAUAUAUUCCAACUCCGAGAUGCUUGCACAAGUCCAUAGAUGGAUCGCUGGAGCUUGCUCACUUUGUUAGCACCUUUAGGAUCGACAAAACCUUCUGGUUGUAUCAUAUACAACUUUUCUAAAAUACAUCCAUUAAGGAAUGCAGUUUUGACAUCCACUUGCCAUAUUUCAUAAAAUGUGGCAAUUGCUAACAUGAUUCGGACAGACUUAAGCAUCGAUACGAGUGAGAAAAUCUCAUCGUAUUCAACUCUUUGAACUUUGUCGAAAACCUUUUUGCGACAACUCGAGCUUUGUAGAUAGUAACACUACUAUCAGCAUCCGUCUUCCUCUUUGAAGAUCCAUUAAUUUUCUAUGGCUUGCCGAUCAUCGGGCAAGUCCACCAAAGUCCAUACUUUGUUCUCAUACAUGGAUCCCAUCUCAGAUUUCAUGGCCUCUAGCCAUUUCGCGGAAUCUGGGCUCAUCAUCGCUUCCUCAUAGUUCGUAGGUUCGUCAUGGUCAAGUAACAUGACCUCCAGAACAGGAUUACCGUACCACUCUGGUGCGGAUCUCACUCUGGUUGACCUACGAGGUUCGGUAGUAACUUGAUCUGAAGUUACAUGAUUAUCAUCAUUAGCUUCCUCACUAAUUGGUGUAGGAGUCACAGGAACAGAUUUCUGUGAUGAACUACUUUCCAAUAAGGGAGCAGGUACAGUUACCUCAUCAAGUUCUACUUUCCUCCCACUCACUUCUUUCGAGAGAAACUCCUUCUCUAGAAGGGAUCCAAUCUUAGCAACAAAUGUCUUGUUUUUGGAUUUGUGAUAGAAGGUGUACCCAAACGUUUCUUUUGGGUAUCUAUGAAGACGCACUUCUCCGAUUUGGGUUUUGAGUUUAUCAGGAUGAAACUUUUUCACAUAAGCAUCGCAGCCCCAAACUUUAAGAAACAACAGCUUAGGUUUCUUGCGAAACCAUAGUUCAUACGGUGUCGUCUCAACGGAUUUAGAUGGUGCCCUAUUUAACGUGAAUGCAGCUGUCUCUAAUGCAUGACCCCAAGACGAUAGUGGUAAAUCGGUAAGAAACAUCAUAGAUCGCACUAUAUCUAAUAAAGUACGGUUAUGACGUUCGGACACACCAUUACACUAUGGUGUUCCAGGUGGCGUGAGUAGUGAAACUAUUUCACAUUGUUUUAAUUGAAGGCCAAACUCGUAACUCAAAUAUUUUACCUCUGCGAUCAUAUCGUAGAAACUUUUAUUUUCUUGUCACGAUGAUUUUCCACUUCACUCUGAAAUUCUUUGAACUGUUCAAAUGUUUCAGACUUAUGUUUCAUCAAGUAGAUAUCCCCAUAUCUGCUCAAAUCAUCUGUGAAGGUCAGAAAAUAAUGAUACCUGAUGCAAGCCUUAAUAUUCGUCGGACCUCAUACAUCAGUAUGUAUGAUUUCCAACAAAUCUGUUGCUUUCUUCAUUGUUCCGGAGAACGAUGUUUUUAGUCAUCUUGCCCAUAAGGCAUGGUUCGCAAGCAUCAAGUGAUUCAUAAUCAAGUGAUUCCAAAAGCCCAUCAGCAUGGAGUUUCUUCAUGCGCCUUACACCAAUAUGACCUAAACGGUAGUGCCACAAAUAAGUUGCACUAUCAUUAUUAACUUUCCAUCUUUUGGUUUCAAUAUUAUGAAUAUGUGUAUCACUACGAUCGAGAUCCAACGAACUUGUUUCAUUGGGUGUAUGACCAUCGAAGGUUUUAUUCAUGUAAAUAGAACAACAAUUAUUCUCUGAUUUUAAUGAAUAACCGUAUUGCAAUAAACAUGAUCAACUCAUAUUUAUGCUCAACGCAAACACCAAAUAACACUUAUUUAGUUUCAACACUAAUCUCGAAUGUAAAGGGAGAGUGCGAUGAUGAUCAUAUCAAUCUUGGAACUACUUCCAACACACAUCGUCACCUCACCUUUUACUAGUUUCUGUUUAUUUUGCAACUCCCGUUUCGAGUUACUACACUUAGCAACUGAACUAGUAUCAAAUACCAAGGGGUUGCUAUAAACACUAGUAAAGUGCACAUCAAUAACAUGUAUAUCAAAUAUACUUUUGUUCACUUUGCCAUCCUUUUUAUCCACCAAUUAUUUGGGGUAGUUCCGUUUCCAGUGACCAGUCCUUUUGCAGUAGAAGCACUUAGUCUCAGGCUUAGGUCCAGACUUGGGUUUCUUCACUUGAGCAGCAACUUGCUUGCCGUUCUUCUUGAAGUUCCCCUUCUUCCCUUUGCCCCUUUUCCUUGAAACUAGUGAUCUUGUCAACCAUCAACACUUGAUGUUUUUCUUGAUUUCUAUCUUCAUCGAUUUUAGCAUCACGAAGAGCUUGGGAAUUGUACUCGUUAUCCCUUGCAUAUUAUAGUUCAUCAUGAAGUUCUACUAACUUGGUGAUGGUGACUAGAGAAUUCUGUCAAUCACUAUCUUAUUUGGAAGAUUAACUCCCACUUGAUUCAAGCGAUUGUAGUACCCAGACAAUCUGAGCACUUGCUCAUUGCUUGAGCGAUUCUCCUCCAUCUUUUAGCUAUAGAACUUGUUGGAGACUUCAUAUCUCUCAACUCGGGUAUUUGCUUGAAAUAUUAACUUCAACUCCUGGAACAUCUCAUAUGGUCCAUGACGUUCAAAACGUCUUUGAAGUCCCGAUUCUAAGUCGUUAAGCAUGGUGCACUAAACUAUCAAGUAGUCAUCAUAUUGAGCUAGCCAAACAUUCAUAACGUCUGCAUAUGCUCCUGCAAUAGGUCUGUCACCUAGCGGUGCAUCAAGGACAUAAUUCUUCUGUGCAGCAAUGAGGAUAAACCUCAGAUCACGGAUCCAAUCCGCAUCAUUGCUACUAAUAUCUUUCAAUAUAAUUAUUCUCUAGGAACAUAUCAAAAUAAACAUAGGGAAGCAACAACACGAGCUAUUAAUCUACAACAUAAUUUGCAAAAUACUAUCAGGACUAAGUUCAUGAUAAAUUAAAGUUCAAUUAAUCAUAUUACUUAAGAACUCCCACUUAGAUAGACAUCCCUCUAAUCCUCUAAGUGAUCACGUGAUCCAAAUCAACUAAACCAUGUCCGAUCAUCACGUGAGAUGGAGUAGUUUCAAUGGUGAACAUCACUAUGUUGAUCAUAUCUACUAUAUGAUUCACGCUCGACCUUUCGGUCUCCGUGUUCCGAGGCCAUAUCUGUAUAUGCUUGGCUCGUCAAGUAUAACCUGAGUAUUCCGCGUGUGCAACUGUUUUGCACCCGUUGUAUUUGAACGUAGAGCCUAUCACACCCGAUCAUCACGUGGUGUCUCAGCACGAAGAACUUUCGCAACGGUGCAUACUCAGGGAGAACACUUCUUGAUAAUUAGUGAGAGAUCAUCUUAUAGUGCUACCAUCAAUCAAAGCAAGAUAAGAUGCAUAAAAGAUAAACAUCACAUGCAAUCAAUAUAAGUGAUAUGAUAUGGCCAUCAUCAUCUUGUGCUUGUGAUCUCCAUCUUCGAAGCACCAUCAUGAUCACCAUCGUCACCGGCGCGACACCUUGAUCUCCAUCGUAGCAUCGUUGUCGUCUCGCCAAUCUUAUGCUUCUAUGACUAUCGCUACCGCUUAGUGAUAAAGUAAAGCAUUACAGGGCGAUGCAUUGCAUACAAUAAAGCGACAACCAUAUGGCUCCUGCCAGUUGCCGAUAACUUCGGUUUACAAAACAUGAUCAUCUCAUACAAUAAAAUUUAGCAUCAUGCCUUGACCAUAUCACAUCACAACAUGCCCUGCAAAAACAAGUUAGACGUCCUCUACUUUGUUUGUUGCAAGUUUUACGUGGCUACUACGGGCUUAAGCAAGAACCAAUCUUACCUACGCAUCAAAACCACAACGAUAGUUUGUCAAGUUGAUGUCGUUUUAACCUUCGCAAGGACCGGGCGUAGCCACACUUGGUUCAACUAAAGUUGGAGAAACUGACACCCGCCAGCCACCUGUGUGCAAAGCACGGCGGUAGAACCAGUCUCGCGUAAGCGUACGCGUAAUGUCGGUCCGGGCCGCUUCAUCCAACAAUACCGCCGAACCAAAGUAUGACAUGCUGGUAGGCAGUAUGACUUAUAUCGCCCACAACUCACUUGUGUUCUACUCGUGCAUAUAACAUCAAACCAUAAAAACCUGGCUCGGAUGCCACUGUAGGGGAACGUAGUAAUUUCAAAAAUUUCCUACGCACACGCAAGAUCAUGGUGAUGCAUAGCAACGAGAAGGGAGAGUGUUGUCUACGUACCCUCGUAGACCGGCAACGGAAGCGUUGACACAACGUAGAGGAAGUAGUCGUACAUCUUCCCGAUCCGACCGAUCAAGCACCGAAACUACGGCACCUCCGAGUUCGAGCACACGUUCAGCUCGAUGACGAUCCCCGGGCUCCGAUCCAGCAAAGCGUCGGGGAAGAGUUCCGUCAGCACGACGGCGUGGUGAUGAUCUUGAUGUUCUACCGUCGCAGGGCUUCGCCUAAGCGCCGCUACAAUAUGACCGAGGUGGAAUAUGAUGGAGGGGGGCACCGCACACGGCUAAGGAACGAUCACGAAGAUCAACUUGUGUGUCCAUGGGGUGCCCCCUGCCCCCGUAUAUAAAGGAGUGGAGGAGGGGAGGGUCGGCCCUCUCUAUGGCGCGCCCUGGGGAAUCCUACUCCCACCGGGAGUAGGAUUCCCCUUUUCCUAGUCCAAAUAGGAACCCUUCCAAGUAGUAGGAGUAGGAGGGAAGGAAAGGGAAAGGAAAAGGAGAAGGAAGGAAGGGGGCGCCCCCCCUCCUUAGUCCAAUUCGGACUAGCUCAUGGGGAGGGGUGCGGCCACCCUUUGAGCCCUUCCUCUCUUUUCCCGUAUGGCCCAUUAAGGCCCAAUACGAAUUCCUGUAACUCCCCGGUACUCCCGAAAAUACCCGAAUCACUCGGAACCUUUCCGAUGUCCGAAUAUAGUCGUCCAAUAUACCGAUCUUUACGGCUCGACCAUUUCGAGACUCCUCAGCAUGUUCCCGAUCUCAUCCGGGACUCCGAACUCCUUCGGUACAUCAAAACUCAUAAACUCACACUAUAACUGUCAUCGAAACCUUAAGCGUGCGGACCCUACGGGUUCGAGAACAAUGCAGACAUGACCGAGACACGUCUCCGGUCAAUAACCAAUAGCGGGACCUAGAUGCCCAUAAUGGCUCCUACAUAUUCUACGAAGAUCUUUAUCGGUCAGACCGCAUAACAACAUAUGUUGUUCCCUUUGUCAUCGGUAUGUUACUUGCCCGAGAUUCGAUCGUCGGUAUCUCAAUACCUAGUUCAAUCUCGUUACCGGCAAGUCUCUUUACUCGUUCCGUAAUACAUCAUCUCACAACUAACUAAUUAGUUGCAGUGCUUGCAAGGCUUAGGUGAUGUGUAUUACCGAGAGGGCCCAGAGAUACCUCUCCGACAAUCGGAGUGACAAAUCCUAAUCUCGAAAUACGCCAACCCAACAUGUACCAUUGGAGACACCUGUAAUGCUCCUUUAUAAUCACCCAGUUACGUUGUGACGUUUGGUAGCACCCAAAGUGUUCCUCCGGCAAACGGGAGUUGCAUAAUCUCAUAGUCAUAGGAACAUGUAUAAGUCAUGAAGAAAGCAAUAGCAACAUACUAAACGAUCGGGUGCUAAGCUUAUGGAAUGGGUCAUGUCAAUCAGAUCAUUCAACCAAUGAUGUGAUCCCGUUAAUCAAAUAACAACUCUUUGUCCAUGGUUAGGAAACAUAACCAUCUUUGAUUAAUGAGCUAGUCUAGUAGAGGCAUACUAGUGACACUUUGUAUGGCUAUGUAUUCACACAUGUAUUAUGUUUCCAGUUAAUACAAUUCUAGCAUGAAUAAUAAACAUUUAUCAUGAUAUAAGGAAAUAAAUAAUAACUUUAUUAUUGCCUCUAGGGCAUGUUUCCUUCACAUCAUACUUCAUUGUGCAUCAUGCCAUGUUUAUAUUAUGGUUGUUUACCAUGUUGUUUGCUUCUUUCCGGUGUUGCUUCUUCGGGUUAGUUCCGAUAAUGUCGCGUUUGUGAGGAUUCGUUCGACUUCGUCCGUUUGUCUUCUUCAUGGUUGUUCUUCUUCCUUGUGGGAUCUCAGGCAAGAUGACCAUACCCUCUAAAUCACUUCUAUCUUUGCUUGCUAGUUGUUCGCUCUAUUGCUAUGUCGCGCUACCUACCACUUGCUAUAUCAUGCCUCCCAUAUUGCCAUGUCAAGCCUCUAACCCACCUUCCUAGCAAACUGUUGUUUGGCUAUGUUACCGCUUUUGCUCGGCCCCUCUUAUAGCGUUGCUAGUUGCAGGUGAAGAUGAAGAUUGUUCCAUGUUGGAUUAUGUUUAUGUUGGGAUAUCACAAUAUCUCUUACAUUAUUAAUGCAUCUAUAUACUUGGUAAAGGGUGGAAGGCUCGGCCUAAUGCCUGGUGUUUUGUUCCACUCUUGCCGCCCUAGUUUCCGUCAUAUCGGUAUUAUGUUCCCGGAUUUUGCGUCCCUAACGCGGUCGGGUGUUAUGGGAACCCCUUGACAGUUCGCUUUGAAUAAAACUCCUCCAGCAAGGCCCAACAUUGGUUUUCCAUUUGCCUGCCUAAGCCUUUUUCCCUUGGGUUUCCGGAGCCCGAGGGUCAUCUUUAUUUACCCCCCGGGCCAGUGCUCCUCUGAGUGUUGGUCCAAACUAGAGCACCGUGCGGGACCGUCCCUUGGCAACUUGGGUUACGUUGGUACCUGUACGCUUAGCUUAUCCGUUGUGCCCUGAGAACGAGAUAUGUGCAUCUCCUAUCGGGAUUUGUCGGCACAUUCGGGCGGUCUUGCUGGUCUUGUUUUACCAUCGUGGAAAUGUCUUGUAAACCGGGAUUCCGGGUCUGACCGGGUCUUCCCGGGAGAAGGAAUAUCCUUCGUUGAUCGUGAGAGCUUGUGAUGGGCUAAGUUGGGACACCCCUGCAAGGUAUAAACUUUCGAGAGCCAUGCCCGCGGUUAUGUGGCAGAUGGGAAUUUCUUAAUAUCCGGUUGUAGAGAACUUGACACUUGACUUAAUUAAAAUACAUCAACCGCGUGUGUAGCCGUGAUGGUCUCUUUUCGGCGGAGUCCGGGAAGUGAACACGGUUCUUGUGUUAUGGUUGUGCGUAAGUAGUUUCAGGAUGGCUUCUUGAUCACUUCUAGCUUCACGACCUUUGCAUUGCUUCUCUUCUCGCUCUUAUUUGCGUAUGUUAGCCACCAUAUUUUUGCAUAGCGCUUGCUGCAGCUCCACCUCAUUACCACAUCCUACCCAUAAGCUUAAAUAGUCUUGAUCUCGCGGGUGUGAGAUUGAUGAGUCCUCGUGACUCACGGAUACUUCCAAACAGUUGCGGGUGCCGACGAUGCCAGUGCAGAUGAUGCUACCGAACUCAAGCGGGAGUUCAACGAAGACCUUGGUCAUUUUAUGUUUCUUUUCCCGAUGAUCAGUAGUGGUGCCCAGUUGGGGACGAUCGGUAUCUAGCAGUUGGAUUGUCUUCUUUUCUUUUGGUUCCGUAGUCGGACCUAUGUGUAUACUCUGAAUGAUGUAUGUUUAAUUAAUGUAUUGCGUGAAGUGGCGAUUGUAAGCCAACUCUUUAUCCCAUUCUUGUUCAUUACAUGGGAUUGUGUGAAGAUGACCCUUCUUGCGAAAAAACCACAAUGCGGUUAUGCCUCUAAGUCGUGCCUCGACACGUGGGAGAUAGCUGCAUCGUGGGCAUUACAAGUUGGUAAUCAGAGCCAUCCCCAACUUAGGAGCCCCCUACUUGAUCGAAUCGCUGGCGUUGUUGAGUCUAGAACAAAAAAAUGUUUUGAGUCUUAGGAUUAUAUAUAUCAGAGAGUAGAAUUCUUUUUACUCCUCAAUCCCUUCAUCGCUCUAGUGAGGUCUCAUGACGUAGAUGUUUUGUCUUUCCUCUCCUCAAAUUUCACUAAUUUUUUUAGGAUCACACGGGUAUCUUGGAAUCGUUCCGAUAUUCUUUUGACGAGAACAUUGUUCUUGGUGCCUCCUGACAGUUAGGGGUUGUGGCACUGUCCCGGGGAGUUGAGCUCCGUGGUGUUGUCGUCACAAUUUUAUCGUUGCAGUUCUGGAAUACCUGAGUUUUUUUUGCCGACAUCGAAAAUCUCUUUUAUGCAGUUGUUGGUGAGAUUACCUCGACGCCACCCAGUACUGGGGCGGGAGUUUUGGAGUAUUGCCAUAGCUCGUAUAACGGAUGCUUUUCGAAGGUUGAGGUACACGAUUUCCGGAGUUUUCUUGGUUAUGUGUUGACGGAUGGAUACAGCUGGAUCUAGGGAUUGUUAGUUUGGGUGAGAUAUUAUGUGUCCCCUGUAUCCCCAACACCAGAUUGCAUAACCAGAAAGUUUCAAAAGUUUAUAAGUGGGAAUUCAAGUAUCUCAUAGGAUAUCUUUCCAACAGACACAUGAUACGAUAUGGGAUCUAUCAUAUGUUUGUUUCUGGCUUAUUCUGCGAGCCAAAUCCUUUGUUUUGUUUUGAGUUGUGGUAUUCGACUUGCUUCAAAGUCAAAUAUGGAUUCCAUACCUUUUUUUCUUUCUAAACGGUGUUCUCAUAUUCCUAUGUGAAUACUAAUCCUUCUUGAUCAUCGAGUUUGUCAUCUCAAUUUCUUCUCAAACGGCGUGCUUCUCUUCAAGUGGGUCCGAUCAUCUUAACAUUCGCAAGAUCACCCCUCAAUUUUUCCCAACGUUGUUCGUUUCAUCCGUCCCCAAGUUGCCUUUGUAUUUCCCGCCCUCCCACCCUUUUCCUCAAGGACUCAGAUUUAUUAAUCAAGUAUCCUUUUUAUUGAUGCGAAAUCUCUUCAUUCUUUUCUUUCAAUGUUCUUAUCUGGUGAUUUCCCAUGAAGAUAGUAACAGAGCUUCAAGUUUAUUAUUCUUCGUUAUUUUUCUUCUCCGGUGGAUUUAAUGCAAACUUUAUCGGUCAUAUCCUUUCCUCGUUUCAAAUGCUUUCUCAUCUCGGUGCAUCUCUUAAUCAUCCACUUCUUGCUACUCAUGUUAUCUGGAGUGUUGAAGAUAUGCCAGAAGAUUCAAGUUUCCUUUCUUAUUCCUUCCAAGCUAUUUCGAGGUUGUUACCUCGUUCAGGACGUUCAAAUCAAACGGUGCAUUAUCUCUUCCUAAGCAACCUUUCCAACGGUGUUUUCUUUGAGUGGGCCCAUAACCCACAGGUCUUUUCCCAAGAUCUUGCCUGACUCUUCUUUUCCCGAAGCUAUUCUCAAAAUCAUUGCAAAGUUUGACGUAAGAAUGAAUUAUCAUCAGUCAAAUGUUUUUCUCCAAGAUCUUUCAAAUUCUUUUCAUCGUUGGUUCAACCUUUCUAAUUUUAUCCCGGAGUAUCUCAACAAUUCGUGGUGGUAUUUCUCGUCGUCAUUCUCAGAUUUUGAAGACCGAGCAAGAGAUUUCUUCUAAAAAUCUUGCUCCAUUCUCGUGAAGAUUCAUGGUUCUAGCUUGUUGCCAUCCUCAUAAUUGUUUUUGAUUGUGACAAUUCUUUUCUUACAACCCGGAGCAUUUCAUGAAUUCUUUCCAUUUUAUUCCUACGAAGGCCAUCAUUUCGUGUUUAUUCAUUCUCAGUUUUCAGCUCUCGCUCUCCAAAUUUUACCGGUGCAUCAUUCAAGUAUUCUCUAAUCAGUUCGUGAUCUAUUCGUUCUCAUCUAUCUAUCUAUCUAUCUAUCUAUCUAUCUAUCUAUACCUCUAUACCUCUACUAAUUACAGACUCCCAAGAAAUUACCACGUUAAUUAGAAAUUAUGAGCCGUUUAUUUGGUGGGCCCAAAAUUAUUACGGUGUAGAUCAUCCAAUUUUUUCACAACAGAGAAAAAAAAUUAUUAAAAAAAUUAAUAUUGAGGAGAAGGGAUUCCAGGCUCCCACGUUUAUAAUCUAGAGAUAGAGAAACAACUAAAGUUUAUAAUCACGGUUCCAAGAGGCUCACACAUUUAUAAUCUAGAGAUAGAGAAACGACUAAUAUUUUAUAAGGCCAACCACAAACGUGUUGUGACAGAACUCUCAGCCUAGAGCACCAACCUUCCCCCGAUCUUCUACUUAAAAAGAAAAUACAAGGCAACCCUUUCCCUGAUCUUCUUAAUUACGUGCACCUCAUCUAAAAGAUAAAAGAAUUCAAUCAUGGCCGCCUCAUACUCAUACAUGGCUGGCUCAUCUAAAAGAUGACCGUGCCUAUCUCCCUCCGACGCCUCCUCUCCAGCAUUGUUCUUCCCAUCAUGUGGCUGCUGCAUAAUCUCGUGAGACCGAUCUAUCGUGCAUCUGGCCGCCCUGAAUUCCUCAUGGCAGCGUUCUUUCGUGUUCUCACCACGGUAAAUUUCUUCUGGCAGCGCAGAGCCGCCACUUCCUAGACAAAGUGGAGAUCGGUUAAGAAGAGGAAGAAGAUGCGCUCCGGCAGCACCGAUACAUCAAGGCGGCAGAGGAAGAUGAGAAGAAUCAUGCAGCCAAAGGAUCAGGUACACGGUGAUACACACCACACACAAGUCCUGCAGGCAGCCGGACAUGGGCAGCUUCAUCGAAGAUGGCAAGAUCGACUUGGUGUUGCAGUACUUUCCUCCUUCCUCUACCAACAAUGUCUUUUAUCUCCUCACGUGCUUUCCUGUGCCAGUUUGAGUCCAACUUAUGUCUUUCUACUUGAAAGUGCCCUUGAAGUGUUUGAUGAAUUUUCAACUUUGCCAAGACAUGAAUUCCUGUAGAAGAGUUUUCCGACAGAAUUUUUUUAAGCAUAUAAAGUUAUGGUAGAAUAGCAAGCACCAUGAUGUACUUUGGUGUAACCUUUCCAUGCAAUCUUUUUGAGUACAUACUCUGUUUGUUACUAAUGUGGAACUAAGUUCUUCAUGUACGGUGUAUCAAAAUUGCAUCUGUAAACUUUUGACAUUGAUCUUUGCUUUACAUCGCGUCACUAAUUACAUGUUAGCUUCCAUGAAUACUUGCUCUACUUUGAAUCAAGACACUGCAUGUGAUUUAGUUGUACGAGGUACGGUUUGAAGCCAAAUACAUAUCAAUUGCAUCCUGGAUGUCUAAGGAUAGCACAAACAAAUUUCAGGUUGUGCCUUUCUUCUUUUUUUUUCUACCUUUAAUCCUUUAUCUUCCAGCUCUAAAUGAUAAUUAACAUGAGUGUUUAUGUUGUUAGCAUUCCACCACACCAAUAUGAAGUAUAUCUACACAUAUCUUAAUAACUUAAAGCAAAUCUUUGCACUGGAGCAGGUAUACUGACUGCAGUGCUGAUCAGGUGACUGCGGUCUUUGGUGAUGCUGCUGACCCGAGGAAAUAUGGGGGGCUGGUGCUGUAGCAGUUUAUCUGCUCUAAACCGUUCUAAGUCUGAAGCACGUUACUCCUGCGGGCUGCGCCCCUGCCCCAGACUCCAUAGGCAAGUGAACCCAUUACCCUGAAAAAUCAUUUUUUCGGUUCUUUAGCUGGGCAAGUUCAUUAGAAAAACCCCAAUUGGUUGGCUUAAUUGCAUUCUUUGGUCAAGAAAAAUUUGUACUAUUAGAUGUCUAUCUAUGAGCAGCCUGACUAAGGGGUGUAGGAGACUAAUGAAAGCAGCUGCGGUGGUCUCCAUCAUCGCUAGAACAGUAAUUAAAACAUGGGCAAACCAGUUCAGCUCAAUGGACAUUGUUGAUUCUUAUUGAAGGCUUGGUUUAUAGGUAUUUUUCUAUGUCACGCCAUGUUAUCUAAUAGAUUUAUGUUAUGUUUCCUAUGCAAAUGGUUUACGUGUUGCAUAUCCUUUCUUCUAAAUACAUGCUAAUUCUCCAGUUAUCUGCAUGCAUGCUAUAUAUUCUUAUUCUGCCAUGCAGCAUUAGGGAAAGGUAUGAUGACUUUAAUGUAAAUAUUUUCUUUUCAUUUGACAUUUAACUUAAGUUCACAAAUUAGUCAGAAUCAUGUCUAAUACAGUAAUCUAUACAUGUGAAGGUACUUGAGUGGCGGAGCAGCUUGCAGGUUGUACGCAAAUAAAAAUCUUCGAGAGAUCAAUUGUUUAUUGCAAGUUUUGGUUUUAACAUUACUUUUGGUUCUCAGUUAGGAUUCUUUAUUACACGCGGACGCGGCCAUACUAACUUCUCGGAUGAUGUGUCAGAGUCGGUUACUGUAUGUUUCUCUUUGUUGUGCUCGGUUGCGGCAGAGUUUCUGGUGCAAUAAGCUAGCUAUACAGAUCACUUGAGUGUACAAGUUUAUUUACAUUGUUGCUAUGAUGAAUGUGAAAAGGACUAUUCUGAUGAUGUCCAAGUGAAAAACAAAUUGUUCCUAUGAUGAAUGUGGAAAGGACUAUUCUGAUGAUGUCCAAGUGAAAAACAAAACAUUUCGAUGAUUUUUUCAUACAGUCGUAACAUGACUAUGAUGUCCAUAUUUGCCAAGCCCGUUUCAAACAACAUGCUUGAUUCUUUUCAAACAGGUCCAACAUUCUGAUGUCAUAGCUGCUACUUAUAGAGAUAUAGGAAGGUACUUUCAGUUUCGGAAAUAAACAAUAGAAAGUACUUUAUGUCUUUUCAUAAUUUAUAAUAGUGUGUCAAGUAGAUUGAUUAGGGUGUACAUUAUGCCAGUUAAACUAAAUUAGUAUAUAUAUGCAUGGACUGUGCUUUUGAAAAGUAGUUACAGAUUGAAGAGCUCUUUUUUGGGGGGAUAGACAUAUCAAAAAGCUGACUACACAAAAAAACAUCCUGCUUUUUUGAAGUAAUAAAAAAUCCAAUUAGGAAAUAACAAAGAAUUAUAAUUCCUUAGUUCCACAAAUAACCAUAGCAGACUACUAUAACUUUUACAAAUUUGUAUACUAACAAUUUUUCAAUAUUUAUAUGUUUCCCUGAAUAUCUAGCUACAGCUGGUGCCCUUUUUUGUUUACUACAAGGAUGAAAUUGAUGCAAUCAUACUCUCAGAUCCCCAUAUAUGAGUUUUUACCAUUUUUCUCAUAAAAUUCUCUAUGUGAUUGCCUUUCCUCUUUAGUUCUGAUAGUUUUAUGUCUGACAUAGGUAGGUUCAUGUUAUUCUUAUAUUUAAUCUUCACCAAAAGGUUUCAAGUCCCUCAGAGUCUGUAGAGUUUAUUGAAAUAGAUAUUUCUAUUGAGUUACGUUACCAUUAGAUCUUACUACCACUACAACCACUUUUAAAUAAUGAUGUACGGAAAAAAUGUGAAAGGACUCUAGGGAUUCACCGUUACUAUUUAUGUGUCAAAUUAAUUGUAGUUUCAUCGAUGUGCCAACGUAUGUAAAUACGCUUAGCGUUCCCACCCUUGACUAAAAGUACGUCAGUACAGUUUGUCAGUAUAUGCAACCUUAAUUUGUGAACACUACUGGUGUAGCAUGUUUGAAAGAGGCUUUUGUUUUGAAUUUACUUGUGUCUCCAAAAUAGAGGCACGUGAUAUAGGCUUCUCACCCUUUGAACUUUUGUCAACCGGAAUACGCAUGUUAUAUUUUGUACCAUAUAGACUGAACAAGUUGUAUGUUCAUUUCCUAUUAACUUUGGAAAUGUGGUCAUCUCCACUGUGAAAGCUAACAUUUGCACUGUUUAACACAUAUCAAAAUUAUAUCAUUAUUUUGUGAUUUUUAACAAAUUGUUUGCUAUUUAUAUAUAGCUAACCCGUGCAGAUGCACGGGUUGACGACUAGCUUAAUUAAUAAAUCAUGGUUAGCUCCAACAGUUUAUUUCCCAUGUUUCCUGAUGCUAUUUACUACUGGACUUAGGAACACGAGAAACAUCAUGUUGUGAUAUGACUUGCUGGAGCAAGAUUAUAUUGACCAAAAUUUGUUGAAUUUUAGCAAAUCAUAUCAAAAAUGAAAAAUACAUGUAUGUAUUUGGUUCUAUCGGUGGUGGCCAGAAAAAGCAUCAAGAGAUGGUUGUGUAGUAUACCUGAUUGAUCUCUCUGGUGACGUGUGAAAUGUGAGAGGAACAUGAGUACUUGAAUCAGGCUAGAUGUAAAUUUAAAUAAAUUUAUCAUUCAAUAAUAUGUAGACUGGGACCAGCCGACCGAGGAAUCUCUAGUACGUGUGCAGGGCCAGAAAGAGGCUCGCAAGGAAGAUGUGUUAACCCCCGUUGAGUACUACCAGGCCAGGUCUGGCCCAUCUUUUAUUUCCAGCCCGAUCGACCAUAACAGUCCUAGGUAAGUUUGUGGAGCAGCGGCCCUAGAAACAGCAUGCGAGGCUCGAGUACAACCGAUCGAUCUAAUCAAACGGUCAUGGACGUCAAAACGCUAUGAGCAGCCGUAGCUCAAUCCAUUAUAAUGUUUCUUAAUUGGUUGUUUCCGUAGUGGCAGAAUUUCACCUCAAUUUUGAGAAGUUUUCCAUAAGCCCACUAUAAACUUAUUCGUUUCGUUGUUGGUUUUCCAACAACUCCGUUCUAACCUUCUUGGAAGGGUGCUUUCCAAAAUCAUUUGUAGCAGAAGUUGGCAUUUUCUUCUCCAUUCCUUUAUUCCAAUGAUCUAUCUUCUAUUCUUUCUUCCGGAGGCAUGGUGAUGUUGCUCUCUUCACUCAUCAUCUCGAAUUGUGAUGAUCGUGUUCUUAUCUCGCUUAUCCAUUUGACCGGAGUGUUGUGUCUAUCAUUCCUCUUUUAACCGGAGUCUCAUCCAAGUGGUUUCAUUUUGCCAAGUUCAUGAUUCUAAUUCCUUCCAUUUUCAGUCGGAGUGCUGCCCAAAUUAUUCCUUCUCUAUCUUGUUUUAACCGGAGUGGUUUCAUUAUAUAUCUUGUCACUUAACCUCUUGGUUCUUGUUGUAUCCCUUGUUCCUCUUUGCUAACGGAGUGUUUGCAAUCUCAUUCAUCUCCAUUAUAUUCUUUCUUUAAAUUCGUUCAACCUCUCAAGCCUCAUUGGUUUCACUCGUUUGUCAAAGAAGCAACUUUGUUUUACCUCUUCCCCUUCCGUUUCUCCCCGGUGCCAUCCUAGAUCUCGGGACGAGAUCCUCUCGUAGUGGUGGAGUGUUGUAACGCCCCAAGACCGACGCUUCAGAUGCCUUUCAGUUAUUUCGUUUCCACCGUAUGUUUCAAUUGCUUUGUUGCAUUCAUCAUGUCAUCUCUUGCAUUGCAUCAUGUCAUCAUGCCAUCAUGUUUUUUUAACUCAACUAAAUAAAUCACAUGGAUCUUCUGUCCAUUUAAAUCAAGGGAAUUCACAUAGUGAUUUCUCUUUAUAACAUAUUCUCUCGAUAUUUAGAGAGCUAUAAUAAAUAUUCCAUUAAUUUGGAAUUAAUCAUAACACACUUGCAUUUUAGUUCCAUGCCUCUUCUGCUUCAAGUUUCACCUCCUAAAUUCUCAACAUUUUUGGACACUCCUAAAACCUCGUCCGAGUUCAAACCAUUUGAAGUAAAAUCAAAUGAGUUUGAAUUCAACUUCACACGUGUGCCCACUUCUAUUUUUCCGGGAUCUAGCUCAUUUUUGUGAGUCCGGGAAAUUUAUCCGCGUGUCCAACUUCUUCCCCUAACCCCUCUUUCUUUUCUUCCUGAUCUCUGUUUUUUUUUAGUAGUGAGAGAGAGAGCCCAGCCGCAACCUGCAGCCAGGCCGGCCCAUUUGCGUCAUGGACCAUCCAACGUGCCCAUCCAUCCCUUCUAACCCUAGCCCGAUCCCCUCGCAGCCUCUCUCCCUCUCAUUAUCGUGCCCGCCGCGACACCCGCAUCGCGCCCGAUCCCCAUCUCCCUCCGCUCGAUCUCCUCACCCUCUCGUUCUCCCAGCACCUCCCAUCCCUCGCGCCCGCGCCUCUCCCGAUCCGCCGCCGCCGUGGCCUGGCCCCCCAUCCUCGUCAGCGCCCGCGCCCCCUCCUCCCUCUGAUCGGCCUCAACCGCCUGGAGACGUGGCGCCUUCCCGCCACGGCGCCCGCCAAGACCCCUUCGAGGUUUUCGCCAAGUCCGACCACCGCUGAACCGAGGGCUUUUUGCCUUGCUUGGAUACGCCAAGACCUUUCUGAAUUUUGCAAGUAGCAUGACACAAUGACCGUGGUUUCGACACGCAUGCGCCAAGUUCCACUACCCUCGCUCGGAUUCGACAAGACAAUGUGUACCACUACUUGCACUAUGGCUCGUGAACCACUACUUCCCUCAACGAACUCGAACCGCUCUGAGAUGCACGCUUCGAAAGUAUAAACCCAAGACAACGCACGUGUACGAAUGAUUGUGAUGUAUGAGUUGCUCGUGUCCGAAUUGAUCCUUGCAUGUUCCUCCUUAUUUGCCAUGCCGACGACCCGUGGGAACCCGGUUAUCGGGAUCACCCCACCAUCCUUGCAUGACACGCUCACGCCCACUUUCUUUUGCACCGACAUCUCGACGAGUUGUCGGAUCAUCGGAAUGUUGCCGUGGCACCCCCUUCGUUCCGCCACGGAGACAAAUGCUUCAUAACAUGCUCAUGCCAACAUUUUCGUAAAAUUGCAUCAACUUGCAUAUGUCAUCCGCAUCAUGAUAACAACAUGUAAAUGCUUUAAAAUGUUGUUUGCAUGAAAAUUGCUAAAUGCAUAUGGGGUUUUUUCGGAAUUGUUGUUUGUUAUUUCCGGCCUCAUUUAAAUUGCCUAAAAUGUGUAGUUUACAUAUACCUCACCUCUUUCCAUGUUAAGAACAUUUAAACUUGUUGGGUGCUUAAACGAGAGCAAACUAAAUAACUCGAAUGUGGUGUUUCGUCAAUAUGCAACUCAUUGCAUAUUGAGCUCCACUUAAUUUGUAGUGUUGUUUGUUGCACUUUGCCAUGUCAUGCCUCUUUAAACCGGACAUGCAUCAUACUUCAUUGUGCAUCAUGCCAUGUUUAUGUGAUGGUUGAUUACCAUGUUGUUUGCUUCUUUCCGGUGUUGCUUCUUUGGGUUAGUUCCGAUAAUGUCCCGUUUGUGAGGAUUCGUUUGACUUCGUCCGUUUGUCUUCUUCAUGGACUUGUUCUUCUUCCUUGCGGGAUCUCAGGCAAGAUGACCAUACCCUCGAAAUCACUUCUAUCUUUGCUUGCUAGUUGUUCUCUCUAUUGCUAUGCCGCGCUACCUACCACUUGCUAUAUCAUGCCUCCCAUAUUGCCAUGUCAAGCCUCUAACCCACCUUCCUAGCAAAUCGUUGUUUGGCUAUGUUACCGCUUUUGCUCAGCCCCUCUUAUAGCGUUGCUAGUUGCAGGUGAAGAUGAAGAUUGCUCUAUGUUGGAUUAUGUUUAUGUUGGGAUAUCACAAUAUCUCUUACAUUACUAAUGCAUCUAUAUACUUGGUAAAGGGUGGAAGGCUCGGUCUUAUGCCUGGUGUUUUGUUCCACUCCUGCCGCCCUAGUUUCCGUCAUAUCGGUAUUAUGUUCCCGGAUUUUGCGUCCCUAACGCGGUCGGGUGUUAUGGGAACCCUUGACAGUUCGCUUUGAAUAAAACUCCUCUAGCAAGGCCCAACAUUGGUUUUCCAUUUGCCUACCUAAGCCUUUUUCCCCUGGGUUUCCGGAGCCCGAGGGUCAUCUUUAUUUACCCCCCGGGCCAGUGCUCCUCUGAGUGUUGGUCCAAACUAAAGCACCGUCCGGGACCGUCCCUUGGCAACUUGGGUUACAUUGGUACCUGUACGCUUAGCUUAUCCGGCGUGCCCUGAGAACGAGAUAUGUGCAGCUCCUAUCGGGAUUUGUCGGCACAUUCGGGCGGUCUUGCUGGUCUUGUUUAACCAUCAUCGAAAUGUCUUGUAAACCGGGAUUCCGGGUCUGACCGGGUCUUCCCGGGAGAAUGAAUAUCCUUCGUUGAUCGUGAGAGCUUGUGAUGGGCUAAGUUGGGACACCCCUGCAGGGUAUAAACUUUCGAGAGCUGUGCCCGUAGUUAUGUGGCAGAUGGGAAUUUGUUAAUAUCCGGUUGUAGAGAACUUGACACUUGACUUAAUUAAAAUACAUCAACCGCGUAUGUAGCCGUGAUGGUCUCUUUUCGGCGGAGUCCGGGAAGUGAACACGGUUCUUGUGUUAUGGUUGUGCGUAAGUAGUUUCAGGAUCGCUUCUUGAUCACUUCUAACUUCAUGACCGUUGCGUUGCUUCUCUUCUCGCUCUUAUUUGCGUAUGUUAGCCACCAUAUUUUUGCUUAGCGCUUGCUGCAGGUCCACCUCAUUACCACAUCCUACCCAUAAGCUUAAAUAGUCUUGACCUCGUGGGUGUGAGAUUGCUGAGUCCUCGUGACUCACUGAUACUUCCAAACAGUUGCAGGUGUCGACGAUGCCAGUGCAGAUGAUGCUACCGAACUCAAGCGGGAGUUCGACGAAGACCUUGGUCGUUUUAUGUUUCUUUUCCCGAUGAUUAAUAGUGGUGCCCAGUUGGGGACGAUCGGGAUCUAGCAGUUGGGUUGUCUUCUUUUCUUUUGGUUCCGUAGUCGGACCUAUGUGUGUACUCUGAAUGAUGUAUGUUUAAUUAAUGUAUUGUGUGAAGUGGCGAUUGUAAGCCAGCUCUUUAUCCCAUUCUUGUUCAUUAUAUGGGAUUGUGUGAAGAUGACCCUUUUUCCGACAAAACCACAAUGCGGUUAUGCCUCUAAGUCGUGCCUCGACACAUGGGAGAUAUAGCCGCAUCGUGGGCGUUACAUGUGUGCUUCCUGAACCUGAAGCCAUCGCGCUGCUGAACCCGAAAAAUGCAGCGUAGCAACACAGACCCAGAGAUCCGGCUACACCCCGUAGACUGUGAAGUAUUACUCGCAUCUGGUCUUCCAGAAUUGGGGGGUUUUGCCCUCAAACAGGGGGAAAUCCAGUUUGCGCAGAGCCCGGUUGGAGUGCAAGGUGUGGUGGUAGCUAUCAUCAUGUCCUACCAGCUAAUCGACUAGGGAAGGAGGGGUAAGGACGAGAUCGGAGAACACACCCUUGCCCGGAGGCGGCGCCAGGAUGGUGACCACCCCGUGAGCCGUACCCCUGGAAUCGAUGACCUCGUCGUGGCCACUUGGCCCGUGGUGCCCCGGGUCGUCGACGGGCUGAGUCGCGGCCGACCGCACCACCGCGUCCUCCUAGGUCGCCGGAGGCGACGCGAGCACUGGGUGAAGCGCGAUCUGCCCGACCUGCGUGCGCAUCUCUUCCAGCAGCUGCUGCAGAUUGGUCACCGCUGGGCGCCACAUCUCGAGCGACUGCUGGAUCGCAUCGAGCCAGGCGUCGUUGGCCGCGCGCCCGUCACUGAUCGCCUUGGCGAGCGCCGCGAUCUGUUCCUCCAUCGCCGCAGCCUGCUUGGCCGCUUUGGUGUGGUACCUUGGCUUUUGGUAGAGCGGAUCCAGGUCAUCUGACGUCUGAUACGACUUGUUACGGGCCUCGAUCUAGGGUUCGUGGAGUAGGAGAGGGAUUCGGGGAAGCAGUGAAGGGGGUUUGGAAGUCGCCGAGAGGGGAAGAACAACUUCUCUCUUCGGUUCGAUUUGUUUAGUGGAAUAUUCGAUACCCACCCUCUGGUGGCCGCUCGCUACUUAACCCUGCGGCACGCAUGCCUCACCCACACCACACACACUCACAGCCUGGCCCACAUGCCAGGCAGUCACGCCUUCGCUUCCGCGUCCUCGCCGCCCUUGGAUGCGCUGGCAGUCUCCCUGCCAGGUGGGGGCGCCGUAACAUAUAAUAAAUGAAGAAAACAAAAUAGGGAGGUGGUUCGCCGUGGGCUAGGGCGUGGCCCAAGUUGCAGCCCAAAGUGGCGGUGGUCAGGAGGAGGAGGUGGAGGCCCGAGUAAAACCCUGGCCCCGGUUUAUACAUUAUUGAGAAGCUAGGCCUAGAGCUAUCUUAUCAUGCGCAAGUGAAACCGUAUGAAGUGAUGACACUGAAGGUAGAGUAAUGAGUAGACGGUGAUAAAAGAGGGCGAAGGUAGAUCAAAUUUUGUCUUGGUGGGGUAGGAGAAAUAAGAUGCGUGUCUAGAAAAUUAGAACAAAUGGAAGAAGCGAUGAAGUUGUGGGGACGAAAGGAACACGUGCAACAUUUUUAUGCUGUCCCGUGGCAACCACGGACAUUGUCCUAGUAAAAAAAGUAAACGCUUGCUGAUCGAUGAAUCUAGUGAUGCUUAUUUUAUUUUUUGAACGAUUUGAAGAUUGCCUACCAUGCCUGCCGCGCGGACAGUGCUUGGUAUUACUGCUGAUGUUAAACUGUUUUUAUAUUCCAUAUAUAUAAUAAUGAAUAUAUUUUGAGGGAAAUAUAUAUAAUUGAAGCGACCUGACCUCAGACGGUCAAAUCUCUGUGCAUAAGUGUCAUCUCUGGAUCGGUAAUCCUGACACACACAGUACUUGAAGGAUUUAUAACAGAGUAGCAAUCACACACUUCUUACAUCGAGAGUCUCAAAAGAGAACUGGAAACAAUAAAUAUGGCUUAAGGCCAUCUAAAUAUGAUAACAGCGGAAGACUUGGAAGAUAAGUGAGUCCAUCAACUCCAACGGCAUAGCUGUGUGCACGACAACGACCUAAUCGCAUCCUUACUCAUCGUCUGAAAAGUCUGCAACAUAAUACGUUGCAGCCCGAAAACGGGUCAGCACAUGGAAUAUGCUGGCAAAAUAAUACAGUAGAGCAAUGAGCAGAAAUAAUGCUAUCACUACAUGCAUAUUUGGCUGGUGGAAAACUCUAUGGUUAUAGUUUUUGUGAAAAGCCAAUUUUUCCCUACAACAAAGAAAUAAAUUUUAUUUUAACUAUCAUGGUAGUUGAAACAUCGUUGAGAAGGUUCCUCCAACUCAACCCCAAUUAAAAGUGAUUAUCAACCCAACAUAUUAAAUUAGAGUGAUGAGAUACAUAGGAUAAUUCAAGUACUAGAUACUCAAGAUGUCCAUAACCGGGGACACGGCUAACCAUGAUUAGAUUGUACACUCUGCAGAGGUUUGCGCACUUUUCCCCACAAGACUCGAUCUCCUCCGUUGGAUUUCUAGCACUACAUGGUAUUUGAGAAACGGAUGACUGAGACACAGUUUCUCAGAAGCACUCUAACCCCGGAUAGACAGUACCAACCUACAAUCCCACUACAUCUGCUAGCCUACCACUGGAAGAGGUCAUGCAACUUACUCCACUAUGUCAGAGCCCAUAUUGGCUUGUGGCUGCACACGGAAGUUUCUAGCAUGAAUAAUCUUUGAUCCCUUUGAGCCUGGGUGGCGGUCCAUAGGAAAAUCACACGGAACCCCGGGAUUUCCAAAAAUACAGGCAACACUGGAUUCUCCAGGUGCCUCAAUCCACCCAGAUGUGUAUUUAAGUUGCCACCUUAAGUUGAACCAUUAAGUAUCAAUCUGCCAUGGAUUUCACUCAAACCCAAACCACGUCUAUGAGCAUAGCAUAGCAUAUAAGCAUAAGGUAGAAGUAACUCCCAAGGGUUUGAUAAUAAAACAGGGCAAUAGGUUCUACCUCAUCAUCUACUUCCCAAACCCACAAGUUAAGCAUCCUAAUCAUGCAGUGUUUGAGGAUUGAGAGACUAAUGCAUAAAAACUGGAUAUGAAAAGAGUAUGAUCAAUGUGUUACUUGCCUUGCUGAUGAUCCGCAAAACCUAGAGACUCCCAGUAGCACGCUUCGCACUCCGGGAAUUCUAUCGCAAAAAACAAUGGCAUACAUGAGCAAUCAAGCAAUAAAGCACAUGUAAAUCUCAAAUGAGAAGCUCUAACCAGAAAGUUCAACUUAAGAACUCCGGUUUGCAAAAAAGAAUCGAAUCAAACGGAGCAAGGAAACUCAAACUGCGAAGGAAACAAGAUUCAUUUACUAAUCUGGACUAAAGUCAAAUUUUACAAUACCAAAAUCUUGUUCAAGUUGGUUAAAUGGAAAGAGGGUCUCGAGACGAAGAUCUAGGCGCUUGAAUCACCUGAUUCCGACUUACGAGCGAAAAGAUAAACUGAAACGAAAAUCGGAUCAGAAAUCGCGAUCAGAAAUAAUCGUGGAAAAUCCGAGAAAAAAACUGACGAACAGAACAAGGGCGGUCAUGUCCGGCUGCCUGUUAAGGGUAUCCGGUCGCACCAUCGGCUAGCCGUAUAUUCUGCUCCAGGUGAACUUACUAACAGAGGUGUCCUAAGGGCUUGGGUUGGUAAUUUAAACUAAUCCAUGAAUCCCCUUGAUAUGUAUGAAUGCGAUGCACCAGUAUCGAAAAGAACAAGGGCGGUAAAAGACUUAACUAAAAACUUACCUAUUACCGCAUUUGGCUGUUCUUCAACCUCCUCCACGUUUACGUGGUUCACUUGUCCUCGGUUGAAUGGAUUGGGCUUCUUCCUGGCGCUUCCAUUGUCGUUCCCAUUCUUCGCUUCAGGGCACUCCGUGGCAUAGUGUCCAGUCUUCCCGCACUUGAAACAAGUAACGUGACUUAGAUCUCUUUUGGCGGGUGUGGCUGGGUUAGAACGGUUCUGGUUGUUGUUUGCUCCAUUCCCAUUUCCAUUCUUGUGGCCAUUGUGGUUAUGAGAACCUCCUCCAUUAUGAUUAUGGCCUCCAUGGUUAUGAACAAGUCCUCCCGAGUUCGGAGUGAACCGGGGCUUCUGUUGAGCUCCUGAGUUGAACUUCCCUUGUCCAUACUUCCUCUUGCGGCUAUCAAUCUGCUUCUACUUCCCUUCAAUCAUAAGGGCCUUAUCUACCAACUCCUGGUAGUUGUUUAACGUUGCCACCAUCAACUGCAUGCUUAACUCAUCAUUCAGCCCUUCCAUAAACUUCUCUUGCUUCGCGGCAUCUGUGGCCACAUCAUCAGGGGCAUAACGAGACAACUUGCUAAACUCAUCCACGUACUGAGCUACAGUUCGGUUCCCCUGGCGUAAGUUGCGAAACUCACGCUUCUUCAUACUCAUAGCUCCAGUUGAGACAUGGGUUGUGCGGAAAGCUUGCUGAAACUGAUCCCAAGUGACAUUGGCUAUGGGAAAAGUGGUCGUGUAAUUCUCCCACCAUGCGGCUGCUGGUCCAUCCAAUUGAUGUGCGGCAAAGCGCACCUUCUCAACAUCUGUGCAACCUGCGGUGGUCAACUCCCUUCCAAUACGGCGUAGCCAAUCAUCCGCAAUUAUUGGCUCAGUGCUAUUGGAAAACAACGGCGGAUUCAACCUCAUAAACUGGGCUAAGUUGUUAACUGGAGGUGGUGGCGGUGGGUUGUUGUUGUUGUUGGCUUGGUUCUGAACUAACAUCUGCAUCAAGGCAUCCUGCUGCUGGAUCAACUGAGUGAGCUCCGGUGGGAAGACAAACCCGGGGUCAUGUCUCGGAGGCAUCUGAUGGGUUUAGAGGGAAGAGAUUAGAAUAGAAUGAGGUAUAAGGGGAAAACACUACCCAUAUGCACAUGAGACAAACAUAUCAAAUCAUAUCACUCAGUCAAUCAAGCAAGGGCAUACAAAUGGUCUAGAACUAUCGUUAAAGUGCUCAGACUACUACUAUAUACAUGGGGAAAUACUACUAAUCAUUUAGUGGUCAUCUAGAAAUUUUGAUCGGUGGAAGACUCCAUGAUGUCUGCUCCAGCUUCGUCUUCAAAAUCAUCAUCACUAUCGUCGGGGUCGGAGUCGGUAUCGUCGAUGAUGAUGUAGUCUUCGGAACGAAUCUCCUUAGGUUCGUCGUCUUCUCCCCCUGGUGCAGGGUCUCCCAUGAAAACUCCUAGCUUCCUUUUCAGGUCGUCAUUCUUCUUCACUAGUGCGACGAUUUCCUCCAUAUAAUCCUCGCGAGUGGCCUUGAGUUCUUCUUCAUAUCCAUUGCGUGUAAACUUAAGUUCUUCUUCCAGCUCGAUGAUCUUGGUCUUCGCCUUCUUCAACUCCAUCAUAUCUGCACACAUCUGGUUCUCCUGGCGUCGAAUAUGAACGUCCUUCCUAUUCUAUAGGUGAGGUGACUGGCAUGAACGUCCUUCCUGGAAUAUGAACUUGAAUCUUCCAGCGUUUCUCUUUUGGUAAAGUGGCGGUAUAGGUCCCGGUGAAGCUUGGUAUUCCAAUGUUUAGGUACCUAGUGACUUCCUUCAAGUGUCAUCCAAAAGGGGUGUCUUCAUCCGGUUGCACAAACUUGUUCCUCUGGUCCGCAAAACCUAGAGACUCCCAGUAGCACGCUUCGCACUCCGGGAAUUCUAUCGCAAACAAACAAUGGCAUACAUAAGCAAUCAAGCAAUGAAGCACGGGUAAAUCUCAAAUAAGACGAUCUAACCAGAAAAUUCAACUUAAGAACUCCGGUUUGCAAAAAGAAUCGAAUCAAACGGAACAACAAAACUCAAACUGCGAAGGAAACAAGAUUCAUUUACUAAUCUGGACUAAAGUCAAAUUUUACAAUACCAAAAUCUUGUUCAAGUUGGUUAAACGGAAAGAGGGUCUCGAGAUGAAGAUCUAGGCGUUUGAAUCGCCUGACUUCGUCUUACGAGCGAAAAGAUAAACUGAAACGAAAAUCGGAUCAUAAAUCGUGAUCGGAAAUAACCGCAGAAAAUCCGGGAAAAAGAAAAACUGAGGAACAGGUUAACGAACGAGCGUUCGUUGUCUGCGGCUAACUAAUGAAAACUGUUCAUUAAAACGAACGUACGGACGAACGUCCGCUAAGCAACUAAACCGAAAAAACCGAACCGGAUCUAAAAAACGGAUCUAGGGUUUUAUUAAGAAAACCGAGGCGGCGGCUACCUCGUCGGAUCCGGCGAGGCGCGAGGCUUCGGCGGCCGGGCUUCGUCAGCGGCGGGCGAGGCGGCGCGGUGCGGCGAAGCGGCGGCGGGGUGCGGGGUGGUGGUGGUGGCGGCGGGGUGCGGGGUAUUUAAGAAGGGGGUGGUGGCUUGGAGGAGGGGGCAAGGCGGCGGCGUCGCGGUCUCCGCGCGGGAGACCGCGGCGGGGAAGAUGGGCCGGCCCGGCUGGGUUUCGGCCCAGUCGGUGCAAGAAGACUUUUUUUUAAAACAAUUUCGCCGAACAGAAAAUAAAUCAUAGAAAAUAAAAUAAAAACUAAAAAUGCCAAAACAAAUUUCCGCCGUCUAAAUGAAAUAUUUAGAACAAGAUGGAUAUUUUCUUGGCCCUAAAAUGCAAUUUUGAAAACAUGCAAUUUUUCUAAUUCAAAUAAAAUUGCAAUAAAAAUCCAAAUAAAAUAUUUAUUUGUUUUUAACAUUUUCCUAUGAUAUUUCAUUAUUUUUGGAAAAGUCAUUUUAUUCCCUCUCAUAUAUUUUAAUAUGAAAUAUUUUCGGAGAGAAAAAUAAUUAAAACAAAUAAUCCUCGUUUCGAUAUUUGAUAAAACUCAAAUACGAAAACGGUGAAAUCCCCAACUCUCUCCGUGGAUCCUUGAGUUGAUUAGAUUUUCGAGGAUCGCAAAACGAAUGUGCAGAAAAAUAUGAUAUGCAUGAAUGACUAUGUAUAACAUUCCAAAUUGAAAAUUUGGGAUGUUACAAUAAUAAUAACUUUUUUGAGGAUUAUAUACAUAAUAAUAAAUGAAGAAAACAAAAUAGGGAGAUGUUUCACCGUGGGCUGGGGCGUGGCCCAAGUUGCAGCCCAAAGUGGUGGCGGUCAGGAGGAGGAGGAGGUGGAGGCCCGAGUAAAACCCUAGCCCCGACUUAUACAUUGUUGAGAAGCUAGGCCUAGAGCUAUCUUGUCAUGUGCAAGUAAAACUGUAUGAAGUGAUGACACCGAAGGUAGAGUAAUGAGUAGGCGAUGAUAAAAGAGGGCGAAGGUAGAUCAAAAUUUGUCUUGGUGGGGUAGGAGAAAUAAGAUGCAUGUCGAAAAAAAUUAGAAUAAAUGGAAGAAGCGAUGAAGUUGCAGGGACGAAAGCAACCAGUGCAACAUUUUUAUGCUGUCCCGUGGCAACCACGGACAUUGUCCUAGUAAAAAAAAAGGUAAACGCUUGCUGAUCGACGAACCUAGUGAUGCUUAUUUUAUUUUUUGAACGGUUUGAAGAUUGCCUAUCAUGCUUGCCGCGCGGACAGUGCCUGGUAUUACUGCUGAUGUUAAACUGUUUUGUUUUCCAUAUAUAUAAUAAUAAAUAAUUUUUUUGAGGGAAAUAUAUAUAAUAAUAAAUGAAGAAAAAAAAUAGGGAAGUGGUUCACCGUGGGCUAUGGCCUACGUGGUGGGUGGCCCAUGUUGCAUCCUGAAAUGUCGGCGGUCAGGAGGAGGAGGUGGAGGCCCGAGUAAAACCCUAGCCCCGGCUUAUACAUUGUUGAGAAGCUAGGCCUAGAGCUAUCUUAUCAUGCGCAAGUGAAACCAUAUGAAGUGAUGACACCGAAGGUAGAGUAAUGAGUAGACGGUGAUAAAAGAGGGCGAGGAUAGAGCANNNNNNNNNNNNNNNNNNNNNNNNNNNNNNNNNNNNNNNNNNNNNNNNNNNNNNNNNNNNNNNNNNNNNNNNNNNNNNNNNNNNNNNNNNNNNNNNNNNNNNNNNNNNNNNNNNNNNNNNNNNNNNNNNNNNNNNNNNNNNNNNNNNNNNNNNNNNNNNNNNNNNNNNNNNNNNNNNNNNNNNNNNNNNNNNNNNNNNNNNNNNNNNNNNNNNNNNNNNNNNNNNNNNNNNNNNNNNNNNNNNNNNNNNNNNNNNNNNNNNNNNNNNNNNNNNNNNNNNNNNNNNNNNNNNNNNNNNNNNNNNNNNNNNNNNNNNNNNNNNNNNNNNNNNNNNNNNNNNNNNNNNNNNNNNNNNNNNNNNNNNNNNNNNNNNNNNNNNNNNNNNNNNNNNNNNNNNNNNNNNNNNNNNNNNNNNNNNNNNNNNNNNNNNNNNNNNNNNNNNNNNNNNNNNNNNNNNNNNNNNNNNNNNNNNNNNNNNNNNNNNNNNNNNNNNNNNNNNNNNAAUAAAACCCUAGCCCCGGCAAUAACUACCCACCGCUCCCACUCGCUCCUCCCAGCAGCAGGCGGCGGCGGAGGCCUGCGUUCAUUGAUCCCCUUUGACCCCGACUCCCACUCCAAUUCGAUUUCAUCUUCCCACCCAACACGGAUCGAUCGUGCCAAUCCCACCCCAUAAAUCCAUCCACACAAUUUGGGAUCCGAUGGCAGAUUACGGCUAUCCCGACGGCGGCGGCGAAGAGGAGGACAUGCAGUGGCCACCGGCUCCUCCCGCCUACGGCUACCCCGACGACGACGGCGGCGGCGAGCGGCCGCCCUUCGUCCUCAUCGAUCCACGCGCCUACUUCGCCGACCGCAAGAACGCCACCACCGCCGUCAUCGAUAUGGAGGCCGGGGCCCCCAAUCUCAGGGGCCGACUCCAGGUCACCUUCUGCGCCGUCGCCCCGCCGCUCGUUUCCUACUUCUGCGUCCACGCCACCCACAUGGACCACACCGAGUUCCUCGUCGCGCCCUCCAUCCUGGCCACCGAGACCGACGGCGGCCUCGCCCUCCUACGCGUCGCCACCGUCGACCCCGUCUAUCCGCCCGAUCACGUGCGUCCCGAAAAUUGCCAAUACUUCGUCUACGACGCCCUCGCCCGCAAACUUCACCAACUCCCGCAACCCGGCUUCCAACACCGACUCAGCGAGCCCUCGCUCGCCAUCAUGCGCAAGCCCAACAAAAGCUCCCAAAACACCAGCAAGCACGUCAGCCUACGCCCCCAUGUACAUGGAGAGGCCGAGGCCGAGGCCGACUUCGUCGUUGCCGCACAAUCCUACAUUUUCUGGGGUAAAGAAUCUCCUCACAUCUGCAUCUAUGACUCUGCUAUCAAGACCUGGAGCAACAAGCCGGUGGUGAUGGGUUCAUCAUAUCCAGAACACCACCUCCCAAGCAAGACACUCACCAUCAGAGGAAGCAAUGGCACCGUGGCUUGGGUGGAUCUCUGGUACAACAUCGUCUUCUGUGACGUUCUCGCCAAAUGCCCCAAGCUUCGCUACCUGAAGCUGCCGACCGAACCCGGCGAUGGGGGUAUCGAUCCAAGGUCUCUUCGCGACAUUGCGGUCUUUGGCAACACCAUCAAGUAUGUCGCGAUCCUGCAUCACCCCGACACAAGUCGUUGGGUAGCCACAGCAUGGAGCAUCAAGAAGGGCCGUCGGUCCUGGCCCAAGGAAUGGCACAUGGAAUGCGAGCUCGAUUCCACCCAUAUAAAGGUUGAUGCGGCUGGUCGAGUCGCUACCUUCCCAACCUUGUCGUCUCUUUUCGUUGGCCUCCCCACACUCAGCCUGCAGAAUGAUGCCAUUGUUUACUUCCUCGCCAAGAUUGACUUCGGCCCAAGGCAACGCACAGCGUGGGUGCUUGCUGUUGACAUGAAGAACGAGACUGCUGAGCAAGUGGUGGAGUUCCCUGCUGAGAGGACUUAUUGUGUAGCCGAGGGCUACGACGCAAGUAGGAUCUCUGCAUAUCUCCAACCCGCGCCAGGUAACUCACUGUAACCCCUGCCUUGCUGUCUGUUACUUCCAACGAUACAUGCUAAACUAGCAGAUUCAUGCAUGUUCUUCUUUUCUUGGUGGAGUGGGUGACGGCAGCAUCAUUUCACACACAUUGACAGUGUGGGGUUUAGGGUGGAUAAACCCACCGAAAUUAGAUACCAUAGGUCAUAAUACUAUCCAUCAAGUCAAAUGCCAGCAAAUUCUUUUAGGGGGAGGGGGUUGCUAACUGUGAAUUUCUCACCACAGCCAUUCACACUUAAUCUUGUGACAUGUAGUAAUUCAUUUAUAGGGCGAGCGUUGCACAUGCUUAUCAAGUUUGGGCUUUUUCAGUAGUCUUUCCGCAUGGAGAGUUUUAUAGAAUAAUUAAUGCUUGUGUUAGCGCUGGUUGUUUGUGGACCAUUUCUUCUUUCCCAAACUAUUACUGAAGACAUGUGGAAUUUGACAUGCCAGGUACACAGCAAAUGCCUAAAUGACGAGGGGUGCCGUUGAUGAAAUGCCCUAGCAAGAAGCAUGCUAAAGAUGUUGAGGAUCCUAAAGAAGACGACGCCAUGAUGAUUGUUUCUUCAUGAGGUUGCAUGGAUGGAAGCUGUAUGACCUGCCUUUGGUGCCGGGUAUCAGUGGAGGGGGUAGUGGAUUAUCAUGUCUGCUGGUCUGACCCUUCCUUUGCCUGUCUUUUAUUUAUUUUAGGAUUAUUAUGGCCCUCUAGACCCUGUUCUGGAGUUCCUUUCUUCAUUGUCUCACCGCCUACUCUACCCGGCUUGUCUAUUAUACAAGCUGUAUUAUUAAAACUCUGUAUGAACUAUAUGUGUUAUGUCGGUUGUAGUACCCACCUUCUGUUUUCUGUUGCUCGCGGUUGUCUUCUGUUAUGAUCAUAACCUGUGGAAAGUUGGGUGAGUAUUACGGACCUCUAGAACCUGUUCUCGAGUUCCUUUCUUCAUUGUCUGGAGACCCUGUUCUAGACAUGCCGGUGACGCAAAAUUUCCAUCUGGGUGGGUGCGGAAUUUAUCAAAAUUUGGAGCUAUGUAGGAAGUGUUUAUUGUGAUAUCAGAUUUGUUUGGUUGUGCUUGCAACCUGUCAUUUUUCUGUCAGAAUUGGUUAGCUGCUUUCUUAUUUUCUUGGCGUGUGCUAGUAGUCUGCCCGGCUGUGGCUGGGGGCUUGGGAUUUGACUUGAGUCAUCCUCUGUUUGUUUGUGCUUUCAAUUGCAAUCUUGUCUGUAAUAUCCUUUUCAGACCGCAUAGUUUCAACGUGAUGUGUAGCGUAACCAGUUCCCCUGAAGAGGGCACCCUUCAAGACGACUAAUAGGAAUUAUCCUAUUAAUGCCGAUUUGAUAAAUCUGGAAGGCUAUGAAACUUUGUUCCAGUUGAUCAUUAUAAGCACCAGGCGACUGAUACCUGCCAUAACAAAGGUCUAAUUGCAGGUUGAAGGCAAAGCAAACCUGACAUAUCCAACUGAGUUUAGAUAAUGUAUAGCCUUUUUGUGAAACUUGAUCUGCUUUGAUUAAUACUCCAUCUGAAUUGACUAGAUGACCUAAGUUUCCAUGAUUUGUACCAGAAUUCUGCCCAUAGAUCACCAUGAAUGGGGUCUUACCCAAAGCAAAAUGAAACGUUGUAUCAUGCUAGAAUUCCGCUAGUGCCAGCCAUUUGCGCUUUGAACAAUACAACGUAAAUAGGUCUUGAGACACCGAUUGAUGCGUUGUUUGGUCGUCCUGUCUGCGGAUCAUGCAUUGAGUUCAUCUUCAAUUCCUCUCCUUGCAAUCUGAAAUUGGCCUGCCACACUUUGCUUGUAAACACUGCGUCCUUGUCUGAAACCAUAGUUUCCGGCAUGCCGUGCAGUUUGUAUACGUGAUCUAUGUAUUGUUGAGCAAUGUGAUGUGCUGUGUAGGGAUGUGUAACGAAAGGAGCAUACUUGGAGAAAGUGUCGACUACUACCAGGAUGCAGUUAGCUUUUCCAGAUGUUGGCAAACCCUCGAUGAAAUCGAGCGACAUGUUUGUUAGGAAUGAGCAACAAGCUUUACUGAGGGCCAAGGACCAGUACAUAUACAGGUGUGGUAAUAGGAAAAAAAAACCUUAUACACUGGGGAUGUACACAAGUAACUAUACACAUCUAACAACGUUAUCCCUGCAACGCUUGGCAACUGCUAAGGGUGGAGCAGACCUGGGUAUGGAAAACGUUUGGUUUUGCUUUUUGACAGACUUGAGAAGUUUGGACAUGUGUCUUGAUGUGAGCUUUCAUCCCUCUCCAAGCAAAUAGCUGCUUAUUUUGGCUAGAGGUAGCUGGAAAUCCUGAAUGAGCUCCCACCGCACUAUCGUGCAUGCUCGACGACAUUUUGCACUACAAAUAGUACAAGAUUUCCUUCAUCCAAAAUUAGAAAGAAAAAGUUGUCUCGUGAUAACUUGCACCUUUUUUUUUUGCAAUGUAUACAUGGAGCAUGGAGUGCCCAUAUACAUACUUGAGUUUUCAGGUCAUACAUGUGCACAUACGUGUGAACUACUCGCAGGUAAACCUGAUCAGAAAGUGGAGCCCCGAGCCCAGCCACUAGUAGAAAAAGGGCCUAACACUACUAGGGAAAAGCCUAGUAGCAGCGCGGGUUUUGGAUGUAUCAGUAGCGCGGGUGCCCGUGCUACUAAUACGACGCCCACAGCUAACUUGUAGCAGUAGCGCGUGUAUAACCCUCGCUACUGCUACUUCUGAUAGUAGUAGCGUGGUUGAUGCCCGCGCUACUACUACUUAGCUGUAGGAGGAGGAACUCAUUGGUGGCCGCCGAAGUUGGAGCCGACGCUCGACGCUCGAAACCUAGAUGAAGCUGCUCGUGCUCGUCCUGCUGCUGCUUCUGCUGUCGCUCCUCCUCCUCCUCGUCCUCCCUCGCAUCGGAAUCUACAAAGCCCGUCAAAGACGCAAGCCAGUCAGCGACCCGGGCGCCGAAACAGAGGACGCGAUGCACGCAUCGCGUGGUGGGAGAUGAGUCGGCGGCGCGCCUCGCUGGAAGCAGAGCUCUCAAGGCCACCGUCCUUGGCCAGCUCCGCGGAGCCCCCGUUGGCUUCCCUCUAGACGUCGCCGCCGCCCUCCGUGCCGGACCCGGCGGCCCCAGCCUCCUCCUCCUGGACAUGGCCGCCGUCCGCGUCGGGAGAUGCCGAGGGAGAGGAGGUCACCGAAUUUGGGGACGGCGCCGAGGUGUGAGAUCGGCGGCGGCGGUGGGUGAGGAUGGGAAUCACGGGUGGGAGGAGAAGGGGAAUGGGAGAGAGGGGGAGUGUAAGGGAGAGAGGAGGGAUUCGGCCGAGGAUAUGGGGACUUCACCUACCUCGUACUUAGUAGUAGCGAGGGGUAUAAAACCGCGCUACUACUAUCAACUUAGUAGUAGCGCGUGUUUACACCCCUCGCUACUACUAUGGCAUGUCCCGGGGGGCACGGUAGAGACCGCUUAGUAGUAGCGAGGGUUAAAAACCCGCGCUACUACUAUCAACUUAGUAGUAGCGAGGUGUAAAAACACGCGCUACUAGUAAGUAGCAGUAGCGAGCGGUAUAAACCCUCGCUACUAGUAAGCAUCUGCCUAUAAGCUUUUUCCUAGUAGUGUAAUGUGAAGCUCAUUAGUCCCGGUUUAUAAUUGAAUCGACACUAAUGUGACCAUUAGUGCCGGUUCCAACGGCUAGGCGGGCGGCACUCAUUAGUACCGGUUCGUGACGAACCUUUAGUACCGGUUCGUGCCACAAACCGGUACUAAAGAGGUGGUGGCAGACUGUUGUCAGGCUGGGGCCCCACCAGCACCUUUAGUACCGGUUCAUGCCACGAACCGGGAAUAGAGAUGCACCUUUAGAACUGGUUGGUUAGACGAACCGGUAGUAAAGUUCAUCCUAUAUAAACCCCUUCGUCGAGCCCGAGCGCUCUGUUCUUCCCCUUUCCUCUCCUCUGUUUUCUUCCUCUUCCUCUCGAGCUCACCUCCAUUUUUGCCAAAAUUUGUGAAGAUUUGAAGGCACCCCAUCCAUCCAAGUGAUCACAAAGGUUAGCAAUUUUGUCCUUUAAUCUCUCAUUGCUAGAUUAGCUCUUGCAAUGCUCUAUAAGUAUAGUGAUUUGUGCAUUUUAUUUUGGGAGGAAUUAUGUGUGGUAGUAUUUGAUUUAUAUGCAAUUUGAGGUCAAAAUAACUCUUAGUUUGCAUAUGUAGGUGUGGUUUACUUAGUGCCUUCCCGUCUCCGUCCUAACCAUCCUCGAUCGCCCGCACCAUCCCGUCGCCGGCACCACCUUGUGGUGAGCCUCUUGUUCUUAUCUUUUUUAUAUAAAAAAAUCAUGUUUGUGUGAUUUAGAUAUAUAGUUACUUGUAUAAUUAUCUUACCCGUACGUUGUUUGUUAUACAUAGUGCCAUGGUUUUGGUAUCCGUCCCCGUCGGCCCGCGUCCGGGUUAUGAUUCGGAUGUGGUAUAUUAUCUUUUAUAACUAUUUGUUGCAUUUCAUGUUUAUGACAAAUUAUGCCCAUCAAGUUGACAUAGAUAUUUUUAUCUAGGAGGUAUGUGAACCGGAAAUUCCAACCGACCCUAUUGUCAAGAGGUUAAAUUUAGUUGAAAAUGAAAACGAGUAUUUGAAAGAAAAAUUGAAAAGAAUUGAGCAGGAGAAGAUGGAAUUGGAGUUGCAUGUUGCCGAUGUCGUCGUUGAUCACAAGAUCAAGAUAGAGAAAAUGCGCUUGAAGAUUAGAAAGAUUAGAAAAUAUGCCAUCGAUAUUGAGGCUUGGUAUCAUUAUGCUGUUGGAUCAAUUGUUACCUUAGUUGCGAUCUUGAUCGCAUUUGUUGUUGCCUUUAAAUGCUUUAGCUAGAGAGUUAUUUGUAUGUUAUUUUAUGAGAAUAAGUGUUGUAUGAACUUUAUGUAUGAACUUAUAUUAAUUUGGUCUAUUUGGUGCUGUGUAAUGAAGAUGAGUCGGCAAUGGAUGUACGAUGACCGAUGCUCUCCCCAGUUCGUUAAUGGCAUGCAUACUUUUCUGUUUGCGGCUGAGGCAAACAAGCGGGCGGAUGAUUGGAAUUACUCUAAGUCAAAAACCAUUCGCUGGCACCUGUUUGAGUCCGGUUUCAUGCCCCACUAUAACGUUUGGACCAAGCACCGAGAAAGAGGGGUUAUGAUGGAGGACAAUGAAGAAGAAGAGGACGGCGACAACUAUCCUGGCCAUGGGUUCCCUGAAUACGAUGGUACAACAAUGGGAGAAGAAGCUGAGCCGGCAAUGCGGAAAGAAGCUGAAGAAGAGGCAUCAGAUGAUCCCGCUGAUGAUCUAGGUCGGGCCAUUGCCGAUGCAAAGAGAAACUGCGCAAGGGAAAAGGAGAAGAAGAAGUUACAGCGCAUGUUAGAGGAUCACAAGAAAUUGUUGUACCCGAAUUGCGAAGCUGACAAGAAAAAGCUGGACACCACACUGGAAUUGCUACAAUGGAAGGCAGAGAAUGGUGUAUCUGACAAGGGAUUUGGAAAUUGUGGGGUAACGGAAGACCCGCAGUACGGAAUGACAACAGUGGAUCUCAACAAUCUUGCGUACACAGAUGAACCAUUCGUCCUAGCCAAUGAUGUGGCACAUGUUUUCUAUGUGAAGGACAUGUCUACCAAGGCGAGGAAAAGAAAAGAUAAGGAAGCGAAUACAUCAUACGAUGAGCCAAAGCACCACAUAGUUCUUUCAGGGAAAAGAAACAUCGUGGGAGUGGAUGACGAGACAGACAUGUUAGAAGAUUAUGAAAAGUUUCAUGAAAUUGCUCCCUUCACAGUGAAUAUUGAUCCGAGCAUCCAGUUAAAUGAUGAAGAUUGUCCAUGGUUACGGCGCAAAGGAACACACAUGAAGAAAAAGUUUCACACCCAAAGAUCCCACUAUGGGAUGUGACCGGCUUCACUGUCAUCACUUUCUUCUCUAGUGAGUUUCCGGACAUAUAUAUCUGAAAAGUCCCACUUUGGACAAACCGCAGGGAAUCUUUGUAAUAGUUAGGUUGCUUAUGUGUUUUGACAUUUGAAACAUGUACUGUUGUGCUUCGGACAAACGUGUACCUUUCUGACUUCAUUUGCUAUUUUUCAGCUCAUUUACUGAUUUUUUGAGGUAAAUGACCCUGAAAUUGAAAAGCACUACAAAAUGAACUCUGAAAAGGUUGAAAGUUGGCAUGGUAUCACCAUUUCACCCACAUAACUGUUGGGGAACGUAGAAUAAAUUCAAAAUUUUCUACGCAUCACCAAGAUCAAUCUAUGGAGAUUCUAGCAACAAGAGAGAGAGGGAGUGCAUCUUCAUACCCUUGAAGAUCGCUAAGCUGAAGCGUUACAAGAACGCGGUUGAUGGAGUCGUACUCGCGGCGAUUCAAAUCGCAGAAGAUCCGAUCUAGCGCCAAACGGACGGCGCCUCCGCGUUCAACACACGUACAGCCCGGGGACGUCUCCUCCUUCUUGAUCCGGCAAGGGGAGAGGAUAAGUUGAGGGAGAACUCCGACAGCAUGACGGCAUGGUGGUGGUGGAGCUUGUGGUAUUCCUGCAGGGCUUCGCCAAGCACUACGGAGGAGGAGGAGAUGUACGAGGAGGGAGGGGCUGCGCCAGGGGAAGGGUGUGGCUGCCCUCCCACCCCCUCACUAUAUAUAGGAGGAAGGGGAGAGGGGGUCGGCCCCUCUAGAUCCCAUCUAGAGGAGGGGGCGGUGGCCAGGGGAAACCCUAGAUGGGUUUGGGCGCCCCCACCCCUUAGGAAACUUCCCCCCAAGUCGGGAGGGGUAGCUGCCCUAGGGGAGGCGCCCCAACCUCUCCAGGUUACGUGAGAUGGGGUGGGAGGGGCGCUCAGCCCCUUAGUGGGCUGAUGUGCCCCCUCCCCUUGGCCCAUAAGGCCCCCCCAGCGCUUGCCGGGGCCUCUGAAACCCCUUUCAGACACGCUGGUCGUCACCCGGUACCCCCGGAACAAUUCCAGACUCUAAUACCCUUCGUCCAAUAUACCGAUCUUCACCUCCGGACCAUUCCGGAGUUCCUCAUCACGUCCGGGAUCUCAUCCGGGACUAAGAACAACCUUCGGUAACCAUAUACUAUUUCCCAUAAGAACUCUAGCGUCAUUGAACCUUAAGUGUGUAGACCCUAUGGGUUCGGGUAUCAUGCAGACAUGACCGAGACGUUCUCUAGCCAAUAACCAACAGUGGGAUCUGGAUACCCAUGUUGGCUCCCACAUGUUCCACGAUGAUCUCAUCGGAUGAAGCACGAUGUAGGGGAUUCAAUCAAUCCCAUAUACAAUCCCCUUUGUCAAUCGGUAUGUUACUUGCCCGAGAUUCGAUCGUCGGUAUCCCAAUACAUCGUUCAAUCUCGUUACCGGCAAGUCACUUUACUCGUUGCGUAAUGCAUGAUCCCAUGACUAACUACUUAGUCACAUUGAGCUCAUUAUGAUGAUGCAUUACCGAGUGGGCCCAGAGAUACCUCUCCGUCAUACGGAGUGACAAAUUCCAGUCUCGAUUCGUGCCAACCCAACAAACACUUUCGGAGAUACCUGUAGUGCACCUUUUGUUGGGGAACAUAGCAAUUUCAAAAAAAUUCCUACGCACACGCAAGAUCAUGGUGAUGCACAACAACGAGAGGGGAGAGUGUGUCCACGAAGAUCUUUAUCGGUCAAACCGCAAAACAACAUACGUUGUUCCCUUUGUCAUCGGUAUGUUACUUGCCUGAGAUUCGAUCGUCGGUAUCUCAAUACCUAGUUCAAUCUCGUUACCAGCAAGUCUCUUUACUCGUUCCGUAAUACAUCAUCCCGCAACUAACUAAUUAGUUGCAAUGCUUGCAAGGCUUAUAGUGAUGUGCAUUACCGAGUGGGCCCAGAGAUACCUCUCCGACAAUCAGAGUGACAAAUCCUGAUCUCGAAAUACGCCAACCCAACAUGUACCUUCGGAGACACCUGUAGAGCUCCUUUAUAAUCACCCAGUUACGUUGUGACGUUUGGUAGCACACAAAGUGUUCCUCCGGUAAACGGGAGUUGCAUAAUCUCAUAGUCAUAGGAACAUGUAUAAGUCAUGAAGAAAGCAAUAGCAACAUACUAAACGAUCAAGUGCUAAGCUAACGGAAUGGGUCAAGUCAAUCACAUCAUUCUCCUAAUGAUGUGAUCCCGUUAAUCAAAUGACAACUCUUUUGUCCAUGGCUAGGAAACAUAACCAUCUUUGAUAAACGAGCUAGUCAAGUAGAGGCAUACUAGUGACACUAUGUUUGUCUGUGUAUUCACACAUGUAUUAUGUUUCCGGUUAAUACAAUUCUAGCAUGAAUAAUAAACAUUUAUCAUGAUAUAAGGAAAUAAAUAAUAACUUUAUUAUUGCCUCUAGGGCAUAUUUACUUCAGUCUCCCACUUGCACUAGAGUCAAUAAUCUUGUUCACAUGAGCAUGUGAUUCAACACCAAUAUUCACAUCUGUAUGUCAUUAAUACCCAUGGUUCACAUCGUCAUGUGAUCAACACCCAAAGGGUUUACUAGAGUCAAUAAUCUAGUUCACAUUGCUAUGUGAUUAACACCCAAAAGAGUACUAAGGUAUGAUCAUGUUUUGCUCGUGAGAGAAGUUUAGUCAACGGGUCUGUCACAUUCAGAGCCGUAUGUAUUUUGCAAAUAUUCUAUGUCUACAAUGCUCUGCACGGAGCUACUCUAGCUCAUUUCUCCCACUUUCAAUAUGUAUCCAGAUUGAGACUUAGAGUCAUCUGGAUCAGUGUUAAAGUUUGCACCGAUGUAACUUUUACGACGAACUCUUUUAUCACCUCCAUGAUCGAGAAACAUCUCCUUAGUCCUCACUAAGGAUAUUCUUGACCGCUGUCCAAUGAUCUACUAUUAGAUCAAAAUUGUAUUCCUUUGCCAAACUCAGAGCAAGGUAUACAAUAGGUCUGGUACACAGCAUAGCAUACUUUAUAGAACCUAUGACUGAGGCAUAGGGAAUGACUUUUCAUUCUCUUUCUAUUUUCUGCCGUGGUCGGGAUUUGAGUCUUACUCAAUUUCACACCUUGCAACACAGGCAAGAACUCCUUCUUUGACUGUUCCAUUUUGAACUACUUCAAAAUCUUAUCAAGGUAUGUACUCAUUGAAAAAACUUAUCAAGCGUCUUGAUCUAUCUAUAUAGAUCUUGAUGCUCAAUGUGUAAGCAGCUUCACCGAGGUCUUUCUUUGAAAGACUCCUUUCAAACACUCCUUUAUUCUUUCCAGAAAAUUCUACAUCAUUUCCAAUUAAUUAUAUGUCAUUCACAUAUACUUAUCAGAAAGGGUGUAGUGCUCCCACUCACUUUCUUGUAAAUACAGGCCUUUCCAAAAGUCUGUAUAAAACCAUAUGCUUUGAUCAACUCAUCAAAGCGUAUAUUCCAACUCCGAGAUGUUUGCACCAGUCCAUUGAUGGAUCGCUGGAGCUUGCACAUUCUGUUAGCACCUUUAGGAUUAACAAAACCUUCUGGUUGCAUCAUAUACAACUCUUCUUUAGAAGAUCCAUUAAGGAAUGCAGUUUUGACAUCCACUUGCCAGAUUUCAUAAAAUGUGGCAAUUGCUAACAUGAUUCGGACAGACUUAAGCAUCGAUACGAGUGAGAAAAUCUCAUCGUAUUCAACACCUUGAACUUGUCGAAAACCUUUCGCAACAAGUCGAGCUUAGUAGAUAUUAACACUACUAUCAGUGUCCGUCUUCCUCUUGAAGAUCCGUUUAUGUAACAUGGCUUGCUGAUCAUCGAGCAAGUCAAUCAAAGUCCAUACUUUGUUCUCAUACAUGGAUCAUAUCUCAGAUUUUAUGGCCUCAAGCCAUUUCGCGGAAUCUGGAUUCAUCAUCGCUUCCUCAUAGUUCGUAGGUUCAUCAUGGUCUAGUAACAUGACUUCCAAAACAUGAUUACCGUACCACUCUGGUGCGGAUCUUACUCUGGAAGAUCUACAAAUUUUUGGUAGUAACUUGAUCUGAAGUUUCAUGAUCAUCAUCAUUAGCUUCCUCACUAAUUGGUGUAGGAAUCACUAGAACUAAUUUCAGUGAUGAACUACUUUCCAAUUCGGGAGAAGGUACAAUUACCUUAUCAAGCUCUACUUUCCUCCCACCCAUUUCUUUCGAGAGAAACUUCUUCUCUAGAAAGGAUCCAUCUUAGCAACGAAUAACUUGCCUUCGGAUCUGUGAUAGAAGGUGUACCCAAUAGUUACCUUUGGGUAUUCUAUGAAGAUGCACUGCUCUGAUUUGGGUUCGAGCUUAUCAGGUUGAAACUUUUUCACAUAAGCAUCACAACCCCAAAAUUUAAGAAACGACAACUUUGGUUUCUUGCCAAACCACAGUUAAUAAGGCGUCGUCUCAAUGGAUUUUUGAUGGUGUUCUAUUUAAAGUGAAUGCAGCUGUCUCUAAUGCAUAACCCCAUAAUGAUAGUGGUAAAUAGAUAAGAGACAUCAUAGAUCGCACCAUAUCCAAUAAAGUGCGGUUACGAUGUUCGGACACACCAUAACGCUGUGGUGUUCCAUGUGGCGUGAGCUGUGAAACUAUUCCACAUUGUUUUAUAUAAAGGCCAAACUCAUAACUCAAAUAUUCUUCUCCACGAUCAGAUCGUAGGAACUUUAUUUUCUUGUUACGAUGAUUCUUCACUUCACUCUGAAUUUCUUUGAACAUUUCAAAUGUUUCAGACUUGUGUUUUAUUAAGUAGAUAUACCCAUAUCUGCUCAAAUCAUCUGUGAAGGUCAGAAAAUAACGAUAUUCGCCACGAGCAUCAACACUCAUUGGAUCGCAUACAUCGGUAUGUAUUAUUUCCAAUAAAUCAGUAGCUCGUUCCAUUGUUCCGUAGAACGGAGUUUUAGUCAUCUUGCCCAAAAGGCACGGUUCGCAAGUACCAAAUGAACCAUAAUCAACUGAUUCCAGAAGUCCAUCAGUAUAGAGUUUCUUCAUGCGCUUUACACCAAUAUGACCCAAACGGCAGUGCCACAAAUAAGUUGCACUAUCAUUAUCAACUUUGCAUCUUUUGGCAUCAAUAUUAUGAAUAUGUGUAUCACUAUGAUCGAGAUCCAACAAACUAUUUUCAUUGGGUGUAUGACCAUUGAAGGCUUUAUUCAUGUAAACAGAACAACAAUUAUUCUCUGACUUUAAAUUAAUAACCGUAUUGCAAUAAACAUGAUCAAAUCAUAUUCAUGCUCAACGCAAACGCCAAAUAACAUUUAUUUAUGUUCUACACUAAUCUCGAAAGUGUAGGGAGAGUGUGAUGAUGAUCAUAUCAAUCUUGGAACUACUUCUAACACACAUUGUCACUUCACCCUCAACUAGUCUCUGUUUAUUCUGUAACUCAUGUUUCGAGUUACUAAUAUUUAGCAACAGAACAAGUAUCAAAUACUCAGGGGCUACUAUAAACACUAGUAAAGUACACAUCAAUAACAUGUAUAUCAAAUAUACUCUUGUUCACUUUGCCAUCCUUCUUAUCCACCAAAUAUUCAGGGCAUUUCCGCUUCUAGUGACCAUUUCCUUUGCAGUAUAAUCACUCAGUUUCAGGCUUUGGUCCAGCUUUGGGCUUCUUCGUGGGAGUGACAACUUGCUUGCCAUUCUACUUGAAGUUCCCUUUCUUUUCCUUUGCCCUUUUCUUGAAACUAGUGGUCUUGUCAAUCAUCAACACUUGAUGCUCUUUUCUUGAUUUCUACCUUCGUCGAUUUCAGCAUCACGAAGAGCUCGGGAAUCGUUUACGUCAUCCCUUGCAUUAUAGUUCAUCAUGAAGUUCCAGUAAUUUGGUGAUGGUGACCAGAGAACUCUGCCAAUCACUAUCUUAUCUGGAAGAUUAACUCCCACUUGAUUCAAGCGAUUGUAGUACUGAGACAAUCUAAGUACUUGCUCACUAGUUGAGCAAUUCUCCUCCAUCUUUUAGGCGAAGUAUUUGUCAGAGUCUCAUACCUCUUGACACGGGCAUGAGUCCGAAAUACCAAUUUCAUCUCUUGAAACAUCUUAUAUGUUCCAUGACGUUUCAAAAACGUUUUUGUAGUCCCGGUUCUAAGCCAUAAAGCAUGGUGCACAAAACUAUCAAGUAGUCAUCAUAUUGAGCUAGCCAAACGUUCAUAACGUCUGCAUCUGCUCCUGCAAUAGGUCUGUCACCUAGCGGUGCAUCAAGGACAUAAUUCUUCUGUGCAGCAAUGAGGAUAAACCUCAAAUCACGGACCAAGUCCGCAUCAUUGCUACUAAUAUUUUUCAACUUAGUUUUUCUCUAGGAACACAUAUAAAAACAUAGGGAAGCAACAACGCGAGCUAUUGAUCUACAAAAAAAUUUGCAAAAUACUACCAGGACUAAGUUCAUGAUAAAUUAAAGUUCAAUUAAUCAUAUUACUUAAGAACUCCCACUUAGACAGACAUCUCUCUAGUCAUCUAAGUGAUCACGUGAUCCAAAUCAACUAAACCAUGUCCGAUCAUCACGUGAGAUGGAGUAGUUUUAAAUGGUGAACAUCACUAUGUUGAUCAUAUCUACUAUAUGAUUCACGUUCGACCUUUCGGUCUCCGUGUUCCGAGGCCAUAUCUGUAUAUGCUAGGCUCGUCAAGUUUAACCUGAGUAUUCCGUGCGCAACUGUUUUGCACCCUGUAUGUGUAUCUAGUGCCCCUUAGUGAUUUUGGUGUAUUGAAGACUUAUAGGUUAAGGGACUGAUGCGUUUGUGAGUGUACACAGGUCUAUAAUUCUAUGAGGAGUUUGAUAUUUACAGAUAAAGUCGACCCCUAAAAAUUAAGUUCUUUGACUGAAGACUUUGGAAUUCUGAAGACUUUAUGAAGACUUUCAAAGAGAAGAAAUUGGUGUGACCUUGAAGACUUGGUUUUCAUUCGAGGAACAUGAAGCGCGAAGACUUUUGUUUUCAUAGUUUCAUUUUCUCUUUCUUGAGUCAUAGGAAACACUGUACUGUUAAAGGGGGCCGAGGAAAUACUAAGGAAAAAUUUCCAUGUGAUGCUCAACUCAAAAUCCUACACCUACCAAUCCCUUCGAGUGAAGCCAUUGGAAAUCUCGCACAGUUUAGUCAUAUUCUUCAGUGACAGAGAUGAAGUUCUUCUGGUCUCUGAGGAAUUUGUUCUAACUGAAGAGUUAGGAAUUCGCCAGUGCGGAUUGCCUACCAACUGAGGAACAUGAUAGCCCUGAGGAAUUCGAACCUCAAAUAUUCCGACCGUUGCUGUGCUACGCGUCAGCUGUCCCAAAAUAUCUACCCACCUAACGGUCAUAUCAGACAAGGGCAUUUAUGUCUUAUCAUGUCGGGCUGCUCCCUAGGCUAUAAAUAGCCGCCCCCUACAAUCACUAGUUGGUUGGCUGCUCCGAGAGAAACUGACAGUUGUCAUUUGAGAGCAACCCAUCCUCCGAGGACUUUGAGUGAAAAUCAUCAAGUGAGGAGAUCCCAAACCCAAACCUACAAAACCCCAAGUGAUUGAGCAUCACUGAAGAGGUUGAUCCUGCGUGGAUCCGACGCUUGUUUCCUUUGAAGACUGUGCUUCUUCCAGAUGGUUAGGCGUCAAGGUCUAGAGCAUCCAAGAGGAAUUGUGGAUCGCCGAGUGACCGAGUUUGUGAAGGUUCGGAUGUCACCUGAAGACAUACCACAAGUGAUUGGGCGAGGUCUGUGUGACUUUAGCUCAAGGAGAAUACGGUGAGGACUGUGUGUCCGGGACUGGGUGUCCUCGAGUUUAAAUACUCAGCCACUCCAACCAGAUGUACAACCGAGACAUCAGUUGGAACGGGUCUACAAAAUCAUUGUCUUCACCAAGCUAACUGGUUCUAUUUCCUCAACUCUUUCAUUUCCUCAUGUUGUUGUUGUGUGCUUGUUCAUAUCUGUUUGAAGACAUUGACUGAAGACUUUCUCAAUUUCCUCAGCUCUAUUUCUUCAGUCUGUCCGUCUUCUUCUCUUGUUAUCAUGUGUUUACGCUUUCUGUACUCUUUGCUUGUCUUCAUUUCAUCAUGAUGACUAUGCUUGUGUUCUGUUAUGUUCCUUUCUGAGUACUUAUUCCGCUGCAAGUAGUUCUUCAUUUAGGAAUUUCCUCACCAGCAAAUUCCUCAGUGAAGAAUUCAUAAAAAUCGCAUAUUCACCCCCUCUAGUCUAUAUAACGCACUUUCAAUUGGUAUCAGAGCAAGGUACUCCAUUGUUCUGUGUGAUUUUGGUUUAACCACCUGGAGUUCUAAUUAUGUUGACUGCAGGACCAAGGAACGUUUCCUGCCCCAUCUUUGACGGUCAUGAGUAUCCUCGGUGGAAGGCCAUGAUGAAAAAGCGACUUAUGGCUAUGGACAUCGAACUGUGGAUCGUCACCGCGAUCGGUCUUACCGAUAUAUGCAAGAUGGCUGAGGCUGAUGACAUUCGCAAGUACACACUACUUAACCUGAUAGCGAAGGAUGUCAUUUGCUCCAGUCUGUCCCGAAAUCAGUUCAGGAACGUCAUGCAUCUCAAUCACGCGAAGCUAAUCUGGGACCGUCUCUCUGAGGUCUAUGAAGGUCAUUGAACUCGUCAUGAUCCUUGGUUUGAGGAUUACAAGGAAUCUCUCAAUGCGAUGACAUUCCAACCAGAAUCAUUAUCAUCUACCCCCUGCCUUAUGGCAAACAGUGCUAAGGUAACCGAAUGCUACCUAUCCAAGUCUAGUGAUGAUGAAUCUGGCGAUGAAUUUGGACCUAGCUAUGUUAAACUUGCUUCCCUUGCCACUAAACAACAAAGAGCUUUGGAAAAAGUUCAAUACAUGCUAAAUAAGAGCGAUGAUAUGUUGGGUGAAGAAAUGGAUCAGUCAAAAGCAUUGGCUGAAAGUCUUCAGGGACUCCAUUCGAAGUUUGACGACCUUCAAAGUUAUCAUAAAACUCUCUUAUCUAAUCACGAGAAGCUUUCUUAUGAUUUUCUUCAAAGAAAGCAAGAUCUUGAGAAGCUAAGAGUGAGUUAUGAAGAUCUUUAGAAGGAGCGCGAUUCAUUACUUGCUCAACAAAUCAGCGCUACUCAGGAAGAAUUUGUUCCUCCAUGUCUAAAGUGCAUUGAACGUGAAUCUGCUAAUUCUUCACCUGAAUGUUCAAAUGCUUCAAAUUUUACAAAUUCUUCACCUGUCUCUGCUAUCACUAAUUCCUCAUCUGAGGACAUUGCUAGUACUGCUAAUGAUGCAGGGCUGAAGGAAUUGUACAAGACAUGCAUGUACAAAAGCCUCAAAGGGCAUCAGAUUCUUUGUGAUGUGCUCAAAAAGCAGAUCCUCAACAGAAACCCUAGGAAAGAGGGUAUUGCCUUUGAGAGGAAACUCAAUGCUGAUGGAACAUAUUGGAAACCUAAGCAGUACCCCAAAACCUCAUGGGUUGCUGCAAAGGGACCUCCAGUUGAUCCAUCUAACUUAUCUGGCUUUACAUGUGAAUCUUCUCAUUCUUCUGAUGAGUCAUUUGACUCCAACUAUAAACUGUUCAAAAAUGAGAAUGGUGAAGUAUUUGCUAGAUAUGUUGGCACUAACUGCAGGAAUGGUUCACCUAUGAAGAAAAUCUGGGUUCCCAAAAGUUAUCUUGAAAGUCUUCAGGUAAAUGUCCUCAUGACACCACCAAUGAAGAACAGGAACCCCAGAUCUAAUUCUUCAUAUGGACCUAAUUCUUCACGUGGAUCAAAUACCUCAAAUGGAUCAAAGUCCUCAUAUGAUCAUCAUCGCGCUAACCCUUAUGUUUCGCAGGGUAGAGCUAAGGGCUAUGAAUAUGCGCAUUAUUCUUCAAAUCAUUAUGUUCAUAAGUCCUCGAAGAAUUUCUCUGCUUACUCAUAUGCUUACCCUAACCCCUCUUAUAUGAAACGAAGCGGACUAGCUUCUAUCCCACCAUUCUCAUAUGGUGCUCGCUAAGUGAUGAAUUCUUUGCCACCCCUUCAGAUGUGGGUGGUGAAGAAAAAGAACUAAUCUCUUAUGCAGGCUCAGGUCUCCAGACGUGCUUAAAUCGUCUGAAGAAUUUGCUGGAGACCUGAACAUUGCCUGAAAGGACGCAGGCUAAUCAUGAAGAAAUGAAUUUUUUCCAUUUCUCACGUCCUCAUACUGAUUUACAUGUGCUAUUGCUUGAUGAAAUUGAACUGAUGAAAUUGAUGUCAUAUUCUUCACUGAUGAAGUAUAUGAGUUAGUAAGAUGCACUAAUUCAUCUGCAGGAUGAUCAGCCCAAAGCAAACGAGUGGGUCCUCGAUAGUGGUUGUACAAAUCACAUGACGGGUGACAAGAAUCUAUUGAUGGAUGCUCCUUUAUCACCGUCACAUCUGAAGCAUAUCAUCUUCGCUGACAAAGGCAAAAGUCAGGUAUUGGGUCUAGGUAAGGUUGCGAUCUCAAAGGAUCGACGCAUGGACAAAGUCAUGCUUGUCGAGUCCUUAGGAUAUAACCUCAUGUCUGUCUCAAUGCUUUGUGAUCUCGAUAUGGUUGUUGUCUUUGGAAGAUAUUGUUCUGUUGUGAUCAUGGAAGCUGACCACUCCAAAGUCUUCGAAGGCUUUAGGAGAGGAGAUCUGUAUAUUGUUGAUUUCUCUACAGGACCACAACCAGCCGUGUGCUUACUUGCAAAAGCUUCAGAAGGCUGGCUAUGGCAUCGACGACUUGGUCAUGCUGGCAUGAGGAACUUGAACACACUUCAGAAGAAGAAGCAUGUCAUUGGCAUUGAGAAUGUCAAAUUCCUCAAGGAUCACUUAUGCGGAGCUUGUGAAGCUGGAAAGAUGACAAAGGCCAAGCAUCCAGCGAAGAUUAUCAUGACCACCACUCGACCAUUUGAAUUGCUUCACAUGGAUCUCUUUGGUCCUAAUCAUUAUUCUGCUGUUUCAAAUGAUGCAUCUCUAUAUGGCUUUGUUAUUGUUGAUGACUAUUCUCGUUAUACAUGGGUACACAUUGUCACUUACAAACAUGAAGUACAGGAAAUCUUCAAACGAUUUUCCUCGAGGGCUUCAACCAACUUUGGUGUGAAGAUCAAGCACAUCAGAACUGACAAUGGAACUGAGUUCAAGAAUUCCGGUCUUGAUGGCUAUCUUGAUGAACUUGGUAUUACUCAUGAGUUAUCUGCUCCUUAUACUCCUCAGCAGAAUGGCGUCGUGGAGUGCAAGAACAGAACCCUCGCUGAAAUUGCUCGCACUAUGCUUGAUGAAUACAAGACGCCUCGUCGCUUCUGGAUUGAGGCAAUUGAUACUGUGUGCCACGUCAUCAACAUGGUAUAUCUUCACAAAUUCUUCAAGAAAACUGCUUAUGAACUCCUCACUAACAAAAAGCCAAAUGUGAGUUAUUUCAAAGUCUUUGGUGCUAAAUUGUUGGAUUAGAGAUCCUCAUCACACAUCCAAAUUCUCACCGAAAGCACAUGAAGGUUUUAUGCUUGGUUAUGGAAAGGACUCGCACACCUACAGAGUCUUCAACAACGUUCUUCACAAAGUUCUUGAAACUGUAGAUGUGCGGUUCAAUGAAACUAAUGGCUCGCAAAGGGAGCACCUACCUUCUGUGAUAGAUGAACCAGCACCUGAAGAUUCUAUCAAGUUCAAGGCUACUGAGGAUGUCAUUCCUACCAAAGAAUCUGCUGAAGAAUUCAUUCCUGAUCGUGAUGAUUACCGAGAUGGCGCACCUGAAGAAAAUGGUGCUGAAGAAAAAUGCUUCUGAAGGGAAUGCUGAUCAAAUUCCUUGAAGACAACCCACUCAUCCUCGCAUCGCUAAUGAAGUGCAAAUUAAGAAGAUCAUUGAUGACAUUGAAGCACUAGGUCCUCUCACUCGCUCAAAAUCUUCAAAUUUAUCUAACUUUUGUGGGCACUUUGCUUUUGUCUCUAUCGUAGAGCCCACUAAGGUAGAUGAAGCAUUUCUGGAGCCUGAGUGGAUUCAGGCUAUGCAAGAAGAAUUACAUCAGUUCGAGCUCAACAAUGUCUGGGAACUGGUCAAACGUCCAGAUCCUCGCGAGCACAACAUCAUUGGCACAAAGUGGAUCUACCGCAACAAGCAAGACAAAAAUGGCCUUGUGGUGAGGAAUAAGGCACGGCUUGUAGCUCAAGGCUACACACAGGUUGAAGGAAUUGAUUUCGAUGAAACUUUUGCACCUGUUGCUAGACUUGAGGCUAUUCGCAUCUUACUUGCUUACGCUAACCAUCAUAAUAUUAUCUUACAACAAAUGGAUGUGAAAAGUGCAUUCCUCAAUGGUAAGAUUGAGGAAGAAGUAUAUGUCGCUCAGCCCCCAGGAUUUGAAGAUCCAAAGAAUCCCGACAAAGUCUUCAGACUCAACGAGGCCCUGUAUGGCCUCAAGCAAGCCCCUCGGGCGUGGUAUGACAUGUUGAAGGAAUUCUUCGUGAAGAAUGGCUUCAAACCCGGUUCACUUGAUCCAACUCUUUUCACAAAAUCCUAUGAUGGUGAAUUGUUUGUGUGCCAAAUAUAUGUUGAUGAUAUUGUCUUUGGCUGUACUGAGCAACGUUAUAGUGAUGAAUUUGCCUAUGUGAUGAGUGAAGAAUAUCAAAUGUCUAUGAUGGGAGAGUUGAAAUUCUUUUUAGGUCUUCAAAUUCGUCAACAGCGCAAUGGUAUAUUCAUAUCGCAGGAGAAAUACCUCAAAGAAGUAUUGAGGAAAUUCGUCAUGCAAGAUUGCAAAGAGGUCAAAAUUCCAAUGCCCACAAAUGGCCAUCUAUGCACUGAUGAAAAUGGUCAAGACUUCAUCAAAAGGUAUACCGCUCCAUGAUUGGAUCUUUAUUGUACCUAUGUGCAUCUAGGCCAGAUAUUAUGCUUAGUGUUUGCAUGUGUGCCCGAUUUCAAGCUACUCCGAAGGAAUCACACCAUAAGGCUGUGAAGCAUAUUCUUCGAUAUCUAGCUCACACACCAACACUUGGAUUAUGGUAUCCCAAGGGCUCUUCAUUUGAUCUCGUUGGAUAUUCAGAUUCUGACUAUGCUGGCGAUCGCAUGGACCGCAAGUCAAUGUCAAGCACAUGCCAUUUCCUCGGACGAUCUUUGAUCUGUUGGUCCUCGAAGAAACAGAACUACGUAUCUCUCUCCACUGCAGAAGCUGAGUACAUUGCUGUUGGAUCGUGCUGUGCUCAAUUACUAUGGAUGAAGCAAACACUCAAGGACUACGGCAUCAACGUGAAGAAUGUGCCUCUCUACUGUGACAAUGAGAGCGCAAUCAAGAUUUCUCGCAACCCAGUUCAGCACUCGAAGACAAAGCACAUUUAGAUUCGUCAUCAUUUUCGUCGCGAUCAUGUGUUGAAGGGCGAUAUCUCCAUCUGCCAUGCAAGAACUGAAGAUCAGCUGGCCGAUAUUUUCACUAAGCCCUUGGAUGAGAAGAGAUUUAGCAAGUUGCAGUGUGAGCUAAAUAUCGUAGAAUCGUCGAAUGUUCUCUGAAAUGGACACUCAUCCUAACACUUAUGCUGACUUGAUGACUUAGAUGUGCAACACACGAAGUAACGUUUUACUUCAAUCAAUGAAGACUAACCCUCUAAGUGUGAAGAAAUUAAUGGAGAAAUUGACUCUCAGAGCCCUACGACAAUUGUACGUGGUGUCUGAAGCCAACUUUCUUAUACGGUGGGUUACGUCACCACAAAAGUUGAAAAUCUUCAAUUUGAGUUUUUCUUCAGUUUUUGAAAUUCCUCAGUUUCUUUCAAAUUCUUCAACUUGCAUUGACUUCACUAUUUCCGUCGUUUGUCUUCAGUUGAAUAUAUAUAUAUAUAUAUAUAUAUAUAUAUAUAUAUAUAUGAGUUUAUGUCCUCUACAACAUUCACUUAUUGCUAAUUCUUCAAAUUGACUUUUUCGCUAAGUGAAUGUGAUCGGACCCUUCCCCCUCUAUGCUAAACUCAACCCAAUCUAUUCACAAAUUCUUCAGGUGCGUUCUGAUUUGAAACUCGUUCAACAUCUUCACUGUGUCCUUGACAGCUGAAGAAAUUGUGAACGGUAAAAUUAAAACUGAUCUUAUCUAAAUUUUCAGCUUUGCCGCUCAAACCAUUCCGCUUCUCAUGACAAAUACUUAUCUAUUCACCCACGAUCCUACACGAUCGCCACCUCACAGUACGUGGGUGACACAUGUCACGCGAAUGAGAAGAGCCAGGGGCAGGUUCGUCCGAAAUCCUCGGGCGCACAGUUUUCACUGCCGCUAUAAAUACCCCCGCCUCUUCCUCACUUCGCUUUUACUCCGCUCGACCUCUCUCCCGCUCGAUCUUCCCAAACCCUAGCGCCGCCGCUACUUCAUCGUCUCCGGUGAGGAAGAGCUUCACUGCCUCGACCUUGUCGCCGUCGUACUCGUGCCAGUUGCGGAUUUCUUCACUCCGCAGCCGCCGUAGUUGUCUUCCUCCGCAAAGUUAGGGCGUGGAAGAUCUGAACGGACGAACUUCACUUCAACACUUCCCAAUACGUCGUGUUCUUCACUUCGGGUAAUUAAAAGUUACUUUUAUUGCCCGCCUUGAUUCAUGUGUUAUCCUUAAAAAUCUUCAAAGGUGUUUAUUCUUCAAAUCUUCACACACUAAAACACCUCACAUGUUAUCUGUUCUUGAUUCAUUUCUCUAAGCAAUGUUUUUCUUCAAGAUUCCUCAAUUGAGUGGAUUUUCAAAUCCGUACAACUCUGGAACCUGAGAUAAAGAACGCUUAGCGAAAUUCUUCAAGACUCAUCAGUCAAAUUCCUCGAACCUUCUCUUUUUGAAAAUCAUCUGAGAACGCGUAUGACCUCUCCAAAUUCCUCGCAACUAUACUCUGUUCACAGGUACAAAUGUCUGCUACUGAAUCACUAGGUUCUCAUCAACUUAACUCAUUUGCAGUGUUCCUCAAAGAAAAGUUGCAUACAUCUUCAGAAACUUCAAUUGUCAAUCCUCAGCCGAAGAAAAUGGCUGACGGCAAGAAGCCACAAAAGGGAGGAAAAAGGCCUGAGGUCAACACAGCGUUUGAAAUCCCUGAGGAUAUAUAUGCUGGAUACUGCACUCCAGAUGAGGCAAAGUUUGGCAAGGAGAACAAGAAUCAGCGCAAAGUGCGCAUACAGCGUAUUGAAAGGAGAUGGGCACGAGAAUGGAGGGAGUACAGGUAUGUUACUCGCAAGUACAUGAAGAAAUUCACGCUCAACCCUCCAUGCUCAAGACCUCCAUUGAGGCCUGGCCAACUGGCAGAUCUCACCAGCCUCAAGCGCGGUGAGGACUAUGCUGCUGAAUGGGCUAGGCGCCAGGCCAAACUAGCCAAGCAAGCAAAAGAAGCAGUGAGAAAAUUCAAUGAAGAUUCUGCUGCUGCUGCUAACACUGAUGAGGACUCUGGUAGUAAGCCCAGGAAGGCUAUGCCAAAGAAGCCUGCCCACAAGUCCAGUGCUUCUCCUUCAAUGCCCUCACGGCCAGAUUCUUCAAAGCCCUCACGGCCAAUUCCUCAGUCUGCUCCUCCUCCUCCAAAGUCCUCAGUACCUCCGACAAAGUCUUCGGCUGCUCCUACAAAAUCUUCGGCGCCUGUGCAUCUUGCCACGUGCCAAAGGACUCAAGGCAUCUCUAUUGCCUCAGGAGCAUCUGCUAGCUCCACUGCUGCACCAAGUUCCUCAGCAGGACUAUCUCUGCUGAAGAAAAAGGCCACUGCUGGACGAGGCCUUCGCCCAAGUCCUCACAAGAAGAAGGUUGCCUUCCAAAUCCCCUCUGAUGAAGAUGAGGCUGAUGAUGAUGAACUUGCUGAAAUCAUCAGGGCUAGGCAAGCCAAGGCCGGUAGAGCCAAAGGCAACAAUGUGCCACUACUUUUGGAUCCCAAGUUGAUCCUUGACUUCAUUGACCUAUAGCACAAGGACCCCACUACACCUUUGCCGGAGAUGAAUCUCAGUCCUGGUCAAAGUCAUGUUCUGACCCACUUCCUCGAGGAAGAGAAGUGGAAGUAUCAAGAAGGAAGAAGGCUGAAGAAAGCGCAAUACAAGAAACAACGCUUCCUCAAGGACAAUGUCCUCACUCUCACUCCAGAACAACUCAUUGCUGUGCAAGCUGAGAUCAAGAAACUGAGUGAUGAUUUCGAUCGGUACCAUGCUGAUUGGAAGGGAGCAAAGGUUCGUUUCGUCAAUCUGACGAAGACUUUCUCUUCAACUGCCACUGCUCCGGUGCAGGCUGAAAUUCCUCAAGCUGAAGAAUCUGCCUAGCCAACUGAGGAACAUGCCAGCACUGCUGAUGUCAGUAUGGCUGCUAAAGAAAGUGAGAAUACCAGGGCUGAUGACUCCAUUCCAGCCGCUGAUGAUAUUGCCAGGGCAUCCACUAGUGAUGUGCCAGGAAAAUGAACAAGCCAGGGCAACUGAAACAGUUGAGCCUGAAGAAAAUGCACCUCCUGCACCUACUCCUACUCCGAUCCUUCCAUCUGCAUUAGAUGUGAAGAAGACAAAGGCUGCAGAACGUGCAGCGAUGAAGAAAAGGAAGGCAUCAACCUCUUCAAAUUCUUCAGCUCCGAAGAAGAUGAAGACACUGAUCAGUUCAAUUGACAAUCCAAUUGAUGUCGUUCCUGUCUCAUCAAUGCCAUCAAAGGACCUUGUUCCUUAUGGUGAAGAAUAUGAGAUUCCCGAGGAAUCUGAUGAAGAAACUCCAUCUGCUGCUUCGACAGAGCAGUUGGACGAAGAAAUUGAAGUGGAUGAGAUCCCUUCAACCCCAGUCAUUUCCUCACCUAUGCCUCAGUUCACUGCUGAAGAGGAAGGUGUUGAAGAACUUGAAGAUGAGGAUGUGGACAUCGGAUGUACCACACCAGUGCUAAAUGAUGACUUUUGGGAAAGUCAGCACCCCAAUUCUCCAUUGUUCACUCCUCUCCAAGCUGUUCCUCAGUCCCCCGUCGCUAUAGAAGUACGUGUGGAAUCUGAUGAACAUCAUGCAACCUCGUCCGUCCAUGAAGAAAUUCCAGCCACUAGCACUGAUAAAAAUGUGGAUGAAGAAGAGAUGCCUCAGGCUGCCACUGCAGAAGAAACUGGAAUUCCUCAGCAUGAGGAACCUGAGAUUGCGAUUCCUGAGGUGAUACUGCAAAUCACUGACACUCCUCAGCCCAAGCCAAAGAAUCCCUUCUCCAAGAAGCCAAAAUUCAAGGAUGAUGAUUUCUUCAGCGAGCACGUAUUCUUCACUGAUUUCAACCCUUAUGACAAUGCUCGUAUAAGAAGGAAGUGUUUCUGGACUGCUAGCCAGGCAAACUUCUAUUCCUCAGUUCUCUUUGACAAGGACAAAAUCUUUGAUCAUGAGCACAUUCCUUACAUGGACAUGGAAUCUAUGCCUUGCUUCACGCCGGUUCUCAGUAUGCUUCACGAUGCAGGCUUGCUGAAUUUCUGCACUGACAUCGUUGAUUGGAAUGAAGAGCUUAUUCUUCAGUUCUACGCCACUUUGCACAUCACAGGCAACGCUGCUGAUGUCAACUCUUGGGUGUUGGACUGGAUGACUGAAAACACUCACUACAAGGCACCUGCCUCUGAAUUGCUUCGUGCCUUGCCUAUCAGUCCCCCACCAGAAGGCGCAUGCUGUCUGUAUGAUGAACCUGAACUUACAGAUCACUAUAUGCAAGUGAUCAUGAAGCCGCUGAAGCCUGGACAAGCUCAAAGGACCAAAUUCCUUGUGAAGGAUUUGCUGUAUGUGCCCAGAACCAUUUACCGCAUUCUGACGAAGACUAUCAGCCCAAUCAAAUGACAUUAUUCUUCAGAUGAAGAAAUUGUGGGGAUGAUAAAGAAUAUGCUAUUCAACAUCAUGCAUGGUAUUCCUAUCAAUUACCAUGAUUUCUUCAUGAGGACUCUUGCGAAUGUUUCACUUUCACCAUUUGAGCUGAAGCCUUACGCACCAUGGAUCAUGAGAUUCCUCAGAUCAAGGACUUCACUCAACUAUAAGGCUGAUACUCUUGACCAUGGCAGCUACUUGCCCCCAAUUGAAGUCCUCAAGCGGACUAUUUCCUCAUCUGAUGAGAAGGGCAAGUCACCUGCUGUGAUCGAUGAAGGCACUCGUCCAUUGGAUGGUCAGUUCCGCAAAGCUGCAUCCUAUUCCACCAAUGAUGACUCUGCCACACAUGAUUCUGCUGCCAAUGCUCCAAAGUCAAGUCCUCAAGCUACUUCUCAUCGUGUGAUGACUGACCGAGAACUGCUUAUAAGUCUUCACCAUAAGGUCGAUCAGAAUCACAAAUGGGUUAAGCAUCAGUUUGGCUCUAUUCUUCACAACAUGACCUCUACACAUAAUGCAGUGAAGAAAAACCACUACUACCUCCAUGAAGUGCUUGAUCGCACCUGGGCUAUUCUAUCACAUCUCUAUGGUGAAGAAGAUCUGAAGCAAAUGGGCUUCAAGGAAGACUUUGACUGGUCGGCACCUCCACCGAAGAAAUUCAAGAAGGUCAAGGUUCCUUCCUUGGUGGCCAGCUCAUAUUCUUCAUCACGCGCCAUGGACGAGCAUGAAGAUUUGGAUGACACUGCAGCAGGCCCUACAAUGACUCAAGACCCUGACAACGCUGGCGCUCCUCCAUCAUCAUCAUGAAAUUCUUCAGGGGCGUUAGUCCUCAGUUUCAACCCUUUUGGUCAUUCGAUGACAAAGGGGGAGAAAAUUGAGUUAGUCUUCAAGCGGAUCUAUAUAUGGGCGUUUUUUUGCUAAGAUACAACUCUCGUUCUUCUGAUGACUUUGCUGGAUCGAGUUGUAGUCUUAAAACUCUAUGGUGGCUUGAUACUUUUGUUGUGUUCUUCUGCAUACUUAUUCCUCAUUAAUGUUAAUGCACGCAUGCUGAAUUACAUCAGUCACCAUAUUUCAUCAUGCAUUUCAAAUUCCUCAUAUUAUAUAUCAAAUGCGUGCAUGAAUUACAAGAUAUAGGGGGAGAUCUCCAUGAUUAUACUCUUCAAGUGUGCAUUGCUUCAAAAGAAAAUUCCUCACGGUGCACAUCUUCAGGGGGAGUUCUUCUAUAUCUUGCAAUCAAAUUCCUCAAUAUCAGUAUUUACACUUCACAUGUUUAUCCCCGUUGAAAACUUAACCUAUAUUGUCAUCAAUCACCAAAAAGGGGGAGAUUGUAAGUGCAUCUAGUGCCCCUUAGUGAUUUUGGUGUAUUGAAGACUUAUAGGUUAAGGGACUGAUGCGUUUGUGAGUGUACACAGGUCUAUAAGUCUAUGAGGAGUUUGAUAUUUACAAAGAAAGUCGACCCCUAAAAAUGAAGUUCUUCGACUGAAGACUUUGGAAUUCUGAAGACUUUCUGAAGACUUUGAAAGUGAAGAAAUUGGUGUGACCUUGAAGACUUGGUUUUCAUUCGAGGAACAUGAAGCGUGAAGACUUUUGUUUUCAUAGUUUCAUUUUCUCUUUCUUGAGUCAUAGGAAACACUGUACUGUUAAAGGGGGCCGAGGAAAUACUAAGGAAAAAUUUCCAUGUGAUGCUCAACUCAAAAUCCUACACCUACCAAUCCCUUCGAGUGAAGCCAUUGGAAAUCUCGCACAAUUUAGUCAUAUUUUUCAGUGACAGAGACGAAGUUCUUCUGGUCUCUGAGAAAUUUGUUCUAACUGAAGAGUUAGGAAUUCGCCAGUGCGGAUUGCCUACCAAGUGAGGAACAUGAUAGCCCUGAGGAAUUCGAACCUCAAAUAUUCCGACCGUUGCUGUGCUACGCGCCAGCUGUCCCAAAAUAUCUACCCACCUAACGGUCAUAUGAGACAAGGGCAUUUAUGUCUUAUCAUGUCGGGCUGCUCCCUAGGCUAUAAAUAGCCGCCCCCUACAACCACUAGUUGGUUGGCUGCUCCGAGAGAAACUGACACUUGUCAUUUGAGAGCAACCCAUCCUCCGAGGACUUUGAGUGAAAAUCAUCAAGUGAGGAAAUCCCAAACCCAAACCUACAAAACCCCAAGUGAUUGAGCAUCACUGAAGAGAUUGAUCCUGCGUGGAUCCGACGCUUGUUUCCUUUGAAGACUGUGCUUCUUCCAGACGGUUAGGCGUCAAGGUCUAGAGCAUCGAAGAGGAAUUGUGGAUCGCCGAGUGACCGAGUUUGUGAAGGUUCGGAAGUCACCUGAAGACUUACCACGAGUGAUUGGGCGAGGUCCGUGUGACUUUAGCUCAAGGAGAAUAUGGUGAGGACUGUGUGUCCGGGACUGGGUGUCCUCGAGUUUAAAUACUCAGCCGCUCCAACCAGAUGUACAACUGAGACAACAGUUGGAAUUGGUAUACCAAAUCAUUGUCUUCACCAAGCUAACUGGUUCUAUUUCCUCAACUCUUUCAUUUCCUCAUGUUGUUGUUGUGUGCUUGUUCAUAUCUGUUUGAAGACAUUGACUGAAGACUUUCUCAAUUUCCUCAGCUCUAUUUCUUCAGUCUGUCCGUCUUCUUCUCUUGUUAUCCUGUGUUUACGCUUUCUGUACUCUUCGCUUGUCUUCAUUUCAUCAUGAUGACUAUGCUUGUGUUCUGUUAUGUUCCUUUCUGAGUACUUAUUCCACUGCAAGUAGUUCUUCAUUUAGGAGUUUCCUCACCAGCAAAUUCCUCAGUGAGGAAUUCAUAAAAAUCACCUAUUCACCCCCCUCUAGUCGAUAUAACGCACUUUCACACCCGUUGUAUUUGAACGUAGAGCCUAUCACACCCGAUCAUCACGUGGUGUCUCAGCACGAAGAACUUUCGCAAUGGUGCAUACUCAGGGAGAACACUUCUUGAUAAUUAGUGAGAGAUCAUCUUAAAAUGCUACCGUCAAUCAAAGCAAGAUAAGAUGCAUAAAGGAUAAACAUCACAUGCAAUCAAUAUAAGUGAUAUGAUAUGGCCAUCAUCAUCUUGUGCUUGUGAUCUCCAUCUCCGAAGCACCAUCGUGAUCACCAUCGUCACCGGCGUGACACCUUGAUCUCCAUCGUAGCAUCGUUGUCGUUUCACCAUCUAUUGCUUCGACGACUAUCGCUACCGCUUAGUGAUAAAAUAAAGCAAUUACAGGGCACUUGCAUUUCAUACAAUAAAGCGACAACCACAUGGCUCCUGCCAGUUGCCGAUAACUUGGUUACAAAACAUGAUCAUAUCAUACAAUAAAAUAUAGCAUCACGUCUUGACCAUAUCACAUCACAACAUGCCCUGCAAAAACAAGUUAGACGUCAUCUACUUUGUUGUUGCAAAAUUUACGUGGCUGCUACGGGCUGAGCAAGAACCGUUCUUACCUACGCAUCAAAACCACAACGAUAGUUCGUCAAGUUAGUGUUGUUUUAACCUUCUCAAGGACCGGGCGUAGCCACACUUGGUUCAACUAAAGUUGGAGAAACUGACACCCACCAGCCACCUGUGUGCAAAGCACGUCGGUAGAACCAGUCUCGCGUAAGCGUACGCGUAAUGUUGGUCUGGGCCGCUUCAUCCAACAAUACCGUCGAACCAAAGUAUGACAUGCUGGUAAGCAGUAUGACUUGUAUCGCCCACAACUCACUUGUGUUCUACUCGUGCAUAUAACAUCUACGCAUAAAAUCAGGCUCUGAUACCACUGUUGGGGAACGUAGUAAUUUCAAAAAAAUUCCUACGCACACGCAAGAUCAUGCUGAUGCACAGCAACAAGAGGGGAGAGUGUGUCCACGUACCCUCGUAGACCGAAAGCGGAAGCGUUAGCACAACACGGUUGAUGUAGUCGUACGUCUUCAUGGCCCGACCGAUCAAGCACCGAAACUACGGCACCUCCGAGUUCGAGCACACGUUCAGCUCGAUGACGUCCCUCGAACUCCGAUCUAGCCGAGUGUCGAGGGAGAGUUCCAUCAGCACGACGGCGUGGUGACGAUCUUGAUGUUCUACCGUCGCAGGGCUUCGCCUAAGCACCGCUACAAUAUUAUCGGGGAGGACUAUGGUGGAGGGGGGCACCGCACACGGCUAAGAGAUCCAAGGGAUCAAUUGUUGUUGUGCCUAGAGGUGCCCCCUGCCCCCGUAUAUAAAGGAGCCAGGGGAGGGGGUCGGCCGGCCAGGAGGGGCACGCCAGGAGGAGUCCUCGUCCCACCGGGAGUAGGACUCCCCCCUUCCUUGUUGGAGUAGGAGAGAAGAAAAGAGGGGGAGAGGAGGAAGGAAAAGGGGGCUGCACCCCUUGUCCAAUUCGGACCAGAGGGGGGCUGCGCGCGUCCUUCCUUUCGGCCUCUCUCCUCUAUUCCCGUAUGGCCCAAUAAGGCCCAUAUACUCCCCGGCGAAUUCCCGUAACUCUCCGGUACUCCGAAAAAUACCCGAAUCACUCGGAACCUUUUCGAAGUCCGAAUAUAGUCAUCCAAUAUAUCGAUCUUUACAUCUCGACCAUUUCGAGACUCCAGCUCGUCAUAUCCCCGAUCUCAUCCGGGACUCCGAACUCCUUCGGUACAUCAAAACACAUAGACUCAUAAUAUAACUAUCAUCAAAACCUUAAGCGUGCGGACCCUACGGGUUCGAGAACAAUGUAGACAUGACCGAAACACAUUUACGGUCAAUAACCAAUAGCGGAACCUGGAUGCUCAUACGUUGUUCCCUUUUUCAUCGGUAUGUUACUUGCCCGAGAUUCGAUCAUCGGUAUCUCAAUACCUAGUUCAAUCUCGUUACCUGCAAGUCUCUUUACUCGUUCCGUAAUACAUCAUCCCGCAACUACCUAAUUAGUUGCAAUGCUUGCAAGGCUUAUAUUGAUGUGCAUUACCGAGUGGGCCCAGAGAUACCUCUUCGACAAUCGGAGUGCCAAAUCCUAAUCUCGAAAUACGCCAACCCAACAUGUACCUUCAGAGACACCUGUAGAGCUCCUUUAUAAUCACCCAGUUACGUUGUGACGUUUGGUAGCACACAAAGUGUUCCUCCGGUAAACGGGAGUUGCAUAAUCUCGUAGUCAUAGGAACAUGUAUAAGUCAUGAAGAAAGCAAUAGCAACAUACUAAACGAUUAAGUGCUAAGCUAACGGAAUGGGUCAAGUCAAUCACAUCAUUCUCCUAAUGAUGUGAUCCCGUUAAUCAAAUGACAACUCUUUUGUCCAUGGCUAGGAAACAUAACCAUCUUUGAUAAACGAGCUAGUCAAGUAGAGGCAUACUAGUGACACUAUGUUUGUCUAUGUAUUCACACAUGUAUUAUGUUUCCGGUUAAUACAAUUCUAGCAUGAAUAAUAAACAUUUAUGAUGAUAUAAGGAAAUAAAUAAUAACUUUAUUAUUGCCUCUAGGGCAUAUUUCCUUCACCUUUAUAGUCACCCAGUGACGUUGUGACGUUUGGUACACCCAAAGCACUCCUACGGUAUCCGGGAGUUACACAAUCUCAUGGUCUAAGGAAAUGAUACUUGACAUUAGAAAAGCUUUAGCAAACGAACUACACGAUCUUGUGCUAUGCUUAGGAUUGGGUCUUGUCCAUCACAUCAUUCUCCUAAUGAUGUGAUCUCGUUAUCAAUGACAUCCAAUGUCCGUGGUCAGGAAACCAUAACCAUCUAUUGAUCAACGAGCUAGUCAACUAGAGGCUCACUAGGGACAUGUUGUGGUCUAUGCAUGAAUAAUAGACAAUUAUCAUGAACAAGGAAAUACAAUAACAACCAUUUUAUUAUUGCCUCUAGGGCAUAUUUCCAACAGUCUCCCACUUGCACUAGAGUCAAUAAUCUAGUUCACAUCACUAUGUGAUUGUAAUGAAUUAACACCCAUGGGGUUUGAUCAUAUCUCGCUUGUGAGAGAGGUUAUUAGUCAACGCAUCUGAACCUUUCAGAUCCAUGUGUGCUUUGCAAAUCUCUAUGUCAUCUUGUAGAUGCAGCUACCACGCGCUAUUUGGAGCUAUUCCAAAUAACUGUUCUACUAUAUGAAUCCGAUUUACUACUCAUAGUCAUCCAGAUUAGUAUCGAAGUUUGCAUCGACGUAACCCUUUACGACGAACUCUUUUACCACCUCCAUAAUCGAGAAAAUUCCUUUGUCCACUAGUUACUAAGGAUAAGUUUGACCGUUGUCCUGUGAUCCAUUCCUGGAUCACUCUUGUACCCCUUGACUAACUCAUGGCAAGGCUCACUUCAGGUGCGGUACACAACUUAGCAUACUGUAGAGCCUACGUCUGAAGCAUAGGGACGACCUUCGUCCUUUCUCUCUCUUCUGCCGUGGUCAUGUCUUGAGUCUUACUCAAUAUUCACACCUUAUAACACAGCCAAGAACUCCUUCUUUGCCGAUCUGUUUUGAACUCCUUCAAAAUCUUGUCACGGUAUGUAUUCAUUUGAAAGUACUAUUAAGCGUUUUUUAUCUAUCCUUAUAGAUCUUGACGCUCAAUGUUCAAGUAACCCUUUUCAAAUAACCCUAUAUGCUUUCCAAAAAUUCUACAUCAUUUCCGAUCAACAAUAUGUCAACAACAUAUACUCAUCAGAAAUUCUAUAGUGCUCCCACUCACUUCUUUGGAAAUACAAGUUUCUCAUAAACUUUGUAUAAACCCAAAAUCUUUGAUUAUCUCAUCAAAGCGUAUAUUCCAACUCCGAGAUGCUUACUGCAGUCCUUAGAAGGAUUGUUGGAGCUUUGCAUACUUGUUAGCAUCUUUUAGGAUUGACAAAACAUUCUGGUUGUAUCACAUACAACCUUUCCUCAAGCAACUCGUCGAGGAAACAAUGGUUUUUUGACAUCCUAUCUGCAAGAUUUCAUAAAUAAUGCAGUAACUGCUAAUACAAUUCCAACAUACUCUUGGCAUCGCUAUGAGUGAGAAAGUCUCAUCGUAGUCAACUCCUUGAACUUGUCGAAAAAUAUCUUAGCGACAAGUCGAGCUUUCUUAAUGGUGACACUAACCAUCAUUGUCCGUCUUCCUUUUGAAAUCCAUCUAUACCCAACAGCCUUACAACCAUCAAGUAGUUCUUCCAAAGUCUACACUUUGUUUUCAUACAUGGAUCCUCUCUCAGAUUUUAUGGCCUCGAGCCAUUCGUCGGAAUCCGGGCCCACCAUCGCUUCUCCAUAGCUCGUAGGUUCAUUGUUGUCUAGCAACAUGACCUCGAAGACAGGAUUACGUACCACUCUGAAGUAGUACGUGUCCUUGUCGACCUGCGAGGUUUGGUAGUGACAUGAUCCGAAGUUUCAUGAUCACUAUCAUCAGUUUCCACUUCAAUUUGUGUAGGCGCCACAGGAACAACUUCCUGUGCCCUACUACACACUGGUUGAAGUGAUGGUUCAAUAACCUUAUCAAGUCUCCACCAUCCUUCCACUCAAUUCUUUCGAGAGAAACUUUCCUCAAGAAAGGACCCUUUUCUAGAAACAAUCACUUUUGCUUCCGGGUCUGAGAUAGGAGGUAUACCCAACUAUUUUGGGUGUCCUAUGAAGAUGCAUUUAUCCAUUUUGGGUUCCAUCUUAUUAGGAUGAAACCUUUUUUUCACAUAAGCGUCGCAGCCACAAAUUUUCAAGAAACGACAACUUAGGUUUCUCUAAACCAUAGUUCAUACGGUGUCAUCUCAACGGAAUUACGUGGUGCCCUAUUUAAAGUGAAUGUGGUUGUCUCUAAUGCCUAACCCAUAAACGAUAGUGGUAAUUCGAUAAGAGACAUCAUGGUAUGCCCCAUAUCCAAUAGGGUGCAUCUAUGAUGUUUGGACACACCAUCAAACUAUGGUGUUCCAGGCGGUAUUAGUUGUGAAACAAUUUCCACAAUGUCUUAAUUGUGUACCAAACACGUAACUCAGAUAUUCAUCUCUAUGAUCAUAUCAUAGACAUUUUAUCCUCUUGUCACGACGAUCUUCAACUUCACUCUGAAAUUACUUGAACCUUUCAAUAAUUUAGACUUGUGUUUCAUCAAGUAAAUAUACUUAGCAUCUACUCAAAUCAUCUGUGAAGUAAGAACAUAACGAUAUCCACUGCGUGCCUCAGCACUCAUUGGACUGCACACAUCAAAAUGUAUUACUUCCAACAAGUUUCUUUCUUAUUCCAUUUCACUGAAAACGAGGCCUUUCAGUCAUCUUGCCCAUGUGGUAUGAUUUGCAUGUCUCAAGUGAUUCAAAAUCAAGUGAGUCCAAAUGAUCCAUCUGCAUGGAGUUUCUUCAUGCGUACAUACCAAUGGACAUGGUUCACAUGUCUCAAACUUUUCAAAAAACGAGUGAGUCCAAAGAUCCAUCAACAUGGAGCUUCUUCAUGCGUUCUUUACCAAUAUGACUUACAUGGAAGUGCCACAAGUAGGUGGUACUAUCAUUACUAUCUUAUAUCUUUUGGCAUGAACAUGUGUAUCACUAUGAUCGAGAUUCAAUAAACCAUUCAUUUUAGGUGCAAGACCAUUGAAGGUAUUAUUCAAAUAAACAGAGUAACCAUUAUUCUCCUUAAAUGAAUAACCGUAUUGUGAUAGACAUAAUCCAAUCAUGUCUAUGCUCAACGCAAACACCAAAUAACAAUUAUUUAGGUUUAACUCCGAUCCCGAUGGUAGAGGGAGCGUGCGAUGUUUGAUCACAUCAACCUUGGAAAUACUUCUAACACAUAUCGUCACCUUGCCUUUAGCUAGUCUCUGUUUAUUCCGUAGCCUUUUAUUUCGAGUUACUAACACUUAGCAACUGAACCGAUAUCUAUUACCAUGGUGCUACUAGGAGUACUAGUAAAGUACAUAUUAAUAUAAUGUAUAUCUAAUAUACUUUUUUCGACCUUGCCUGCCUUCUUAUCUACCAAGUAUCUAAGGUAAUUCUGCUCCAGUGACCGUUCCCCUUAUUACAGAAGCACUUAGUGUCGGGUUUGGGUUCAACCUUGGGUUUCUUCACUAGAGCAGCAACUGAUUUGCCGUUUCAUGAAGUAUCCCUUCUUGCCCUUGCCCUCUUUGAAACUAGUGGUUUCACUAACCAUCAACAAUUGAUGCUCCUUCUUGAUUUCUACUUUCGCGGUGUCAAACAUCGCGAAUAGCUCAAGGAUCAUCAUAUCUAUCCCUGAUAUGUUAUAGUUCAUCACGAAGCUCUAGUAGCUUGGUGGCAAUGACUUUGGAGAAACAUCACUAUCUCAUCUGGAAGAUUAACUCCCACUCGAUUCAAGUGAUUGUAGUACCCAGACAAUCUGAGCACAUGCUCAAUGAUUGAGCUUUUCUCCCUUAGUUUGUAGUCUAAGAAACUCGUCAGAGGUCUUAUACCUCUUGACGUGGGCAUGAGCCCGAAAUCCCAAUUUCAGCCCUUGGAACAUCUCACAUGUUCUGCGACGUUUCAGAAAACGUCUUCGGCGCCUCAAUUCUAAACCAUUUAACAUUACUGAACUAUCACGUAGUCAUCAAAACGUGUAUGUUAGAUGUUCGCAACAUCCACAGACGACGUUCGAGGUUCAGCACACCGUGCGGUGCAUUAAGGACAUAAGCCUUCUGCGCAGCAAUAAGGACAAUCCUCAGUUUACGGACCCAGUCCGCAUAAUUGCUACUAUCAACUUUCAACUAAAUUUUCUCUAGGAACAUAUCUAAAAUAGUAGAACCAAAGUGCAAGCUACAAUAUAAUUUGCAAAGACCUUUUGACUAUGUUGAUGAUAAUUAGUUCAUCUAAUGAACUCCCACUCAGAUAGACAUCCCUCUAGUCAUCUAAGUGAUACAUGAUCCGAGUCAACUAGGCCGUGUUCGAUCAUCACGUGAGACGGACUAGUCAUCAUCGGUGAACAUCUUCAUGUUGAUCGUAUCUACUAUCCGACUCAUGUUCGACCUUUCGGUCUCUUGUGUUCCGAGGCCAUGUCUGUACAUGCUAGGCUCGUCAAGUCAACCUAAGUAUUUUUCAUGUGUAAAUCUAGCUUACACACGUUGUAUGUGAACUUUAGAAUCUAUCACACCCGAUCAUCACGUAGUGCUUCAAAACAACGAACUUUCGCAAUGGUGCAUAGUUAGGGGGAACACUUUCUUGAAAUUUUAGUGAGGGAUCAUCUUAUUUAUGCUACCCUCGUUCUAAGCAAAUAAGAUGUAAACACAUGAUAAACAUCUCAUGCAAUCAAAUAGUGACAUGAUAUGGCCAAUAUCAUUUUCCUCCUUUUGAUCUCCAUCUUCGGGGCGCCAUGAUCAUCAUCGUCACCGGCAUGACACCAUGAUCUCCAUCAUCAUGAUCUCCAUCACCCGUGUCUCCAUGAAGUUGUCUCGCCAACUAUUACUUCUAUUACUAUGGCUAAUGGUUUAGCAAUAAAGUAAAGUAAUUACAUGGUGUUAUUCAAUGACACGCAGGUCAUAUAAUAAAUUAAGACAACUCCUAUGGCUCCUGCCGGUUGUCAUACUCAACGACAUGCAAGUCGUGAUUCCAUUACAGGAACAUGAUCAAUCUCAUACAUCACAUAUAUUUCAUUCAUCACAUCCUUUUGGCCAUAUCACAUCACGCAACAUAUGCUGCAAAAACAAGUUAGACAUCCUCUAAUUGUUGUUGCAAAUUUUUAUGUGGCUGCUAUAGGUUUCUAGCAAGAACGUUUCUUACCUACGCCAAAACCACAACGUGAUAUGCCAAUUGCUAUUUACCCUUCAUAAGGACCCUUUUCAUCAAAUCCGAUCUGAUUAAAAGGGGAGAGACUCGCACCUGCUAGCCACCUUAUGCAACAAGUGCAUGUCAGUCGGUGGAACUUGUCUCACGUAAGUGUACGUGUAAGGUCGGUCCGGGCCGCUUCAUCCCACAAUACUGUUGAAACAAGAUAGGACUAGUAAUGGUAAGCAUAUUGAACAAAAUUAACGCCCACAACAACUUGUGUUCUACUCGUGCAUAGAAACUACGCAAUAGACCUAGCUCAUGAUGCCACUGUUGGGGAACGUAGCAGAAAUUCAAAAUUUUCUAUGCAUCACCAAGAUCAAUCUAUGGAGAUGCUAGCAGCAAGAGAGAGAGGGAGUGCAUCUUCAUACCCUUCAAGAUCGCUAAGUGAUACGUCUCCGUCGAAUCUACUUUUCCAAACACUUUUGCCCUUGUUUUGGACUCUAACUUGUGUGAUUUGAAUGGAACUAACCCAGACUGACGCUGUUUUCAGCAGAAUUGCCAUGGUGUUGUUUUUGUGCAGAAAAUAAAAGUUCUCGGAACGACCUGAAACUCCACGGAAUGUCUUAGGAUAAUUAAUAAAAAAUCCUCGCCAAAGAUGAAGAUCAGGGGGCCCACACCCUGUCCACGAGAGCGGGGGGCGCGCCCCCUACCUCGUGGGCCCCCUGGUGGCCCUCCGACGCCAACUCCAACUCCAUAUAUUGGCCUUCGGGGAGAAAAAAAUCAGAGAGAAGAAAUCAUCACUGAGGGAGUCCCGGAUUAGGGGGUGUCCGGAUAGCCGAACUAUCACCGUUGGCCGGACUCCUGGACUAUGAAGAUACAAGAUCGAAGACUUCGCCACGUGUCCGGAUGGGACUUUCCGUGGCGUGGAAGGCAAGCUUGGCGAUACGGAUAUGUAGAUCUCCUACCAUUGUAACCGACUCUGUGUAACCCUAACCCUAUCCGGUGUCUAUAUAAACCGGUGGGUUUUAGUCCAUAGGACGAACAACAAUCAUACCAUAGGCUAGCUUCUAGGGUUUAGCCUCUCCGAUCUCGUGGUAGAUCUACUCUUGUACUACCCAUAUCAUCAAUAUUAAUCAAACAGGAGUAGGGUUUUACCUCCACCGAGAGGUCCCGAACCUGGGUAAAAACAUCGUGUCCCUUGUCUCCUGUUACCAUCCGCCUAGGCGCACAGUUCGGGACCCCCUACCCGAGAUCCGCCGGUUUUGACACCGACAUUGGUGCUUUCAUUGAGAGUUCCUCUGUGCCGUCACUGUCAGGAAGGAUGCCUCAUCCCGUCUUUAAAGACGACAUUAUCGCCAAAGGAGCCUUGGCCGCUGGCCAGACUCUGCGGCUAGGUGGUUUCCUUAUGACCACCAGUUCGGCCGUCGCGCCGACGAUGACUUCUCGGGUCAUCGAAACCAAUCUUCGUGUUAACUCGGAACUUGCCAAGCAGCUAGAUCCGAACGAGCUCUCCUCCGUGAACGAGCUCUUGGAUCGCAUCGCCGCCCUGGGAGUCGCCACUGACUACAAUCAGAUCGAGCCUAAAACCGAUCUGAGAGAGAUUAACUCUCCCCAGGCUACCCACCAUGUUGCUGUGGUAGAGGAACAAUGCGGCGACUCUUCUUCUAUCUUAAGGACUAGCUACGUCCGGAUUCUCGACCCCUCCAUGCCGGAUUCCCGCGGAGGGACGGACGACGAUCAAAUCCUGAACUUAAAGUCAGGCGGCGGGUUGGAUUCAGUGGAUAACAUCCAAAAACCCAAACUUCCGAGUUCGGAAACUUCUCGGCCCCUGAGUCUUAGAUUAGAUGGGGUUCCGGAUUUAGUUCCACCCGCGCACCCAAACAUUAGCGAUCUAUCCCGAAUUAGGCAAGAGCCCACUGAAACAGUACAUCGUUACUGGGCCAGAUUCCUCCUGGUUAUGGACAGGAUAAAGGACUACCGAGAGGAGGACGCAAUCUCACUUUUCUGCAAUAAUUGCACGGACGAAGGAAUCCUAAAUGCCAUAAGUCGUCGUGAAAUUACACGCUUUGCCGACUUGGUAACCAUAGUACAAAAGUACUGUGCGAUGGAGAGUGCUUGGAAAACCGAAAGUAAAUUUUGGGAUAAUCCGGCCCCGAACACAGCCCUAGUCCGAAAUAAAAGGGUGCAUUAUCACCAACCACCUGGGUUAAAUACCAAAAAACAAAGACCCCCUAAAGGGCAUGGAACCAUACUGGAGGGAUGGCUCAACGGACCCUGCAAAAUUCAUAAAACAGAGGACGCCACUCCAACUCAUAGCCUUCGAGCAUGUUGGAUACUACGGCAGGUGGCCAAAAGUGGCGAAGAGCUUCUAGAUUCAGCGUCCCACCCCAAUAAUACCAGUACGGUAUUAACAGUCUUCGAGACUUUCGCAUCAAAUAACAUGCGGAAGCGAACACCCCGCAACCUUGCCGAAGUCUACCAAGUAGCGACAAUAAAUCCAUGGAGUGACACGGCUAUUACCUUUAAUGCCAGUGACGAACCCAAAUUCCGAACAGCCCGAGCACCAGCCGCACUGGUCCUGAGUCCAAUUGUGGACGGCUUUCGCCUUACUAAGGUACUCAUGGAUGGCGGCAGCGGAUUAAACCUCAUCUAUGAGGAAACCCUCCGAAAAAUGGAAAUAGACUGGAACCGCAUUGAGCGAAGCAGCACAACCUUCAGAGGAAUAAUCCCUAGCCGGGAAGCAUGGUGCACAGGAAAAAUCACAUUGGAUGUAGUGUUCGGCUCACCGGACAAUUACAGGUCCGAGGAGGUCACAUUUCAAGUGGCCCCUUUCAGCAGCGGAUAUCACGCUAUUUUAGGGCGGGAGGCAUUCACAAUCUUUCAAGCUAUACCCCAUUAUGGGUACAUGAAGCUUAAAAUGCCCGGACCUAACGGAAUCAUCACUCUCGCUAGUGAUCCAAACAUAGCACUCCGCGCCGAAAACAAGACAGCCGCACUAGCCCUCGAGGCACUAUCCGAAGCCCUAGCGGCCGAGGAACUAACUGCGAUGCGCUCCACGAUGAAUAGAGACGAUGUGAUACUUGAUAAAAGAUCCAAGUCCACCUCUUUUAAACCAGCGGAUGAAAUAGUCAAAUUCCAAGUCCACCCAACGGACCCUGCAAAGACGGCCUCCAUUGGGGCACAGUUAAACCCUGAUGUAGACGCCGCACUGCGAGAAUUUCUACGAUAAAACUGGGACAUUUUUCCUGGCACCCUUCAGACAUGCCAGGAAUCCCACGUCGGCUGGCCGAGCACAGCCUAAAUAUCCUAAAAGGAUUUAAGCCAGUCAAGCAAGCUCUUCGGCGUUUUUCCGAACAAAAGAGACAGGCCAUGGGAGAGGAGCUAGCCAAACUUCUGGAAGCCGGAUUCAUCAGAGAUAUAAAACAUCCGGACUGGCUAGCAAAUCUGGUGAUGGUACCAAAGAAGGACAAAUCCUGCCGCCUAUGUGUCGAUUUCAAAGACCUUAAUAAGGCUUGCCCAAAGGAUCCCUUCCCCCUCCCUCGCAUUGAUCAAAUUAUCGACGCCACAGCAGGACACGAUUCAUUGUGUUUCCUCGACGCAUACUCCGGCUACCACCAAAUUAAGAUGGCCGAGCCAGACCAGGCCACAAUGGCAUUCAUCACUCCAUACGGCCCAUUAUGCUUCAACACAAUGCCCUUCGGGCUCAAAAACGCCGGCGCGACAUAUCAGCGCAUGAUUCAGACAUGUCUGGCAAACCAGAUCAGCAAAACAGUGGAGGCAUAUGUAGAUGACGUGGUCGUCAAAUCCAAGCAUGUCGAAACUCUAGUAGACGACUUGAGGCUCACAUUCGACAAUCUCCGAAAGUACGACAUUAAGCUCAAUCCGGAAAAAUGCGUCUUCGGCGUUCCAGCCGGAAAGUUCUUGGGCUUCAUUGUGUCCGGUAGAGGAAUUGAAGCAAACCCAGCCAAGAUCCGAGCUCUGUCGCAAUUGGAUAUUCCAAAAGACCUCAAACAAAUACAAAAAUUGACUGGAUGCAUAGCGGCUCUAAGCUGCUUUAUUUCCCGUUUGGGAGAAAAGGCGUUACCCCUUUACCGCCUCCUCCGGCGCACUGAACACUUCGAGUGGACGGAUGCCGCCAUGGCCGGACUCGAAGAAAUAAAAGCCAUAUUGGCAACAAAUCCGGUCCUGGCCGCGCCCAACAUGGGCGAACCAAUGCUAUUAUAUAUCGCCGCAACACAUCAAGUUGUUAGCGCGGUGCUCGUCGUCGAACGAGAAACGGACGGACAUAGGUUCCCUCUUCAAAAACCAGUUUAUUACGUGUCCACUGUCCUAACUCCAUGCAAGUCCCGGUACCCACAUUAUCAGAAGAUAGCAUACGCGGUGUUCAUGGCAUCCCAGAAGCUGCGACACUACUUUCAAGAGUGUUCGAUUACAGUAGCCUCCGAAGUACCUCUUAACGACAUUAUAAACAACCGUGAUGCGAUAGGCCGGAUUGCCAAAUGGGCCAUCCAGCUCCUCCCAUUCGACAUAACCUAUAAGCCACGACGAGCUAUUAAGUCACAAGUGUUGGCCGAUUUCAUUGCCGAAUGGACCGAAGACGAAUUCCCUAAAGAGUACGGCACAUAUUCCAAUUGGAUCAUGCACUUCGACGGCUCCAAAAUGUUGGCCGGCCUGGGGGCUGGCGUCGUCCUGACGUCCCCAACCGGGGACACAGUCCAAUACGUCCUUCAGAUAAUGUACACGGACUCCAACAACGCAGCCGAAUACGAGGCCCUUCUGCACGGCCUCCGGAUGGCAGUCUCCAUGGGCAUUAAACGCCUAGAGGUGCGCGGGGAUUCAAACCUCGCGAUAUCUCAAAUAAACGGAGACUUUGACGCCAAAGAUCCAAAAAUGGCAGCAUACCGCAACGCGGUUCUAAAAAUGUCAGCAUGGUUCGAAGGGCUCGAAUUUCAUCAUAUAGCCUGGGAUAACAAUCAGGCGGUGGACGUAUUGGCACGCAUCGGCGCAAAACGCGAUACCGUCCCACCCAACAUCUUCCUGGAAUGGCUGUUCAAGCCAUCCGUACUAUGGGAAGGGGAGUCCGGAGAUAACAAUCCGGACCCAACCGCACUGCCUGACACCGAACACUCUGACACAAUCGGAGGCUCUGCCAACGAGAUAACACCCUCCGCCCACGAAAUAAUGGCAGUUAUUGCCCCGUGGACGGAGCCCUACCUAGCCUACCUACCUUGGCAGGAACUCCCCGAAGACCAAAAUGAGGCUCGCUGCAUAGUGCGGCGAUCCAAAGCCUAUAAAGUCCAUGUGGGAGAGCUUUAUAAGAAAAGCACAACAGGAGUCCUUCAAAGGUGUAUCUCCGAAGAUGAAGGGCGAAACCUCCUGGCUGAAAUUCAUGCCGAACUGGGUGGGCACCACGCCGCAGCCCGGGCCCUUGUAGGCAAGGCCUUCCGUAUAGGAUUUUAUUGGCCGACGGCCCGAGCAGAUGCGCAGGAUUUAGUCGAACGAUGCGUCGGAUGCCAGCUUUUUGCUAACCAAAGCCACAUGCCACCCACCGCCCUCAAAACUAUACCCAUCACCUGGCCGUUCGCGGUCUGGGGGCUUGACAUGGUUGGACCCCUUAAGGGAGGAACCCACAAGCAAAAAUACCUAUUGGUCAUGGUGGAUAAAUUCACCAAAUGGAUAGAGGCCAAGCCUGUUAAAACGGCCGAAUCCGGACCGGUGAUAGACUUCAUAUCAGGGGUAGUGCACCGUUAUGGUGUCCCCCAUAGUAUCAUCACUGAUAACGGCACCAACUUCACAGCUAACGAGGUCAAAUUAUGGUGCAAAAACAUGGCCAUUAAGCUCGAUUACGCCUCAGUCUAUCACCCUCAAACUAACGGUCAAGUCGAGCGGGCAAAUGGUCUAAUCAUGAGCGGCAUUAAACCCAGACUAGUGCGGUCCCUUAAGGAAUCUAAUACGCACUGGGUAGAGGAGCUCGACUCCGUACUCUGGGGGCUGCGGACCACGCCAAACCGCACUACCGGAUUCACACCAUUUUUUAUGGUGUACGGCGCAGAGGCAGUUUUGCCCUGCGACAUAAUUCAUGACUCACCUCGCGUGCGCAUGUAUGAAGAAAGAGAAGCCGAACUCGAUCGGCAGGACAGUCUGGACGCCUUGGAGGAGGAGCGCAACGUGGCAAAAGCUCGUUCCGCAUUUUAUCAACAACAGGCUCGAAGAUAUCAAAGCAGAGAAGUACGGGCCAAAGCUUACAACGUUGGUGAACUAGUUCUACGCCUGCCGGAAAAGAAAAAGGACAGACUCAAGCCCAAAUGGGAAGGUCCCUUCAUCAUCAACCAGGUCCUGACCGGCGGGGCAUACCGUCUGCGAAACGCAUCGGAUAACCGACUCAAGCCAAACCCAUGGAACGCAGCCCGUCUACGAAGAUUCUACGCCUAGUGCCGGACUCUGGGUUCGUCUCCUUCCUCCGUCCAAAAUUUAUACAUUAGCUGUCUUUUAUUUCUCUCCUUCCUCCUCCCUUUUUCUUGAAGCCUUUAGAGGCUCACUUGCACUUUGUUCGCACAUACUUGACGCGCCACUCGCGCUCAUUAUACCUGGGGGCUUCUUUAACAGAAGCUUAUUUAUACGGGUUUUAUGCCCAACACAUGUGUCAAACUUCCGCAUGUACCUUUUAUUCACCAUUAUAUGCAUCGAUAUGACUUAAGUUUUGGCCAAGCUGGGUUGCCUGGCUCCUGUGCUUACCCCUACGUUCCCGAUUGUUCGGCUGCGGUAAGGGGAGCACCUCUGCGAUUGUUACUGCCGGGUCAGCCGGAUGUGUACCUCAGACUGGGUGAAGCCGAAAGCUAGCGUUCUUAAGGGAAUAUUCGGUCGGUGAACUGAAAGAUGAUUUUUAAACUAUUUAUCCAUCUGCCCCCAGAUGAUUUUCUGCUUUAUUAGCAGUUCGGACAUGCACUUUAGGGCAUGCCUCCCAGGGAAAGGAACCCUUAACGGAACUAUUCUCCCUGGAAGAUGUUUCUUACUAUCCAUGUAAUAUAACAUAACUAGUUGGGCACUUGUCUGAUACAGCAAUAAUAACCCCUACGCCUUGUCUCCAUGCAUGCCCCGGUUCUUACAUAACCGUGAGGGUAUUCGGACACACUCCGGACUAUUGGGUCCCGAGGUUGAAGCGAAAAGGUCCGCUACGACAAACGAUCUACAAUCCGGCUAGAAGGCAUUUUACAUGUCACUUUAAAUUACAUAGUCAACUCGACUGAUCGUAUUCCUCUUCAAUACCAUCUAAUAGGCUGUCUAGUUUACAGUCCUGCUGGGAAUACUUUGCGGCCAAUUCUACUUGGCCGUACAUUAAGCUUACAGGGAUCUCCUUCCCAUCAGGCCCCACAGGUCUGACCUCGUCCAUGUGGUUUGGGUCAGCCUUCGUGUACCGCGUCUUUACCAUGGCCCAGGCCUCCCUGGCGCCUUGACGGCAUGCCGAUAUCUUCCAUAGCCGGAAGCGCCGCCGUGCUCCUUGAAGCCGCUCUGCCAGCUUCCCAAUGCCUUCGGGUAGGGAGAUAGAUGGCCACAAGGCCUGGGCGACGCCCUUCAUCACCUGCCGAACUCGUUCGUGCAGCUGACGUAGUUCGGGAAGAUGAUCGCCCGAAGAACUGGGCAUCUCCUCCUCAGGACGACCUGUGAGCAAACCUACAUACAUGUUUAUGUUAGUCGCCUUCCUCGCCGAACUCUUUCAAAGUUCGUUUAAGCACUUACUGAAAAUGCCGCGACGAAGACGUCGAUUCUCCUUUAUGGAGUCAGACAACUGGGCACGAACAUCCUUUAGUUCCUCUCCCAGUUGGGUGUUGGCGUCUUGGAGGUUAUUUUUCUCCUGCCGCACCCUUGUAAGCACGCUCUCGCCGGCCUUUAGCUGGCGUAGGAGCUGUUGCUUGUCCGGAUCCAGUCCGACGCCAUCUGCAAUAUCAUUGUCAGACUUAUACACAUGCCGCACUUGACAAACUACUUAUUUUUCAAAGUAUAUAUUACCGGAGGGGGUCUCUGUGGCUCUCCCUGUGGCGGCUAGUGCGGCCUCAAGUUGGGCCUUGCACUCUUCAAGCUCCCGGGACAGUCGGGUAUUCUUUUCCGAAAGAUCAUGCUUAACAAAUGAUCCUUAAAUCAGUUCUCCUAACUAUUUUAAGUCUCGGGGGCUACUGGCAUGUACAACUGUCAAAAUUCCUUACCCGUAUGUCCUUUACAUACUGCUCCGUGGCUCUGGCUAGACCAUCUUGAGCGGCACGGAGGUGCGCAUCUCCCGAAUUGAAGGCAUUCAAUGCCUCCUGGGAGAAACAUGCGUCACGAAGAACUAUCCGGCGGCGCCUGUGAUUCAUGGCACUCUCCACCUCGGAGUUGGUGGCAGACAAUCUGUCGGCUUCCUCUGUCGGAGGAGCAUCCGACGCAUGCCUCGUGUUUACCUCCGCUUCCGGAGCCGGCGUUGGAGCCUGGCUGGUGGAGGCUCGAUUGGCAAUCUCCUCGGACACAGUCCGGCGAGUGCUCUUUUUCCUGAAAAGAGCACUGGUGUUAGUACGCCUUCCAGGAUUCAAUCCUGGGGAUAUGGUGGCACGCCUUACCGUUGCGGCGGCGUUUCGAUCCGAACCGCACUUCUUUUUAGCCUGUGUGGCCGCGCUGCCCCUUGUUGGUUAGCCGCCGCGGGCUCGGCCUCCUGCCUCGAAGGAACCCCCUGCGAAACACCAUCAAGUAUGCGGUGGUUAGAAAUAAAGCACGGGUGGGUCAUGGGAUCCGGACUUCGGUCACGGUUACCUGGGAAGCCGGAAAUAGUCCAGGGUAGUCGGCCGUGAUGGCAACCAAAGCAUUGUCGAUGCUUAGUUGAUGGAACACCCCAUCGAUCAGCUCCACCUUUAUAUCCGGGUCCUCUUCGGAGGUCAGAUCGAGGGACCUUUCCGGAUCCUCGGGUUGUGGAGGCGGGCUGUGUAUCUUCUCCACGGCCCGGCGCAGUUCCUGCGUAGAAACCAUAAAAUGAGAUGUUUAACCACGGGAACAUGGAUCGGACAAGCCACAAAGGUAUUCGCUUACCAAACUUCGAGGAUUAAUCGAAGAAAACCUGCUUAGCGGGCUGACGCGGAGAAAAUCCUCCUCUUCUCCUUUGUACAUAGCGGACAAGGUCUUCACCAGUUCGGUGACCGAUCCCGGCCCUUUGCGGCCGUGGCGGGUGGCAUCAUCCUCCCCGUUGAAAUCCCACAUGGGGUGGCCCCUAUAUUGGAGCGGCUGAACUCCCCGCAUUAUGCAUGUGGCCAUGACACCAAUCAUCGUCAGUCCGGAAUGAGCCAACAAUCUUAUUCGGCUCAUCAGGUAAAGGACGUCCCUGCCGACUUCCCCCUGGGGGCUCCGCGGGCGCCAACUCAGGCGUUUCUACAAGGGAGCAUUGCUGAACUCCGGGAGACCGAUCCGAAUAGGAUCCGGCAGAGGGAAGUCUUCUAUAUAAAACCAUUCCGUAGGCCAGUCUUCGGACGCCUUCUUCGGGGUUCCGGAUAGACAUCCGGUCCCGGCGAUGCGCCACAGUUCGGCUCCGCCCACUUGAUAUAUUGACCCCUCACGAGAACGGGGCACAAGGCAGAACAAUCUCUUCCACAGAUCGAAAUGGGCCUCAACACCCAGGAACAGCUCGCAGAGGGCUACAAAGCCCGCUAUAUGCAAGACGGAGGCAGGCGUAAGGUUGUGCAGCUGGAGGCCGUAGAACUCCAGAAGCCCCCGGAGAAAUGGAUGGACUGGAAAUCCGAGUCCUCUCAUUAGAUGAGAGACGAAGCAUACCCGCUCUCCCUUAGAGGGAUCGGGGACACUCUCCGCCUGCUUCCCGCCCUUAUAAGUGGCGAGUCCGGAACGCACCGGAACCAGGAAGGCCGGGGGAAGGAAUCCCUUGGUUUGGAGCGCCACCAAUUCACUGUGCGGGACUGAGCAUCUCCCCCAAUAUCCGGGCUGAGGGCUGGGAGCGCGAGAGGAGGAGCCGCGACGACUGUCCAUGGUGGAAUGGAUUUUUUGUCGAAGGCGCUCUAGUGACGGCUCGUGAGGGGAGGAUGGUGCGAUCCGGAUCUGGAUCCCCGUCUCUUUUAUAGAUGGCUCAUUUGCACAGCAAGGGGGGUAAAUGUAAAGAUACCCUGACUUUUCACAUUCGUUUGACACGUGGAAGAUGGCCAUUAUUGGGCGUAGAAGCCAAAGGAGCGUAGCACUUAUCAGAAGCCGGACAAUAUUUGACAAGUAUAUGGAAUUUGGAGAAGAACCCGCCUCGCAAUGCCGAAGACAAUCUACGCGCCGGACUCAUCGUCAUUGAAGCCUGGUUCGGGGGCUACUGAGGGAGUCCCGGAUUAGGGUGUGUCCGGAUAGCCGAACUAUCACCGUUGGUCGGACUCCUGGACUAUGAAGAUACAAGAUCGAAGACUUCGUCCCAUGUCCGGAUGGGACUUUCCUUGGCGUGGAAGGCAGGCUUGGCGAUACGGAUAUGUAGAUCUCCUACCAUUGUAACCGACUCUGUGUAACCCUAACCCUAUUCGGUGUCUAUAUAAACCGGUGGGUUUUAGUCCGUAGGACGAACAACAAUCAUACCAUAGGCUAGCUUCUAGGGUUUAGCCUCACCGAUCUCGUGGUAGAUCUACUCUUGUACUACCCAUAUCAUCAAUAUUAAUCAAGCAGGAGUAGGGUUUUACCUCCACCGAGAGGGCCCGAACCUGGGUGAAAACAUCGUGUCCCUUGUCUCCUGUUACCAUCCGCCUAGACGCACAGUUCGGGACCCCCUACCCGAGAUCCGCCGGUUUUGACACCGACAAUCGCGUUUUACGAUACAGAGCCGCCGCCAAGCCCUAAUCUCUCUCGGGAGGGCAGAUUUGGAGUCCGUUCGGGGCUCCGGAGAGGGGGAUUCGUCGCCGUCGUCAUCAUCAACCAUCCUCCAUCACCAAUUUCAUGAUGCUCACCGCCGUGCAUGAGUAAUUCCAAUGUAGGCUUGCUGGACGGUGAUGGGUUGAAUGAGAUUUAUCAUGUAAUCGAGUUAGUUUUGUUAGUGUUUGAUCCCUAGUAUCCAUUAUGUUUUGAGAUUGAUGUUGCUAUGACUUUGCUGUUCUUAAUGCUUGUCACUAGGGCCCGAGUGCCAUGAUUUCAGAUCUGAACCUAUUAUGUUUUCAUGAAUAUAUGAGAGUUGUUGAUCCUAUCUUGCAAGUCUAUAGUCACCUACUAUGUGUUAUGAUCCGGCAACCCCGAAGUGACAAUAAUCAGGACCACUCCCGGUGAUGACCAUAGUUUGAGGAGUUCAUGUAUUCACUAUGUGCUAAUGCUUUGUUCCGGUUCUCUAUUAAAAGGAGGCCUUAAUAUCCCUUAGUUUCCAAUAGGAUCCCGCUGCCAUGGGAGGGUAGGACAAAAGAUGUCAUGCAAGUUCUUUUCCACAAGCACGUAUGACUAUAUUCGGAAUACAUGCCUAUGUUACAUUGAUGAACUGGAGCUAGUUCUGUGUCACCCUAUGUUAUGACUGUUACAUGAUGAACCACAUCCGGCAUAAUUAUCCAUCAUUGAUCCGGUGCCUACGAGUUUUCCAUAUACUGGUUCUCGCUUAUUUACUUUUCCGUUGUUACUGUUACAAUCACUACAAAAUACCAAAAACAUUACUUUCGCUGUCUUUACUUUUGUUACCGUUACCACUACUAUCAUAUUACUUUGCUACUAAACACCUUGCUGCAGAUACUAAGUUUCCAGGUGUGGUUGAAUUGACAACUCAGCUGCUAAUACUUGAGAAUAUUCUUUGGCUCCCCUUGUGUCGAAUCAACAAAUUUGGGUUGAAUACUCUACCCUCGAAAACUGUUGCGAUCCCCUAUACUUGUGGGUUAUCAAGACCUUUUUUUGGCGCCGUUGCCGGUGAGCAUAGCUCUAUUCUUUGAGUCACUUGGGAUUUAUAUCUACUGGACACUAUGAAGAACUUGAAAGACGCUAAGACCAAGAUUUUUCCCUCAACUACGAGGGGAGGUGAGGAACUGCCAUCUACCCUUGCACUAGAUUCUCCUUCUAUUAUAAGUAAGCUUGUGACACCUAAACUUGCUACUACUAUGAAUUCUGAUAUGUCGCAUGUUAUUGAUGAUGCCACUUCUGCUAUGCGUGACACUUAUGACGAAACCACUUCUAUGCUUGAUACUACUGUGCCCCUUGGAGAAUUUCUUGAUGAGAAAAUUGCUAGGUCUAGAGAAAGAGAAAUUACUGCACCUGAAUACGAUGAUGAGAGUGAUGAUGAAAAUAUGCCCCCUAUUCCUGGAGGUUAUCUUUUUGAUGCAGAAUCUUCUGCAGCUAUCCUUGCUUGCCAGGAUAGAUAUGAACUUAAGAGGUUGCUAGUUAAAUGGAGUAAAGAAUCUUUUAGAGAUAGAAUGAGACCCGACCCUGCUUUUGCUACUUCACCUAUUUGUAUUCCCGAUAAGGAUUAUUAUGAUUUUUCUGUUGAUCCAGAUAUAAUUACUUUGGUUGAAUCUGAUCCUUUCUAUGGCCAUGAAUUUGAAACUGUUGUGGCACAUCUUACUAAGUUGAAUGAUAUAGCUGCCCUGUUUACUAAUAAUGAGAGAUCGCGCUACCUUUAUUUACUCAAAAUAUUUCCGUUCUCAUUAAAGGGUGAUGCUAAGAUAUGGUUUAAUUCUCUUGAUCCUGGUUGUGUGCAAAGUCCCCAGGAUAUGAUUUAUUACUUCUCUGCUAAAUAUUUCCCUGCUCAUAAGAAACAAGCAGCCUCGAGGGAAAUAUAUAACUUUGUGCAAAUUGAAGAGGAGAGUCUCCCACAAGCUUGGGGGAGGCUUCUCAAGUUACUUAAUGCUUUGCCUGAUCAUCCUCUUAAAAAACCUUAAAUACUUGAUAUCUUUUAUAAUGGACUAACUGAUGCUUCCAGAGAUUACCUGGAUAAUUGUGCUGGUUUUCUUUUCAGGGAAAGAACACCGGAUGAAGCUGAAAUUCUAUUGAACAAUAUUUUGACAAAUGAAAAUAAUUGGGCACCUCCCAAGCCAGCUCCUGAGCCAAUUUCUGAGCCAAUUAUUGAGCCUAUUCCUAAACCAACUCCGAAGAAGAGAGGUGUUAUAUUUCUCAGUCCCGAAGAUAUGCAAGAGGAAAAGAAAUCUAUGAAAGAAAAAGGUAUUAAAGCUGAAGAUGUUAAGAAUUUACCUCCUAUUGAAGAAAUACACGGUCUUAAUUUACCGCCUGUUGAAGAAGUAUAUGAUCUCAAUCAAUUAUUUAUUGAAGAACCUCCCGAUAUCCCGACAUAGGUAGUAAAGGUAAAUUCUCUCUAUAGAUAUGAUAAAGCUGAAGUCCCUCCUACUAGAGUUGCUAGUCAGUGCUUGGAUGAGUUUGAUAACUUUAUGUUUAAGCAAGAUGACUUUAAUGCUUAUUUUGGUAGACAAUUAAAACAAGAUGCUUAUAUGAUUAAACGCUUGGGUGAUUAUAUGGCUGAUAUUAGAGGUGAACUUAAACUUGUUAGAAAACAUGCUUCUAUGGUCACCACUCAAGUAGAACAAGUACUUAAAGCUCGAAAAGAAGUGCUUGAUGAAAUGAAUAGUAAGAAAAAUGAUUAUGCUGUUAGUGUGGCUACUAGAACUGGUAGAAUGACUCAGGAACCUUUGUAUCCUGAAGGCCACCCUAAGAGAAUCGAGCAAGAUUCUCAGAGAAAUGAUAUUGAUGUACCUAGUUCUUCCAAAAAGAAGAAAAAGAAAAAUGAUAGGACUUUGCAAACUUCUAGUGAGCCUAUUGCUGAACCACCUGAGAAUCCAAAUGAUAUUUCCAUUUCUGAUGCUGAAACACAAUCAGGUGAUGAACAUGAACCUAGUGAUAAUGUUAAUGAUAAUGUUCAUGUUGAUGCUCAACCUAGUAAUGAUAAUGAUGUAGAAGCUGAACCUGCUGUUGAUCUUGAUAACCCACAAUCAAGGAAUCAAUGUUAUGAUAAAAGAGACUUCGUUGCUAGGAAACAUGGUAAAGAAAGGGAACCAUGUGUUCAAAAACCCAUGACUUUUCCUUCGAAACCAUCCAAGAAAAAGGAUGAUGAGGAUUUUGAGCGCUUUGCUGAAAUGAUUAGACCUAUCUUUUUGUGUAUGCGUUUAACUGAUGUGCUAAGAACAAAUCCUUAUUCUAAGUAUAUGAAGGAUAUUAUUACUAAUAAAAGAAAGAUACCUAAAGCUGAAAUUUCCACCAUGCUUGCUAAUUAUACUUUUAAGGGUGGAAUACCAAAGAAACUUGGAGAUCCCGGAGUACCUACUAUACCAUGCUCCAUUAAGAGAAAUUAUGUUAAAAUUGCUUUAUGUGAUCUUGGAGCCGGUGUUAGUGUUAUGCCUCUCUCUCUGUAUCGUAGACUUGACUUGAAUAAGUUGACACCUACUGAAAUAUCUUUGCAAAUGGCUGAUAAAUCAACUGCUAUACCUGUCGGUAUUUUUGAGGAUGUCCCUGUUGUGGUUGCAAACGUUACUAUCUUAACGGACUUUGUUAUUCUUGAUAUUCCUGAGGAUGAUAGUAUGUCUAUUAUUCUUGGAAGACCUUUCCUUAAUACUGCAGGGGCUAUUAUUGAUUGCAACAAAGGCAAUGUCACUUUUCAUGUUAAUGGCAAUGAGCACACGGUACACUUUCUGAGGAAACAACCUCAGGUCCACAGUAUCAACUCUAUUGGAAAAUUUUCGUCGAUUAUAUUUGGAGGUUUUGAAUUUCCUCUCCCUACUGUCAAGAAAAAGUAUGAUAUUGUUAUUGUUGGGGAUUUUCAUAUCCCCUUGGAGGUAACUUAGUGCUAUUCGAAAUUUCUCCAGUUCCGUGUUAAUCGGAAUGAGCUCGUUAACAAGACUUGAUCAACCUUGUUAGUGGAUUCAUUUUUAUGAACAUGAGAUGGAUGAAACUAGAAGCACAACCUUCUGUACUCUCUUUAUAUUUCCUGUUAUUUAGUAGAUAUAAAGUAAAAUAGUAUUUCUCUGUCUGUUUCCUGACUUAUCCGUGCAAUAUAAAAAUAUCCCGAAAAUAAAAGUCCCCAGAAUGCCAUGCCAAUUUAAUAUGAUUUUUUCGGGAAUAUUUAAGAAUUUACUGUGCAAAAAUCACCGCGGGGGGAGCUGCCACCUGGCCACGAGGGUGGAGGGCGCGCCCUACCCCCCUGGGCGCACCCCCUGCCUCGUGGGCCCACGGUGGCCCUCCUCCACUUAUUCCUGCACCCAUCUUCUUCCUCUGCCUCACACAAACACGAAAACCAACUCAAGCACGAGUUCCAGCUCCCGUUGCUGUGAUUUUCGAUCUCCUUGCUCAAAGCACCUCUCGUGAAACUUCUUGGGGAGAUUGUUCCUUGGUAUGUGACUCCUCCAUUGGUCCAAUUAGUUUUUGUUAUAGUGCUUUAUUCAUUGCAAAUUUGUGCUGCAUAGGUGACCAUGUUCUUGAGCUUGCAUGUCAAAUUUAUAUGGUUCCAAGUAGUUCCAAUGCUUUAUAUAGGCUCUAGGGACUAGUAGGAGUUGUUGCUAUCAAUUUUAUUGAAGUUAGUUCACUCUUAUUUGAAGUUACUAAAAAUUUCAGAAUGUUUCAGAAAUAAUGAAGAGACUUUUGAGGGGCUCGUCGAGCCAAAGCUCGAAGGAAAAACAAAAGGAAGGAGAACAGAAGCCCAAAUUUAAUUUGCCUCGCACCGCGGAGGUCCGGCCGUGUGAAUGGCCUUCCGAUGACUUCUUGAGGAGAGCUGGGAUUUAUGAAGAUUUCUAUUUAUUAAUUGAGAAUGCUGGCCUCACCAACUUCCUCCGCGACCAACGUCAUCAGUAUCUCUUACUCACAAAGACUUCUGUGCAAAAUUUCUACUUUUUCCCUAAGAGUUCACCUCCGUCGGUAGAAUUUCAUUUAUAUGACGUUGCUAAGAGGAUGCCAUUAGCUGAAUUCUGCGAGGUUUGCAAAAUACCUUUUGAGGGCACCUUGGAUGAACCACACCGUAACGAGGUAGAAGCCUUUAUUAACACUAUCACGGUGGGAGAAACUAGGAAGGUUUCUGAUGCAAGAAUUACUAGCAUACAUUUUCCUGUUUUACGCUACUUUGCCUUAUUUGCUAGUCGUUGCCUGAUAGGUCGCGGAAACUGUGGAAACCUUAGUAUUCCUGAUGUUAUGAUUUUGUUCCAUGGUUUAUACCGCAAUACUCUGUUAGUAUGGGUGGAAUUGUUGCUAGACGGUUAAGUCUGAACCGUACUAAGGGCCCCAUCUUUGGAGGCAUUUAUGCCUCACGCCUAGCUGAACAUUUUGAAAUACCUAUCAGGCAUGAGGAGAAAGAGGAAACAUCGCUGCCUCGUGCUUAUUUAGAUUAUAGGAGUAUGCUAGCGCAUGAUUUUCUUGUUAAGAGUCGUGAAGGGGAACUCAAAUAUAUUGUACUUUGAUAAACAUCACCCUGAGAUUAUUACUUUGCCUGCUCCCUCUUUGUUUAAUUUGUCUGCAGGUCCUCACAUUGUUCUGUGGGCGGCCAUUCAAGCCUAUCGAAAUGCUGCACCCGCCCCGGAACUGGAGCCACAAGAUGAGACUCCACGACUAUCUGUUUAUUCUUGGGAUCCAGAGGAGGCUGCCAGCCAGUGGCAGUCGGAGCCUUCUUCGUCACAGUAUGACCCCAGCUUCACUUACGGGUAUCCGCCAGGCCAUCCCUAGCAAUAGACCAACUUAGGGUAAAAACCUAAGCUUGGGGGAGUACGUAUUUCCCACCGACAUUACAUUCAUGUUCACACACACUCAUUGCUAGAUGUCGGUGUUCAUACUCUUUCACUGGGAUAUCCAUUCUAGUUUAUUUUCUGUUUCCUGCUUUCUUCUUGUGUGUUUAAUAAACCUUUAGAAAAACAAAACAAAAAUUAGUAGUAGUUUAUUUCUUUGCUGUAGUAAUUAAAAAGGAAAACCCAAUAAUAUUUCCCGUUCUUCUUUUGCUUGUUGGGAGCUUUCCCGUGUAAAUAGUUUUCCUUUUCUUUUCUUUGGGGGUCAGUAGGAGAAGACCAUGAUUUAAUUGUUGAAGUGGCUCUUACAUGCAUGAUUGUUUAUUUAACUUAGAGCCCAUAUUACUUGUCUUCUCCUGGUUAUUGAAUGCUUGCAGAUUCCAGCUUAGUCCAAUGCACGUGCACUCUUAUUAUUAUUCACAUCGUUCGGUCGUGCAAGUGAAAGGCAAUAAUGAUGAUAUAUGAUGGACUUAUUGGGAUGAGAAAAGCUGGUACAAACUCGACCUCUCUUGUUUUUGUAAAUAUGAUGAUUCAUCGUUCCUGAGUUAGCUAUUAUGAAGUAAGCAUAUUUGCAUUGACAUUUAGAGAUUAUAAUUGCUUGUGCCAUGCUUGAUUAGAUAUGAGUUAUAAUGGUUUACCUUGCGUGCCAACAUGCUAUUAGAAUGAUUAUGAUGUGGUAUGAUGGGAUGGUAUCCUCCUUUAAAUGAAUUGAGUGACUAGACUUGGCACAUGUUCACGCAUGUAGUUGAAUCAAAUCAACAUAGCCUUCAUGAUAUUUAUGUUCAUGGUGGAUUAUAUCCUACUCAUGCUUGUAUUCGGUGUAAAUUAAUUUUGAUGCAUGUUUACGACUGUUGUCGCUCUCUCAGUUGGUCGCUUCCCAGUCUUUUGCUAGCCUUCACCUGUACUAAGCGGGAAUACUGCUUGUGCAUCCAAACUCCUUAAACCCCAAAGUUGUUCCAUAUGUGUCCACUAUACCAUCCUAUAUGCGGUAUUUACCUGCCGUUCCAAGUAAAUUUGUAUGUGCCAAACUCCAAACCUUCAAAUAAAAUUAUGUUUUGUAUGCUCGAGCAGCUCAUGUUUCAACUAGGGUUGUCCUUAUCUUCCAUGUUAGGCGGUUAUUCUCAAGAGGAGUGGACUCCGCUCCUCAUUCACGAGAAAAUGGCUGGUCACCGGGAUGCCCAGUCCCACGCUUUAUGCAAACUAAAUCAAAAUAAUUGUAAACGAAACUCCCCUUGGGACCCGUUGAAUGUUGGAGGCACUCGUUGUUUCGAGUAAGCCAUGGAUUGAUGCUUGUGGAGGAAGGGGAGUAUAAACUUUAACAUUCUGUUUGGGAACCGCCUAUAAUUUGUUUAGCAUGGAAGAUAUCGUCAUCUCAUAGUUGUUGCGUUGACAGCAAAAGUAUGCCGCUCAAAAUGUUAUUCAAUCUCUAUUUUAAAACCGAGCUCUCGCACCUCUACAAAUCCCUGCUUCCCUCUGUGAAGGGCUUAUCUAUUUACUUUUAUGUUGAGUCAUCACCCUUCUUACUAAAAAGCACCUGCUGGAGAGCACACUGUCAUUUGCAUUCAUUAUUAUUGGUUUAUAUUGGGUAUGACUUGACCGGAUCUAUUUUACCAUGAAUUACAAUGUUUAGUCAGUCCUUGAUCUUUAAAAGUGCUCUGCAUUUAUGUUUUGCGGUCUCAGAAAGGGCUAGCGAGAUACCAUUCCGUUAUAUCAUGUUAUGAUUAUUUUGAGAAAGUGUUGUCAUCUGAGUUUUGUUAUUAUAGCUCGCUAGCUGAUUAUGCUAUUGAUAUGAGUAAUUGUGAGACCUUUGUGUUAUUGUGAGUAUGGUUAGGUCAUAAUAUUUGCUGAAACUUGAAUGCUGGCUUUUCAUGUUUACAACAACAAGAGCAAACAGAGUUUGUAAAAGUUUUUCUUUUUCUCUUUCAGUUUGUCAACUGAAUUGCUUGAGGACAAGCAAGGGUUUAAGCUUGGGGGAGUUGAUACGUCUCCGUCGUAUCUAGUUUACCAAACACUUUUGCCCUUGUUUUGGACUCUAACUUGUGCGAUUUGAAUGGAACUAACCCGGACUGACGUUGUUUUCAGCAGAAUUGCCAUGGUGUUGCUUUUGUGCAGAAAAUAAAAGUUCUCGGAACGACCUGAAACUCCACGGAACGUAUUGGGAUAAUUAAUAAAAAAUCUUCGCCAAAGAUGAAGAUCAGGGGGCCAACACCCUGUCCACGAGGGUGGGGGCGCCCCCCUGGGCGCGCCCCCCUACCUCGUGGCCCCCCUGGUGGCCCUCCGACGCCAACUCCAACUCCAUAUAUUGGCCUUCGGGGAGAAAAAAUCAGAGAGAAGAAAUCAUUGCGUUUUACGAUAUGGAGCCGCCGCAAGCCCUAAUCUCUCUCGGGAGGGCUGAUCUGGAGUCCUUUCGGGGCUCCAGAGAGGGGGAUUCGUCGCCGUCGUCAUCAUCAACCAUCCUCCAUCACUAAUUUCAUGAUGCUCACCGCCGUGCGUGAGUAAUUCCAUCGUAGGCUUGCUGGACAGUGAUGGGUUGGAUGAGAUUUAUCAUGUAAUCGAGUUAAUUAGUUUUGUUAGGGUUUGAUCCCUAGUAUCCAUUAUGUUCUGAGAUUGAUGUUGCUAUGACUUUGACGUGCUUAAUGCUUGUCACUAGGGCCCGAGUGCCAUGAUUUCAGAUCUGAACCUAUUAUGUUUUCAUGAAUAUAUGAGAGUUCUUGAUCCUAUCUUGCAAGUCUAUAGUCACCUACUAUGUGUUAUGAUCCGGCAACCCCGAAGUGACAAUAAUCGGGACCACUCCCGGUGAUGACCAUAGUUUGAGGAGUUCAUGUAUUCACUAUGUGCUAAUGCUUUGUUCCGGUUCUAUAUUAAAAGGAGGCCUUAAUAUCCCUUAGUUUCCAAUAGGACCCCGCUGCCACGGGAGGGUAGGACAAAAAUGUCAUGCAAGUUCUUUUCCAUAAGCACGUAUGACUAUAUUCAGAAUACAUGCCUACGUUACAUUGAUGAACUGGAGCUAGUUCUGUGUCACCCUAUGUUAUGACUGUUACAUGAUGAACCACAUCCGGCAUAAUUAUCCAUCAUUGAUCCGGUGCCUACGAGUUUUCCAUAUACUGGUUCUCGCUUAUUUACUUUUCUGUUGUUACUGUUACAAUCACUACAAAAUACCAAAAACAUUACUUUCGCUGUCUUUACUUUUGUUACCGUUACCACUACUAUCAUAUUACUUUGCUACUAAACACCUUGCUGCAGAUACUAAGUUUCCAGGUGUGGCUGAAUUGACAACUCAGCUGCUAAUACUUGAGAAUAUUCUUUGGCUCCCCUUGUGUCGAAUCAACAAAUUUGGGUUGAAUACUCUACCCUCGAAAACUAUUGUGAUCCCCGAUACUUGUGGGUUAUCACUAAGCGGAAGCGUUACAAGAACGCGGUUGAUGGAGUCAUACUCGCGGCGAUUCAAAUCGCGGAAGAUCCGAUCUAGCGCCGAAUGGACGGUGCCUCCGCGUUCAACACACGUAUAGCCCGGGGACAUCUCCUCCUUGAUCCAGCAAGGGGAGAGGAGAAGUUGAGGGAGAACUCCGACAGCACGACGGCAUGGUGGUGGUGGAGCUCGUGGUAUUCCUGCAGGGCUUCGCCAAGCACUACGGAGGAGGAGGAGAUUUACGAGGAGGGAGGUGCUGCGCCAGGGGAAGGGUGUGGCUGCCCGACCACCACCUCACUAUAUAUAGGAGGAAGGGGGGAGGGGGUCGGCCCCUCUAGAUCCCAUCUAGAGGAGGGGGCGGCGGCCAGGGGAAACCCUAGAUGGGUUUGGGCGCCCCCACCCCUUAGGAAACUCCNNNNNNNNNNNNNNNNNNNNNNNNNNNNNNNNNNNNNNNNNNNNNNNNNNNNNNNNNNNNNNNNNNNNNNNNNNNNNNNNNNNNNNNNNNNNNNNNNNNNNNNNNNNNNNNNNNNNNNNNNNNNNNNNNNNNNNNNNNNNNNNNNNNNNNNNNNNNNNNNNNNNNNNNNNNNNNNNNNNNNNNNNNNNNNNNNNNNNNNNNNNNNNNNNNNNNNNNNNNNNNNNNNNNNNNNNNNNNNNNNNNNNNNNNNNNNNNNNNNNNNNNNNNNNNNNNNNNNNNNNNNNNNNNNNNNNNNNNNNNNNNNNNNNNNNNNNNNNNNNNNACGCUUGCCGGGGCCUCCGAAACUCCUUUCGGACACGCUGGUCGUCACCCGGUACCCCCGGAACAAUUUUGGACUCUAAUACCCUACGUCCAAUAUACCGAUCUUCACCUCCGGACCAUUCCAGAGUUCCUCGUCACGUUCGGGAUCUCAUCCGGGACUACGAACAACCUUCGGUAACCACAUACUAUUUCCCAUAACAACUCUAGCGUUUCCGAACCUUAAGUGUGUAGACCCUAUGGGUUCGGGAAUCAUGCAGACAUGACCGAGACGUUCUCUAGCCAAUAACCAACAGCAGGAUCUCGAUACCCAUGUUGGCUCCCACAUGUUCCACGAUGAUAUCAUCAGAUGAACCACGAUGUCGGGGAUUCUAUCAAUCCCGUAUACAAUUCCCUUUGUCAAUCAGUAUGUUACUUGCCCGAGAUUCGAUCGUCGGUAUCCCAAUACCUCGUUCAAUCUCGUUACCAGCAAGUCACUUUAUUCGUUGCGUAAUGCAUGAUCCCAUGACUAACUACUUAGUCACAUUGAGCUCAUUAUGAUGAUGCAUUACCGAGUGGGCCCAGAGAUACCUCUCCGUCAUAUGGAGUGACAAAUUCCAGUCUCGAUUCGUGCCAACCCAACAAACACUUUCGGAGAUACCUGUAGUGCACCUUUAUAGUCACCCAGUUACGUUGUGACGUUUGGUACACCCAAAGCACUCCUACAGUAUCUGGGAGUUACACAAUCUCAUGGUCUAAGGAAAUGAUACUUGACAUUAGAAAAGCUUUAGCAAACGAACUGCACGAUCUUGUGCUAUGCUUAGGAUUGGGUGUUAUCCAUCACAUCAUUCUCCUAAUGAUGUGAUCACAUUAUCAAUGACAUCCAAUGUCCAUGGUCAGGAAACCAUAACCAUCUAUUUAUCAACGAGCUAGUCAACUAGAGGCUCACUAGGGACAUGUUGUGGUCUAUGUAUUCACACAUGUAUUACGGUUUCCAGUUAAUACAAUAAUAGCAUGAACAAUAGACAAUUAUCAUGAACAAGGAAAUACAAUAAUAACCAUUUUAUUAUUGCCUCUAGGGCAUAUUUCCAACAAUAACAUGUGCAAAAAAGUUGAGAGGGUUACGGCAAAAAUUGGAUGCACUUCGUGUACAAAAUGGACAAUCUCUUUCGAAGUAUAAGGGUUUCGAACAAAAACUCAUCUGUUACAAAGGCAUUUCAUUUUUUUUAAAUUUGUUACAACUCCAGACUUUUUGUACAUUCAAUAUGCACCAUUGAAAGCCACACCAUCAACUUUCAACCCUUUCUGACAUCAUUUGCUAUUUUUCAUGCAUUUACUGAUUUUUUUGAGCUAAAUGACUCAGAAAUUGAAAAGCACUUCAAAUGAACUCUGAAAAGGUUGAAAGUUGGCAUAGUAUCAUCAUUUCACCCACAUAGCAUGUGCAAAAACAUUGAGAGGGUUACGACAAAAAACUGUAUGCACUUCGUGUACAAAAUGGACAAUCUCUUUCGAAGUAUCAGGGUUUCGGACGAAAACUCAUCUGUUACAAAGGCAUUUCAUUGCUAUGUCGGUUGUAGUACCCACGUUCUGUUUUCUGUUGCCUGCGGUUGUCUUCUGUUAAGAUCAUAAUUUGUGGAAAGUUGGGUGAGUAUUACGGACCUCUAGACCCUGUUCUGGAGUUCCUUUCUUCAUUGUCUAGAGACCCUGUUCUAGACAUGUCGGUGACACAAAAUUUCCAUCUGGGUGGGUGCGGAAUUUAUCAAAAUUUUGAGCUAUGUAGGAAGUGUUUAUUGUGAUAUCAGAUUUGUUUGUUUGUGCUUGCAACCUGUCAUUUUUCUGUCGACGUACUUGCCGAACUCCCCGCGCUCAGCUGCUUGAAGCUGCCGUGCGAACCCGCUGUGAGGGAUGGCAAUCCAAGGUCGCUUCGCGACAUUGCGGUCUGUGGUGACACCAUCAAGUAUGUUGAGAUGCUGCCUCACCCCGACAGAAGCUCCUCUAAGACCCUCUCAUGUCGUUGGGUGGUCGCAGCAUGGAGCAUCAAGAAGGCCCGUCGGUCCUGGUGCAAGGAUUGGCGCAUGGUUUGCAAGCUCGAUUCCACCCAUAUAAAGGUUGAUGCAGCUAGUACCAUGGCUUCCUUCCCAACCUUGUCAUCCCUCCAUGUUGGCCUGCCCACACUCAGCCUGCAGAAUGAUGCCAUUGUUUACUUCCUCGCCAAGAUUGACUUCCGCACGAUGGAACACACGGCUUGGGUGCUUGCUGUUGACAAGAAGAACGCGACUGCUGAGCAAGUAGUGGAGUUCCCUGCUGGGAGGACUUUCUGUUUAGCCCAGGGCUAUGAUGCAAGUAGGAUCUACGCAUACCUCCAACCUGCUCCAGGUAACUGACUGUAACCCCUGCCUUGCUGCUGUUGGUUCCAACUAUACAUGCUAAACUACCAGAUUAAUCCAUGGUUCUUCUUGGUGGAGUGGGUGACGGCAGCGUCAUUUCACACACAUCGAUAGUGUGGGGUUUAGGGUGGAUAAUCCACCAAAUAGCUCAUAAUACUAUUCAUUAAGUCAGAUGCUGACAGUGAAUUUCUCACCGGAACAAUUCACACUUCUCUUGUGACAUAUAAUAAUUUGGUUAUAGGGUGAGCGGUGCACAUGCUUAUCAAGUUUGGUCUUUUUCAGUAGUCUUUCAGCAUGGAGAUUUUAGAAUAAUUAAUGGUUGCAUUAGCGCUAGUUGUUUGUGGACCAGUUUUUCUUUCCCAAACUAUUACUGAAGACAUGUGGAAUUUGAAAUGCCAGGUACACGGCAAAUACCUAAACGACCACGGGUGUCAUUGCUGAAAUACCCUCCCAUGAAGCAUAUUAAAGAUGUUGAAGAUCCUAAAGAAGACGAUGCCAUGGUGAUUUUUUCUUCAUGAGGUUGCAUGGAAGCUGUAUGACCUGAGAUUGGUGCCGGAUAUUAAUGGAGGGGGUAGUGGAUUAUCAUGUCUGCUAGUCUGUCCCUUCUUUUGUGUGUCUUAUAUUUAUUUUAGGAUUACAUGACCUGUGGAAUUGGCUGUUAACAUCGUAACCCUAUGGAGGGUGAGUAUUGUUUUUGACAUGAGUUGUUAGUGAUGCAAAAUCUCCAUUUGGGUGGGUGGGGAAUUUAUCAAAAUUUUAGGCUUUGUAGGAACUGUUCUUAUGAUACCAGAUUUGUUUGCUUGUUUGUGCUUGCAACUUGUCAUUUUUCUGUCAGAAUUGGUUAGCUGCUUUCUUAUUUUCUUGGCAUGUGCUAGCAGUCAGGCGGCUGUGGCUGGGGACUUGGGAUUUUAGUGAAGUCAUCAUCUGUUUGUGCUAAGGUGCUUAAGGUUGUCCAAGUGGAUGACAACACACAAUUCUUUCAUAUGAUUGCGAAUGGGAAACAUAGGAAGAAGUAAAUUAUACAACUUGAACAGGACGAAGGGACUAUUGUGGGUCAUGAGAAUCUGAAAGUGUAUAUCUCUAAUUAUUAUAAACAACUUUUUGGGUCUCCGGAAAUAAGCACGAUGUCCCUUAAUGAAUCUCUUAUUUGAGAUAUCCCUCAGCUUCGGGUAGAGGAAAAUGAUAUUCUAUCUGCACCGUUCGCUGAGAAGGAGGUUCUUGAUGCAAUUUCACAAAUGAAACCGAACAAAGCACCGGGACCAGAUGGGUUUCACGCGGAAUUCCAUAAGAAGUGUUGGCAUAUUAUUAAGGAUGAUCUUAUGCCUAUGUUCCAUGAUUUUUUUAAUGGUCAUUUGGAACUAUUCCAUCUUAACUUUGGCAUGAUUACGCUGUUGCCAAAGAAAUAAGGGACAGUCCGGAUCGAACAGUUUAGGCCAAUAUGUCUUCUCAACGUGAGUUUCAAAAUAUUCACAAAAGCGGGCACAAAUAGAUUGACGCAGAUUGCCCACUCGGUGGUACAAUCGAGCCAGACAGCUUUCAUGCCUGGGAGACACAUUCUUGAAGGGGUCUUCGUCCUGCAUGAAAUGCUGCAUGAAAUUCAUUUGAAGAAACUAGAUGGGGUUAUCUUCAAAGUGGAUUUUGAGAAGGCAUAUGAUAAAGUUAAAUGGCAUUUCCUUCAGCAGGCAAUGCGCAUGAAAGGCUUUAGUGAGGAUUGGCAGAACCAAGUGGGUUCUCUAGUCCAGAAGGGUAGUAUCAGAAUCAAGUUUAACGAUGAUAUCGGUCACUACUUUCAGACACACAAGGGGUUGAGACACGGGGACUCCAUGUCUCCUCUCCUAUUUAAUAUAGUGGCUGAUAUGCUGACCAUUCUUAUAGGCAGGGCCAAGCAAAACAGUCAAGUGGAUGGGCUAGUACCUCAUCUGGUCGAUGGGGGGAGUCUCCAUUUUAUAGUAUGCUGACGACACUAUCCUGUUCAUGGAACAUGACAUUGCAAAAGCACAAAAUAUGAAACUCAUUUUAUGUCUCUUCGAACAAUUGUCUGGAUUAAAAAUAAAUUUUCACAAGAGCGAGUUGUUCUGCUUUGGUAAGGCCAAAUAAGAGCAAGACACAUAUAGGCAAUUGUUUGGGGGUGAAUUAGGUUCCUUGCCUUUCAGCUAUUUGGGAAUACCAAUUCAUCCCCCAAAGCUUUCUAAUAAAGAAUGGAAGUUCAUCGAAGAUCGAAUUGAAAAAAAGCUUAGUUGCUGGAAGGGCAAGCUAAUGUCGUAUGGAAGGUCGGCUAGUGUUGAUCAACUCAGUACUUACUAGUAUACCGAUGUUCCUAUUAUGUUUCUACGAGGUACCCAUUGGGGUGCUAAAGAGAUUAGAUUUCUUUAGAUCUCGAUUCUUCUGGCAGUCAGACCACUAGUAGAAAAAGGGCCUAUUGUCCCGGUUCGUAAGGGCCAUUUGUCCUGGUUAUUGAACCGGGACUAAAGUGUCGUUACUAAUGCCCUAGACCUUUAGUCCCGGUUCUUAUACAAACCGGGACAUAUGGGCCUCCACGUGGCCGGUGCGGGGAGCCCAGGCAGGAGGCCCCUUGGUCCCGGUUUGUGGCACCAACCGGGAUCAAUAGGCAUCCACGCGUCAGCAUUUCAGGGGCUGGGGUUUUUGUUUUUUUAAAGGGGGGGUUAGGGGGUUUUGGGGGGUUAAUUUAGGUGUUUCAUAUUGUGUUAGCUAGCUAAUUAAUAGAGAGAAGUGUCCUCUCUUAUCUCCAUGCUUGGUUGACGCUACAUACUAUACGUAUAGAGAGGACUAGACACGGUAGCUAGUAAGCAAAUGAAGGAAACAGAAGAUCGUCAUGAACAUAUGCAUACAGAGAGAAGUGAUAUCGACCACCUCUCCUUCUGUGAGAGAUUGGUCGAACAACAAGUUCUCGUAUAUCUAUCCAACGCUACUGGCUACAUAUACAUAUAUACAAUAUAAUUAUCUCUUACAAUAUAAUCUCCUAAUUAUAUAUGAACUCAGGGUCCACAUGGUAUUCUCUGUCUUUAUCGAUCAUGUGGUCAAGAAAGAAUGCCGCCAAUUCCUCUUGAAUUGCUCGCAUAUGAUCUGGUGGUAGGAGUUCAUCCCGCAUCCGAAAUAUCUAAUUUGAAGAAGGGGGUCAAUACAUAUAUAUGAAUAAAUGAAACUCAACACAAAUGAUGGCAAUAAAGUAAAAUUGUGAAUAUUAUUAUUUACGCACUUCAUCUUGUUUGUCAGAGUAGCCCCGCUCACAGGUCGUGUGGCGGAUGGACUCGCAAAUGUAGUAUCCACAGUAAUCAUUCCCUUGUUCUUGCCACAACCAAUUUACAAGAAAUAGAGGUCAAUCAAACUGAUAAGCAAGCAUGCUAAAUGGUAUUGAUGAAACUAGCGCUCGAAUCACUAGGAGAUGCGCGGAACAUGCUACUAUAGUACUUACUUUCGGGUGUUUAAAUUGCAGCUUCUUCGGCAAUCCCGGAGUUUUUGAGGUGAAUUUUUUCCAAACCCUGCUAGACAAAGAAAACAAUUACUUGAUAUCAGGAAAUGAACAAAGUUGCUGAUAUGGUGCGAUAAUGAUCGAUUUAACUUACUUCUCUAGAAUUUCAGUCAUGCCCGCGUACUCCAUGGGAUCUUUUCGUCUCGAGUCUAAGACGGUUACAAGUCCCUGCUCAAGCUUAAUCUCUAGGAGAAUAUAGUGGAAGCUGCGCACGGAUGCAUAACUCAUCAAUUACAUUACUAUAACCUCGACUAAUAAGGGAAACCGAAUAUGCACAAGACAGUAACACUCACCUGUAUUCAUAAGGAAAGACUAUUAUAGCUUUGUUUUGAUUUAAUACAAACGACUGUAGCAACUUGGCCUCGGUAUCUCUGGCCUGAAAUUUAACCAUAUAUGCAUCUAUGAGAUUUGUGUUAAUGAACCCAAUAUCACCAAUUUGUCUUUUCUUCAAUUCGGUGAUCUUCAAUCUGCAUAAUAUAGUGAGGAUAAUUAAAAAUACAUGCAAUGAAAGAGCUGACCUAUAUAGAGAGACUUAAUGAUAGAAGUAGUACUACUUACAGGCAGUAGCAAGUGACCGUUGUCGGUGUCAAAACCGGCGGAUCUCGGGUAGGGGGUCCCGAACUGUACGUCUAGGAGGAUGGUAACAGGAGACGAGGGACACGAUGUUUUUAGCCAGGUUCGGGCCCUCUCGAUGAAGGUAAAACCCUACUCCUGCUUGACUAAUAUUGAUGAUAUGGGUAGUACAAGAGUAGAUCUACCACGAGAUCAGAGAGGCUAAACCCUACAAGCUAGCCUAUGGUAUGAUUGUUGUUCGUCCUACGGACUAAAACCCUCCAGUUUAUAUAGACACCAGAGAGGGUUAGGGUUACAUAGAGUCGGUUACAAUGGUAGGAGAUUUACAUAUCUGUACCGCCAAGCUUGCCUUCCACGCCAAGGAAAGUCCCAUCCGGACAUGGGACGAAGUCUUCAAUCUUGUAUCUUCAUAGUCUAGGAGUCCGGCCAAAGGUGAUAGUUCGGCUAUCCGGACACCCCCUAAUCCGGGACUCCUUCAGUAGCCCCCGAACCAGGCUUCAAUGACGACGAGUCCGGUGCGUAGAUUGUCUUUGGCAUUGCGAGGCGGGUUCUCCUCCAAAUUCCAUAUACUUGUUGAAUAGUGUCCGGCUUCUGAUAAAUGCUGCGCCCCUCGGCUUCCACGCCCAAUAAUGGCCAUCUUCCACAUGUUGAAUGAAUGCGAAAAGCCAGGGUAUCUUUACACUUACCCCCCUAGCUUCGUAAAUGAGCCGCCCAUAAAAGAGACGAGGAUCUAGAUCCGAAUCACACCAUCCUCCCUCCGCGAGCUUUCAUCGGAGCGCCUCUGACAAAAAUCCAUUCCGUCAUGGACAGUCGACGCGGAUCCUCCUCUCGCGCUCCCAGCCCUUAGCCUGGAGAUUGGGAGAGAUGCUCAGUCCCGCAUAGCGAGCUAGUGACGCUCCAAACCAAGGGAUUUCUUCCCCCAGCCUUCAUGGUUCCGGUCCGAGCCGGACUCGCCACCUAUAAGGGCGGAAAACAGGCGGAGAGCGUCCCCGAUCCCUCCAAAGGAGAGCGGGUAUGCUUUGUCUCUUAUCUGAUAAGAGGACUCGGAUUCCCAAUUCAUCCGUUUCUCCGGGGGCUCCUAGAGUUCUACGGCCUUCAGUUGCACCACCUUACGGCUGCCUCCAUUUUGCACAUCGCGGGCUUCGUGGCCCUUUGCGAACUGUUCUUGGGCAUCGAGGCUCAUUUUGCGCUGUGGAAGAGAUUAUUCUGGCUUGUACCCCGUUCUCAUGAGGGGUCAAUAUAUCAAGUGGGCGGAGCCGAGCUAUGGCGCAUCGCCGGGACCGGAUGUCUAUCCGGAACCCCGAAGAAGGCGUCUGAAGACUGGCCUUCGGAAUGGUUUUAUAUAGAAGACGUCCUGCUGCCGGAUCCUGUUCGGAUCGGCCUCCCGGAGUUCAGUAAUGCUCCCUUGAAGAAACGCCUAAGUUGGCGUCCGCGGAGCCCCCAGAGGGAAAAUGACAGGGACGUCCUUUACCUGAUGAGCCGAAUAAGGUUGUUAGCUCAUUCCGGACUAACCAUGAUCGGUGUCAUGGCCACAUGCAUUAUGCGGGGGGUGCAGCCGCUCCAGUUUAGGGGCCACCCCAUGUGGGAUUUCAACGGGGAGGACGAUGCCACCCGUCAUGGCCGUAAGGGGCCGGGAUCGGUCGCCGAUCUGGUGAAGAUCUUGUCCGCGUUGUACAAGGGGGAAGAGGAGGAUUUUCUCCAUGUCAGUCCAUUGAACGGAUUUUCUAUGAACAAUACUCGAAGCUGGGUAAGCGGACCUUUCUUUUUCGCACAUCCGAUCCGUAUUCCCAUGGUUAGGUAUCUCAUUUUGUGAUUUCGACGCAGGAACUGUGCCAGGCUGUAAAAGACAUAAACAGCCUGCCUCCACAACCCGAGGAUCCGGAGCGGUUCCUUGAUCUGGCCUCCCAAGAGGAUCCGGACAUAUUGGUGGAGCUGAUUGAUGGGGUAUUUCACCAACUGAGCAUCGAUAAUGCCUUGGUUGCCAUUACGGCUGAUUACCCCGGAAUACUUCCAGCCUCACAGGUAACUGAGACCGAAGUCCCAAUACUUUGAUAAUGACCCAUCCGUGCUUAUUUUUGAUAACCGUAUACCAAUGGUGUUUCGCAGGGGGUGCCUUUGAGGCGGAAGGCCGAGCCCGCGGCAGCUAGCCAACAAGGGGCAGCACGGCCCCGCAGGCUAAAAAGAAGUGCGGUCCGGAUCGAAACGCCGCUGCAACGGUAUGGCGUGUCACCAUAUUCCCAGGAUUGAUUCCUGGAAGGCAUAUUAAUGUUGGUGCUCUUUUCUGGAAAAAGAGCGCUCGCCGGACUGUGUCCGGAGAGAUUGCCAAUCGAGCCUCCGCCAGCCAGGCUCCAAAGCCGGGUCCGGAAGCGGAGGCGAGCACGAGGCAUGCGUCGGAUGCUCCUCCCACAGAGGAUGCCGACAGAUUGUCCGCCGCCCACUCCGAGGUGGAGAGUGCCAUGAAUCACAGGCGCUGCCGGACAGUUCUUCGUGACGCGUGUUUCUCCCAAGAGGCAUUGAAUGCCUUCAAUUCGGGAGAUGCGCACCUCCGUGCCGCUCAAUAUGGUCUAGCCAGAGCCGCGGAGCAGUAUGUAAAGGACAUACGGGUGAGGAAAUUUGACAGUUAUAUAUGCCAGUAGCCCCCGAGACUUAAAAUAGUUAGAAUCACUGAUUUAAGGAUCAUUUGUUAUGCAGGAUCUUACGGAAAAGAAUACCCGACUGUCCCAGGAGCUUGAAGAGUGCAAGGCCCAACUUGAGGCCGCACUAGCCGCGACAGGGGGAGCCACAGAGACCCCCUCCGGUAAUAUAUGCUUCAAAAGAUAAGUAGUUUGUGAAGUGCGGCGUGUGUAUAAGUCUGACAAUAAUAUUGCAGAUGGCGCUGGACUAGAUCCGGACAAGCAACAGCUCUUGCGCCGGUUAAAGGCCGGUGAGAAUGUGCUUACAAGGGUGAGGCAAGAGAAAAAUAAUCUCCAAGAUGCCAACACCCAGCUGGGUGAGGAACUAAAGGAUGUUCGUGCCCAGCUGUCUGACUCCGUUAAGGAGAAUCGGCGGCUUCGUCGCGGCACUUAUAGUAAGUGCUUGAGCGAACUUUGAAAAAAGAGUUUGGCGAGGAAGUCGACUAACAGAAAUAUGUCUGUAGGUAUGCUCAUAGGUCGUCCUGCAGAGGAAAUGCCCGGUUCAACGGGUGACCUGCUUCCUGAGCUGCUACAACUGCACGAACAAGUUCGGCAGGUGAUGAAAGGCGUCGCCCAGGCCUUGUGGCCAUCUAUCUCCCUGCCCGAAGGCCUUGGAGAGCUUGCAGAGAGGCUUCAGGGAGCACGGCGGCGCUUCCGACUAUGGAAGAUACCGGCCUGCCGUCAAGGCGCCAGGGAGGCCUGGGCCAUGGUGAAGACGCGGUACACGAAAGCUGACCCAAACCACAUGGCCGAGGUCGGACCUGUGGGGCCCGAUGGGAAGGAGAUCCCUGUGAGCUUGGUAUACGGCCAAGUAGAGUUGGCCGCAAAGUAUUCCCAGCAGGACUGUAAACUAGACAGCCUAUUAGAUGGCAUUGAAGAGGAAUACAAUCAGUCAAUUUGACUAUGUAAUUUAAAAUGACAUGUAAAAUGCCUUCUUGCCGGAUUGUAGAUCGUUUGUCGUAGCGGACCUUUUCGCUUCAACCUCGGGACCCAAUAGUCCGGAGUGUGUCCGAAUACCCUCGCGGUUAUGUAAAAACCGGGGCAUGCGUGGAGACCAGGCGUAGGGGUCAUGAGUGCUUUAUCGGACAAGUGCCCAACUAGUUAUGUUAUAUUACAUGGUUAGUAAGAAACAUCUUCCAGGGAGAAUAGUUUCGUUAGGGGUUCCUUUCCCUGGGAGGCAUGCCCUAAAGUGCAUGUCCGGACUGCGAAAAAAGCAGAAAAACAUCUGGGGGCAGAUAAAUGAAUAAGUAAGAAAUCGUCUUUUAGUUCACCGACCGAAUAUUCCCUUAAGAACGCUAGCUUUCGGCUUCACCCAGUCUGAGGUACACGUCCAGCUGACCCGGCGGUAACAAUCGCAGAGGUGCUCCCUUUACCACCUAGCCGAACAAUCGGGAACGUAGGGGUAAGCACAGGAGCCAGGCAACCCAGCUUGGCCAAAACUUAAGUCAUAUCGAUGCAUAUAAUGGUGAAUAAAAGGUACAUGCGGAAGUGUGACACAUGUGUUGGGCAUAAAGCCCGUAUAAAUAAGCUUCUGUUAAAGAAGCCCCCGGGUAUAAUGAGCGCGGAUAGAGCGUCAAGUGUGUGCGAACUAUGCGCAAACAGGCCUCCAACGGCUUCGGAAAAAAGGAGGGAGAAGGAGAGAAAUAAAAGACAGUUAAAGUAUAAAAUAUAGACGGAGGAAGGAGACGAACUCAGAAUCCGGCGCUAGGCAUAGAAUCUUCGGAGACGGGCUGCGUUCCAUGGGUUCGGCUCAAGUCGGUUAUCCGAUGCGUUUCGCAGACGGUACGCUCCGCCGGUCAGGACUUGGUCGAUGAUGAAGGGACCCUCCCAUUUGGGCUUGAGUUUGUCCUUUUUCUUGUCCGGCAGGUGUAGAACUAAUUCGCCAACAUUGUAAGCUUUGGCCCGUACUUCUCUGCUUUGGUAUCUUCAAGCCUGCUGUUGAUAGAAUGCGGAACGAGCUUUUUCCACGUCACGCUCCUCCUCCAAGGUGUCCAAACUGUCCUGCCGAUCGAGCUCGGCUUCUCUUUCUUCGUACAUGCGCACGCGAGGUGAGUCAUGAAUUAUGUCGCAGGGCAAAACUGCCUCUGCGCCGUAUGCCAUAAAAAAUGGUGUGAAUCCGGUAGUGCGAUUCGGCGUGGUUCCCAGCCCCCAGAGUACGGAGUCGAGCUCCUCUACCUAGUGCGCAUUAGAUUCCUUGAGGGACCGCACUAGCCUGGGUUUAAUGCCCCUCAUGAUUAGACCAUUUGCUCGCUCGACUUGACCGUUAGUUUGAGGAUGAUAGACUGAAGCGUAGUCGAGCUUGAUGCCCAUGUUUUUGCACCAGAGUUUGACCUCGUCGGCCAUGAAGUUCGUGCCGUUAUCAGUGAUGAUGCUAUGGGGAACGCCGUAACGGUGUACUACCCCUGAUAUGAAGGCUAUCACUGGUCCGGAUUCGUCCGUCUUAACAGGCUUGGCCUCUAUCCAUUUGGUGAAUUUAUCCACCAUGACCAAUAGGUAUUUUUGCUUGUGGGUUCCUCCUUUAAGGGGUCCAACCAUGUCAAGCCCCCAGACCGCGAACGGCCAGGUGAUGGGUAUAGUUUUGAGGGCGGUGGGUGACAUGUGGCUUUGAUUAGCAAAGAGCUGGCAUCCGGCGCAUCGUUGGACUAAGUCCUGAGCAUCUGCCGGGGCCGUCGGCCAAUAAAAUCUUGUACGGAAGGCCUUGCCUACAAGGGCCCGGGCUGCGGCGUGGUGCCCGCCGAGUCCGGCAUGGCAUCCCCUAAUCCGGGACUCCCUCAACCGUUAAUUUAUCGAGGGCCUUUUGAUUGAAAAACGCGAAGAACUCCUCAAAUGGAACAUUCAUCAGUUCAAUUCCAACGAGGUCAUGCUCCUCUAUAACUCUCAGCAUCAAAAUAUUCCUCCCCUCAGACUCGCUGCAGGUUUUCAUGUACCAAUCAUGGAAUCUUUGCAUCAUCGUUGUUAGAGAUCUUUCAUCUUUGACGAGAGGCUUCCCGUACUCAUAUUUGUGUUCGACUACCUCCAAGAAAUCAUAAUGUACAUCGUCAGGCAGGUAAUCUCCAAGAUCGUUAUAACCGGGCACCAUCCCCGGAUCUUUAGCGAUGAUAUCGCUAGACACCUAGANNNNNNNNNNNNNNNNNNNNNNNNNNNNNNNNNNNNNNNNNNNNNNNNNNNNNNNNNNNNNNNNNNNNNNNNNNNNNNNNNNNNNNNNNNNNNNNNNNNNNNNNNNNNNNNNNNNNNNNNNNNNNNNNNNNNNNNNNNNNNNNNNNNNNNNNNNNNNNNNNNNNNNNNNNNNNNNNNNNNNNNNNNNNNNNNNNNNNNNNNNNNNNNNNNNNNNNNNNNNNNNNNNNNNNNNNNNNNNNNNNNNNNNNNNNNNNNNNNNNNNNNNNNNNNNNNNNCUAACCUUUGAUCACUGACAGUACUUCCUGACCACUCCACUUCGAUAAAUGACUUUUCAAUAAUGCGCUCAUAGUUGCCUUUCGUCGGAGACUUUGGUGGUUUUUUCAGGGCAACAAGAGGUGGAUGUUUCUUUGCUUUCACCCCUUCAAAGAAGUUCUUCACUUCGGCUCGCACGAUCUUCGUGUUUUCCUCCAGGCUCCUCUCCUAUGGUAACUUCUCUGGAGUCUUCAGAGAAGGACCAAAUCUGUAUUGCGUCCCGCCUUUGGCUGUACUACUAGACGUCGGAGCAGACAGAGCGGCUGCGGCUGUCUUUCCUUUCUUACGAGGCGGACGAGAAGGACUACGACGCACCAGAGCAGUCGAAGCGGGGGCGGGUCUCUUCCUCCCUUGUUGACGAGGCAGAGAAGGAGGAGGCUGGCUGCUCGGGCGCGCCAGCGUAGGCAGAGAAGGAGGCAGAGUGCCGCCACGCACCGGAGAAGGAGUCUGAGUGCCCUGAUCACUCGCCGGAGGAGGAGGCGGAGUGCCCUCACUCGCCGGAGGAGGAGGAGGAGGCGGAGGCGUCCAGUUCGGAAGGUUGAUGAGAUCCUUCCGCCAUAGGCAUGGAGUCUUCAGAGAAGAACCCAGCCGAAUCUCCCCUUCACCCGUAGGGUGGUCAAGCUCGAGGUCCUCAAAUCCGUCCGUUAUUUCAUCCACCAUCACCCUAGCAUAUCCUCCUAGAAUCGAUCGGCAGUGGUAGGUUGCGCUAGGUUCAGUAGGGAAAACAGAGCCAACAGCCGCCUUGACUUUGAAUUUCAUCCAUUGCGUCAUAAGGUGGCAAUGUUGAGACUCCGUGAUAGCAUCCACGGGGUAGCUAGCAGGAGCCGUGAAGAUAGGCUCCAGCUGAAGCUACUAGGUGGAAGCCACGCUGCUUCUCCGCUGAGAUGGCGGGGUAGCUUCGCGGGAAGCUUCGGCAGGUCAUUUGCUGUGAUUUGAUUCUCGUUCCUCUAGCCCUUGUACCCUUGUGUGCAGCGCCUGCAGUUGGCUAUGCUCCACUUUCUUCCUCCUCUCCUGGCAUUUGUAACCCCAUGCGUCCGGAAACCCAGCCUUCCAUGAAACGGAGCCUGGCGUGCCUCGUGUCCAUCCAGGGUGCUCAGGAUUCCCGAGGGCCAUUGUGAGCUCAUCCUUCUCUCUGUCUAGAACGAACUUCCCUUACUGUGUUGCCUCGAUAUACUCCUGAAGCCUCGUGACGGGUAUUCGCAGUUGCUCGUCCGUCCAAACGCACUUCCCUGAUACAGGGUCCAAGGUUCUGCCAAGCCUGAAGAACCAAUUCCAGCAACGGUCUGGCCAGUUCAAUUUCUCUGGUUCGACCCCUUUAUCAAUCAGGUCAUUCUUAGCCUUGGCCCACAACAGUCGGGCUUUGAGGUAGCCACCUGACCCCGUGCGAUGGUGAUGCUUCUUCUUCACAGCAUUUUUCUUGUGUGUCGUUGACAUCUUCUUAAUCUUGUCGGAUGUCUUGUGGGCCACAAAUGCAGGCCAGUGAUCUCUAAUCUUCUCAUACCGACCGGUGAAUUCUGGUGUAAUUUCUUUGUCGACAAACGUUGUUUUCAGCUCAUUCUUCCACCUCCUGAAUAGUUCUGCCAUCUUCUUAAGAGCAUGAGACUUGAUCAAUUGCUCUUUAACUGGCUUCUCCGGAUCCUCCUCUGGCGGUAGGGUGAAAUUUUCCUUAAGCGUUGUCCAAAGAUCUUCUUUCUGCAUAUCGGAGACAUAAGACACCUCAGGGUCUUCCUUCUUAGGCUUUAACCAUUGGUGGAUACUGAUCGGGAUCUUGUCCCUAAUAAGAACCCCGCACUGAUAAGCAAAUGAUUCAUUUGUCCGGAUGGGUUCAAUCGGCUUGCCAUCGCGCGCGAUUGCUGUGAUCUCAAACCUUUCAUCCGAGCGCAACAUUUUCUUCAGGCCUUGUCUCUUUAACGAAGUUGUGCUCGAUCCGGAGGGCUAGAAAAAAGAAGAAAGACGAGAGUUAAUUAAUAUGUGUACAUACAAAAACAAUGAAUGCAUCAAUUAGCUAGUAAGCACAGGCUUAACUAAUAUAUAUACCUGGCUGGACUCAGUUAAGUCACCGGAUCCGUCAUCACGGUCUCCUUCUUGUACCGGCAUUGGGUCAUCUGAGCCAUCAUAAUCAAAGCCUUCUUCUUGUACCGUCAUUGGGUCACCGGAGCCAUCAUAAUCAUAGCCUUCUUCUUCACCCUGUCCUUCCAGACCAUCGCUGUCGUUGAGAAACGACAAGACGACAUCACUUCCUUUUACGAUUAUGUCCCCCAACAUCGCUUCUGUUGCUUCGUCUCAGGGGUGCUCCAUAGUUUCUGCAAAUAUUUACAACAUGGCAAUUAUUAUUCAAACAUGACAGAUGGAUAUAUUAGUGGCAAACAUAGAACUAGCUAGCUAAUCACAAUAAGGAAUCAUAUUAGUGGCCUCGAUGCUGCUUCUCUAGGGUUUGGGGUGGCCUUGGCAAUGCUUCAAGGGUUUGGGGUGGCCUCGACAACGCUUCAAGGGUUUGGGGUGGCCUCGACGACAACGCUCUUUUAACUUGGUGAAUUUGGGUGGCCUUGAGAGAGUUUGUCGGGUAGGGGCGCGACGGGAGGGGGUAGGAGACCGACAUCGUUUUUUCUAGGGUUUGGGUGUCCUNNNNNNNNNNNNNNNNNNNNNNNNNNNNNNNNNNNNNNNNNNNNNNNNNNNNNNNNNNNNNNNNNNNNNNNNNNNNNNNNNNNNNNNNNNNNNNNNNNNNNNNNNNNNNNNNNNNNNNNNNNNNNNNNNNNNNNNNNNNNNNNNNNNNNNNNNNNNNNNNNNNNNNNNNNNNNNNNNNNNNNNNNNNNNNNNNNNNNNNNNNNNNNNNNNNNNNNNNNNNNNNNNNNNNNNNNNNNNNNNNNNNNNNNNNNNNNNNNNNNNNNNNNNNNNNNNNNNNNNNNNNNNNNNNNNNNNNNNNNNNNNNNNNNNNNNNNNNNNNNNNNNNNNNNNNNNNNNNNNNNNNNNNNNNNNNNNNNNNNNNNNNNNNNNNNNNNNNNNNNNNNNNNNNNNNNNNNNNNNNNNNNNNNNNNNNNNNNNNNNNNNNNNNNNNNNNNNNNNNNNNNNNNNNNNNNNUCUUCUUCCUCUCCUCUUCUUCUCCUUUCUUCCUCUUCUUAUUUUCCUUUUUCCUCUCAUUCUUUUUCUUCUUCUUCCUUCCCUAGCUAGAUAUAUAAAAAUUUUCUAAAAAUUAAACUAACCUAAAAUGUACUAAAUCAGAGAACAUAUAUAGUCUAACUUUUGCAUAUAUGUAUACUUUAAAACAUCAUUACAAUUGAAAAAAUACAUACAUACAUACAAAAAACAUGUAAAAAAUACAUACAUACAUAUAUGAACAUACAUAAAAUAAUACAUAUAUCUAAAAAAUACAUACAUACAUAUAUGAAAAUCUAAAGACAUGUAAAAGAAUAGCAUAUAUAACUAAAAAAAUAGCACGACGGCGGCUGGGCCGGCAGAGGCGCGGUGCUCAUAGAGGGAGGAGCGCGCGGCGGGCGGUGUCGGGGCGAGUGUCGGUGGCAAAACCGGCGGAUCUCGGGUAGGGGGUCCGAACUGUGCGUCUAAGGCUAAUGGUAACAGGAGACUGGGGACACGAUGUUUACCCAGGUUCGGGCCCUCUCGAUGGAGGUAAUACCCUACUUCCUGCUUGAUUGAUCUUGAUGAUAUGAGUAUUACAAGAAUUGAUCUACCACGAGACCGUAGAGGCUAAACCCUAGAAGCUAGCCUAUGAUUAUGAUUGUUGUUGUCCUAUGGACUAAACCCUCCGGUUUAUAUAUACACCGGAGGGGGCUAGGGUUACACAAAGUCGGUUAGAGAGAAGGAGAUCUAUCAUCCGAAUCGCCAAGCUUGCCUUCCAUGCAAAGGAGAGUCCCAUCCAGACACGAGACGAAGUCUUCAAUCUUGUAUCUUCAUAGUCCAGCAGUCCGGCCAAAGUAUAUAGUCAGGCUGUCCGGAUACCCCCUUAUCCAGGACUCCCUCAGUAGCCCCCAAACCAGGCUUCAAUGAAGAUGAGUCCGGCGCGUAGAUUGUCUUCGGCAUUGCAAGGCAGGUUCUUCUCCAAAUCUAGAGUACCUGUCGUAGCAAACAGUGUCCGGCCUCCCAUUAAUGUUGUACUCCUCGGCCUCUGUGCUUCAAUAAUGGCCAUCUCCACGUGUCGAGCGAAUACGAGGAGCCGGGGCAUUUUUACAUUUGCUACCCUGACCCUGUAAGCAAACCGUCUAUUUGAAGAGACGGGGAUCCUCAGAUCGAAAUCACAGCAUCUUCUCUCGAGCAAGCAUUCCACAGAGCACGUCCGGAAAAGACCAUCCCAUCAUGGCCGGUCGCCGCAGCUCUUCCUCUAGCUCCCCUAGCUCGAAGCCAGGGGAUUGGGAAAAGUGUUUCGUCCCUCAUAGCCGUCUAGUAGAGUUGCAGACCCAAGUGUUCCUUCCACCUGCAUACAUGGUCCCCGUCCGUUCUGGACUAGCCACCUAUAAUGGCGGGGAGCAAGCGGAGAGAUUUCCUAACCCAUCUCAAGGAGAGCGGGUAUGCCUUGUCCCAUAUCUGCUAAGAGGAGUCGGGUUUCCAAUCCACCCAUUCCUCCGCGGGCUCCUGGAGUUCUACGGCCUCUAGCUGCAUAACUUUACCCCCACAUCCAUACAGCACAUCGCGGGUUACGUUGCCCUCUGCGAGCUAUUUCUGGGAUGUGAAGCUCAUUUCGAGUUAUGGAAGAGGUUAUUUUACCUCGUCCCCCGCAAUCAGGAGGGAUCUAUAUAUCAAGUGGGCGGAGCCGAAAUAUGGCUAGUCGCCCAGACUGGAUACCUAUCCGGUACUCCAAAGAAGGCGUCCGAAGACUGGCCUUCAGAGUGGUUUUAUGUUGAUGGCGUUCCCCUUCCGGAUCCAGUCCGGACAGGCCUUCCUGAGUUUACCAAUACUCCACUGAAGAAACGCCAAAGUUGGCGCCCCCGGAGCCCCCAGGAGGAAGACAACAGAGAAGUCCUCUAUCUGAUGAGCAGGAUAAAAACCCUGGCCAAAUCAGGACUGACAAUAACCGAAGUUAUGUCAAUAUGCAUAAUGCGGGGGGUGCAGCCACUUCAAUAUAGGGGGAAACCCAUGUGGCACUUCAAUGGAGAAGACGACGCCUCCCGCUGCGGUCGUAAAGGUCCGGACUCCGCCACCGCUCUGGCGAGAAUAUUGUCCGACCUGUAUAAAGUAGAGGAAGAGGAGUUCCUCCGCAUUAAACCGCGGGGUGGAUUUUGUUCGAAAUAUGCCCUAGAGGCAAUAAUAAAUUAGUUAUUAUUAUUAUUAUAUUUCCUUGUUCAUGAUAAAUCGUUUAUUAUCCAUGCUAUAAUUGUAUUGAUAGGAAACUCAGAUACAUGUGUGGGUACAUAGAAAACACCAUGUCCCUAGUAAGCCUCUAGUUGACUAGCUCGUUGAUCAAUAGAUGGUUACGGUUUCCUGACCAUGGACAUUGGAUGUCGUUGAUAACGGGAUCACAUCAUUAGGAGAAUGAUGUGACGGACAAGACCCAAUCCUAAGCCUAGCACAAAGACCGUGUAGUUCAUAUGCUAAAGCUUUUCUAAUGUCAAGUAUCAUUUCCUUAGACCAUGAGAUUGUGCAACUCCAGGAUACCGUAGGAAUGCUUUGGGUGUACCAACCGUCACAACGUAACUGGGUGGCUAUAAAGGUGCACUACGGGUAUCUCCGAAAGUGUCUGUUGGGUUGGCACGAAUCGAGACUGGGAUUUGUCACUCCGUGUAACAGAGAGGUAUCUCUGGGCCCACUCGGUAGGACAUCAUCAUAAUGUGCACAGUGUGACCAAGGGGUUGAUCACGGGAUGAUGUGUUACGGAACGAGUAAAGAGACUUGCCGGUAAUGAGAUUGAACAAGGUAUCGGGAUACCGACGAUCGAAUCUCGGGCAAGUACAAUACCGCUAGACAAAGGGAAUUGAAUACGGGAUUGAUUGAAUCCUCGACAUCGUGGAUCAUCUAAUGAGAUCAUCGUGGAACAUGUGGGAGCCAACAUGGGUAUCCAGAUCCCGCUGUUGGUUAUUGGCCGGAGAGUUGUCUCGGUCAUGUCUGCAUGGUUCCCGAACCCGUAGGGUCUAUACACUUAAGGUUCGAUGACGCUAGGGUUAUAGGGAAUAGAUAUACGUGGUUACCGAAUGUUGUUCGGAGUCUCGGAUGAGAUCCCGGCCAUCACGAGGAGUUCCGGAAUGGUCCGGAAGUAAAGAUUUAUAUAUGGAAAGUUGUUGUUCGGGUUCCGGGAAAAGUUCGGUUUUUUCCGGUAUUGUACCGGGAAGCUUCCGGAAGGUUCCGGAGGAUUCCGGAGGGGCCCGGAGGUCCGGAAAAUGUUCCACCACGUCCAAUACAGCAGCAUGGGCUGUAGGGGGGCGCCCUAGCCUUAAUGGGCCAGGGGCACCAGCCCCCCCAAGGCCCAUGCGCAUGGGAGAGGGGAAACCCUAAAGGGGAGGGCCUCCACUUGACUUGGUAGGCACUCCUCCCCCCCUUGGCCGCCGCCCCAACCCUAGAUGGGAUCUAGGGGGGCCGGCCCCCCUCUCUCCCCACCUAUAAAUAGUGGAGGGGUGGAAGGGCCGCCGCACCCCCAAGUUCUGGCGCAGCCCUCCCCCUCUCCCAAGUCCUCCUCCUCUCCCGCGGUGCUUGGCGAAGCCCUGCAGGAUUGCCACGCUCCUCCACCACCACCACACCAUCGUGCUGCUGCAGGAUGGAGUCUUCCCCAACCUCUCCCUCUCUCCUUGCUGGAUCAAGGCAUGGGAGACGUCACCGGGCUGCAUGUGUGUUGAACGCGGAGGUGCCGUCCGUUCGUCACUAGGAUCAUCGGUGAUUUGGAUCACGACGAGUACGACUCCAUCAACCCUGUUCACUUGAACGCUUCCACUUAGUGAUCUACAAGGGUAUGUAGAUGCACUCUCCUUCCCCUCGUUGCUAGAUUACUCCCUAGAUUGAUCUUGGUGAUGCGUAGAAAAUUUUGAAUUUCUGCUACGUUCCCCAAUAGAUUUUCCAUGCACAACCCCCCAAGCUGGGUAAGCUGCCAUUUUUUACUCGACUCUGUCCAUUUUUGCCUCCUUUGUCAUAAUCAUUUACCUUGCUAUUUCAAAGCAGGAACUAAGAAAGGCUGUGAGAGAGUUCAACAACCCAUCUCCGCAGCCAGAGGAUCCUGGCCGGGCUCUCGACCCCGUACUUGAAGAAGAUCUGGACAUAUUCAUGGAGUUUAUCAACAGGACAUUCUACCAGGCAAGCUGCGACGGACCUUUAGUGGCCAUCAUCGCGGAUUAUCCCGGACUGCUUCCUGUGUCGCAUGUAAGUAAAGCCGGGGUCCUAACUUCCAAAUAGGAUUCCUUCGUUAUGCCAUAUCUUAAGCACACAUGUUGCAUCUUUAUAGAAACGUUCAUCGGGGCGCCGUGCAGAACCCGCAGGGGCUCAUCAGCAAAGGGCGUCCGGACAAGGCAGGCUUAAAAGGAAGGCGGUUAGGAUUGAGAUGCUGGCACAGAGGUACAAAUUAAACUUACUCCCUGAUUAUCUUUGCCGAGAUAUGACAGUUUUAGUUAUGUCCUGGCAUAAAGAGUAGUUGUCGGACUAUAUCCGGGGACCCCGCCGGCCACGCCUCAAGCAGCCGGAUUCAUGAACCGGACUCACGGGUGGAAGCUGAUGUGAGGACAACGUCGAACUGUCCUCAGGCAGAGGAUAUGGAUAGGCUUUCCGCCACAAAUUCGGAAGUGCAGAGCGCCAUGAAUCACCGGCGCCGACGGGCCGUACUCCGUGGUGGUAUUUUUUCCGAAGAGGCGUUCAAUGCCUUCAACUCCGGAGACGCAUAUAUCCGCGCUGCUCAAGAUGGACUUUCCAGAGAAACGGACCAGUAUGUGAAGGAUAUACAGGUAAGAAAAUUUGAUAAGUAUGUGUAGUAGUAGCCCCUGAGACUUGAAACAGUUGGCAGAACUGAUUUAAGGAUCAUUGUAUGCAUAGGUUCUUGUAGGGAAGAAUGCCCAGUUAUCUCAAGAGCUAGAGGAAUGUAAGACCCAGCUGAAGGCCACUGUUGCCGAACAAGAGGAGUCAAAAAGGGCCUCAUCUGGUAAUACUUGCCUUGAUAACAAAAUUUGUUAUGACGUAUACCAGUUACUUAUUCGGCAUGGUUUAGAAAUCUAACAAAAGAUUCUGCAGAAAAUCCCAGAGAAAAUCCGAAGAUUGUGGGAGAUAAUGAGCCCCAUCUACGAAGUCAGGUGAAGGCGGGCGAGCGCGUGCUGACGCAGGCUAUUCAAGAGAAAAAUAGUCUCCAAGAUGCUAAUAUCUGACUGAGCGUCGAAUUAAAAGAUUUUCGGGCUCAACUCGCGGACUCCGUGAAGGAGAAUAGGAGGCUUCGACGCGGCAUAUAUAGUAAGUGCUUUAAACAAACUGUAGUACAGUUCGGCGAGGAAGCGUAUUUACAGAGUUAUGUCUGUAGGUAUGCUGACGGGCCGUCCUGAAGAGGAGAUGCCCGGAUCCGCAGGUGAUAUGCUGCAAGAUCUUUCACAACUGCACGAACGAGCUCGACAGGUGACGCAGGGUAUUGCCCAGGCCUUGUGGCCAUCCGCUUCACUGCUAGGAGGCAUGAGCGAGCUUGUGGAGAUGCUCAAAGGAGCACGGCGGCGCUUCCGAUUAUGGAAGAUAUCAGCUUGCCGACAAGGUGCGAGAGAAGCUUGGGCCAUGGUGAAGACGCGAUACGCCAAGGCUGACCCGAACCAUAUGGCCGUAUUCGGACCGGUGGGGUCAGAUGGGCAAGAGAUACAUGUAAGUCUGGUAUAUGACCAAGUAGCGUUAGCCGCAAAGUAUUCCCAACAGGAUUGUAAGCUAGACAGCCUGUUGGAUGGUAUAGAGGAAGAAUAUAGCCAGUCCAAGUGACUAUGUAAUUAAAUGGACCUAUGUAGUCCCUAGCCGGAUUAAAAAUCAUUUGUCAUGGCGGACCUUUUCGCUUCAGCCCCCGGACCCGACAAUCCGAAGUGUAUCCGAAUACCCGCACAGUUAUGAAAAACCGGGGUAUGCAUGAAAAUCAGGCGUAGGGGUCAUAAGUGCGUGAACAGACAAGUACCCAACUAGUUAUGUUAUAUUACAUGGAUAGUAAGAAACAUCUUCCAGCGAGAAUAGUUCCGUUAGGGGUUCCUUUCACUGGGUGCGCAUGCAUCGCUGUGCAUGUACAGACUGCGAACAGAAGUGCAGGAAACAAAACAUCUGGGGAUUCACGUUGUAAUAAACGAAAACAUCUUUUGUUCACCGAGUGAAUAUUCCCUUAAGAACGUUAGCUUUCGGCUUCAUUCAGUCUGAGGUACACAUUCGGCUCAACUGGCAAUAACAAUCGCAGAGGUGCUCCCCUUAUGCCCUAGCCGAAUUAACGGGAACGUAGGGCAUAAACACAAGCGCCAAGCAACCCAGCAUGGCCAAAACGCAUAUAAUGGUGAAGAAAAGGCACAUAUGGAAAGAAAACGCAUAUGUGGCUGGCAGGAAGCUAUUAAAGUAGUUAUGUUUAGCUUCCAUAUAGGAAGCCCCCAGGUAUAGUGUGCAAGCAUAGUGCGGCCGGAGCGAUCAAAGCAUCCGUACAGUUUUUAAGGAUGUAUGUGAUAAAGAAAAGAGGGCGAGAAAGGAAAAAGGAGAAAAAAAUUGAAGAGGCGGAGGUAAGGAGACGAACACUGAGUUCGGCACUAGGCGUAGAAUCUUCGGAGUCUGGCCACGUUCCAUGGGUUCGGCUCGAGUCUGUUGUCAGAUGCAUUGCGCAGACGGUACGCUCCUCCGGUGAGAACUUUAUCAAUGAUGAAGGGACCCUCCCAUUUGGGUUUGAGCUUGUCCUUCUUCUUUUCCGGGAGGCGUAGAACUAGUUCGCCAACGUUAUAGGUUUUGGACCGUACUUCUCUGCUUUGAUACCUUCGAGCCUGUUGUUGAUAAAAUACGGAACGGGAUUUUGCGACGUCACGCUCCUCCUCCAGAGCAUCCAAGUUGUCCUGCCGAUCUAGUUCGGCUUCCUUCUCUUCGUACAUGCGCACGCAAGGUGAGUCAUGGAUUAUAUCGCAGGGUAGCACUGCUUCUGCACCGUAUACCAUAAAAAAUGGUGUGUAUCCGGUGGUACGAUUCGGCGUGGUCCGCAGCCCCCAGAGUAUGGAGUCGAGCUCCUCGACCCAAUGCGUGUCCGAAUCCUUCAAGGAUUGCACUAGUCUGGGUUUGAUGCCGCUCAUAAUGAGACCAUUUGCAUGUUCGACUUGACCGUUUGUUUGGGGGUGAUAGACAGAGGCGUAAUCCAGCUUGAUGCCCAUGUUGCCGCACCAAGUUUUCACCUCAUCGGCUGUGAAAUUUGAGCCAUUGUCAGUGAUGAUGCCGUGGGGGACACCGUAACGAUGUACAACCCCUGAUAUGAAGUCUAUCACUGGUCCGGGUUCAGCCGUUUUAACUGGUUUGGCCUCUAUCCAUUUGGUGAACUUGUCCACCAUGACCAAUAAGUAUUUUUUCUUAUGGCUUCCCCCUUUAAGAGGUCCGACCAUCUCUAGCCCCCAGACCGCGAAGGGCCAAGUUAUGGGGAUUGUUUGGAGAGCGCUAGGGGGCAUGUGGCUCUAAUUGGCGAAGAGUUGGCAACCAACGCAAUGUUGGACAAGGACCUGUGCAUCUGCCCGAGCUGUCGGCCAGUAAAAACCUGUCCGGAAGGCCUUGCUUACAAGUACCCGAGCUGCAGCAUGGUGCCCGCUGAGUCCGGAAUGGAUUUCGGCUAAGAGCUGCCGCCCUUCCUCUUUGGAGAUGCAUCUUUGGAGCACUCCGGUAGUGCUUUUCUUGUAGAGAUCUCCUUCAUGGACUUUGUAGGCCUUAGAACGUCGCACAAUACAAUGUGCCUCGUUUUGGUCCUCAGGGAGCUCCUGCCUAUUUAGGUAGGCUAAGAAGGGCUCGGUCCACGGGGCGAUGACAGCCAUGAUUUCGUGGGCCGAAGGUGUUAUUUCGGUGGCAGGGCCUCCGAUUACGUCAGAUGGUUCGGAUCUUGGGUUGUAUUCGGAGAUGGACUAAUAUUGCCGGACUCCCCUUCCCAUAGCACAGACGGCUUGAACAGUAUUUCCAAGAAGAUAUUAGGUGGGACGGGGUCCCGUUUAGCGCCGACGCGGGUGAGGAUAUCCGCUGUUUGAUUAUUUUCUCUGACCACAUGGUGGAAUUUGAGCCCCUUGAACCGAGCUGACAUUUUGAGGACGGCAUUACGAUAAGCCGUCAUUUUCGGAUCCUUGGCAUCAAAGUCUCCAUUUAUCUGAGAUAUUGUGAGGUUCGAGUCUGUGUAUAAUAUUUAGAGUACGUAUUGGACCGUGUCUCCGGUGGGGGAUGUCAGGACAACACCCGCUCCCAAUCCGGCCAGCAUUUUAGAGCCGUCGAAGUGCAUGAUCCAAUUGGAGUAUGCGCCGUACUCUUUAGGGAGUUCGGCUUCUAUCCAUUCGGCGACAAAGUCAGCCAGUACUUGCGACUUAAUGGCCCGCCAUGGUUUGUAUGUUAUGUCGAACGGAAGGAGCUCAAUAGCCCCAUUUAGCGAUUCGGCCCGUUGCGUCGCGAUUGUUUAUUGUAUCAUUGAGUGGUACUUCGGAGGCCACCGUAGUUGAACACUCUUGGAAGUAGUGUCGUAGCUUCCGGGAUGCCAUGAAGACCGCGUACGCUAUCUUUUGAUAGUGUGGGUACCGAGAUUUGCAUGGAGUGAGGACAGUGGACACGUAAUAUACCGGCUUUUUGAGCGGGAACUUGUGUCCGUGUGCUUCUCGUUCAACGACGAGCACUCCGCUUACAACUUGGUGUGUUGCAGCUAUGUAUAAUAGCAUGGGUUCGCCAGUAUUUGGCACGGUCAGGACUGGAUUGGUGGCCAAGAGUGCCUUUAUUUCUUCCAGUCCGGCCGUGGCCGCAUCCGUCCACUCGAAGUGUUCGGUGCGUCGAAGAAGGCGAUAAAGGGGUAGUGCCUUUUCUCCUAAUCGGGAGAUAAAGCGGCUUAAGGCAGCCACACAUCCAGUUAGUUUCUGGAUCUGCUUGAGGUCUGUUGGGAUAGCCAACUGUGACAGAGCUCGGAUUUUUGCCGGGUUUGCUUCAAUUCCUCUAUUGGAAACGAUGAAGCCGAGCAAUUUGCCGGAGGGUACACCGAAGACACAUUUCUCUGGGUUGAGCUUGAUGUCGUAUGUUCGGAGAUUGUCGAACGUGAGCCUCAAGUCAUCUAUUAAAGUUUCAAUGUGUCUUGUUUUGAUGACCACGUCGUCUACGUAAGCCUCUACUAUUUUGCCGAUUUGUUUUUCCAGGCAUGUCUGAAUCAUGCGUUGAUAGGUUGCGCCGGCGUUUUUGAGCCUGAAAGGCAUGGUGUUGAAACAGAAGGGGACGUAUGGCAUAAUGAAGGCCGUUGCGGCUUGGUCGGACUCCGCCAUCUUGAUUUGAUGGUAUCCGGAGUAUGCGUCGAGGAAACACAAUGAGUUGUGUUCUGCGGUGGUGUCGAUGAUUUGAUCAAUGCGGGGGAGGGGGAAGGGAUGCUUAGGGCAAGCCUUAUUGAGGUCCUUGAAAUCGACACAUAGGUGCCAGGAUUUGUCCUUCUUUGGUACCAUUACCAGGUUUGCUAACCAAUCCAGAUGUUUGAUGUCUCUGAUGAAUCCAGCCUCGAGUAGCUUGGCUAGCUCUUCUCCCAUGGCUUGCCGCUUAGGCUCUGAGAAGCGCCUAAGAGUCUGCUUGACUGGCUUGUAUCCUUUCAGUAUAUUGAGCCUGUGUUCGGCCAGCCUGCGUGGGAUGCCCGGCAUGUCUGAAGGAUGCCAAGCGAAAAUAUCCAAUUCUCACGCAGCAAAUCUCACAGUGCGGCGUCUAUUGUGGGGUUCAACUGUGUCCCAAUGGAAGCUGUCUUUGUAGGGUCCGUUGGGUGGACCUGGAAUUUGACUAUCUCGUCCGCGGGUUUGAAGGAGGUGGACUUGGGUCGUUUGUCGAGUAUCACGUCGUCUCUGUCCACUGUGGCUCGCAGCGUUGUUACUUCUUCGGCCGCGAGGGCUUCUGAUAAUGCCUCCAGGGCUAGUGCUACAGUUUUAUUUUCGGUGCGGAGUGCGACGUCCGGAUCACUAGCUAGAGUAAUGAUUCCAUUGGGCCCGGGCAUUUUGAGCUUCAUGUACCCGUAAUGGGGUAUAGCUUGGAAGCUCGUGAAUGCGUCCCGCCCUAAGAGGGCAUGGUAUCCGCUGCUGAACGGGGCCACUUGGAAUGUAAUUUCUUCGGACCUGUAAUUCUCCGGCGUGCCGAAUACCACAUCUAGUGUGAUUUUUCCUGCACAUCCAGCCUCCCGACUAGGGACGAUUCCCCUGAAGGUCGUGCUGCUUCGCUCAAUGCAGCUCUUGUCAAUUUCCAUCUUGUUGAGGGUUUCUUCGUAGAUGAGGUUUAGUCCGCUUCCGCCGUCCAUGAGCACUUUAGUGAGCCGGAAGCCGUCCACGAUUGGACUAAGGACCAAAGCGGCUGGUGCCCGGACUGUUCGGAAUUGAGGUUCGUCACUGGCAUUAUAAGUUAUAGCCGUGUCGUUCCAUGGAUUUAUUGCUGCCACGUGGCAAACUUCGGCGAGACUGCGUUGAGCUUGCUUGCGCCUAUUAUUUGAGGCGAAAGUCUCGAAGACUGUCAAUACCGUAUUGUUGUUUCCGGCAGGAUGUUGCUCUGCUGUAUGGUUUAUGAGGAGAUCCUCGCCGCUCUUUGCAACCUGCCGGAGUAUCCAACAUGCUCUAAGGCUAUGUGUUGGUGUGGUAUCCGGUGUGCUGUGAAUUUUGCAUGGCCCAUUGAGCCAUUCCUCUAAUACGGUUCCAUGACUUGCAUCGGGCUUUGGUUUUUUGGUAAUUGAAUCGGGUAACUUACGAGAGUUUGCCCUUUUAGUUCGGACGAAGGGUUUAGUGAGAGCCGGAUUGUCCCAGAAGUUUGUUUGGGUUUUCCAAGCGCUUUCCAUCGCGCAGUAUUUCUGCACUAUAGCCGCUAAGUCAGCGAAGUGUACUAUGUCACGGCGACUUACAGCGUUGAGGAUCCCUUUGUCCGUGCAAUUUUUGCAAAAGAGGGAGAUUGCGUCCACCUCGCGACAGUCCUUGACCCUGUUUAUCACAAGGAGGAAUCUGGCCCAGUAAUGAUGUACUGUCUCUUGGGGCUCUUGUAUGAUAUGCGAAAGAUUUAAUAAAUUUGGGUGGGUGGGCGGUUUUGAAUCCGAAUCCUGACCCAAUCUGAGACCCAGGGGCAAAGAAGCUUCCGAGCUUAACGGCUCGGGUUCCGGGACGUUCCCAAUUUCUUCGGCACGCCGCCCGAUUCUGAACUCGGGGCUUGGGUCAUGUCCUCCCAUGAACGGGUGUCCAGCUCGGAGAGCUCGGAAACCCAGACAUAGUUCGUCCUCAAAAUAGAGGGAGAAUUCGUAUGAUGCUCUUCCACUACCGCUAUCUCAUGGGUGACCGGAGGAGAAUAAAUCUCCCUUUGGUCGGGUUUAAGCCCGAUCCAGCCAUAGUCCGUAGCGACGCCCAGGGCGGCGAUGCGAUCCAAGAGCUCAUUAAGGGAGGAGAGAUCCAUUGGGUCCAUCUGUUCGGCGAGUUCCGAAUCGACGUGGAGGCUGUUUUUGAUGACCUGAGAAGUCAUCGUCGGCGCGACAGCCGAUAGGGCGGUCAUGAUGAAGCCACCCAGCUGGAGAGUUUGGCCUAGGGCCAGGGCUCCCUCAGAGGUGAUGUUGUCCUUGACAACGAGACGAGCCAUCAAGCCUUAUCACAACGACACAGUGGAACUCUCAAUGAAAGCACCAAUGUCGGUGUCAAAACCGACGGAUCUCUGGUAGGGGGUCCGAACUGUGCGUCUAAGGCUAAUGGUAACAGGAGACUGGGGACACGAUGUUUACCCAGGUUCGGGCCCUCUCGAUGGAGGUAAUACCCUACUUCCUGCUUCAUUGAUCUUGAUGAUAUGAGUAUUACAAGAGUUGAUCUACCAUGAGAUCGUAGAGGCUAAACCCUAGAAGCUAGCCUAUGAUUAUGAUUGUUGUUGUCCUAUGGACUAAACCCUCCGGUUAUAUACACACCAGAGGAGGCUAGGGUUACACAAAGUCGAUUACAGAGAAGGAGAUCUAUCAUCUGAAUCUCCAAGCUUGCCUUCCACGCAAAGGAGAGUCCCAUCCGGACACGGGACGAAGUCUUCAAUCUUGUAUCUUCAUAGUCCAACAGUCCGGCCAAAGUAUAUAGUCCGGCAGGGGCGCGGGGAGUGGCGCGGCGACGGCGUCGGGGUAGGGACGGCGCGCGGCGACAGCGUCGGGCGAGGGCGAGGGCGCGGGCAACGGCAAGGGCGCGGGUGACGACAACGACGGACGCGGGCGACGGCGAUGGUGACGGCGGGGACGGCGGGUGGCGUCGGGGCAGCCUGGCGGCGAUGAUGUGGAGCAGGGGCGUCGGGCGGCGACGACGAGGAGGAGCAGGGGCGUCGGGGGAGAAGAAGUGACGGAUUUGGUCGAAACUGCUAAGUGUUUUCUUAUAUACCCAGUGCAUUGGUACCGGUUCGUGGCACCAACCGGGACCAAUGCACCCUUUCGUCCCGGUUGGUGCCACCAACCGGGACCAAAGGUCACUUUUCAGCAGCCCAAAGGGCGGGAAGUAGAGGCCUUUGGUCCCGGUUGGUGGCACCAACUCGGACUAAAGGGGGGCAUUGGUACUGGUUUGUGCCACCAACCGGGACCAAAGCCACCCUUUAGUACCGGUUGGUGCCACCAACCGGGACCAGUGGCCUUGCACAGCGGGGUGGUGGUGGGAGUUUAGUCCCACCUCGCUAGUUGGAAGCGCCCGACACCUGUUUAUAAGCACCGUCGCCUCUUCCCUCUCGAACUGCAGGCAUAUGGGCCUAAACUAACACUGAUAUGCCUGUGGGCCUGCUGGGCCUUCUGCGGGCCUGAAUCCUGGCCCAUGGAUGGGUUUCUAGUCGUAUUCAGGCCGUGGUGGCCCAGUAGGUGGCAAUUUUUUUAUUUUUUCCCAGUUUUUUUGUUUUCUUUUUUGCUUUAUUUAUUUUGUUUUGUUUCUACUUACAACAAAAUACUUAUUUAUUUUAUUUUACUUUGUUUGUAAUUACUUAUUUAUUUUAUUUUAUGAUAAUUCUUUUUGCUAUUAAAGUUUCUAAAAAAAGUUCUUUAUGAAAAUUCUUUUUGCUUUUAAUGAUUUUGAACAGAGAAUACUUUGAUAAUUUUAGUUUCAUAAAUUUUAUUUAUGGUAUUAAAGUUUAUUUUGUUUCUGUUUAUACAUUUUAUUAAAGUUUAUAUUAUUUUGUUUCAAAUUACUUAUUUAUUUUAUUUUAUGAUAAUUCGUUUUGCUCUUAAAGUUUGUAACAAAAAAUUUAUUUAUGAACUAUGAACCAAAGGGAUUUCAUACGGAAACUCGUGUGUUACAAAGGCAUUUCAUUUUUGUUAUCAGGGUUUCAUAUGAAAACUCGUCUGUUACAAAGGAUUUCAUUUUUUGGAACUUAUUUGAACUCCAUAGUUUUUCUGUGUUCAAAAUGCACCAUUCAAAGCCACAUCAUCAAUUUUCAACCCUUUCUUACUUAAUUUGUUAUUUUUCAUGCAUUUACUGAUUAUUUUGAGCUAUAAGACCAUGAAAUUGAAAAGCAUUUGAAAUGAACUCUGAAAAGGUUGAAAGUUGGUAUGGUAUCAUCAUUUCACCCACAUAGCAUGUGCAAGAAAGUAGAGAGGGUUACGGCAAAAACUGGAUGCACUUCGUGUACAAAACGGACAAUCUCUUUCGAAGUAUCAGGAUUUCAUACGGAAACUCGUCUUUUACAAAGGGAUUUCAUUUUUUGAACUUAUUUGAACUCCAUAGUUUUUCUGUGUUCAAAAUGCACCAUUCAAAGCCACAUCAUCAAUUUUCAUCCCUUUCUGACUUCAUUUGUUAUUUUUCAUGCAUUUACUGAUUAUUUUGAGCUAUAAGACCAUGAAAUUGAAAAGCAUUUGAAAUGAACUCUGAAAAGGUUGAAAGUUGGCAUGGUAUCAUCAUUUCACCCACAUAGCAUGUGCAAGAAAGUAGAGAGGGUUAUGGCAAAAACUGGAUGCACUUCACAAAACGGAUUAUCUCUUUUGAAGUAUCAGGGUUUCAUACGGGAACUCGUCUAUUACAAAGGGAUUUCAUUUUUUGAACUUAUCUGAACUCCAUAGUUUUUCUGUGUUCAAAAUGCACCAUUCAAAGCCACAUCAUCAUUUUUCAACCCUCUCAUGAAUAGAUAAGUGACCAAAUUAAUAGAACUUCAUCAUCACAUUAAAACCAAAGUACAUACAUAGUUCUCACUGAACAACAUAUAGCUCUCCAGAGCAUCUAAUUAAACAAUACAUUGAAAUUAUGUAAAACAUUUCAAUGCAACAAAAAAUGCGAUCAUAAUCGCAACCAAGGUAACAACUGAUCCAACUGCAUAAUGAUACCAAGCCUCGGUAUGAAUGGCAUAUUUUCUAAUCUUUCUAAUCUUCAGCCGCAUUGCAUCCAUCUUGAUCUAGUGAUCAUCGACGACAUCCGCAACAUGCAAUUCCAAUAUCAUCUUCUCCUCCUCAAUUUUUCUUAUUUUUUCCUUCAAUUAAUUGUUUUCUUCUUCAACUAAAUUUAACCUCUCGACAAUAGGGUCGGUUGGAAUUUCCGGUUCAACCACCUCCUAGAUAAAUAAAAUCUACGUCACGUUGGUCGGCAUAAUUGUCAUAAACAACAAAUGAACCAAAUAGUUAUCAAAAGAUAAUAUAUACCACAUCUGAAUCAUAGACAGGACAAGGGCCGACGGGGGCUGAUACCAAAACCAUCGCACUAUAUAAUAACAAGGAAUAAUAAAAGUAAGAAAAUUAGACAAGUAUCUAUCUGAAGUAAGAAUUUUUUUUCUUUCAGAAUGAAGAUAAGAACAAGAGGCUCACCACGGUGGUGCCGGUGACGAGAUCGGCGCGAGCGAUCGACGGUAGUGAAGACGGGCACGGGACGUGACGGACCGCUAAACCUAGACAAAUCUCGGGGAAAGAUUAACUAGUGUGGCUCGGACAUUUCAUAACACCUCAUGUGCAUAGGAGGUGAGCUAGAGCACCCAAAUGCCCUCCCCUCGCCGGACAGAAAAAAUAGAGCACUGUGGAGUGCUCUGCUGUGAUGAUGGGGUAUAUAUAGGCAACUCAUUUGUCACGGUUCAUGGUCGAAACCGAGACUCAAGCCCAGCAUAUUGUCCCGGUUCAAGCCACGAACCGGGACCAAUGGUUGUGGGCCAGGAGCGAGGACCAUUGGUCCCGGUAUGUGCCUGGAACUGGGACAAAUGGGUCCAUACGAACCGGGACUAAUGCCCACGAGACCCCGGCCGCCCCCCUGGGCUCAAGAACCGGCACGAAUUCCCCCAUGGGUCCCGGUUCAUGACUGAACCGGGACUAAUGGGUUGGCCAGGCCCAAACGAAAGCCCUGUUUUCUACUAGUGGACGAGGCCAAGAAGAAAUACUGUCUCGCACGAUGUGAUAUUCUAUGCCGACCCAAGGACCAGAGGGUCUCGGUAUUGAAAACCUGGAAGUUAAGAAUAAAUGUCAUGAGUAAAUGGCUCUACAGGUUAGAAACAGAGCCGGAGGGUAUGUGGGCACAGAUAUUACGCAAUAAAAAUUUACAAUCGAAAACGAUAGCCCAGACCACCGUGAGACCAACUGACUCGCCGUUCUAGAAGCGACUCAUGCGAACGAAAGAUCUUUCUUUCUUAGGGUCAAAUUCUUGGUUGGCAAUGGGAUGUCAACAAGAUUUUGGGACGAUACGUGGUUAGGGGAGACGCCACUAGCCAUACAGUACCCCAUCCUAUAUAACAUUGUGCAACGUAAGAAGGAUUACGUAGGCACCGUAUUUCAAUCGACUCCCUUGAAUAUUCAGUUCAGACGUGCGUUAGUUAGUGAGCGAUGGACUGCCUGGAUGCACUUGGUCCGAAGAUUGAUAGAUGUUCAAUUAUCGGAUCAACCCGAUUCGAUGCACUGGAAUUUAGCUAGAAAUGGGGUGUUUACGGUGAAAUCUUUUUACAUGGAUCUAAUUAAAUCUGGCCCAAUCUCGAGAUCGUUACAUAUUUGGAAGGUUAAGGUUCCCUUGCGUAUUAAAAUUUUUAUGUGGUUUGUUCACAAACAAGUGAUCCUAACCAAAGAUAACUUAAUAAAGAGGCGAUGGGUAGAUAGUUCACAUUGUUGUUUUUGUGAUCAUGAUAAAACAAUACAACACUUAUUCAUAGAGUGCCCACUCGCGAAAUUGCUUUGGAGAAUGAUCCAUAUAGCCUUUAACAUAACUCCUCCAGUUGACAUUGAAUCGUUAUUUGGGACGUGGUUAGCUGGGGCGGAGCGUCUUACUGCGGCUCGUAUUCGGAUUGGAAUUUGUGCGCUUCUCUCGGCUAUAUGGAAUUGCAGGAAUGAUAUGACUUUUAACAGACAACAUAAUCUAACUUUCUUGCAGGUCAUCUUCAGAGCUACUGCUUGGAUCCGUACGUGGUCCUUACUUACUCCUACGGACUCCAGGGAGCCUUUGGUUACUGGGUGCAACCAGUGGGAGAUGGUAUCACGGCUAUAUUCAACCGGUUCGGAUGGCGGUCGCACAACAGGAUAUGAGUCUAGGGAGCUUGUCCUUGUCAUACCGGUUGUAAUAUUGAGCAUUCGCAUUUCUUUUUCUUUUUUCGCUCCGUUUGCGAGCUGUAAUACUUUUAUGACUUUGUGCUACUUCGAAACUUCUUAACAAAAUGGCUGCAUGCAUCGUUUCGAUGCAGAGGCCGGGGCUGAGCCUCCAUUUCCAGAAAAAAAAAUCAUCUGUUUGGUCGUGCUUGCAAUUGGUUAGCUUAUCCCGUUGUUGUUGCUGUAUUUUUGUCUGGAAAAUCAAGUAAAAGCAGUGUAGUAGACAGUGGCAGAUGAAUAGAGAAGUAUAAUGGGAAGUGUGUUGGCUUCUUUUGUUUGGAAGCUGACUCUGUAUAUGGUAAUUCAUAUGGUAACAUAGCUUUAAGCAACCUUUAGAUUGUGCCACUUUUGAGCGUCAACACGUCCAUGGCAGUAUGUGUUUUCGCUGUUGUAGUUCUCUUCCACCACGGAGUAGUACGUGUACAUGGCAACAUGCAUGCAUGUGGUAAUCCCCUUUAGUUUCACUCCGACCUGGGCUGGGCUGCGCCCUAUGUCGAUGGGCUCGAUCCCCUUAUACUCCGACUCCCACUGCAAUUGGAUUUCAUCUCGAAUCGAUCUCCACCCAACUCGGUUUGAUCGCGUCAAUCCCACUCCAUAAAUCCAUCCACACACACCCGCCGAGACGAAGCAACGAUUUGUGAUCCAUAUAUCCAGCUUGAACAAGGCAAUCGAUUUGGGAUCGAUUGACGGCAAACUUGAAGACUGGGAGGAUCCGAUGGCCGAUUACGGCUAUCCCGACGGCGGCGGCGAAGAGGAGGACAUGCAGUGGCCACCGGCUCCUCCCGCCUACGGCUACCCUGACGACGACGGCGGCGGCGAGCGGCCGCCCUUCGUCCUCAUCGAUCCACGCGCCUACUUCGCCGACCGUAAGAACGCCACCACCGCCGUCAUCGAUAUGGAGGCCGGGGCCCCCAAUCUCAGGGGCCGACUCCAGGUCACCUUCUGCGCCGUCGCCCCGCCGCUCGUCUCCUACUUCUGCGUCCACGCCUCCCACAUGGACCGCACCGAGUUCCCCGUCGCGCCCUCCAUCCUGGCCACCGAGACCGACGGCGGCCUCGCCCUCCUACGCGUCGCCACCGUCGACCCCGUCUUUCCGCCCGAUCACGUGCGUCCCCAAAAUUGCCAAUACUUCGUCUACGACGCCCUCGCCCGCAAACUUCACCAACUCCCGCAACCCGGCUUCCAACACCGACUCAGCGAGCCCUCGCUCGCCAUCAUGCGCAAGCCCAACAAAAGCUCCCAAAACACCAGCAAGCACGUCAGCCUACGCCCCCAUGUACAUGGAGAGGCCGAGGCCGAGGCCGACUUCGUCGUUGCCGCACAAUCCUACAUUUUCUGGGGUAAAGAAUCUCCUCACAUCUGCAUCUAUGACUCUGCUAUCAAGACCUGGAGCAACAAGCCGGUGGUGAUGGGUUCAUCAUAUCCAGAACGCCACCUCCCAAGCAAGACACUCACCAUCGGAGGAAGCAAUGGCACCGUGGCUUGGGUGGAUCUCUGGUACAACAUCGUCUUGUGUGACGUUCUCGCCAAAUGCCCCAAGCUUCGCUACCUGAAGCUGCCGACCGAACCCUGCGAUGGGGGUAUCAAUCCAAGGUCUCUUCGCGACAUUGCGGUCUUUGGCAACACCAUCAAGUAUGUCGCGAUCCUGCAUCACCCCGACACAAGUCGUUGGGUAGCCACAGCAUGGAGCAUCAAGAAGGGCCGUCGGUCCUGGCCCAAGGAAUGGCACAUGGAAUGCCAGCUCGAUUCCACCCAUAUAAAGGUUGAUGCGGCUGGUCGAGUCGCUACCUUCCCAACCUUGUCGUCUCUUUUCGUUGGCCUCCCCACACUCAGCCUGCAGAAUGAUGCCAUUGUUUACUUCCUCGCCAAGAUUGACUUCAGCCCAAGGCAACGCACAGCGUGGGUGCUUGCUGUUGACAUGAAGAACGAGACUGCUGAGCAAGUGGUGGAGUUCCCUGCUGAGAGGACUUAUUGUGUAGCCAAGGGCUACGACGCAAGUAGGAUCUCUGCAUAUCUCCAACCCGCGCCAGGUAACUCCUGCCUUGCUGUCUGUUACUUCCAACGAUACAUGCUAAACUAGCAGAUUCAUGCAUGUUCUUCUUUUCUUGGUGGAGUGGGUGACGGCAGCAUCAUUUCACACACAUUGACAGUGUGGGGUUUAGGGUGGAUAAACCCACCGAAAUUAGAUACCAUAGGUCAUAAUACUAUCCAUCAAGUCAAAUGCCAGCAAAUUCUUUUAGGGGGAGGGGGUUGCUAACUGUGAAUUUCUCACCACAGCCAUUCACACUUAAUCUUGUGACAUGUAGUAAUUCAUUUAUAGGGCGAGCGUUGCACAUGCUUAUCAAGUUUGGGCUUUUUCAGUAGUCUUUCCGCAUGGAGAGUUUUAUAGAAUAAUUAAUGCUUGUGUUAGCGCUGGUUGUUUGUGGACCAUUUCUUCUUUCCCAAACUAUUACUGAAGACAUGUGGAAUUUGACAUGCCAGGUACACAGCAAAUGCCUAAAUGACGAGGGGUGCCGUUGAUGAAAUGCCCUAGCAAGAAGCAUGCUAAAGAUGUUGAGGAUCCUAAAGAAGACGACGCCAUGAUGAUUGUUUCUUCAUGAGGUUGCAUGGAUGGAAGCUGUAUGACCUGCCUUUGGUGCCGGGUAUCAGUGGAGGGGGUAGUGGAUUAUCAUGUCUGCUGGUCUGACCCUUCCUUUGCCUGUCUUUUAUUUAUUUUAGGAUUAUUAUGGCCCUCUAGACCCUGUUCUGGAGUUCCUUUCUUCAUUGUCUCACCGCCUACUCUACCCGGCUUGUCUAUUAUACAAGCUGUAUUAUUAAAACUCUGUAUGAACUAUAUGUGUUAUGUCGGUUGUAGUACCCACCUUCUGUUUUCUGUUGCUCGCGGUUGUCUUCUGUUAUGAUCAUAACCUGUGGAAAGUUGGGUGAGUAUUACGGACCUCUAGAACCUGUUCUCGAGUUCCUUUCUUCAUUGUCUGGAGACCCUGUUCUAGACAUGCCGGUGACGCAAAAUUUCCAUCUGGGUGGGUGCGGAAUUUAUCAAAAUUUUGA